AACACUCAACUCUCCUCACUGAUUUGGCUGUGGUGGAAGAAAGAAUUGAGUGGAAAGCAACUUGGGAAGGCUAGAGAUCAAGCUUCAUAUGAUGGGAGUGGAGCAACUUGAUCUCAACACAAGGGUAGGUAGGUCUCUUCUCAGAAAUGUAAGGUAGGAGUGAUAGUUCUUUCUGAUGGCUCUCUCCACGAAUGAAGAGGGGGUGGAGGGGUAUUUAUAGCCUCCACACAAAAUCCAACCGUUACACACAUUUGACCAAUCUCGGUGGGACCGAAGUUGACAACUCGGUGAGACCGAAAGUUCAAAUUAUGUGAACGUUGGGAUUUUCGGUGGGACCGAAAAUACAAUCUCGGUUAGUCCGAUCCGUGCAAAGACAAGAGCUUGCCAAUCUCGGUGGGACCGACUUCAUCAUCUCGGUGACACCGAUUUGAUGACAGAAGGUUACAGAAGCUUGGCAACUCAAGUUUCGGUGAGACCGAGUUCAGAAUCGGAAAAUCCGAGAUUUCUAGGGUUUGGCUUUGUGGCUGAGGUGGUUCAUCUCGGUGUGACUGGGUUUGGAAAAUCGGUGGGACUGAGAUUACUUAUGAGUGUAUAUGGCAGUGAAAGUUGCUGAUAGUUUAGGAGAUGUAUCACUAAGCACUUUGAGCAACCAGAUCAUCAUCAUAACCUCAUCCCCUUUUAAUAGUAUUGGCUUUCCUAUGGACUCAAUGUGAUCUUGGAUCACUAAACCAAAAAUGGAGUCUUGAGCUUUUGCCAAUGCUUGCCUUAGCAUUUUGAGGGGUCCACUUCUUCAGUCCUUGCCAUACCCAUAUCACUGAACUUUCUGAAAUGAUUCUCAAGUAACUAUUAGUUCAAUGAUAUAUAUGUUGUUAUUAAUUACCAAAACCACCCGGGGAUUAGUUGCACUUUCAGAUGUCCACUGGCACCUACACAACCCUAACAUAUUAACAAGCACAUUGCAAAUAAUCAAAAACCACAACUAUGGUAAGCCAUUAUUUUUUACCUUGUGCAGCUCACCCGGGGAUCCCGUCCCUCCGGGGGCCAUCUCCUUGUCCUUGAUGGGGGCCAUCACCUUGCCAGGGGAAUACUGCUUCUCAACGGUGACUAUCUCCUCAAAUUCGGCCUUGAGCCUCGCAUAGGUGGCCAUUAGAGUUUCUGGGGUAGGCACGAUGGGGCCAUCGCUGUUCUUCCAACUUUCUUUGAGGAGUUCGUCCGCCAACGUCGUCAACUCUUUGGCCAGUGCUUGUUUCUUGGAGUUCUUUGUCUCCAUGGGUUGGCCCGCCAACAUGGUCAAAUUGUUGGUCGGUGCUCGCUUCUUGGAGAUCGCUAUCUCCAGUGGGUUGUCCGCCGGCAACUCCUUGCCUAGUGCUCUAGGAUCCAUCAAUGAACUGACAAACAAAAGCAAUCAAAAGGAAACCACAAACCCAAUGCAACCGGGAAAAGAAUUUUCUGUGAGAAUCGGUCGGUUCUUCGCAAAAAGAAGAUUCUUGGAAUGAAAAUAUAGUAGCAUCACUGAUUCGCCCACCUUUCAUUCGUCGGUACAGAAGAAAAAUGGCAAAAGUGAGUAGCCUGGAGUGAGGUUUUCUUCAAGGGGAGAAAGGGCUUCAACGAGCGUUCCAGUGAAAUGAUGGUUGCUUCGUCUAGUCCAACUUUGAGGCCACUUUACCACUGCUGGUAAAGGUGUGGGUUUUGUGAUAUGACGGGUCAUGACGGCCACACCAGGGUGACCGGUGAGUGUCGACUGUAGCACCUCGAUGUGAUUUGGUGGAUGGCACGCGGGCCCAAAUGCUUUGAUGUCCCGCAUGUAGAUAGUGCGGCUAGUCAUAUAGGAGUUCUCAAUAUUGUGCACCGCGACCAAGGCGGAGAGAAAAACGAGAGAACUACGUAAUUAAUGCAUGAGUUUAAUUAGGGAAGUUUUGUAAAGUACGAGAUACAUUCCUCCAAUCACAAAAUGCCUUGGUUGAUGAGAUUUGAGAUUUGAGCCCUAUAAUCCGGAAGGGAGGAAGUACUACACGUGGUGUAGUCUAGUCACUUGUUGAAAUCUCUAGAAUGGCAAAUACUCCUUUCCGGUUUAUAGGGAUAUACUAGCAAGUACUAGUACUACAAUAAUGGGCUCAAAUAGCAAUUUUGUCUCAUGCAAGAGCCUGGCUAUAUGCGUGCUCCAAGGCACCGCACCACGCCCCACCCCUACACAAAGACUGCCAUGCGAGCGUUCGCAACUGCCACGUUCGGGUUGCGCUUGGCUCUUCGCCUCUUCGAGAAGAUGAACAAUGAUGUUACUGCUACUUCUACAGUAUUGAAUCCACUGUUGCAUGUCCGUCCACCACGUACGGGAGCGAUAGUGUGUAGAGAAAGCUUCUCCUAGUCCUGCGAACCACCACGCUCAUGCGCGAGGGAGGGACGCAGCUUCAUUGACUUACUGCUCCUGCCUUUGCGUCUAUGACAAGUGGGCCCAACAGGUGGGUGGCCACCUGUCAUGCAGCCAAAGCCAUGUACAGUUAAGGCACCGGAGCCAGUCCGUGAGGGAGAGGGCAUUGUAGUAAUCAAACUUCUCGAUCUUGUACGAGUUGACGUGACACAUCAAAGCACUGCACUCGAUAUAUUACAAUAAUUUGCAUUUACUGAUGCAUUAAUUACAACCUCCGAACCUUUUUUUGAACAAAGUACAAACGCCUAAACAUAAGUCAUUUUAGACAUUUCAAAUGGACUACAACUUAUAGAUGUAUGCAGACAUAUUUUAGAGUGUAGAUUCACUCAUUUUGCUUCGUCUGUAGUCACUUGUUGCAAUCUCUAAAAAGACUUAUAUUUCGAAACAGAGGGAGUACAACGCAUGCAUGCAUGCUGUGACUUUCCUUUUGAUACUUGCAUCUGUUGAUUUGAUGCACCUUGCCAAAUUUUGACUAUAAAUUUAACUAACCAAAUGUUCAUGCAUGUCGCAAAAAAUUACGAGGCUAUUUGGAUUGUGACUAUGUUUGUCUUAUGUUGCCACAUUAUUUUUGCCACACUUGCCUAACUUGAGUUGCUCAAAUUGUUAGACACACUUUGGCUUGCCUAAGGGAAUCUUGCCACACUUUUUGCGUCUAUGACAUGUGGGGUUCACUGCUAACAAAAAAUUCUUGUCUUAGGUGUGGCUAAUAAAAAAGACUUAUAUUUAGGAACGGAGGGAGUAGAAAAUAUAAAUAAUAAUGCAUGUUGGGGCAGCCCACGUUUCCGAUAAUUUUAGCCAUGGGCUUGUUCUCAAUUUUUAUGAGGGGGUGGUUGUUCAUUUAAUGGAGGGACUUGUACCAGACUUGAACGAUACAAAGUGCGACCUGGCACACCGUAACACCACUUGGAAUAAGCGGGUAGCUAUCUCAAAAAACAAUCAACAACUAAAAAAUGGUGACCUGGCACGUACACAAUUUUAAACGAUUUUUUUGAUGGAGUGAAAAAGGAAAACUACCCCACUACGUAUAUAUAGGCCGGAUCCUCCGCGCUUGCUUGCUAGGGUUGCUCUAUUCACACACUCUCAUCCUCUCCAUAUCUAAACAAGAUAGUGGUGGUAACACUGUCUUUCUCCCUUCAAAAAACACUAUCUUUCUAUCCACACCGCUGGUUACAGAUCCGGACGUAUCCCCUCCGCCGGUGAAGGGGAGGAGCGGCAUCGUUUAGGCCAUCGUCGAUAGCAAGGGAGGAGACCCACUGCCAGCCGCACCGUUAUCUUUGGCCGAGCGCCGGUGCGGGAGGUCCUCUGAUCCCUUCGUCGUUGCCCUGGUGUGGGCGGAUCCGGCCUCCCGCCGCCCACCUAUCCACAUCCCGACGACCUUUAGGUAUAUCUUCCUUCGAAACCGCCUUAGCUCUACUUCCCCAGCUCGCUACAUCGCUGCAUGUGCAUCAUUUUCUACCUCUCAGCCCCUCUCGAUCAGAUGGUCCAACGUCACCUUUUUUUAUUCUUCUAUUGUUAGAGGUAAAGGUACUUCAUGGAGUCGAAUCUUGUACUUGGUUCAAACAAGAAAUAAAGUGGGGGUGGGGGAAUUCAGUAUCUACAUCGGACUUGGUACAAACAGGAAGGAAAGGGGGUGAAAGUAGUACAGACUGGUCAUCCAACCGGUAUCUUGGUCGAAAAGGGAAAUAUAGGGGUAACGUUGUACACAGUGGUAUGACCAGCACUGGAUUUGUUAUCCACACAUAGGAGUAGGUGGCUAGAGUGAACAAAAAUGGAACCAACCCAGAUAUGUUUCUUGGAUGUUUGUUUCUCGGGGCAACAAACUAUGAAUCACCACUUUAUGCGCCUGUUUAGGUACAUGGUGCUGGACUGCUGGUGCACCCAUUGUCCCAUGUCCUUAUACCAAAUAUUUAGUUGUUCUUAAUCUAAUGCCCCUGGUAAAAUGAAGCCAUGCCACUGUUAUAAGCCAUGACAAGUUUAGCCAAAUGUUUUUGCCUGUAAUUGUUUGAGACUCUGACUGUUUCCUAUGUAACUUUUUGUGCAAACAGGGAUAUCCAUUUCACCUGGUUGUUGUUGUGACCUUUUGGUGCACUAAAACACUUCUUCAAAGAAGUGACUUUUGUGUUGUUUAACUGGAAUGUCAGAAUAGAAUAGUUGGUUCAUUUCGAUGGAACUGCACAAAGGGAGAUCUGUGUUCCAAUCCUCAUCAUCCAUAUUGGCACCAUAACCUUCCUUUAGGUAAGAAUGAUAUUUAAUGCAUGUGUUCAUCUCUAUUUUGCGAUUGCCAUGAGAAAAUAAUGCUACUUUUACUAGUACACUUGUACUCCCUCACGGACAAAACCAAUUCUGAAAUAGAAGGCCAAUCAUGUACUUGGUUUCACCAACUGGUGAGGAGAAAGAGAAAUAGAGCAUGAAGAGGAAGAAGAAGAAGAAUAAACAGUGCCAAGGUGAUCUUGCUGAAGCGAGAGACCUCAGUCGAGGCCACUCAAGGGCUCCGGCAACAUCUACCUUACAUGUGAGACGAUCCUCCAGGGAGCCCUUCCACUUCUGCUGUCUCACAUAAUUAAUUAGGAGUACUUAAGUACCACUAAUUUAUUGCUGCCUAAUUUUCCUGUUGGAGUUAAACAAAUAUUUAGUAGCACCCUAUGCUGAAUCAUGUACAUGUAUGUUUGUCUAUGGAGGUGAAUCAUGUGGUGGAGCAGGGAGGGAAUAUUAUUAGUGUCAUGACAUAAUAGUGCUAUUGUUUUGCAUGUCAAUUUAUUGCCAUGGUUCAAUGAGGCAAUGUUUUGCGUAUUGUCCAUCAUGAAUUUGAUACUACUGUUAGAGUAAUAUGCUAACGUCUUUCUAUCCUUUCUCACUAAGCUAAUCAAGGUUUCACCUUGUUCCUACUUGUGCAAACAGGGAUCAUGUUGUGCCAAUCAUACAUUUUAGUGGAACUACACAAGACAAUACAAUGAACUAUAUCCCAGCCAGUGCUUUAACUCUGCUAGAAGUUCUUGAUAAUCUUUCGAUAUAAUCUCAACACUGGUAAACAAGAGUGAUUUCAACCAUACAUUUGAAGUGCACAAAAAUAUAUACUAUUGAGUGAUUCCAGUGACUGCUUUAUCAUCUCUUAUGGGACUACAUGAAUAAGCUUUUUUCCUCAGGUUGGUACGGGCCUAAGGCCUUCAUCCAUAUUAGUUUGCUAUCAUCUCUAUUUGUAUCGUGCUAUUGUCAUGAGAAACUACUUUAUCGUUGGACGUUAAAGUUUUGCAACCUAUGAUACAUGGCAAUGCUUUGAGUGUUAAGCUAACUGACACUGAUUAAAUAAACUAAUACCUCUCUUUAAGCUAGACUACUAUGUUGCUAACUUUACCUAUUUAGAUAAUGAGCAUGCUUCUAUUUGUUAGUGUAUGUUUCAUCAACUAGUCGCACUAUUACAGUAAUCUCACUCUCUCAAUAUAUGUGCCAACAGGGAUGCUGGAUUUUGGUGGAACUGCACAAAAACUAUGGGUGCUUCAUUGCCUCGACAGCUUCCGUCCUUUCCUAUCAGUCACUAAUCUGGGCUUCCUUCCUUCCUUUGCUGUCAGUCACUUUGCUUAUCUCGGCUUCUAGUCAAAGGAAAUAGUAAUUGAUAUGCUACCUCACACAUGUUGGUACUGGUCUUUAUCCUGGUUAUUGUGCUUGUCAUAUGUAUUGGUAAUUUGGUAUUGUGAUGCUGUUUUCCAAUUUUAUAAAGGAGUAGCUUGGAGCCUAAACUCGCAGGCAAAUCAUUACAUUAGGUGAUUUCAGUAGAACUGCACAAAACGAUGAGAUGGACAAAUACUUAUGCUGCUGCUAUGUACUCCAAAGUUCACUCAGACAAGCAUCGAUGUUGAUAAGAAGAAGUGCCUAUAUUCAUUCGAGUAUCGACCGGCGUCAACCAGUUGUCAAACUCCAAGUAUUAGGACAGUGAACGCCAAAAAUAUUGCUUGGCGCAUAGCCUAGAAAAACAUAGUCCAGUCUUUGGUCCCAACUUGUGCCUUUUGGUUGUCGACAGAUAUGGUAGCGAACUGUAUGGCAUGGAGUCUAAAGAUUCCAAAAAAGUUGGUUGACGCGUAUAUUCAUCUGGCACUUAAUCAGUCUGCAUGCCAGAGAUGCUCCAUUUCAGUUGAACUGCACAAAAAAUUUGGGUGGUUCAUUUUCUCAACCGCCUCCUUUCUUGUCUGCAAUUUAGAAUUUUGGCGAGCUACAGGACCAAGAUGAGCUAGUAAACUAGUUGGAUGAAAGUAGUGGCCAAGUUGCUCAAACCUCCCUCGGCACGAGGCCACUAUCUGAGGAUAAACCUACAAGCAAAGUUCAGAUUGUUUGUGCUGCCUCUUAUGUGCUUGAAAGUUUACUCGUACAAGCAUUAAUUUUAGCAAGAAGUACCUCCGACUGAACACCAUUUACCAACCUGUACCCUAGGUAAUUAAAGUUCGUCCAUGGAUGAUAUUGGUUGUGAUCUCAGAUCAUUUGGAUGCAUAAACAUACUGAACAUGUGUAUAUAUGAAUCUUUUUGUGAAUUAUCUAUGAACAUUGUCGUGUGAUCUAUCAAUCAUUUGGAUGCAUAAACAUGCUGAACUUGUGUAUAUAUGAAUCUUUUGAGUUGUUGAUUGUGAAUGUUGGCUAUGAAUAUGAACGUGUCAUGUGAAUAUGAGUUUGAUACGAAUGUUUACCUUUUCUAUUGUACUUGUGCGUGAACUUGUUAGUAUGCCUACGGUGGGAUAUGCGACGUAUGGGUGUCAAUGGCAGACCUUCUUUCCGAGAAGAAUUGCACCUGCUUUGUUAGGGAAGCAACGGUGCAUCAACUCUUUUUAAUCUUUUUGCUCUGUUUUCCCCCUCCCCUGCUCAACCCCUGCCGUAAUGUUUUCGGCCUCAAAACAAACAUAGUAUUGCGUUGUUUUUGGGGCUUGAUGAAAAAUCGAGUGCUGGUUUCUAUAGGUUGGCCCGCACAACAAAUGGGCUGCUGGUCCACCACGGACUGGGAGGCUAAAAAUACAAGUUGUAUGGUGCAGAGGCAAGUAAAAAAACGCCAUCGAGAGCCAUCCACUGAAGAAAAGAAUCGCUCCUAUUGUGCUUCUUCAGUCGUGCCGCCGGCCCCCACUUUAAUCCAGUUUCCUCGGGGAUCUAUCUGGUAUCAUUUUUUCCAGGGGGCGAGCAAGUAUCAGCUAGGCCUAGGUUUUGUUUUUUAACAUGCGUAGCCCAUGACAUACGGAGACAGUGGUUUCAACUUAUUUUUUGAGGUCCAUGCCGGCCUAUGGGCUUUUUCUUAAAGAUCGGCAACCCAGUAUGUUUUUUUAAUAAAACGCAGAUCUCUGUUCUAUUUAUCUAUAUAUAAGAAUAAUAAUGUUGUGUCCAAUUUAUGUUUUCCCUUCUAACCACAUUAUAUAUAUUUAUAUUAUUACUAUUAUCGUAUAUUUUGUAGAUACUUAUAUAUACAUUAUAAAAACAUCCCACGUGUUAUUGACUUAUAAAAGUAAAUGUUUAAUAGAAGUUGGCAAGGAAAAUCCUGGUUGUUUUUGACUCACAGGCUAGGAAAAUCCUAGUGAUUGCGUACAAAAGCUUGCAAAGAUUUUAAUGACCAAUGUAAUAAUAACACGCUCAUUUUUAUUUUGAGCAAUAACUCUCUAAUUUGUUAAUUAUAUAUAUAUAAGAUGUGCCUCUCCGAUUUAUUUUUUGAUAUUAAUUGCUCCUUCUAACAUAACAUUAUAUAUAGACCGACCCCAGCUAAUUCAUCUAUUUCAAGAAAGUGCAAAUGGGCUGGGAUUUCUUAGAAAAUAUAAAUGGGCCGCAUUGACGCGAAUUUAUUUGUUCACCCAGCCCAGCAAAUGGACUAUAUAUUCUAGAAAACAUGGGUUAAAUAUAUGCCACAUUUUUGCAGGCUGACAUGUGGGCCAAUAGGUCGAAGCCUACGUUGGGUGUUGUCAACUUGGUCAACAAAUGAUUAUGACAUCCACAACCAUUGGAUUUAUAUCCAACGGCCGGCAUGCACCUUCAAUCUCUCGUCUUCUUCCUCCAGCGUCGUCGGGACCGCCUGGUCCGGCCUCCGGCGGCUAGCGGCUCUGCUUAACACGCAUCGCUGCGAAGCACUACCUCACCGCCGGCCAAGCUAUCCCUCCACCCCUCCACACCUCCUGUUAUUCUCCACCGACUGCAACCCCAAGCCACACCACAACCAGCUAUAACCCUUCUCCUCCUCCCAAUCUGCGACUCCACUGCCGCGUCUUCCCAUCUCCGGGUCGUUCCCGUCCGGGACCUCACCGUCGUCCAUCGCCUCACUGCGCUUGGUGCGGCGUGGUCAACAAAUGAGAGUCAUCGGAAGAGGACUAUACGUGGAGAGCCUGACGGCUGGGACCCACGAGGUCCAUGGUCGCACGCAAGGAAAGUUCCUCCUUAUUAAGCUGAAAAAAUGUUUCCUUCCCUUGACAGUUGGGACCCACCGGCUGUAUCUUCGCACGGAAGGAAGUGCCUCCUUGUUAUGCGAAAAAACUUAUUCCUCCCGUUGACAGCUGGGACACGUCAGAUUUGGUGGCUGACUUGUGGGCCUACUAAACGGACAUGUACGCAAGGCUUAGUCAACUAAAUCAACAAAUGAUUCUAGCAGCUGGACUGUUGGAUGUUAAUCCAAUAGUCGUGCUCUUCUUCAACCUCUAUUCUUGCUCCCGUCUCCCGUGGGAGGCAUCGCGGCAGUGCUGCUGCACACCCGAACCAGUCAAGUUUCCCACUCCUCUCCAUCUGCGACUCCAUUGCUGCGUCUUCCUCAUCUCCGAGUCGUUCCAGUCUGGGGCCUCGCCAUCGUCCACCGAUCUUGGUGCGCUCGGCACGGUGUGGUCAACGUGAUCAACAACCGAGAGUCAUCGAAAGAUGACUGUACGUGAGAGGUGAGGGAGUCCUAUAUUAGGGGGUAUCCGGAUAGCUGGACUAUAUACCUUGGCCGGACUGUUGGACCAUGAAGAUACAAUACUCAAGACUCCGUCAUGUGUCCGGAUGGGACUCUCCUUUGCGUGGAAGACAAGCUUGGUGAUCCGGAUAUUAUAUUUCCUUCUUUGUAACCGACCCCAUGUAAACCCUAGCCCCCUCCGGUGUCUAUAUAAACCGGAGGGUUUAGUCCUUAGAGGGACGAUCACAAUCCUAAUCAUCAUAGGCUAGCUUCUAGGGUUUAGCCUCUACGAUCUCGUGGUAGAUCAACUCUUGUAAUACCCAUAUCAUCAAUAUCAAUCAAGCAGGAAGUAGGGUUUUAACUCCAUCGAGAGGGCCCGAACCUGGGUAAAACAUCGUGUCCCUUGCCUCCUGUUACCAUCAGCCUUAGACGCACAGAUUGGGACCCCCUACCCGAGAUCCGCCGGUUUUGACACCGACAUUGGUGUUUUCAUUGAGAGUUCCUCUGUGUCGUCGCUGCAAGGCUUGAUGGCUCCUUCAAUCAUCAACAACAACGCGGUCCAGGGUGAGACUUUUCUCCCCGGACAGAUCUUCGUGUUCGGCGGCUUCGCACUGCGGGCCAAUUCGCUUGGCCAUCUGGAGCAGAUCGACAGGUACGCCCCUGGCCACCAGGGCAGGUUCGGAAACUUGAACUACACGACCGAUAUCCGUGGAGACUUGAUCUUCAACAGAUUUGGGCCUGCGCCAAGAGCGUCGGACAGUCACGACGAGCACGGCUCAGACCUGCUGUCGGACAAUGCUCGGGAUAUCGCCCCUACAGGAGCCCCGGACCUAAAUCUGGAGCAGAUUGCGUCGCUCGAGGACGGGUGUAUGGACCCCGCCCCAGAGGUUGCACACUCAUCGGCGGUAGAUCCGAACACAAACUUCACCCCCAAGGAAGCCUGUGACACCGGACCCCCGGACUCGUAUCCGGCUGCAGGUUCCAGUCCGCGCACUCCCAAGCCCGCCGAAGCUGGUGGGGCUCCGGUAAUGGAGUUCACCACUGCGAAUAUCUUCCGGCACACGCCCUUUGGUGACGUGCUAAACUCGUUAAAGUUUCUGUCUUUCUUAGGAGGCUCUUGGCCGAACUAUGUCUGGCUCGAGUGGGAAGCAGGCGACAAGGGAAUUCGUUACCCACCCACCACCCACUUCAUCGCCACGGUCGAUGAUUUAACCGACGUGCUUGACUUUGACUCUAAAGACAUCGACGGUGUGGACGACGAUGCAGGAGAAGAACAGGAACCACCGCCCAUGGGGCGAUGGAUGGCCACCUCCUAAUAUGAUAUAUAUAUGGUGGACACUCCGACAGAAACCAAUGGCGAUGAGGCAAUAAAGGAUAACCUAUCAAGGAAGAAGGCAAAGUAUGAACGUCAUCAGCGCCGCCUCAAGCUUCGCCACAACAAUACCGGCGCAGCAGUCAAAAACAAUCCAUACGGCGCCAAAGAUGAAUACAAUCCCGACCAGCCUGCCUUCGAGCAAGCCGGACAGGCGGCGGGCGUAUACUUCGAAAGGGAUAAUUACAUGCCCCCCUCCAAAGACAAGGUGAGCCUCGGCAACAACGAAUUCGGCGUGCCUGAAGACCCCGUGGAGCAAGUUUGCUUUAAGUGACGGCUCAUGGCCACGGCGAAAAGCCUGCAAAAGAAACAACAGUAGCUCAAAGCCGACCAAGAAUUGCUCACGGACAGAUGGACCAGGGUCCUGGCCACCGAGGAAUACGGACUCGACCGCCACACCAAAAGGUACCCUAGGCACAAUUCGCUACCUCAACCUAAGAAGGAAAACCUAAAGCCCACACCCCGGCGCCAAUAUACCACGGUCUGGGACAAUACGCAGGAGACGCGAGGAAGCAUCCACAAACCUCGACACAAGUGUCAUAAGCGUCAAGUCAAGGAAGUUGGUACCGAAUUCAGCAACCCCCAGUCCGGUCAGCGGAAAAAGAACAGCUCAAGCCCAUCCGGCCCGUGCAGCAUACUCGAUCAACCAUGUGAAAUUCAUGGUACCCCUAGAAGGACGGCCAAGCAUACCAAUAGAGAAUGUCGGAUCCUUAAAACAAAACGGUCGGUAGUGCGCCGGAAACAAUAAAGGGAGGUUUCCAACAACGAAAGACCAAUCAAACAUGGCGAAGUCAAAAGAAGAUUCUCCACAGCACAAAAAUACGGCAGAUCUUCACCGAUCACAUCGACCGUCCGGACAACAUCAACCAUAGCAAUUUAAUUGCACUCACUAUCGACCCAAUAGUCCGGGGGCUCCAUCUAGCACGAGUCCCCGCGGGCAUAAAAUUAUCAAUAACAUCUUCUAAAAGAUGGCAGGUGCAAAGGCCAAGUUUUAUUGGCCCGCCACUUUAACGGUUGUCUUCGGAUCACCAAACAAAUACCACGCCGAAGAAUAAGUCUUCGGCACUGUCCCCUUAUACAGUAAUUACCACAUACUACCGGGACAAGCUGCGUUGGCUAGAUUCAAUGGGGUACAACAUUAGGCCAGUCCCGCGUGACAUAGUCACAAUUAUGGGCAGCGCCGAACCCCACCCUUAGAAUGGAAAUCAUAAAGUUGCUGGAAUAGCGAGGCGUGCCUGUUUAUCAAAUUUUGAUUCGGCAGCCAACUACUCGGACACCAACUGAGGAGUCCGCGCUAUUUUAUGGCAUGACAACCUGUUUCAGCCAGGCUCCGAUCAGGCACCUGCGGUUCAACCAUAAGAGGAGAUGCAGCUGCCUUCAAGCAUUUGUCUUUACAGAAUAACUUUGGCGCAGAACAGGACUGGCGACAUGGAAUCAGCUCGGACACACAAGGGCAGGAACACAUAAGUAAAUCCGCCCCCUCCCAAAGGAGGUAGUCUGGAUUCACUUCAUAUCCAUACACAGCAUCCUCCAGUCCGGCCAAAACAGGUUCCGCCAAAAACACCUCUUUUCAUAAUCAUAAACCGUACUCAUAUGCAUAGACAUGUCAUCCUACUACAGUGCGUAGAUCUAAAUAACACUUAUUGGCUGUCAUUCUUCAUUAAACACCACUUUUUGCCAUAAACAGCACCCGUACAUUGUAUUAUACCCCACUAUGCCAGGGGUUUUAUAAUACUCGAAAUACCGCAACAAAGUCCAGCCACCUUUCCGGUCGCUCGGCACCCCGAACUUAUAGCAUUAUAUGCAUCAGCUCCGAAUCAUGUCUUGGGUCAUUAGUUGGGUUUGCCCGGCUCCCAUGUUUUGGUACCUUACGUUUCGCUCCAUCAGCUAAGGUAGUGCUGGGAGAACUACUGCGAUUGUGUCUCGGUUCUUCCGGAUGAGCACCUCGGUAGAGAAAGCCGAAAACUGACUGGCAUGAUACGGCGAGAGCUGGUCAGCUGUUCGAGAGGUUAUAAAAUCUCUAAAGAUCUAUUCCACACAAUGCCAUUAUAAAUGCAAAGUGCAACGGAUCGGUCUCCUGAUUAGGCGCCGAUAGAGCCCCUUGUACGGCCUUCCGAAUACCAGGGGCUGCACCCACCAUACUUGAAUUCCUAUGGCUAAGUGAGAGUGAUAAAGCCCUAUAGUCUAAUUGUCUGGUUCGUGGUGAGGAACACCUCCUUAAAAGGACCCAACAAUGGGAUAAAGAGUGUUCAGGUAUGCCCCGAACACCCCCGUACUUUUCACGUGGGGGCAGAAGCCGACGACUGGCCAACUCUCAGGUUUUAUAUACACUAAACGGUCGCACAGGAAGAACAAACAUUCACACAAACAGGCAAUAAAUAAUAAAAGUGCCAUUAUCCCACAUUACAAAGAAUGGCACGACUGCCUUUAGGGAAAUAUAGUGUCUUUGGUACACUGAUCCACCACAAGGCAGGCUCCUUUCAGGACACCUUCAUAGUAUAAUUCGGGCUUGCGAUGCUCCUUACCCUCCGGUGGUCCCUCAGUCAUCAGCUUCUCAGCAUCAAGCUUCCCCCAGUGCACCUUCGCACGGUUAAACGCCAUGCGUGCACCCUCUAUGCGAACUGAUCGCUUAAUGACAUCGAGCCGAGGGUAAGCACCAACAAUCCGCUUCACGAGUUCGAAGUAACUGCUUGGAAUUGGCUCCGCGGGACACAGCCGGACAACCAAGUCCUUCAUGGCUAGUUCGGCCGCCUGGUGCAGAUCGACCAACUGCUUCAGCUGAUCGUUAAAGGGUGUAAGGGCAUAUUUAUCCCUUAGGUGUUUUGGUGAUUGAUGACAAUGCAUUCGCGGACUAAUCGUGUGUCUUGAGUUUCACAGAUGCUUCAUCACUAGGCACGAGACGAUUCGGUGCCCCUCGAACACUAUUGAAGACGGCGUUGUUCUACGUUUCUUUUUGGUGGAUUUGAGUCGUAGGAGAGCCGUACUAUUAAGAGGGGGUCCGUGUCGGAAAGGUUCGGGUGGAAUCAUCACGUACACGCUUCCUUCAUUGUCUCCUCCUUUCCCUUGCACUUUGGAGCAUUCCCCGUCUAUCCUCUUUGUGAGUGCCUGGACUACUGUUGCUAAGCUUAAGGUAGUACUUCUCCGUGGAGCGGUAGUACCGCACGAACUCGCGGUAGUACCGUGCCCUUGCGCGGUAGUACCGCAGGAGCCCACGGUAGUACCAGUCCCUCGGAGUCAUAGUACCGUGGCUCCUAGGCCAAGUACCGCUGCGUCGCGGUAGUAGGCGCGGAUGUAAUUUUUUACAUCCGCGUCCACACGGUAGUACCACACGUUGAGGGCGGUAGUACCGCGGGUGCCCACGGUAGUACCGCUCCCCCCGAGCUGUAGUACCGUGGUUCCCUGGCCUAGUGUCGUUGCUUCACGGUAGUAGGGGCGGAUGUAAUUUUUUACAUCCGCACCCACACAGUAGUACGGCGUCGUGUGGACGGUAGUACCGUGACGGAUGUUUGCAUUGUCUCUUUGACAGCGGAAGUAGGCACAGAUGUAUUUUUAUUCAUCCAUGCCGGUUCCAGACCUAGUCUUACCUGCCUCGCGGUAGUACCGCUGGUGGGUGCGGUAGUACCGCGCCCGCGGUAGUACUGCCUAUGGUAUAGUCUCUGCAGCUGCCGCGGUAGUACCGUGGUCUCCCACGGUAGUACCGCGUGGCCUCGCGGUAGUACCGCGCCCCUGGAGCGGUAGUACCGCACGUCACAGGCUGGUCUAAGUGGAUAACGGUUGGAUUUCUUCCAUGACUAUAUAAGGGGCGUCUUCUACCUCUAGUUGACUACCUCUUCCACCUCUAAGCUCCAUUGUUGCUCCAAGCUCCAUUUUCGCCUGAUCUCUCUCCCUAGCCAAUCAAACUUGUUGAUUUGCUCGGGAUUGGGUGACAAGGGCCCGAUCUACACUUCCACCAAGAGAUAUUCGAUUCCCCCCACUUAUCCUUAGCGGAUCUUGUUACUCUUGGGUGUUUGAGCACCCUAGACGGUUGAGGUCACCUCGAAGUCAUACUCCAUUGUGGUGAAGCUUCAUGGUGUUGUUGGGAGCCUCCAAUUGUUGUGGAGAUUGCCACAACCUUGUUUGUAAAGGUUCGGUCGCCGCCUUCAAGGGCACCAAUAGUGUAAUCACGGCAUCUCGCAUUGUGUGAGGGCGUGAGGAGAAUACGGUGGCCCUAGUGGCUUCUUGGGGGGCAUUGUGCCUCCACACUGCUCCAACGGAGACGUACUUCCCCUCAAAAGGAAGGAACUUUGGUAACACAUCCUCGUCUCCACCGGCUCCACUCUUGGUUAUCUUGCGCCUUUAAUUUUGCAAGCUUACUUGUGUUGUUUCCCUUACUUGCUCGUGUGCUUGUUGUUGUCGCAUCAUAUAGGUUGUUCACCUAGUUGCAUAUCUAGACAACCUACUUUGAUGCAAAGUCUAAUUUGGUAAAGAAAAUCUAAAAAUUGUUAGUUGCCUAUUCACCCCCCCCCUCUAGUCAACCAUAUCGAUCCUUUCAAAGGGCACCGGAUAAUUCGGCGCCAAAUACUGCGACCAGAAAUCCUUCCCCAUAGACUUCUUCUCCUCAGUAUGGUAGAAUUGGGCAGCAUCUGAUAUGCUGCAUGGCAGGUCCGCAAACACACCUGGAGAAACAAGAAUUCAGCUUGUCGCUUAGAGCCCCCAUCACUAUGAAAAGAGUGUCCUUGAGUACAAAAGGCAUUACCAGCCGCAACCUUUCGUGCCUCUUGAAUGUCCUUCAGAGCACCUCGGGCUUCUUCCUGAGCAUCCUCCACAGCUUGGAGAGCUUGAGCGAGUUCGGAUUCUUUCCCUACUAAACUCUUCUCCAAGGCCUCACUUUUCUUCACAGCCUCCUGAAGCUCUCGCUCAGCUUCAAUGACCCUGGCCUCGUGUUUCUCACGAAGAGCCUGCUUGGCGGUGGCCUUCUCGUUGGCUUCGGCCACAGCCUUCUUGAGUGCCUCAUAUUCGGCACUCGCCCCUAGAGCAUAAAAUACAAAUAUUUUUCAUCAGGCACAACUACGCAUUCGUGCCGCAUUUAGGACAAGGUUUCGACAUACCUUGCUUGUCCUCCAAUUGCUUUUUCACACGGCCAACUUCCUCUUCGGCCCGUUCUAGACUCUGCUUUAGUCCGGACACCUCCACAUUAUGAGCGGCGGUCGUCCCUGCAGACGCUUGUUUUCAAACAAAGGGAUACAUGUCAUUAAUUGAGUCUCUUGCAAUGCGGAUGAUUUGAUCCUCUGUCCGGCUUUCUCUCUCUUUCGUCGGACAGUGCAUCAGGGGCUACUACUCACACUGUGACAAUCUCCAAAAGGUUUCUAAAAACAUACCUCAAAGCCCUUUAUAAGGCCAAGGCAGGACUCAUUCAGUCCGCGCUCGGUGAACUGAAUCUUUUCAAUCACCGCACCCAUGAGGGUCCGAUGUUCAUCGACAACAGACGCACUCCUUAGCGUUGUCGAUAGGCCACCCGACAGCUCUGCUUGGACAGAGGCUGCUGGCGGAGUAGGCAAGGCUCCCCCCGUCAAAGGUGGCUGCUCGCCCGAUCCAGGAGCUUUAAAGCUCUCCAGGACCGCGUUUGGCUGCGGUCCGAACCUAAGAUCGCUCCCGCCAUCGACACGUCUGGGAGCCGCUGCUCCUGUGUGUCCGGCCCCAGGGAUACGCCCCCCUGUACCAGGCCCCGUUGAGACGACACCUCGGUGUCGCGCCUAGGCUUCAAGGAAGGGGCCUCUGGAGGCGUCUCGCUCGCCAGGGCAUUAGAGCUCAGUGAAUCCUCCGAUGAGGACUGUCCAGCAUGGGACCUCGCCGGGCUGCACAAAAUAUGGUGACGGUAUAAACUACCACAUCCUAACAACCCCGAGCACGUAUGCAUGUUUGGAUUUCGUAUACUUACGACUUUUCCAGGGGCUGGACCCUGGGAUCCCACUCCGGGCUGCUAUCAGCAGCCGUGGUGGACGCCUCUGGAGGGAAGGCGAUUCGGCCUCCAGGGAUGAGGAAGCCGUCCUUUUCUUCCCCCCUGCGUCGGACUCGUCUUCCUCCUCCUCCUCUGCAUCUUCGGAGGAGGGGUGGUUGCUGGAGUCUUCGGAUUUUGCGUCCGAUGCAUCGCAACGACGGAGGCCACUCCGGGUCUUCUUGACCUUCUUGGAAGCUUCUUUCUUCGGCGCCUUGUAAGGCGCUGGGACCAGCAUCUUCGUUAGAAGAGGUCCAGCCGGUUCCUCCGGUAGCGGGGCAGGACAGUGCAUCCGCUCCACCUUUUUUAUCCAUCCCUGGGGUUAUGGUAAAGCAUGAUAAAAGCGUCUCCCUCAGGACAUGCCAACUGAAGCGUGGAUGGACAGAGCACAGCAAUGACUUACCGGACUUGCAGAGUGGGAUAGUUGAUACCCACGGUCCUCAGCGGAGCCCGGCCAUGAUUUGCCGGACUUAAAGAGCACCUUCCAGAUAUCCUUGUGGGAGGAACCAUAGAGCUCCCGUAGGGUCUGGUGCUCAGUUGGGUCGUAUUCCCACAAAUUGCAGGCUCGACGCUGGCAAGGGAGAACCAGGCGAACUAACAUCACAUGGACUACAUCGACGAGUUUGACAUCCUUGUCGACCACACUCUAGACGCGCGUCUGGAGCAGUGACAGCUCGUCGGACGAGGACCAGUUCAUGCCCUUCUCGGGCCAGGACGUGAGCCACAGUGGGGCUCCGGAUCUGAACUCAGGAACUGCAGCCCACUUUUUGCCGCACAGUUUGGUGAUAUAGAACCACUGCUGCUGCCACUCCUUGCCGGAGUCAUUGAAGGCACCCGUCGGCCAUACAACCUUGGGCAUCUUGCUCACCAUGGCGCCGCCGCACUCGGCGUGGUCGCCACUCACCACCUUGGGCUUCACAUUUAAAAUCUUCAGCCAUAGGCCGAAGUGAGGCGAAAUUCAGAGAAAAGCCUCACACACGUAGUAAUACAUGAUACCGCGAACGAAUGGGUGAAGGGGAAACCCGAGCCUGCGGACAAAAUGAGGAAGAAACAUGACCCUCUCAAGGGGCUCCGGAGUAGGGACGAUCUGUCCCGCCGGCGGAAGACGGUGGCCGAUCUUCUUGGCCAGGUACCCGGCCUCUCCGAGCCUUUCGAUAUCCUUCUCCUGGAUGGUAGAGGCCAUCCAUUUGCCUCCCGCCCCAGAUCCGGACAUCUUCGGCGAACCUCUCUUCGGUGGAGAAGAAGAGCGCUUGGGCGCUAGGGCUCGAACAGAGGGGAAUGGACUAGCAGAAGGAAAAGGCGUGGAUAAAAAGGAAGAGACCUUAUCUCUUUAUAGAGGCGGUAAAAGCUUUUGUGCCUCCCCACUUGUCUGGUGGAACCCGCUCGUUCCCCACUCGCCGCAAUUAGUGGUGCAGUUGGGCUACCCACACCCGUAUUGAUGAGAAUCCCAUGAUGAGGGGACACGAUCUCUGCUUCGGCAAGACGUACAGAGGAAACCGCCUCGCAAUAUGCGCUAUGGCUAGUUAUGGGAAAACGGUCCGAAUAAUGACCCGACCGUAGUGUCAUGUCACAUUGUCUAAAAAUUGCCAGCAGAUCAGAUUUAUGCUAUGCUCUCUAUGGUGGUGUGUGAAGAUCAUCUUGCAGACCCGGUCACGGUUUAAGUGUUCGAUAAUUACUUUGGAGUAUUCGGAGAUGGAACCCGCCUUGCAAUGCAAAGACAAAACUGCGCGCCGGACUCAUCGUCAUUGAAACCUGGUUCAGGGGCUACUGAGGGAGUCCUGGAUUAGGGGGUAUCCGGACAGUCGGACUAUAUACCUUGGCCGGACUGUUGGACCGUGAAGAUAAAAGACACAAGACUCUGUCCCGUGUCCGGAUGGGACUCUCCUUUGCGUGGAAGACAAGCUUGGUGAUCCGGAUAUUAUAUUUCCUUCUUUGUAACCGACCCCAUGUAAACCCUAGCCCCCUCCGGUGUCUAUAUAAACCAGAGGGUUUAGUCCUUAGAGGGACGAUCACAAUCCUAAUCAUCAUAGGCUAGCUUCUAGGGUUUAGCCUCUAUGAUCUCCUGGUAGAUCUACUCUUGUAAUACCCAUAUCAUCAAUAUCAAUCAAGCAGGAAGUAGGGUUUUACCUCCAUCGAGAGGGCCCGAACCUGGGUAAAACAUCGUGUCUCUUGCCUCCUGUUACCAUCAGCCUUGGACGCACAGAUCGGGACCCCCUACCCGAGAUCCACCGGUUUUGACACCGACAAGAGGCUGACAGUGGGGACGCACCAUGCCCAUGGACGCAUACAUGCAACUACAUCCUUUUUACCCUGAAAAAUAAUUUUUCUCCCCCUGACUGCUGGGACCCACCAGCUACAUCUUCGCAUGCAAGGAAGUGCGUCCAUAUUAUGAGCAAAAAAAACGACUCGCACCCUGACUGCUGGACCCACCAGCUACAUCUUUGCACACAAGGAAGUGACUGACAGUCGGGACCCACCUGGUCGAAGCGUACUUAGCGUUGUCAUUCUGGUUGCGAACGUGUAUGUACAUACUGGUCGAUGUAGAGGAGCGCACGUGUCGUAGUAGAGGCGUGCACGUGUCGUAGUAGAGGCGCGAACAUAGCAUGUACACGCACGUACAGCGACCAGGGUGCAAGAAAGUAAAUACGGCCACGUACGUCCAUACGGGUGGGGUCUCGAACACCUACUCGCGCAUACAUACGGCUAGGGCUCGUGUACAUGGCUGGGUCAGGACGGAGAAACUGCAUCGUCGUCGUGUUCAUGGGGAGCCAACCGGCUGGGUCAGAACGGAAUGCGUCAUCGUGUUCAUCGGGAGGGAUUGGAUGGAACAACCGAUGGAAACGAGGCCUGGUGUACCGCAGAACAGAGAAAACAGCCUUCUGUUCGACCAGCCAUGGUCGAAACGGGAUCCUUUUCAUCGGGAGGGGUCUGGCGUAUCACAAAACGGAGGAAACGGACUUUUGUUGGACCUCCUAUGGUCGAAACGGAGUCCUGUUGAUCGGGAGGGGUGUGGCAUACCGCUAAACGGAGGAAGCUGACUUGUGCUGGAGCGCUACGGUCGAAACAGGGGUCCUGCUCAUCGGGAGGGGUGUGGCGUACCGCAAAACAGGACUCCACGAGAUACUGUUCAUCUCCACCAUCGACCUCCUCCAGCCUCCACGGGCUAUUGUUCAUCCACUGUCGACCUCCUCCAGCCUCCACCUGUGACUAUUCAUCCACGGUCUCCUGUUCAUCCAGCCUCCACCGCGCGCUCCUCCACCGGCUACUGUUCAACCAGCCCUCUCCACGGGAUCCUGUUCAACCACCCCUCCAUGGGCUACUGUUCAUCCAGCCCUCCACCGGCUAAUGUUCAACCUUCCCUCCAUAGGGUCCUUUUCAUCUAGCCGUCCACGGGGUCUGUUCAUCCACGCCCAACUGGCUCGAUCGAUCGGGGUCCUGUUCAUCCAGCGGCAACACCACGGGGUCCUGCUCAUCCAACCCCCUUCAGGAACUGUUCAUCCAACCCCCCCCCCUCAACAACGCUCACUGUUCAUCCAGAGGCAACAUCGAUCGGCUUCAGUUAGCAGCAGUAGUGAAGGAAUCGCUCGAUUGCUCGGGUUCAGUAACGUGUAGCCUGCAAUGUAAUUGCUCGGGUUCAGUUAGGCGAUGCCUCGCUCGGGUUUAGUUAGAGCCCAAUGCCUCACACCCACGUGCAUACAUGUACGAGAGAAACGUGCAUCGCUCGGCCCCCAACCACCCACCGUAACCGGGAACUCCCUGAAAUUUUCCUCGCCCUCGCUUCUACCACGGUAUUUUCCGUCAUGAACGGCCCAAAGAAUGUCAUGCAGCUGCAUCUCCGGCCCGCCCAGGACGAAAAGCCCAUUUUCUGUCAUGAUUUUUUGUCAUAGAAGUAGGAGCCCACCACAUCUAUGAUGAUACUGGGUUUUGUCACAAUUAUCAUCAUAGAAGUGUCAUAAGUAUGACAGAAAAAAAAAAUUCGUUCGGCCCAAAAUGUCACGGAUGUGUCUUUUUUUGUAGUGCAUGAUAUGUGCUAUCCUUGCAAUGUCAUUUUAUUUGUUUUGCUUGAUGUUUGAAUAAUAUCCCAAGAUCUAAAAUUCUUAAAUGUUAGAGAGUCUUCACACAGUUACAUAAUUAUUCGACUACUCAUUGAUCUUCACUUAUAUCUUUUGGAGUAGUUUGUUAUUUGCUCUAGUGCUUCACUUAUAUCUUUUUAGAGCACGGCAGUGGUUUUAUUUUGAAGAAAUUGAUGAACUCUCAUGCUUCACUUAAAUUAUUUUGAGAGUCUCUAAAUAUCUUGGUAAUUUGCUUUGGUUAUGAAUUUAGUCCUAAUAUGAUGGGCAUCCAAGAGGGAUAUAAUAAAAACUUUCAUAUAAAAUUCAUUGAAUACUAUGAGAAGUUUGAUUCAUUAUGAUUAUUUUGAGAUAUGAAGAUGAUGAUAUUAGAGUCAUUCUAGUGGAGUAAUUGUGAAUUUGAGAAAUACUUGUGUUGAGUUUGUGAUUCCCGUAGCAUGCACGUAUGGUGAACAGUUAUGUAACGAAGUUGGAUCACGAGAUAUUUUUUGGUUGUCUUCCUUAUGAGUGCCGGUCGGGGACGAGCGAUUGUCUCUUCUUACCAAUCUAUCCCCCUAGAAGCAUGUGUGUAGUACUUCGUUUCGAUGACUAAUAUAUUUUUGCAAUAAGUAUGUGAGUUCUUUAUGACUAAUGUUGAGUCCAUGGAUUAUAUGCACUCUCACCCCACCACCAUUGCUAGCAUCUCUAGUACUGCGUAACUUUUGCCGGUACCAUACAUGUCACUCUUGAUUCAUUGCACAUCCCGGUACACCGCCGGAGGCAUUCAUACAGAGUCAUAUUUUGUUCUAGUAUCAAGUUGUAAAUUUCGAGUUGUAAGUAAAUAAAAGUGUGAUGAUCAUCAUUAUUAGAGCAUUGCCCCAUGUGAGGAAAUAAAAAAAUAAAAAAAGGAGGCCAAAGAAGCCAAAAUAAGAAAGAGAGGCCAAAGAAGCCAAGAAAAAAGAGAAAAAAAGGAACAAAUGAGAGAAAAAGAGAGAAGGGGCAAUGUUACUAUCCUUUUUCCACACUUGUGCUUCAAAGUAGCACCAUGAUCUUCAUGAUAGAGAAUAUCCUAUGUUGUCAGUUUCAUAUACUAGUGUGAAAGACAAAAUAAAAAAGAGAGGCCAAAUAAGCCAAGAAAAAAAGAGAAAAAAAGGAAAAAAAUGAGAGAAAAAGAGAGAAGGGGCAAUGUUACUAUCCUUUUUCCACAGUCGUGCUUCAAAGUAGCACCAUGAUCUUCAUGAUAGAGAGUCUCCUAUGUUGUCGCUUUCAUAUACUAGUGGGAAUUUUUCAUUAUAGAACUUGGCUUGUAUAUUCCAAUGAUGGCCUUCCUCAAAUUGCCCUAGGUCUUCAUGAGCAAGCAAGUUGAAUGCACACCCACUUAGUUUUUCUUUUGGAGCUUUCAUACACUUAUAGAUCUAGUGCAUCUGUUGCAUGGAAAUCCCUACUCGCUCAGAUUGAUAUCUAUUGAUGGGCAUCUCCAUAGCCCGUUGAUACGCCUAGUUGAUGUGAGACUAUCUCCUUCUUUGUGUAUUCUCCACAACCACCAUAUUCUAUUCCGCCUACAGUGCUAUAUCCAUGGCUCACGCUCAUGUAUUGCGUGAAAGUUGAAAAAGUUUGAGAACAUCAAAAGAAAGAAACAAUUGCUUAGCUUGUCAUCGGGGUUGUGCAUGAUUUGAGUAUUUUGUGUGAUGAAGAUGGAGCAUAGCCAUACUAUAUGAUUUUUUAGGGAUAAGCUUUCUUUGGCCAUGUUAUUUUGAGAAGACAUAAUUGCCUUGUUAGUAUGCUUGAAGUAUUAUUGUUUUUAUGUCAAUAUUAAACUUUUGUUUUGAAUCUUAUGGAUUUGAAUAUUCUUGCGACAAUAAAUAAUAUUACAUUGAUAAAUAUGUUAGGUAGCAUUCCACAUCAAAAAGUUUGUUUUAUCAUUUACCUACUCGAGGACGAGCAGGAUUAAGCUUGGGGAUGCUUGAUGUGUCUCCAAUGUAUCUAUAAUUUUUGAUUGUUCCAUGCUAUUAUAUGAUCUAUCUUGGAUGUUUUGUAUGCAUUUAUAUGCUAUUUUAUGUGAUUUUUGGGACUAACCUAUUAACCUAGAGCCCAGUGCCAGUUUCUAUUUUUUCCUUGUUUUUGAGCUUCGCAAAAAAGGAAUAUCAAAUGGAGUCCAAACAGAAUAAAACCUUUGCAAUGAUUUUUCUUGGACCAGAAGACACCCAAGAGACUUGGUGAUCAAGUCGGAAGAGCCACGAGGCGACCACAAGGGGGGAGGGUGUCGGUGUCAAAACCGGCAGAUCUCGGGUAGGGGGGCCCAAGUUGUAUGUCUGAGGAUCGAUGGUAACAAUUAUCAAAGGGACAUGUUUACCCAGGUUCAGGCCCUCUUAAUGGAGGUAAAACCCUACUCAUGCUUGAUUAUAUUUGAUGGGUAUAGGGGUUACAAGAGUUGAUCUACCUCAAUAUCGUAAUGGCUAAACCCUGACUUGGCUAGCCUAUUAAUGUUAUGAUCCUGCCUCCGGUCUAAACCCUUUGGUUUAUAUAGAUACCAGAGGGGCCUAGGGUUGUACAAAGUCUGUUCAACAGAAAGGAAAUAGUACUUCCGGACACCUAAACUUGUCGUUCACGCACACAGGAGCCCCAACCGGACACGGGAGGUGGUCUUCUUCCUUUUAUCUUGACAGCCCAUUAGUCCGACCCACACCGAAUAGACCAGACGCCCGAGGACCCCUUAGUCCAGGACCUCCAUCAGUAGCCCCCGAAGCAGUCUUCAAAGACGAUGUGUUCGGCGUGCAGGUUGUCUUCGGCAUUGCAAGGCAGGUUCCUCUCCUUGAAUAAUAUACAUCAACUUUCCCUCACAAAAGAAUUGUAUCUGGGUUUGCAUAAUUAACACGACCCUUAGCCGUGAAGGCAGGAUAUAAAAAAUAGGAAUAGUGUCUUUACUGACAACUUUUUCGGGGAAGCGUCAGACUUGACCCUUCAGUGUUUUGAACCGUUUUCACACUCCUUGUUUCGUGUUUCGAGGUCGAGCCCCCUUGGCCUGUCUUGUCAAAACAUAGAUCAUGCCCACUUAUUACGGGAUUACUCAUCAAUGAGAUUUGGGUAACCCAACCGAUUACGGCGCAUGCUCACAUUGGGAAUAGGCGAGUUUCAAGGCUUAAGUGGGGGGACGGUUGGCAUUUUUACCGCCUAUAAGAGGGCAAUAGUCUCCUCCUUUAUUCCCGCGCCUUCUUCCAGCCUCCGCCUUCCAAUCUCCCAAGCUCCAGCGCCCGAAAAAAAGCUUAUGUCUUUCUCACUACCACCACCCUCUCCAGCCAUGGCCGGAUCCGGUUCCAAGGGCAAGUGGGCGGCCUCCUCCAUCACGGAGAAGGAGGUGAAGAAUCUUCAGAGCGUAGGGUGCUUGGCCACAGACACUGCGCACAGGCUCCCUGACGAGGGUUAAAUCAUCCCCACUCUGAAGCCCAGCGAAAGGGUCGUCUUCCUCCCCCAUUUUCUUAGAGGGCUAGGAUUUCCACUCCACCCCUUCAUCCGGGGAUUCAUAUUCUAUUAUGGGCUAGAUUUCCAUGAUCUAGCUCUGAAUUCUUUCCUCCACAUCUCAGCGUUCAUCGUCGUGUGCGAGGCUCUACUCCACAUCCCACCACACUUUGGCCUAUGGCUUAAGAUCUUCAAUGUAAAGCCGAAGGUGGUCGACGGACAGCAUGCAGACUGCGGUGGGGCCAUGAUAAGCAAGAUUCCCAAUGCCACAUGGCCCAAGGGGGCCUUUAUCGAGACCGUCAAGGCCUGGCACCAGGAGUGGUUCUACAUCACCGAGCCGUGCCGCGCCACGCCAACUGGGCGCCAAUUCCUGAAUUCAGAUCUGGACCCCCCACGAGGCUCACUUUGUGGACCGCUAAGGUCCUCAACUGGGGGUCCCAGACGGAGGUGCAGAUGCUGCAGACGCGCAUCACCUAUGUGCUGAGCAAAAACGUUGGUCUCACCAAUGUGGUGCAGAUCAUGCUCUUCCGCCGCAUCCUCCCCUGCCAAUGCUGGGCAUCCCCCAUGUGGGAGUUUAGUACGUAGGAGCCAUAGACCCUAAAGCGCUUCUUCGGCACAACGCACGAAGGAAUAUGGAAGCAGCUCUUCAAGGCCUAGAAGAGCUGGCCUAUGGAGACCGAAGACAUCGGGCUCAACGUCGAGAAUCCAGCCACUCUGGUAAGUAUUAAACUUCCGAAGAUGUGUCUGGUCUGUAUUUUUUAUCAAUAUGAGUCUUAUCAUCCCACUUCUUUACAGGGCUGGACAUCAAAGGCGGAGCGAAUUAAGAGUCCGGCUCCAUUGCCCGAAGACACAGCCACUCCCUAGCCGACGGAGAUGCUGGUCCAGGCGCCUUACCAAGCACUGGAGAAAAAGGGCAAGAAGAAGGGCAAAGAGCCCAAGGGCGGCCCCCACCACAGAGGCCCUCGGAUGUUGUAUCCGGAGAGACAGAGAUUGUCUCCUCUCAUGAGGGAGACGAGGACGAAGAGGAGGAGGAGGAGGUGGAGAGCGACUCCCCUCGCAAGUUGACGAGGAAUAAGAGGACGACCUCCGAGAACCCGGAGGGGGCGGCACCGAAGAGGGGGAAGAUUACCCUCUCUGUCAAUUCGGACUCAGAGUCCGAACAUGUCCCCAAGAGGGCCCCCAGUGCAAAGCCCUUGCCCGAUUCGUAAGUAUCCAAAAUCUCACUCUUCAGUUUCCGCUUACUUAUCAAUGUUAAAUUAUGUAAUUUUUUACUUUUUAGUCCCCCUCGCGAUAUUCCGAACGCCUCGUCUUCGUCUAGGAACUCUCUAGCGCCUGAAGAGGCGGAGAGUGACGCUCCAUCAUGAGUCCCCUCGCCUACUACCAUGGAGUACACCGAGGUGUCGUCCAAAAGGACUCCUCCUGGCCGAUGAGGGGUGGACGAGGGCGUCAAGAAGGCGCCUGAGGUUAACACCUCGAUCGCCAAAGGCAUGGGGGAGGCAACCCCCAUGACUACCAACAACAGGGAGCCCCAACAGUUCGGGCCCCUGUCGCACACCAUUCUGGAGACCAAUACGGCUCCGAAAAGGGAUGUGCAGCCCCCUUCAACAGAGGGGGGAGGAGCAAGAGCUCCCGCAGCCCCCGUUAAUUCGGAGGCUGCUGAUGCUCUAGAGGAGGUGUUGCAACGCGCUUCCAUUGUGGAGGCGCACCGCACCCUGAUGGGUGCAGUUAUGGAAAAGGUUUAGUCUGUGAAAAGCGGACUGAAUGAAGCCUUCAAUAGCCUACUGACAGGCUUUGAGGUAUGCGAUGUAAUUCUCUAACAAGUUUUUCAUAUGAAAGGAUGAACCCAUAUAUAGACAGUAGCCCCUGAGACUCUGUCCGGAUUAGAACAAUCCGGAUAGAGGAUCCCCAAGCGAAGUUACUAAUGUACUGUGCUAGGAAUCCAUGUUGGCGGCUACUGCCCAAGCCGCGGAGGUUUCCGAGCUCAAUCGGAAGCUUCGAUUAGCUGAUGAGGAGCUCGACCGCGUCAAUAAGCGGUUUGACAAAACGCAAGGUAUGCGGAACUUAAAUACCAGAAGUGAUAUGUGUAUUAAUUCUUUUAACGUGUUUAAUUUUAUGAUUAUAAACAUAGUUGGCGCGGCCGAGGUUGAAUCCCUCAAGAAAGCGCUUGCCCAAGCCCAAAAAGAGGCAGAGGUGAACAGGGCAGACGCUGACAAGGCAGCGAAGGAGCUUGAGGCAGAGCAAAUUGCCCGCCGAAAACAUGAAGCUCGGGUGGGCGAAGUCGAGCAAGGGCUCAAGGACGCCAUUACUAAGUAUGAGCCCUUGGAGCAGAAGACUUUGCACCAAGCAUCCGAACUCGCCAAGGCUCUCCAGGAUAUCAAGGAGGCCCGGGUUGAGUUCCAGAGCACCCACCAGGAGAUCUAGUAGGUGAGGCAGAUAGCAGCUGAUAAGGCUUUUCUUCUGGAGAGUAAAUUUGCAAGUAGGAGAUAUAUCUUGCUGACCCAAGUUUCGAGUUCUCUAGGCGCAUUUGCAGAUCUACCGAGGAGUGUUGCUGACGCCACAGAGUUCUUCCGAGCCGAAGAGGGGAGCUCGAUGGAGAAGUUGUUCUGGUUGCAGUAUCUUGCGCAAGAGCAUCCGACACCCCUCAGCAAUCAGCUGAAGCAGCUAACCGAGUUGCAUAGGGUGGCCGGGUUGGCCAUGAAGGAUUUAAUAGUCCAACUUUGGCCAACCGAGCCCAUGCCUAGUAGCUACUUCGGACUCGUGAAGCAUCUUGUCAGUGCGCGUCCUCGAAUUGAUGCCAUAAAGCGGUCGGCCUGCAUAGAAGGUGCCCGGAUGGCCUUCGCCCGCGCCAAGAUACAAUGGGCGAAGAUGAAGUCCACCGAAAUUGCAACCGCGGGGCCGCCCGAAAGCAAGGAUCACCGGAGGCCGAGGAGGUACUUCAGCAAGGUCCUCGAGGGAGCCCGAAUUAUAGAGGGCCAAUGUUCAAAGGAUGUUAUAUUUGAGUAAUGGAGUUCGGGUUGUAAAAACCAUGUAAUGAACUCAUGAUGUGAAAUAUUUAUGCUUGCGCCUUUUAAUUUUGUUAAUUUAUCCUCCUGUUCAACUGUUAUAUUUCUAAAGAUUGCUAGUCGUCGGCUUUUGCCCCCAUGAAAGUAUUUCCGGGGUGUUUAAAAACGCGUAUCCGCUCUUUAUCCCACAUCUUGGUCCGUGGAGGAGGCAUCCGCUAGAUGAACUAGGCAAUCGGACUAUACGGAUUUAUUAUCUUCACUUAGCCAUAGCAGUCCAUUGGUGGGGCUAAGUACUAGCGCAUGUUGCGUGAAUGGCAAUCCGAAUUACGGCGCCUUUGCAACAUGGCUGGUCAAAUCCCAACCCCUCGUAUGACACGGCGUAAAUCGCAAACGAUUUGUAGUAUAACACUAAGUAACCGUAUCGCUGACCAGCUCUCGCAUAUCAUGACAGUCAGUUUUCGGCUUUCUCUACUAAGGUACUCGACCGGACAAACUGGAAAUACAAUCGCAGUAGUUCUCCCUUUGCUACCUUAGCUGAACUCGCGAAACGUAAGAUGGCAAACACAGGAGCCGGGAAACCCAACUAUAGACCAAAGACAUGAUUCGGAGCCGAUGCAUAUAGUGCAAUAUUUGGGACGCCGAAGAGUUCCUAUAGGUGUUCAGACUUUAAGAAUGUGCGAGGCCGAGUAUAGCCCCUGGUAUGAAGGCCAGGCCGAAGUGUGUAUGUCAGUGGAAAGUAAGGAGGGAAUACGGAUGAUGUUAUAAUAUAAGUACCAAACAAAAGGAGGUGAUCAUCAGCUUCCUUUAUAUCCCCAUUAAUACGUCGAAGCAUGUUUCGACAGACAAUGCCAUAAAUAUUGAGGACAUGUUACAUACCUAAAAAUCUACAUAAGGGAAAGUCUAACACAUGGCCUAAAAGUAAUGGUUCGAAGACUCCAGUGGUGCCCUGCCGCACGUCUGUGUCGUUUCUCCUUAGUAACGAAUCCUUUGAUAGGGGUAUUUGAUGGUUGUCCAUAAAGAAGGGAAAGACUAGCCUUGAAAGGAUCCCUGAUGCAACCAUACAUCAGAUAGGGCUCUUAAUGAACCUGCAGUGAAGAAAGGUGUGAGGUCCAAAUAGGGUCAAGUCGUACUAUGGACUUUUUCCACAGUGUGCCUCCGGUGUUGCCCAAAGUAUUUUGAGUGCGUAGUUAUGUAUGCACGGUACGUAAGCCACAACCUUAUGGGGCAGUCAGCGGAGGCCGAACUGCUAAUUGAGGUCCGGAUCCGUCGAGUUAUCACAGUGAUGUGUGGACCACACUCGUUUAGAUAUGUCAUUGGCUUUGACGUCCGACGAAUUAUUUGGCUUAAUAAGGGCGCCAUACACCUCGGCUGCAAGGGCUGCGGUGUCGGAGUAAUGGGCCAUGGGUAGGCUCACCCGAGUCCCAGAACCUUUCAAGACAUCGGAGCAGACUGCGCCCCUCAAGUAUCUACGGUGACUCCAAGAUGGCCGAGUCCCAGAGGCGACUCCCAUUCAAGCCGAGUCCCGGAGGCGACUUCAAGAUGGCCGAGUCCCAGAGGCGACUCCCAUCCAAGCCGAGUCCCGGAAGCGACUCCGAUGAAGCCGACUGUGGGGAGUUGGCCCGCGACUCCAACCACCCGAUAAUUAAGAGUAGGCAUGGCCACAGUGCGCCAUACUCGCGGAGAUCUCCGACCGGCACGGCACUGUUGCCAUGCCAGCUCUGACAUCAGCCCUCGGGGCGGGGCCCUGUGCCCACGACGCCUUGUAUGUACGGCCCGGAGACGGCGGGACCUACCAGUCAGCGAGAGUAUUGAAGACGGCGGGAGCGCCGAGAGUCGGACCCUGUCACAUCCCUAGUUCUGGUAUGACCUAGACUAGCUAGUCAUUUGUGCAUCAUGUUUAAAUUUCAUUUAAAUGUGAAAUGGGGAUUUGUAAAACCCUCAGAAAUCAUUUCUGGAAAUGACCCAGAUAAAAAUUGCUCCAAAAAGGUCCAAGAAAAUGUUCAUGUCUCUCUCUGAAAAUAUUGGGCAGAGAUAAAAAUCAACCAAUAUUUUUAGGAGCUCAUAAAUAUUUAUUUUGGGCAUUUGGAAUUAAUGCAAUAGUUAUUUUGUCCGAACGCACCGGUCGCCGCCGUUCGCCGUAGCCGUAGCCACCGCCUCCCCCUCGCCUCUCCGACACGCGCAGGAGCUCCGCCCCCUCGCCCUGAAGCUCUCCGCCGAGCCACACAAGCCGGAGCGCCCCGUGGAGCCGUCGCCGACGCCAUCUUCGCCUCCGACCGCCGUGGAUCCCCAUCGUCGCCCCGCUGUCUCCAGUGCGUCCCCGAGCUCGCCGUCAAGCCCGUCGAGUCCGCGGUGAGCUCCGCCACCGUUUUCCCCUCUCCGCUUAGUCGCCCGCACGCCAUAGCCCUUUCCCCCACCACGGCCGAAGCUUCCCACCACCGUUCAUGUCGCCGCCGUCGCCCUGGCCACCGCAGCCCGCAACCAAGCGCGUCACCGUGCUCCUUGUGACGCCAGGAGGCCGUAGAGCCUCUCCGCUCACUUCCCCGUGCCUCGCAGCACCCGCGCGCACCUGGCCGAACUCCGGUCGCUGCCCAAGUGGUCGCCGCCGGCGAUAUAAACCGUCUCCGGUGAAACGGAGGGCGCCACUGUAUGCGCGCGAGCCUGGGCUUCGCGUAGGUGCUCUCCGCCGCGCGAUUGGUCGCCGGAGCGACGAUCCCGCAGCCCUCCGCCGCGUUCAGGCCUCGCCGGCGGCUUAACGCCGGUGGGGUUGACCGUUUGACCCCGCCGGGCCGUCGGGUGGGCCCCGUGGGACAGGUGAUUAGCUUAAGGCUAAUCACCGUUAACUAGCCCCCCUAACACUGACAUGUGGGGCCCGGCCCUGCUAAUUUUUAGUUUAGGAUUAGUUUAGCAACUAAUUAACUCUAUUAACUAACUAUGUCACUGACGUGUGGCCCCACACGUCAGGUUUGACCCAGCUUGACUGCCGACGCAGUGCUGAUGUCGUGCUGACGCAAUUAUUUAUUUUCUGGAUUUAAAAUAAAUCAGGAAAUUCCAGAAAAUGAUUUAAACUUCAAAAAUUCAUAGAAAUUCAACCGUAGCUCAGAUUGAAAUAAUUUAUAUAUGAAAAAUUAUCAGAAAAAUGCAAUCUUUCCAUCUGUACUAGUUUCAUGCAUGACAAACCAACUUAUACAUGCUGAAUAUGAGGAAACACAUUAUGGCAUAUUAAGAGACUUAAAUUAGAAUUGCAUUUGAGCUUAGGGUUCAAAUGGACUUCAAACCAAAUAAAUACUAGUUGCAUUAGCUCAAACAACAUCACAUCUUCAUGCCAUGUUCAUGCAUCAUAUUGUUGCAUAUGUUUGUGUAUUGAUUGCCGACACUGUUCCUUCUCGAUAGGUCCUGCUCCGGAGUCCGUUCCAGAGUACCUGUCUGUGAAGCAGUGCCUUCCUUGUUGAUCUACCAGGCAAGCAAACCCCCUUGUUCAUUCCGAUAAAAUCCUACUCUCUCGCUCCUGCUCUCAAUUAUUGCAUUAGGACAACAACGAUUCAUCUGCUACUUUGUGCUGCGGUAGUUGAACCCAUUCCUCUGCAUGACCUGUCAUUGCCACAGUAAAUAGUUGAAACCCACUAGCAUGUGUAGGAGUUGAUUGAGCCCAUGUUGUGUUCCUACCAUGCUAUGCCUGCUAUUGCUUAGAGUUGUGUCAGGUCUGGUUCAUUGGGAAUGAAUUGGAGUGCAGUUCUAUGUUCUGAUGCUGAGAGUGAAGUGUGUGAACACGAUUUGGUAAAGGUAGCGGUGAGAGGCCAUGUAGGAGUACAUGGUGGGCUGUCUCAUUGGAACCGUCCUUAAGCACUGAGUUCUAUGUAUGUUGUCCAAUGACUCGAUACUACCACACAUUGGGCUCCGGGCGCUCCAAGCCCUCUCGACUUAUUAACCGACUUGAUCUCUGUCCAGGAGUCGCAACUAGUUUCUGGUGUUUGUAGGUAGUGCUAUUUUUCUACCAAGUGGCACCCGGCAGGGUGGGCUUGGGACAGACUAGGCACAGGUGGCACGGUGUACCAAGUGGCACCCGGAUGGUGGGCUUGGGAACCCUGCUCACAUCGUUUGGGGCCGUGAGCGACACCCCGGCCGGAUCUCCUUACGAAUGGAACCCGAAUAGGCGAUAAACCUGGGCUAGAGUCUUGUGUGGUUAGUCAGGUCGUGGCCGACACCCUCGCCAGGUUUCCGCUUGAAGGUUGCCGAGAUACAUGACGUGUACAUGGCGGUAAGUGGCGAGAGCGUGUGUGAAGAAGUACACCCCUGCAGGGUUAACAUGAUCUAUUCGAAUAGCCGGGUCCGCGGAUAUGGACUUCUUGGAUGCUUACAUGGUACAUAGAUAACUUGAAGUGGAUACAAUAAAAUGCUCAAGAAAAGUGUGAGUACUAUGGAUGGCCUUCUCGUAGGGAGACGGGGACGAAUCCAUAGUAGUGUAUUGUGUGGUGAUUAGUGGACUCGUGUGCGCCAUAUCACCUCAAAGAAGUUCUGGUAGUCGUAGAACAGGAUAGCCACAGAGUCAAAGCUGGCUUGCUGCAACUAAACCCCACAUUACCCUCUUGAUACAAAUGCAUGUAUGAUAGGAUCUGAUGUAAGUCUUGCUGAGUACCUUUGUACUCAUGGUGCUUUAUUUAUGUUUUUGCAGCGGAGACUUCAGUCUUACUAGUGUUCUCGUGGACUUCGACGAGUAGCUUGUACCUCAGCUACGAUCUUGAUCGAAUGUUGUAGAUAGUCAGGCUCUUCAGCCUUUUUCAUUUGUAGAUGUCUGUACUCAGACAUGUAAUGCUUCUGCUUGCUGCUUGUAUGCUCUGUAUGAUGGGUCCUGUGACCCCUGUUUGCAAUAAAUGCUAUGAUGGCUCUUCUAAGCCUUUAUCUAUAUGAGUUGUUGAGUUAUGCUGUGAUGCCAUGUUGUACAGCACAUACUUGCAUGUUAUGCGUACGUGUAAUGUGUAUUGCUAUGUGUGGGAUCUGACUAUCUAGUUGUUUAUUCUUAGUAGCCUCUCGUACCGGGAAAUGUCUCCUAGUGCUUCCACUGAGCCAUGGUAGCUUGCUACUGCUCCGGAACACUUAGGUUGGCCGGCAUGUGUCCUUCUUCGUUCCUGUGUCUGUCCCUUCGGGGAAAUGUCACGUGAUGAAUACCGGAGUCCUGUUAGCCCGCUACAGCCCGGUUCACCGGAGUCCUGUUAGCCCAGUGCUACAGCCUGGAUUCACUCGCUGAUGACCGACACGUUCGUUGCUGGGUCAUGUAUGCCUGUCCCUGUAAGUUAGUGCCACUUUGGGUUUACGACUAGCCAUGUCAGCCCGGGCUCCUUAUCAUAUGGAUGCUAGCGACACUAUCAUAUACAUGUGCCAAAAGGCGCAAACGGUCCCGGGCAAAGGUAAGGCGACACCCGUGGGGAUACCGUGCGUGAGGCCGCAAAGUGAUAUGAAGUGUUACAUGCUAGAUCGAUGUGGCAUUGAGUUGGGGUCCUGACAGCUUUGGUAUCAGAGCCUGACUGCCUGUAGGAUUACCAAGCCAAACUGGUCGAAGUUGAGUCUAGAAAUUCUUUAGUUAUGUAAGGGAAUUGAUUGUGGGAAGGAACGUAAGGCUCUUUUUACUCCUUAUACCUCAUGGCCUUCUGAUCUGAGUCAUCCUAUCUUUCCUACGGGGUUAAGGAACUAGGCUUCUCUUCCGUCUAUCAGGAUCAUGUGUUACUACUCCAUAGUUCCAUAGGAUUGGUUGGUCAGAGUCAUAUUCCAGUUUUUGAGUACUUCCGGUGUAGUCUGUUUAGUAUGAUCUCAGAACCUUCAGUGAUGAUGUUGAGUAUGUUACUACCCCAUUUUUGGCAGGAUGUCUCAUUCUGAGCAUUUUACUGCCGUUAUGCUGCCGGAAUUGCCCUAGGAGUUCGAGAGAUACUAAUUUCCUUGUCCUACAUUCUAUAGCCCAUAGUUGAUGCUGAUUCCGCCUUUGGUUUCGUUCUCAGGAUGUCAUCAGCUAAGCGAAGUUCUAUUGCUCAUAGCCAGAACCACGGAGAUGGUAGGGAUGAGGAUCCUCCCGACCAGCCUUCGUUGGCAGAGUUCAUGUUAGAGAUGGAGAGAAACAAGCGUGAGUCUAACCGCUUGUUGGCACGUAUCGAGGAGAACACCGCACAUCAGUUCAAAGGAUCUGUGACCAUUCAUGACUUUAUUCGCUUGCACCCACCUACCUUUCAUCAUUCCAUUGAUCCAUUUGAUGCAGAUGACUGGCUCCGUAGUAUCACACACAAGCUCCGUUCUGCGAACGUAGCUGAAGAUGACAAGGUCACCUAUGCCACAUACCACCUGGAAGGUCCUGCUAGUCUUUGGUGGCAGAACUAUGAGGCUAUGCUUCCAGCUGGCCAGAUUCCUACUUGGAGGAAUUUCAUUGAGGCGUUUCGCGAGCAACACAUUCCCCAGGCCCUCAUUGAUCGCAAGAGAGAAGAGUUCUGUAGUUUCACCCAGAAUAAGAUGGCUGUUGAUGCUUAUAGCAAAGAGUUUGAAAACCUUGCCCGUUAUGCCACAAAAGAGGUGUCCACGGACGCCAAGAAGCAAGCUAGGUUCCGGAAGGGUCUCAACCCCAAGUUGCGUCGUGAUCUCCACUUGCAUCAUUGUGAUACAUUCCAGGCUCUUGUGAACAAGGCCAUCAAUGCAGAGACAGCUCAGCUCACCUACGAGGAGUCUCGUAAGCACACCCGUGAUUUGGGAUCUUCUUCCGGCUCCAGUUCUCAGAAGCGCCGGAUUUGGGUUCCGAACUCCGCUCUUCCUUCUGGAUAUACACCGAGGCCAUCCUAUGUGGUGCCUCCCCCAGCUCAGUCGUAUGUUCCACCCAGGCCUACUGGUAGACCGCUUGUCAGUGUGGGUCCACGUCCAACUUCAGGGACUUGCUUCACAUGCGGGAAGCCAGGACACUAUGCACGUGACUGCUCUCAUACUAGUUAUGCUCCACCCCAGCCCGAGAAGACUGUUGGCUGUGUUAAGCCAUCACGCAAGAUGAUCAAUGUCAAGUCAGCUCCCACUGAACGUGGACGUGUGCAUCACGUCUCAGCUAAAGACGCUCAUGAUGAUCCAGAUGUCGUUCUUGGUACACUCCUUGUCAAUUGUCACCCAGCAUCGGUUCUGUUCGAUACUGGAGCGUCUCACUCCUUCAUUUCUGAAAGCUAUGCUAACUUGCACAACAUGUCAUUUUGUGAUAUGCCCUCUCCACUAGUCAUUCAAACUCCUGGAUCCAAAUGGCAAACUUCUAGUGUAAGCCAUGGUAACGAAAUCCUUGUUGACAGACUUGUAUUCCUUGCAUCACUUAUAGCCCUCAAGUCUACAGAUAUUAACAUCAUCUUGGGUAUGGACUGGAUGACAGCUCAUUAUGCCAAGAUUGAUUGUUACACCAGGUCCGUUCAGCUUACACACCCAUCUGGCAAGAUAGUCAUUGUCUCCACCAGAGUUGCAAAGCGCCAACUCUAUUCUCUUAAUGCCAGCCCUCUUCCAGACCUUGAAGAUAUCCCGAUAGUUCGUGACUUUCCGGAUGUCUUUCCAGAGGAACUGCCAGGUGUUCCACCUGACAGAGAUGUAGAGUUCGUCAUAGAUCUUAUCCCAGGAACUGCUCCAAUUUCUAGGAGACCUUACAAGAUGGCACCCUUAGAACUAGCCGAGCUUAAGAAACAACUUGAUGAGUCCUUGCAAAAGGGUUUCAUCCGUCCUAGUUCUUCUCCUUGGGCUUGCCCCGUCCUCUUCGUCAAGAAGAAGGAUGGUACGGACCGGAUGGUUGUAGAUUAUCGUCCCGUUAAUUUGGUCACGAUAAAGAACAAAUAUACGCUCCCCAGGAUCAAUGACCUGUAUGAUCAGCUCGCUGGAUCCUCAGUCUUCUCCAAGAUGGAUUUGAGGUUAGGUUACCACCAAAUCAAGAUCAGAAACGGGGACAUCCCCAAGACAGCCUUUAUCACUCGUUAUGGUCAGUACGAGUACACCGUCAUGUCCUUUGGUCUAACCAACGCUCCAGCAACAUUCUCCCGCUUGAUGAACUCGAUCUUCAUGGAGUACUUAGAUAAAUUCGUCGUGGUUUACCUCGAUGAUAUUCUUAUUUACUCGAAGAACGAGGAAGAGCAUGCCGAACAUCUUAGACUUGUAUUAGAAAAACUCAGAGACCACCGCCUUUAUGCCAAGUUCUCCAAGUGUGAAUUUUGGUUGCCAGAAGUGACCUAUCUAGGCCACGUGAUCUCUGGUAAGGGCAUUGCCGUCAAUCCCGAGAGAGUCAAGGCCGUUCUUGAUUGGACUCCACCUGAAACCGUUAAACAAGUUAGGAGUUUCCUUGGACUAGCCAGCUAUUGUCGCCGCUUUGUUGAAAACUUCUCCAAAGUAGCUAAACCCCUCACGGAACUUCUCAAGAAAGAUAAGAAGUUCGAGUGGUCCCCACAGUGUGAGUACAGUUUCCAGGAACUGAAAAGACGCCUGACUUCUGCUCCCAUACUUGUGCCACCGGAUUUCACUAAAGACUUUGUUAUCUACUGCAACGCCUCACGACAGGGACUAGGUUGCAUUCUUAUGCAGGAUCGUCAUGUGAUUGCCUAUGCAUCUCGACAGUUGCAUCCACAUGAGGAUAAUUAUCCUACACAUGAUCUAGAGCUUGCAGCCGUAGUCUAUGCACUCAAGACCUGGCGACAUUACCUCCUUGGUAAACGUUGCGAGAUCUACACCGAUCACCAAAGUCUCAAGUAUAUCUUCACCCAACAAGAUUUGAACCUUAGGCAAAGACGUUGGCUGGAGUUAAUCACAGAUUAUGAUCUAGGGAUUACCUACACUCCAGGCAAAGCUAAUGUCAUGGCUGAUGCUCUAAGCCGUAAAUCCUAUUGCAACAAUCUCAUGUUGCAGCAGGGCCAACCACUUCUCCAUGAGGAAUUCUGUAAGCUUAACCUUCACAUUGCUCCUCACGGAUUCCUUUCUACCUUGGUGGCGAAACCUGACCUUGAGGAUCGGAUUAUCGCUGCUCAAAAGCAGGACACGGGUAUUUCCCGGAUCAAGAGAAACAUUAAGAAGGAAGUUGGUGGAUGUUUCUCUAUGGAUGAUCGUGGUGUUGUUUUCUUCGAGAAUCGCUUGGUGGUUCCCAAGAAUCAACAUCUGCGACAAUUGAUUCUUAAGGAGGCGCAUGAAUCUCCUCUCACGAUUCAUCCCGGUAGUACUAAGAUGUAUCAGGACCUACGCCAGAGGUUCUGGUGGACUAGGAUGAAGAGAGAAAUCGCUGAGUUUAUUGCUAAAUGUGACGUUUGUCGUCGCGUUAAGGCAGAGCAUCAAAGACCUGCUGGCACCCUUCAGCCUUUAGCUAUUCCUGAAUGGAAAUGGGAUAAAGUUGGUAUGGACUUCAUCAUCGGCUUUCCCAGGACCAAGAGAGGGAAUAAUGCUAUCUUCGUAGUCAUUGAUCGUCUCUCCAAAGUGGCUCACUUCCUUCCUGUUCGAGAGAGCAUCACCGCUGGUCAGCUCGCUGACUUAUAUAUUUCUCGAAUAGUAUCACUUCAUGGUGUUCCACUAGAGAUUAAUUCAGACCGUGGCAGUCUUUUCACUUCUCACUUCUGGGAGAGUUUCCAAUCUGCCAUGGGAACCCAUCUUUCCUUUAGUACCGCUUUCCACCCUCAGUCGAGUGGUCAGGUGGAACGGGUCAACCAAAUCCUCGAAGACAUGCUUAGAGCUUGCGUUAUCUCAUUCGGUAUGGAUUGGGAGAAAUGUCUUCCUUUUGCCGAGUUUGCUUAUAACAAUAGCUAUCAAUCCAGUCUCAAGAAAGCUCCUUUUGAGAUUCUCUAUGGACGAAGAUGUCGAACACCUUUGAACUGGUCAGAAACCGGUGAAAGACAAUUCUUUGGACCGGACAUGAUCCAGGAGGCAGAAGAGCAAGUUCGCAUCAUUCGUGAGAAUUUGAAAACAGCCCAGUCUCGUCAGAAAAGCCAGUAUGAUCGUCAUCAUAAGGAUAUGACUUAUGAAGUUGGCGACAAAGCUUACCUUCGGGUUACUCCUUUGAAGGGUACCCAUCGAUUCGGUAUCAAGGGCAAGUUGGCUCCUCGUUACAUUGGUCCUUUUCGCAUUCUCGCUAAACGAGGAGAGGUUGCCUACCAAUUGGAACUACCCCCACAUCUUUCUCGAGUUCAUGAUGUCUUCCACGUCUCUCAACUCAGGCGUUGCUUCUCGGAUCCUAUCCGCGGAGUGGACUACGAAGCGCUUGAUCUCCAAGAUAACCUCACAUACCGAGAGUACCCGGUUCGCAUUCUCGAUCAAGCAGAGCGUGUCACUCGACGUCAUAACAUCAAGUUUCUCAAGGUUCAGUGGUCUCAUCAUUCCGAGAGAGAAGCUACUUGGGAGCGAGAAGAUCGUCUUCGACUGGAGUACCCCACCUUCUUUCCGUCGACCCCCGAAUCUCGGGACGAGAUUCUUUCAAGUGGGGGCGAGUUGUCACAUCCCUAGUUCUGGUAUGACCUAGACUAGCUAGUCAUUUGUGCAUCAUGUUUAAAUUUCAUUUAAAUGUGAAAUGGGGAUUUGUAAAACCCUCAGAAAUCAUUUCUGGAAAUGACCCAGAUAAAAAUUGCUCCAAAAAGGUCCAAGAAAAUGUUCAUGUCUCUCUCUGAAAAUAUUGGGCAGAGAUAAAAAUCAACCAAUAUUUUUAGGAGCUCAUAAAUAUUUAUUUUGGGCAUUUGGAAUUAAUGCAAUAGUUAUUUGCUUUGGAUAUAUAUUAUUAUAUAUAUAUAAUGUUGUCCAAAAAUUAUGCAACUUGCUGAGGAGCUCUGGAAUAAUAUAGUUAGCUCCUGCAAAAAUGGGCAUAAGAAAAUAAAAUGGUUUAGUAUUUUAUUUAAACCAAACAAAUGUCAGAAAAAAAGAAAACAGAAAUAAAAAGGGAGACUUACCUGGGCCUCCUCCCUGUGCAGCCCAGCAGCAGCCAGCCCGGCCCAGCCCACCUGGCGCCCUCCUCUGUCGUCUUCGUCCUCGACAGGGAGAUGGGCGCGUGCCCGACGCGCGUGCGCUCCGCCGCGCCACGCCACCUCCCUCUCUGCCUGCCUGCCCUCUCCCCUCCUCGUCUGGAUGCCCCGGAGACGCCACGCAGCCACCCCGACCUCUCUCGCACUCUCCCUCGCCCUCGUCCUCUCCUCUGUCACCCUCUCUCUCUCGUGUCCGAACGCGCCGGUCGCCGCCGUUCGCCGUAGCCGUAGCCACCGCCUCCCCCUCGCCUCUCCGACACGCGCAGGAGCUCCGCCCCCUCGCCCUGAAGCUCUCCGCCGAGCCACACAAGCCGGAGCGCCCCGUGGAGCCGUCGCCGACGCCAUCUUCGCCUUCGACCGCCGUGGAUCCCCAUCGUCGCCCCGCUGUCUCCAGUGCGUCCCCGAGCUCGCCGUCAAGCCCGUCGAGUCCGCAGUGAGCUCCGCCACCGUUUUUCCCUCUCCGCUUAGUCGCCCGCACGCCGUAGCCCUUUCCCCCACCACAGCCGAAGCUUCUCGCCGCCGUUCAUGUCGCCGCCGUCGUCCUGGCCACCGCAGCCCGCAACCAAGCGCGUCACCGUGCUCCUUGUGACGCCAGGAGGCCAUAGAGCCUCUCCGCUCACUUCCCCGUGCCUCGCAGCACCCGCGCGCACCUGGCCGAACUCCGGUCGCCGCCCAAGUGGUCGCCGCCGGCGAUAUAAACCGUCUCCGGUGAAACGGAGGGCGCCACUGUAUGCGCGCGAGCCUGGGCUUCGCGUAGGUGCUCUCCGCCGCGCGAUUGGUCGCCGGAGCGACGAUCCCGCAGCCCUCCGCCGCGUUCAGGCCUCGCCGGCGGCUUAACGCCGGUGGGGUUGACCGUUUGACCCCGCCGGGCCGUCGGGUGGGCCCCGUGGGACAGGUGAUUAGCUUAAGGCUAAUCACCGUUAACUAGCCCCCCUAACACUGACAUGUGGGGCCCGGCCCUGCUAAUUUUUAGUUUAGGAUUAGUUUAGCAACUAAUUAACUCUAUUAACUAACUAUGUCACUGACGUGUGGCCCCACACGUCAGGUUUGACCCAGGUUGACUGCUGACGCAGUGCUGAUGUCGUGCUGACGCAAUUAUUUAUUUUCUGGAUUUAAAAUAAAUCAGGAAAUUCUAGAAAAUGAUUUAAACUUCAAAAAUUCAUAGAAAUUCAACCGUAGCUCAGAUUGAAAUAAUUUAUAUAUGAAAAAUUAUCAGAAAAAUGCAAUCUUUCCAUCUGUACUAGUUUCAUGCAUGACAAACCAACUUAUACAUGCUGAAUAUGAGGAAACACAUUAUGGCAUAUUAAGAGACUUAAAUUAGAAUUGCAUUUGAGCUUAGGGUUCAAAUGGACUUCAAACCAAAUAAAUACUAGUUGCAUUAGCUCAAACAACAUCACAUCUUCAUGCCAUGUUCAUGCAUCAUAUUGUUGCAUAUGUUUGUGUAUUGAUUGCCGACACUGUUCCUUCUCGAUAGGUCCUGCUCCGGAGUCCGUUCCAGAGUACCUGUCUGUGAAGCAGUGCCUUCCUUGUUGAUCUACCAGGCAAGCAAACCCCCUUGUUCAUUCCGAUAAAAUCCUACUCUCUCGCUCCUGCUCUCAAUUAUUGCAUUAGGACAACAACGAUUCAUCUGCUACUUUGUGCUGCGGUAGUUGAACCCAUUCCUCUGCAUGACCUGUCAUUGCCACAGUAAAUAGUUGAAACCCACUAGCAUGUGUAGGAGUUGAUUGAGCCCAUGUUGUGUUCCUACCAUGCUAUGCCUGCUAUUGCUUAGAGUUGUGUCAGGUCUGGUUCAUUGGGAAUGAAUUGGAGUGCAGUUCUAUGUUCUGAUGCUGAGAGUGAAGUGUGUGAACACGAUUUGGUAAAGGUAGCGGUGAGAGGCCAUGUAGGAGUACAUGGUGGGCUGUCUCAUUGGAACCGUCCUUAAGCACUGAGUUCUAUGUAUGUUGUCCAAUGACUCGAUACUACCACACAUUGGGCUCCGGGCGCUCCAAGCCCUCUCGACUUAUUAACCGACUUGAUCUCUGUCCAGGAGUCGCAACUAGUUUCUGGUGUUUGUAGGUAGUGCUAUUUUUCUACCAAGUGGCACCCGGCAGGGUGGGCUUGGGACAGACUAGGCACAGGUGGCACGGUGUACCAAGUGGCACCCGGAUGGUGGGCUUGGGAACCCUGCUCACAUCGUUUGGGGCCGUGAGCGACACCCCGGCCGGAUCUCCUUACGAAUGGAACCCGAAUAGGCGAUAAACCUGGGCUAGAGUCUUGUGUGGUUAGUCAGGUCGUGGCCGACACCCUCGCCAGGUUUCCGCUUGAAGGUUGCCGAGAUACAUGACGUGUACAUGGCGGUAAGUGGCGAGAGCGUGUGUGAAGAAGUACACCCCUGCAGGGUUAACAUGAUCUAUUCGAAUAGCCGGGUCCGCGGAUAUGGACUUCUUGGAUGCUUACAUGGUACAUAGAUAACUUGAAGUGGAUACAAUAAAAUGCUCAAGAAAAGUGUGAGUACUAUGGAUGGCCUUCUCGUAGGGAGACGGGGACGAAUCCAUAGUAGUGUAUUGUGUGGUGAUUAGUGGACUCGUGUGCGCCAUAUCACCUCAAAGAAGUUCUGGUAGUCGUAGAACAGGAUAGCCACAGAGUCAAAGCUGGCUUGCUGCAACUAAACCCCACAUUACCCUCUUGAUACAAAUGCAUGUAUGAUAGGAUCUGAUGUAAGUCUUGCUGAGUACCUUUGUACUCAUGGUGCUUUAUUUAUGUUUUUGCAGCGGAGACUUCGGUCUUACUAGUGUUCUCGUGGACUUCGACGAGUAGCUUGUACCUCAGCUACGAUCUUGAUCGGAUGUUGUAGAUAGUCAGGCUCUUCAGCCUUUUUCAUUUGUAGAUGUCUGUACUCAGACAUGUAAUGCUUCUGCUUGCUGCUUGUAUGCUCUGUAUGAUGGGUCCUGUGACCCCUGUUUGCAAUAAAUGCUAUGAUGGCUCUUCUAAGCCUUUAUCUAUAUGAGUUGUUGAGUUAUGCUGUGAUGCCAUGUUGUACAGCACAUACUUGCAUGUUAUGCGUACGUGUAAUGUGUAUUGCUAUGUGUGGGAUCUGACUAUCUAGUUGUUUAUUCUUAGUAGCCUCUCGUACCGGGAAAUGUCUCCUAGUGCUUCCACUGAGCCAUGGUAGCUUGCUACUGCUCCGGAACACUUAGGUUGGCCGGCAUGUGUCCUUCUUCGUUCCUGUGUCUGUCCCUUCGGGGAAAUGUCAUGCGAUGAAUACCGGAGUCCUGUUAGCCCGCUACAGCCCGGUUCACCGGAGUCCUGUUAGCCCAGUGCUACAGCCUGGAUUCACUCGCUGAUGACCGACACGUUCGUUGCUGGGUCAUGUAUGCCUGUCCCUGUAAGUUAGUGCCACUUUGGGUUUACGACUAGCCAUGUCAACCCGGGCUCCUUAUCAUAUGGAUGCUAGCGACACUAUCAUAUACGUGUGCCAAAAGGCGCAAACGGUCCCGGGCAAAGGUAAGGCGACACCCGUGGGGAUACCGUGCGUGAGGCCGCAAAGUGAUAUGAAGUGUUACAUGCUAGAUCGAUGUGGCAUUGAGUCGGGGUCCUGACAGACCCGUUGGGAGUCGGCCCCUGGAGUCAGCCGGCCCCUCCCACGGGCCCCGCAUGCCAUUAACCAGAUGCGACCGGGGAAUGGCCACAGUGAUCGCCCGCAGGCGGCGGCACUGUUGCCAUGAUCCACUGACCAAGCCCGCGUCAUUAGAAGCACGGCUACAGUAAUCUGCAGCCGGCAGGACCCGCCCGCGGCAGACACGGGCUAACGCCCUCGUACCAUGCUAGUCGGCGGGCCCCAGGAGUCGGCGGAGAAGACGGCACCUGAGAGACAGACGGCUGGGAUCCGCGCCCAGCCGGAUUUACCAUUGUAACCCUGGGGGGUAGGCCUAUAUAAACCCCCCAGGGCACCCAUGCAAAGAUUUCGCAUCCAUAGACAUUAGACAGACCACAUAGAAGGGAGAGAGCUAGCCGUGCCCUCUCCUACCUCCAGAAACAACUCUAGGAGCAAGCUUGUACUCACUUUGCCUUAGUGAUCAUGCGGAGACCCCGCAGAGCAGCAGUAGGGGUAUUAUCUUCUUGGAAAGCCCUGAAGCUGGGUAAGAUUCGCCGGCGUGCAUGUCUUCGCCUCAUCCCAUUUCCAGGCACUGGCGACGUCCUACUCGCCCCCACCAUGAUAAGCCAUCCUUUGGCAUAUGUCGCACCCAACCCCCAACAUUUGGCGCCCACCGUGGGGCCUGGUGCACCGUCGUCCGGAGAUCUGUUCUGGACGGGAACCCUCUUCCUCCCUGGCAAGCGCAGCCAGCCAGGCUCGCCGGACGGAGUCUGCAUCGACGCGCUGCGCGGCGCUGAGGCCGCCUGUGCGGCGAGCAGCCUCGCUGAACUUGUCGGCGAGGUUCGCCUCUCUGACGAGCCUGCAUCCAAUGCAGGCACGGGUGGCCCCGAGAGUCUCCUCGCGGGCCUCCUUGACCAACUCCACGUCGCUGGCGAGCCUGUCGUGGACUUGGAGUCCGUAGGCUCCACCGACCCGAUGCUGGUCGACUCCGACGCUGUGUCGCUCGACACUUUCCCCACCAACGUGGUGGUCUACGACGAGCCGCUUCCUCACGAGGAGAGCGGCGGAAGCGCCAUCACGGAGGUGCUCGUCAUCAGUCAUGAUGAGUGCUCCGGUGAGGAAGCUCAGGACCCGCUCGCCGCGGCCCUGCAAGACCUAACUGUGCCCAUUCCAGAGGACGCAAACGCCAAGACGCUGGAGACACGCUGCCUUCAGAUCAUUGAAGGCGCCAAGAAGCUGGCAAGCAUGAGGCGCUUGUCAGAAGCUUACCAGCGCGAAAUGGAUCGCGCCGUGGGCGGCUCGCUGGCUCCGAUUGGGCCUAGCCGCCUAGGCACGGUCCGACAACAUGGCGCGGCCAUCGCCGACUUGUUUGGGGCCAGUCGCCCCGUAUACGCCACCCUCGCGGAGAACAUCUGCGCCGCCCAAGCGGCGAUUGACGAGCUGAAGAACUUCGAGGGUGAAGAGCACCGCAUGAUGACGGAGCGAGUCCAGCAGCUCCUCAAUGUGGUUGCUGCGCAGAACGCAGCCGGCGGCCGCACGGAUGCGCUGCAGCAACCAAAUGAGGACUUGCCUCCCCGCCGAGACCAAGGCGCGACAUCUCGGACACCGACUGGCGGAGUCCGCGGAAGGAAAUAAAAAGAGCCGGUUGUCAGUCACAGUCGGACUCGCAUCACCAUUGAGCGCGACCAAGACGGCCGGCCGAGAGCAGUGGAGCGGCGGGACGACUACCUGCCACCCCCACCCAGAAGAGAAUGGCGAGUUUCCCCGCCGCCUGUUGAGCAUCCGACUCUCGGUGGUCGCCUUGGCCGCCGAGAGGGAGUCGGAGAGAAUGACGCCCGCCAUCGGAUCGACCGACUCCACCGAUCCCUGGCGCUGGAAGAAGAAGAUGAGCUGGGUCCGCCUUGCUUCGGGCCCCGCAUCCGAGACGAGCCCUUUCCCAAAGGGUUCACGCUCCCCUGAGACACACCCAAGUACACCGGCUCCGUGAAGCCAUAAGACUGGCUAAUUGAUUAUUCCACGGCCGUCAGCAUAGCGAACGGCAACAAGCGAGUCGCCGUGAAGUACGUUCCACUCAUGCUCCAGGGCACGGCCCGGACAUGGUUGAACAGUCUGAAGCCCCGCAGCAUCAAUAGCUGGGUCGACUUCACCGAAGCCUUCAUCCGCAACUUCACAAGCACGUACAAGCGACCUCCCAAGCCGCGCCAGCUUUCCUUGUGCGUGCAAGGCCCUGACGAGUCAACACGCGACUACCUCACGCACUGGGGCAAGCUUCGGAACUCCUGCGAGGGCGUGCAUGAGGUGUAGGUGAUCGAGUACUUCACUGCCAGGUGCCGAGAAGGCACCCUCCUCAAGCACAAGCUCCUCUACGACAAGCCAGAAACCCUCGACGAACUGCUGGUCAUAGCAGACAAAUAUGCCACAGCCGACUCCUCCAUGAAGACGGAGAUUCAAGUCAAUGCGGCUAGCAAAGUGGCCCCUCAGGCUCCCAGGACUCCAGCUGGAGACAGCAAUCAACGGCAACAGAGUGAAAACAAAUGCAAGGCCCAACAGCCGACUUCCAGCAGUCGGCAGGUUGCGACAGUUGAAGAUCAACAGCCGGAGGGUAGCCUCCGGCCAAGCGACAGAAAGGCGGCAAGUCCAACUGGUUGCCGGCCUUCUCUUAUGAGCAGACUCUGGAUGGUCCCUGCAAGUUCCAUAGCGGCGCGAAGCCAUCGAACCAUACCACCCUAAAGUGCCACUGGCUUACCAGCAUCGCCAAGGGAGACGGCCUCCUUCCUCCCCCGCCUGCUGGGCCGCCGCCUCCACCGCCGCCCCAGCAGCCGGCUGCUCGGCCAGUCGGCGCAGUACAAGAUGAGUACCCCAAAGAGCAUGGAGCUUAUGUGGUGUUCACCAGUGUCGCUGAUGGUCGACGCAGUAGACGGCAUCAGCAGCAAGAAGUAAACGCAGUGGCAAUAGAUACUCUAGAGUUCAUGCACUGGUCCGAGAAGCCUAUCAGUUGGAGCAGAGCGGACCACCCAGAGGUGAUGCCGAAUCCGGGCUCCUAUGCCCUGGUCCUAGGUGCUACCUUGGCCACUGAUAGGUGGGCAACCCGCUUCUCAAGGGUGCUGAUAGACGGAGGCAGUAGCAUCAACAUCCUGUACAAAGAUACUAUGGAGAAGCUAGGAAUCAAGCAAAGACAGUUGCAGAGCAGCCGGACUGUGUUCCAUGGUAUUGUACCCGGCCUUUCCUGCUCACCAAUCGGCAAGAUCCUGAUAGACGUCCUCUUCGGAGACAAAGAUCACUUCCGCCCAUACCACGCACUUCUUGGCCGACCUGCACUGGCCAAGUUCAUGGCGGUUCCUCACUACGCCUACCUAAAGAUGAAGAUGCCGAGUUCCAAGGGAAUUCUAACCGUAGCCGGCGACUACAGGAAGUCGUUCGCCUGCACGGCCGAGAGCAGCCGGCUGGCCGAGUCCCUGGUGAUCACAGCUGAGAAGCGGCUCCUUGAUCGGGUCGUGGCGAUGGCCGGAAAACAGCCAGAAAUGUCGCCUGACCCCAAGGAGUCGGAAGCUGAAGGUUCGUUCAAGCCGGCCAAAGAGACCAAGAAGAUACCCUUGGACCCGGAGCAUCCUGAGAGGUACGCUGUCAUGGGUACAAACCUUGACAACAAAUAGGAAGGCGAGCUCGUCGAUUUCCUCUAUGAGAAUCGAGACAUCUUUGCAUGGUCCCCCAAAGACAUGCCGGGUGUACCGACGGAAUUCAACGAGCACAAGUUGCACGUCCGACCUGAUGUGAAACCCGUCAGGCAGCCUUUGCGCCGACUGUCAGAAGAGAAGAGAAGAGUUGUUGGAGAAGAGAUAGCCCGGCUCCUGGCAGCCGGCUUCAUUAUGGAGGUGUUCUUUCCAGAGUGGCUUGCAAACCCGGUCUUGGUACUGAAGAAAAACAAGCAGUGGCGAAUGUGCAUUGAUUACACAAGCCUCAACAAAGCCUGCCCGACAGACCCCUUUGCUUUGCCAAGAAUCGAUCAGGUGAUAGACUCGACAGCCGGAUGCGAGCUGUUGAGUUUCUUAGAUGCAUAUUCAGGAUAUCAUCAGAUCAAGCUGAACCCGGCAGACAGACUCAAGACCGCCUUCAUCAUGCCGUUCGGGGCCUUCUGCUACCUGACCAUGACGUUCGGCUUGAGGAAUGCUGGCGCCACCUUUCAGCGUUGCAUGCAGAAGUGUCUCCUCAAGCAACUCGGCAGAAAUGCCCACGUCUACAUGGACGAUGUGGUGGUGAAGACGGAGAAGCGUGGGAUGCUGCUAGAGGACCUCAAGGAGACCUUUGAGAACUUGCGCCGAUUCCAGAUCAAGCUCAACCCUGAGAAGUGCGUUUUUGGAGUGCCAGCCGGCCAACUCCUUGGCUUCCUGGUCUCUGAACGCGGCAUAGAGUGCAACCCCGUGAAGAUCAGGGCCAUCGAGAGGAUGGAGGUACCCAGCCGACUGUUAAAUGUGCAGAAGUUCAUUGGCUUCUUGGCGUCCAUCAGCUGGUUCAUCAGUCGGCUGGGCGAGAAAGCUCUCCCUUUGUAUCAAUUGAUGAAGAAGACCACCUUUUUCGAGUGGAACCAUAAGGCGGAUGAAGCAUUUCUCCAGCUGAAGAAGAUGUUGACUACUCCCCCUGUGUUGGCGGCUCCGACUCCCAAAGAGCCCAUGCUCCUGUACAUCGCCGACACCAGCCGAGUAGUCAGCACAGUCAUUGUAGUCGAACGCAAGGAGGAAGGCAAGGCGCUCCCUGUCCAGAGACCGGUAUAUUACCUGAGCGAGGUACUAUCGACCUCCAAGCAGAACUACCCCCACUACCAGAAGAUGUGCUACGGUGUGCAUUUUGCCGCCAAGAAACUGAAGCCUUACUUUCAAGAACAUCCAAUCACUGUGGUUUGCACGGCCCCGCUGGCCGAGAUCAUUGGAAGCCGAGAAGCCUCUGGCCGAGUAGCCAAAUGGGCCAUAGAUCUGGCUCCUUACACCAUCUACUACCAGCCCUGCACCGCCAUCAAGUCGCAAGCGUUGGCCGACUUCCUCGUCGACUGGGCCGAGACCCAGUACCUGCCGCCAGCGCCCGACUCCACCCAUUGGCGGAUGCAUUUCGACGGCUCCAAGAUGCACACCGGCCUAGGAGUCGGCGUCAUCCUCACCUUCCCCAAAGGCGACAAGCUCAAGUACGUGCUGCAGAUCCACUUCGCUGCCUCCAACAACGUCGCCGAAUACGAGGCGCUCAUUCAUGGGCUCCGGCUUGCCAAAGGACUCGGCAUUCGCCAGAUCCUGUGCUAUGGCGACUCCGAUUUGGUGGUCCAGCAGUCAUCUGGCGAUUGGGAUGCCAAAGAUGCGAACAUGGCGAGCUACCGCUUCCUGGUGCAACAACUCAGCGGAUACUUCGAGGGGUGCGAGUUCCUUCACGUGCCAAGAAAUGACAACGAUCAAGCAGAUGCCUUGGCACGAGUCGGCUCCACCCGCCAAGCAAUACCAGCUGGUGUCGCUCUUCAGCGCCUCCUUAAGCCGUCUAUCAAGCCUUCACCAGAAUCAGACUCCAUCUUCGUGCCGGCUCCUCCCGAAGAAGUCGGAUCCGACUCAAGAGCCCCAGCAGACGGCACCAAGAAAAUCAUAGUUGAAGCCAGCCCGGGGACUUCAGAACCCGGCCCGGGGACUGCGCCGGUCGGCCCGGGGACUUUGUCAAUCCAGCAAGCGGCCGCAGACUCUAGCCCGCUGCCUCCCAGCCCAGCCGCCCUUGUCCAAGUCGCUGUAGUGGCGGUUGAAGAAAUAGCAGCACCCUCAUGGGCACAACCCAUCCUCAAGUUUCUGGUGAACAAAGAGCUGCCAACUGAUGAGAUCUUGGCUCGGCAAGUGCAACGCCGAGCGGCAGCAUACACCAUAGUCAACAGAGAACUGGUCAGGCGCAGUGUCACUGGUGUCUACCAGCGCUGUGUAGAGCCAGAACAAGGCCAAGCAAUUCUCAGAGACAUUCGUCAGGGCGAGUGCGGCCACCAUGCAGCCUCAAGAGCACUCGUCGCCAAAGCCUUUCGGCACGGUUUCUUCUAGCCAACUGCCCUAGAAGAGGCUAAAGAGUUAGUCCAAAAAUGCAAGGGGUGCCAGAAGUUCCGCUCCAAGCCGCUUCAGCCGGCUUUCGCGCUGAAGACAAUUCCCAUCGCCUGGCCCUUUGCAGUUUGGGGCCUGGACAUGGUGGGACCAUUCAAGACGGCCCGAGGCGGCCUGACUCAUCUGCUAUUCGCGGUGGACAAGUUCACUAAGUGGAUAGAAGCAAAGCCCAUCAAGAAGUUGAACGGUCCGACUGCAGUGACUUUCAUUGCCGACAUCACGGUGCGGUACGGCAUACCACACAGCAUCAUCACCGACAAUGGCACAAAUUUUGCCAAAGGCGCCUUGGCCCGUUUCUGCGUGACGCAGGGCAUCCGACUGGACUUAGCGUCCAUUGCCCAUCCGCAGUCAAACGGCCAGGUGGAGCGAGCAAACGGCCUCAUCCUGUCCGGCAUCAAGCCUCGACUGGUCGAACCACUCGAGCAUUCGGCCGAUUGUUGGCUUGAGGAGCUGUCAGCCGUCCUCUGGAGUCUGCGCACGACUCCAAACAAGUCAACUGGCUUCACGCCCUUCUUCCUCGUAUAUGGUGCCGAAGCCGUCAUCCCGACGGACAUAGAGUUCGACUCUCCACGAGUCACCAUGUACACCGAAGAGGAAGCUAAAGAAGCACGUCAAGACGGUGUCGACCUGCUAGAAGAGGGCCGGCUGUUGGCACUCAGCCGGUCCGGCAUCUACCAACAGAGUCUGCGCCGAUACUACAACCUCAAGGUUAGGCCGAGAUCAUUCCAAGAGGGCGACCUUGUGCUCCGGCUGAUUCAGCGAACAGCCGGCAAGCACAAGUUGUCGGCGCCUUGGGAGGGCCCCUUCAUUGUCAGCAAAGUGUUGGGCAACGGCUCCUACUACUUAAUCGACGCUCAGAAGCCUCGAGCACGCAAGAGGGACGACUCCGGCAAGGAGUCAGAAUGACCAUGGAACACAAAUCUUCUCCGAAGAUUUUACAGUUGAUGCAGUAUGUACCACGCUAUCCUUUGUAUUAAAGUACCGAGACUUUGGCCCCCCGAGACGAGCUCGGGGACUGCCCUUUUUUGUUAUCUGCAUGAUAAGAAUUAUGCCUCCGAGUAUGCUACUCUUUGUUAUGCCGUUUGGCACCGGGUUCGACUAGUCGGCCCGGGGACUUGCCAUCUUGCGCUAUGAAAUGCUUCCUGCAGUCGGACGAGUAGUGUGCUAUGCUUAAGCCGUCUCCUGUCGAAAGCCGCAGCUCGCAGAGCGACUGUUGGUAGGCAGAGAAUAAGCAAGAACGAGCGCACACACGAAGAAAUGGCUAAGGACUCAAAGCGUAUGCAUAGCCCAAGCCGGCUUCCAGCCUCUCUUCACAAAGCCGACUCUUGAGCAGUCGGCUUGCCACCUUCUAUCCCACUUGUUUAAAAACUCUAAAAAGGCAAAGUCCUUGCCUUCCCUAAGUAGCCAAGCAGUUGACUUGUGGCAGUCCGCGGAGCGGCUAUCCGUCUGGCAAAGCAGCGACUAUGGAAAGGCGGCAAAGGAAAAAGACAAAAAGAGCAAUAAGCAAGGAAAGAUAGAAGGCAGAUAGAUAUUUACAUAGCAAAGGCCUCUAGCCAAGUUCAAAAUACACCCCGCGGGUGGAAUUGUGCAAACUAACAAGUUCUGUCAAAAGACUAUUAAGACAGGAAAAAUAAAGGCAAGUCAGCAGCCUAAGGAGCGGCAGACGGGUUCGGAGGGUCGGCGGAGACGGCGGUGUCAGGCGCCGGAGCGGCCGGCUGGGCGGUCUCGGCUUGAUCGUCUCCGGCGGUAGUCGACCCGGUCGGACGCGACUCGUUGCUGGAGGUGUGAUCGAGCUGAGGCUGGCCAUCCGCUCUGUCUUUUGGCGCCUCCGUCUCGUCUUCGUCCCCCGCCUCAUCUUCCUCCUUGGUGCUGGAGCCGAUCACCUCCGCCGAGUCCUCAUCGUAGUCGGGGUUCAUCCCGAACCACUCCGGAGGCACCUCCUCGCCGUUCGCGGCCCGCUCGGGAAUGAAGACGCUGGUGUCGGGGUAGUCGGUGAUCGCCGCCGCACGCUUGACGAGGGCGCCUUCCACAGCCGCCAGUUCUGCCUGGGCCUCUGACCGAAAUGCGGCCAGCCGGUCCAGGUCCAGCCCUGGAUAUCAGGCCUUGACGAAUUCCAAGGCCCGGCGCGCUCCAGCCCGGGCCAAGGAACCCUUCCAAGCCUCAAGACGGUCGGCCACGACCUCCAGCCAGUCGAUAGUUCGACUGGCAGUGCGCAGAGCCAGCAUGCCUGGCCACAGGGCAGAGAUCACCUGGGCCCCGGCACAUUGAAGCCGGCGCAGCAGCUGAUGGGCCGGCCGCAGACGGGUCUCGAUGCUCAGGAGCUGCUCGUCGACGGUCAGGGGGGCGUUGGCGGUGAUCUCCUCGCCAUUCGCCCUCCGCGCCUCGCGUUCAGCCUCGAUGGCUCGAGUGACCGCUUGCGAGUGGCCAGGGAAGAAGUCUGCCCAAAACAGAAAGAAGCAAAGAGAAAAUCAGCAGUUGGCGUGACUUACAGUCGGCAGCUCGAGGAAAGAAAGAAAAGGAACUCACCAUCGACAAUGUCCACGAUCUUGUGGAAGCCGGAAGUCAGCAUCGCCUCCCUGUCGGUCCAGGAGGAGCGCUCCAUCUCGAACUCGGCCAGGAGAGCGGUCUCUUUCUUCCUCGCCUCGUCCCUAGCCGCCUUCAGCAGCUCCUUCUGCUCCGCCAGCUGCUCGGCCAGCAAGUCGCGCUCUUUGACGAGCUUGCCGCACUCCUCCUCCUUGGUGCGAAGGGUCGUGCUGACUUCGCCCAACUGUUCCUGAAGAGCGGCAUUGGCCUCUGAAUAAUAAAGAGAAAAGACGUUAAGUCGUCAGCAGCAAAGGUCGCCAGGAAGAUCCGGCCCGACUGCUCAGCAGUCGGCCCGAAUCUCGGGGACUACAGCCCGCGGGUGCACCAGCGCGCCCCGGCGGAAAAGAAGAAGAACUUACUCCGGCUCUCCGACAAGUCGGCAGUCCGCUUCUCCAGCCGCUCAACUUUACAGUUAAAGGCGGUGACGGGGAGGUUGUGAUACUCCUGCGAUAAAAAUUAGACAAAGACAAAAAAGAGGAACCCGCCAGAUUGAGUUCCGGGCCGCCUGCGUAGCAGCCGGUCCGAAACUCGGGGACUACACCCAGUGGGUGCGCUAGCGCGCCCCCACAGAGAAGAAUGAGAAAAGGCAAAGUCAAAAAAGAAAAACGUACUCGGAUGGACGCGUGCGACGCCAGAUGCGCCCUAGUGCAGCCCUGGAUGGCUUCGCCCUCAGCUCGCAGCUUCGCCUGCACGUCCAGGAGCGCCUGGUUCAGCGGACCGUCACCACCUCCUCGCACCCAUCCAGUAGGCGCAGCACUUGAUGCCUCGGCGUCUAGAAUGGCCGAGCUGGCGGCGCCGGCUUCCAAGGGGCGUGGCGCCGAAACCGCCUUCGCAAGGCGGCGGCGCGCUAGUGAGGCGACUUGAAGAAGCAGCCUUGCCACCGCCUCAUCCUCAGCCGGCGGCACUGGAGGGCCCGCUGGCUGCUUGCCAUGCGGUGGAGGCGGCGGUGGCGGGGAGGCCGUGCCCGACGCGGAGGCCUCGCCACCGUCCUUCUCCACGAUGGAGUGCUCCCCGCCGACCUCUCCAGUCUGCCCCGUGAACUCCGGGGGUGGCGGUGCGGAGGUCAGCGGGACGACAAGCAGUGCCGACUGGCGGCGCGCGGCCUCCUCCGCCCGCCGUUUUGCUGCGGCGGCGGCUUCGGCCUCCUCCAGCUUCUUCUGGGCGGAGGCCGCCGCUUUCUCGGCCUCCGCCUUCUCCAGACGGUCGGCCUCUUCCUCAUCGUGCUUCUCGCGCGCGUUGUGCUCCGUCGCCUCCCGGAGGUCGGCGGCGGGGUCAAUCCGCCGAGUGUUGGUGGACAUCUUGGCCGACCCCAUGAUAGAGGGGACGGCGACCCUCUCAAGAGAAAGAGGGGCCCUGAAGCAGAAAACAGAAUGAAAAAGACUCAGAAAAGAUCCGUCCAAGAAAACAAGAACAAACGAUAGUCAGCACUUACGCAGAGACCAGCGGCGGCUUCUUCACUUCCUUGCGGAAGCGGUUGGCCUUCGCGAUCGCCUCCUCCCGCUUGGUCGCGGCGGUCGUCCCCUUGAACUUUUUCGGCCGACUGCCGAGCGAACUCGGCGCGGCCCGGCACUUCUUCGCGCCGACUGGACCGGCCAAGCCGGCAGAGGAACUCGCGCCUGGAUGGCCAGCUUUCGGUUGGCGGCGCAGGACGACCUCACCGUCAACCUUGUCCUAUGGCCAGUCGGCGAAGGUCGCCGAGGGCCGGAGGCCGCCUUCCGCUCCUCCUCCCCCGCCUUCGACGUCGGCCUCCAUCGCCGCCGCCCCCAAGUCGGGGUCGUCGAUGUCGCUCUCCGCGCGGUCUCGGGCGAACUCGCGGGGCGGCCCGGUGGCGCCGGCUGCAGGCUGGAUGAGGGGGUUCUGACUCAGAGAACCAAGAAGAUCAGAAGUCGGAUUCGGCUGUAAAGAAAAAUAGAAAACAAAAGAUUCGACUUACCACAAGCGGAGGGUUGGCACGCGAGCACGGCUCCUUGCCGAACUGCCAGUCUUCCGCGAGCUCGCAGUUCGCGAUGUGCUUCACCAUGUUCACCACCUCCGCGUGGGGCAUCUCCCAGGUGCUCAUCUGGCUCGGGUCUCGGUGGUCGCUCAUCUGACAGAUCAGAUGAGGCCGGCCUUGGAGUGGGAGGACUCGGCGCGCCACGAAGGCGGCCAGCAAGUCAGCCCCGACCAGGCCUUCCGACUGCGUCAGCACUCGAAGUCGGGCGACGGUGGCGGUGCCGGCAGGAGACAACGUCUUGGCCCGAUUGGACCAGCUGGGAAGCCUCCCAGCCGGUGUGUCGGCUUCAUAGUGCGGCAGGUUGACCCAGUCGCCUUCCGUGGCGACGUUCUUCAUGUAGAAGUACGAACGUUGCCACAUCUUCACUGACUUGAUCAGCGCGAUGGAGGGGAAGGGGUUGUCGGCGGUCGACCUGCGCAUGGCGAUGAAGGCGCCGCACUGGGCCGUUAUGCCGGCGGAGUGCGUGCCGAGCUUUGAUUGGAAGAACUCUCCCCACAGCUCGAGGGUGGGGAGAACGCCGAGAAAACCCUCGCACAGGGUGGCGAAGGCGGCCAGCAGCAACACCGUGUUCGGGGUGAGGUGGUGCGGCUGGAGUCCGUUGAACUCCAACAACGAGCGGAGGAAGCUGCUCGCCGGCAGGCCCAUGCCGCACAUGAGGUGCGAGAAGAAUAUGACCCGCUCGCCCUCCUUCGGCGCCGGCGUUAUCUCCCCCUCCGGUGCGGCACGGGAUCGCACCAGGUGCGCGCCGGGGAGCCGGCGCGUCCUGCGGAGGUGCUCGAUGGCAUCGUCAUCCACCCGAGAACCAUCCCACGCGUCGGAGCAGACGGCAGAAGCCGCGGCGGAGGAAGAGCUCAUCGUUGCGGAGCGGUGCGGCAUGGUGCGGCGAAGGCAAGAAGAAGGAGAGAAAGAAGGAAGCGGGGGAAGCAGGGAAGAAUGAGCGCGCGCUUCGCCGUCCCGCUUCCCCCGCCUAUUUAUAGUCUCGAAGGCUGAGAAGCCGAUGGGGCGGCGUGGGGAUUAACUGCGCGCGAGCCCCCCACGUCCCCCACGAUUAAAACCCACGAAGUUACUGCGCGCAGUAACAACGUGGGGAACCCAACCGCCCGCCUGGCCGCAGCGGAUCUGAUCGCGUGCCGAGGCGCGGUAGUGGCGGGCCCCGCCUGACGGCCUGUCCCGUCGCGCGCGUGGGCAGGCAGACUGCCCCUGCCACGUGGCGCCGCGCGACGAGGCCGCGGCGGGCGACCGCGGGAAGCGUAUCAGGCACGCCGCCUGGUUCCCGCUACGACGUUCGAAACGCCUCAAGGGGCAAGACGGCCCUCGGCGAAUCCGACUCCAGCCAGUUGGCCUGGAGGAAGGCGGCCACCAGAGCUUGUUUUCCCCCAUCUGAAGAAUGAAACUGCUGAGGCGCACGACGUAUCACCCUCGGAGCCUCACCAGCUUCGGGGACUACUGUCGGAGUAAUGGGCCACGGGUAGGCUCACCCGAGUCCCAGAACCUUUGAAGACAUCGGGGCAGACUGCGCCCCUCAAGUAUCUACGGCGACUCCAAGAUGGCCGAGUCCCAGAGGCAACUCCCAUUCAAGCCGAGUCCCGGAGGCGACUCCAAGAUGGCCGAGUCCCAGAGGCGACUCCCAUCCAAGCCGAGUCCCAGAAGCGACUCCGAUGAAGCCGACUGUGGGGAGUCGGCCCGCGACUCCAGCCACCCAAUAAUUAAGAGUAGGCAUGGCCACAGUGCGCCGUACUCACGGAGAUCUCCGACCGGCGCGGCACUGUUGCCAUGCCAGCUCUGACAUCAGCCCUCAGGGCGGGGCCCUGUGCCCAUGAUGCCUUGUCUGUACGGCCCGGAGACAGCGGGACCUACCAGUCAGCGAGAGUAUUGAAGACGGCAGGAGCGCCAAGAGUCGGACCCGUUGGGAGUCGGCCGGCCCCUCCCACGGGCCCCGCAUGCCAUUAACUAGAUGCGACCGGGGAAUGGCCACAGUGAUCGCCCGCAGGCGGCGACACUGUUGCCAUGAUCCACUGACCAAGCCCGCGUCAUUAGAAGCACGGCUACAGUAAUCUGCAGCCGGCAAGACCCGCCCGCGGCGGACACGGGCUGACGCCCUCGUACCAUGCCAGUCGGCGGGCCCCAGGAGUCGGCAGAGAAGACGGCACCUGAGAGACAGACGGCUGGGACCCGCGCCCAGCCAGAUUUACCAUUAUAACCCUGGGGGUAGGCCUAUAUAAACCCCCCAGGGCACCCAUGCAAAGGGUUCGCAUCCAUAGACAUUAGACAGACCACAUAGAAGGGAGAGAGCUAGCCGUGCCCUCUCCUACCUCCAGAAACAGCUCUAGGAGCAAGCUUGUACUCACUUUGCCUUAGUGAUCAUGUGGAGACCCCGCAGAGCAGUAGUAGGGGUAUUAUCUCCUCGGAGAGCCCUGAAGCUGGGUAAGAUUCGCCGGCGUGCAUGUCUUCGCCUCAUCCCGUUUCCAGGCACCGGCGACGUCCUACUCGCCCCCACCAUGAUAAGCCAUCCUUUGGCAUAUGUCGCACCCAACCCCCGACAUGCGGUGUGCUCUUCAGUACGGAGGGAGCGCUCCAUGUUUCCAUUGACUAUAAUGACGCCACGUGGUCCGGGCAUUUUUAAGCUUCAAAUAAGCAUAGUGCAGGACUGCAUUAAAGCGGGCAAAAGCAGUUCGUCCGAGCAAUGCGUGAUAACCACUGCAGAAGGGGACGAUGUCGAAGAUCAGUUCUUCACUUCGGAAGUUGUCUGGGGAGCCGAAUACGACCUCCAGUGUUAAUGAGCCCUUACAACGGGCCUCCACGCCGAGUAUUACACAUUUGAAGGUAGUGCUACUAGGCUUGAUUCUUGAUGGGUCGAUACCCAUCUUGCGGACAGUAUCUUCAUAGAUCAAGUUGAGACUGUUGCCGCCGUCCAUAAGGACUCUAGUGAGAUGGUAUCCGUCGAUGAUUGGAUCGAGUACCAGGGUGGCCGAACCCCUGUGAUGGAUACUGGUUGGGUGAUCCCUGUGAUCAAGGGUGAUCGGACAGGUUGACCAUGGAUUAAAUUUUGGGGCGACAGGCUCUACGGCGUAGACGUCCCUUAGUGCGCGCUUGCGCUCCCUUUUGGGGAUGUGAGUGACGUAGAUCAUGUUCACUAUUUUCACCUCGGUGGGAAACUGCUUUUGGCCCCCGGUGUUCGGCUGACGGGGCUCACCAUCGUCCUCACUUGGAGGUCCCUUUCCCUUGUGUUCGGUAUUUAACUUACCAACCUGUUUGAAAACCCAACAGUUUCUGUUGAUGUGGUUAGCAGGCUUGCUGGGUGUGCCAUGAAUCUGACAGGGCCUCUCAAGGAUUUUGUCCAAGUUGGAUGGACCGUCCCUGUUGCCUUUGAAUGGUUUCUUCCACUGACCGGAUUUAGAACCACUGAAUCCGGCAUUGACUGCCGUCUCAUCUGCGUUGUAUGUUGCUCUGAUGUUUGUUUUUAUUGCGGCAUGGUCUACCAUUGUCAUCCCUGUCCUCAAAAGUGUCGGGGUCGCCGGAGGUGUUGCUUCUACGAGCCAACCAGCUGUCUUCACCCGCACAGAAGCGGGUCAUGAGUGCAAUUAAAGCUGCCAUGGUCUUCGGCUUUUCCUGCCCGAGGUGUCGGAUGAGUGAUAUGUCUCCAACGUAUCUAUAAUUUUUGAUUGUUCCAUGCUAUUAUACUAUCAGUUUUGGAUGUUUCAUAUGGAUUAAUAUGCUAUUUUAUAUUAUUAUUGGGACUAACCUAUUAACGAGAGCCCAAUGCCAGUUUCUGUUUUUUUGCCUAUUUUAGAGUUUCACAGAAAAGGAAUGCCAAACAGAGUCCAAACGGAAUGAAACUUUCGCGAUGAUCUUUCUUGGACCAGAAGGAAACCAGAAGACAUGGAGAUGAAGUCAGAGACGCAACGAGGCGGCCACGAGGCAGGAGGGCGCGCCUAGGGGGUAGGGCGCACCCCCUACCUCGUGGGCCCCUCGUGGGUCUCCUAACCUAGCUCCUUCGCCUAUAUAUACUCUUAUACCCUGAAAACAUCCAGGAGAGCCACAAAACCACUUUUCCACCGCCGCAACCUUCUGUACCCAUGAGAUACCAUCUAGGGGCCUUUUUCGAUGUCCUGCCGGAGGGCGAUUCGAUCAUGGAGGGCUUCUACAUCAACACCAUUGCCUCUCCGAUGAUGCGCAAGUAGUUUACCACAGACCUACGGGUCCAUAGCUAGUAGCUAGAUGGCUUCUUCUCUCUCUUUGAUUCUCAAUACCAUGUUCUCCUCGAUGUUCUUGAAGAUCUAUUCGAUGUAAUAUUCUUUUGUAGUGUGUUUGCCAAGAUCCGAUGAAUUGUGGAUUUAUGAUCAGAUUAUCUAUGAAUAUUAUUUGGUACUUCUCUGAAUUCAUAUAUGCAUGAUUUUAUAUCUUUGCAAGUCUCUUCAAAUUAUCGGUUUAGUUUGGCCUACUAGAUUGAUCUUUCUUGCAAUGGGAGAAGUGCUUAGCUCUGGGUUCAAUCUUGCGGUGUCCUUUCCCAGUGAUAGUAGGGGCAGCAAGGCACGUAUUGUAUUGUUGCCAUCGAGGAUAAAAAUAUGGGGUUUUCAUCAUAUUGCUUGAGUUAAUUCCUCUACAUCAUGUCAUCUUACUUAAUGCGUUACUCUGUUCUUUAUGAACAUAAUACUCUAGAUGCAGGCAGGAGUCAGUCGAUGUGUCGAGUAAUAGUAGUAGAUGCGGAAUAAUUUCGGUCUACUUGACACAGACGUGAUGCCUAUGUUCAUGAUCAUUGCCUUAGAUAUUGUCACAACUUUGCGCUUUUCUAUCAAUUGCUCGAUAGUAAUUUGUUCACCCACCGUAAUAUUUGCUACCUUAAGAGAAGCCACUAGUGAAACCUAUGGCCCCCGGGUCUCUUUUCCAUUAUAUUGAAUCUCUUUUACUUCAUACUAGUUUCCAGUCUACUAUUUUGCAAUCUUUUACUUUCCGGUCUAUAAACCAAAAAUACCAAAAAUAUUUACUUUACCGUUUAUCUAUCUCUAUCAGAUCUCACUUUUGCAAGUGACCGUGAAGGGAUUGACAACCCCUUUAUCGCAUUGGGUGCAAAUUGUUGAUUGUUUGUGCAGGUAUUUGGUGACUUGUGCGUUGUCUCCUACUGGAUUGAUACCUUGGUUCUAAAAUUGAGGGAAAUACUUACGCUACUUUGCUGCAUCACCAUUUCCUCUUCGAGGGAAAAACCAACGCAAGCACAAGAGGUAGCAAGAAGGAUUUCUGGCGCUGUUGCCGGGGAGAUCUACGUCAACUCAACCAUACCAAGUACCCAUCAUAAACUCUUCUCUCUUGCAUUACAUUAUUCUCCAUUCGCCUCUCAUUUUCCUCUCCCCCACUUCUAAAACAAUUUUCAAAAACCUUUGCCUUUUCUUUGCCUCUCUUCCGUUCGUCUUUUUGAUUUGCUUUUUGUGUGCUUGUGUGUUGGUGUGCCUGUUUGCCUUGAUGGCGCAGCCAAAAUGCAUUGGUCCUCACCUAGGAGGUUGGAAGAGAUUCAAAAUAAUGUUAGAAGUUUUAUGUCUUUACAAUUUGAGCAUAAUAAUUUCUUUAGAAACAAGCUUAAAGAACAAAAAAGUUUUAUGGAGUAUAUGGAUAAAUAGCUCGAUGAUAUGUCUGAAGAAUUUUAUGGUUUGAAAUCUCAGUUUGCUUAUCUUGAAAAUUUAGUAGGACAAAUUUCUGAUAAACAAGCCACCUUAGUUAAUAAGAUUGCCGCUAAACCUGAGGUUCUAAAUAAUAAUGAUGAAGAUCUAAAAGUGAUUGAUGUGACUCCUAUGAUUUCAAGGACUGGAGAUGAGUCAACUUUAGUUAAAAGGCAUCCCAAUGAUUUGGAGUUUUUAGAUCUAGAUGCAAAAAUUGAUAAAAGUGGGAUUGGAGAGGUCAAGACUUUAAGUAGCAAUGAAUCCACUCUUUUGGAUUUCAAGGAAUUUAAUUGUGAUAAUUUUUCUUAAAUAUAUUGUAUUUCCUUGUUGCAAUCCGUGUUAAAUUCUCCCCAUGCUUAUAAUCAAAACAAAGCUUUUACUAAACAUAUCGUUGAUGGUAUGAUGCAAUCUUUUGAAGAAAAGCUUGAACUAGAAGUUUCUAUCCCUAGAAAACUUUAUGAUGAGUGGGAACCUACUAUUAAGAUUAAGAUUAAAGAUUAUGAAUGCUAUGAUUUGUGUGAUUUGGGUGCUAGUGUUUCCACGAUUUCAAAAACUUUGUGUGAUGUGUUAGGUUUCCGUAAAUUUGAUGAUUGUUCUUUAAAUUCAUAUCUUGCGGAUACUUCUAUUAAGAAACCAAUGGGAAGGAUUAAUGAUGUUCUUAUUGUUGCAAAUAGGAAUUAUGUGCCCGUAGAUUUCAUUGUUCUUGAUAUAGAUUGCAAUCCUACAUGUCCUAUCAUUCUUGGUAGACCUUUCCUAAGAACGAUUGGUGCAAUUAUUGAUAUGAAAGAAGGAAACAUUAGAUUCCAAUUUCCGUUAAGGAAAGGCAUGGAACACUUUCCUAGAAAGAAAAUUAAAUUUCCUUAUGAAUCUAUUAUGAGAGCCACUUAUGGAUUGCAAACGAAAUAUGGCAAUACCUAGAUCUAUUCGUGUUUCUUUGCCUAGCUAAGGGCGUUAAACGAUAGCUCUUGUUGGGAGGCAACCAAAUUUUAUUUUUGUUCUUUGCUUUUUGUUCCUGUUUAGUAAUAAAUGAAUAAAUAAUUCAUCCAGCCUCUGGUUAUAUGUGGUUUUAUGUUUUAAUUAGUGUCUGUGCCAAGUUGAACCUUUAGGAUAGCUUACGGUGGUAGUUGUGUUGAUCCUGCUGAAUAUUAGAAACUUUUACGCUUAGUAAUUAGUUUUGAAAAUUCACAUAAACGUGCUUUUGAUCUGAUUAUUCUUGCUCUGGAUUGGUACACAAAUUUCUCAUAUUUUCCUAAUUGUGAUGGAUUUUUGGAGUUACAGAAGUAUUUGAGAGUUACAGAUUACUACAGGCUGUUCUAUUUUUGAUAGACUCUGUUUUUCGCGUGUUGUUUGCUUAUUUUGAUGAAUCUAUGUGUAGUAUCGAGGGGUAUGAACCAUGGAAAAGUUGGAAUACAGUAGAUAGUACACCAAUAUAAACAAAUAAUGAGUUUGCAACGGUAACUUAAAGUGGUGAUUUAUUUUCUUACACUAACGGAGCUCAUGAGUUUUUUCUGUUGAGUUUUGUGUUGUGAAGUUUUCAAGUUUUGGGUAAGGAUUUGAUGGACUAUGGAAUAAGGAGUGGCAAGAGCCUAACCUUGGUGAUUCCCAAGGCACCCCAAGGUAAUAUUCAAGGACAAUCAAAAGCCUAAGCUUGGGUAUGCCCUGGAAGGCAUCCCCUCUUUCGUCUUCGUCUAUCAGUAACUUUACUUGAGGCUAUAUUUUUAUUCACCACAUGAUAUGUGUUUUGCUUGGAGCGUCUUGUAUGAUUUGAGUCUUUGCUUUUUAGUUUACCACAAUAAUCCUUGUUGUACACACCUUUUGGGAGAGACACGAAUGAAUCGUGAUUUAUUAGAAUACUCUAUGUUCUUCACUUAAAUCUUUUGAGCUGAACAAUAUUGCUCUAGUACUUCACUUAUAUCUUUUUAGAGCACGGUGGUGGCUUUAUUUUAUAGAAAUUGUUUAACUCUCAUCCUUCAAUUAUAUUAUUUUGAGAGUCUUUUAGGACAACAUGGUAAUUUUCUUUGGUUAUAAAACUAGUCCUAAUAUGAUGGGCAUCCAAGAUGGAUAUAAUAAAAACUUUCAUAUAAAGUGCAUUGAAUACUAUGAGAAGUUUAAUUCUUUAUGAUUGUUUUGAGAUAUGAAGAUGGUGGUAUUAGAGUCAUUCUAGUGGAGUAGUUGUGAAUCUGAGAGAUACUUGUGUUAAAGUUUGUGAUUCCCGUAGCAUGCACGUAUGGUGAACCGUUAUGUGAUGAAGUUGGAGCAUGAUUUAUUUAUUGAUUGUCUUCCUUAUGAGUGGUAGUCGGGGACGAGCGAUGCACUUUUCCUACCAAUCUAUCCCCCUAGGAGCAUGCGUGUAGUACUUCGUUUUGAUAACUAAUAGAUUUUUGCAAUAAGUAUGUCAGUUCUUUGUGACUAAUGUUGAGUCCAUGGAUUAUACGCACUCUCACCCUUCCACCAUUGCUAGCCUCUCUAGUGUCGCGCAACUUUCGCCGGUACCAUACACCCACCAUACACCUUCAUCAAAAUAGCCACCAUACCUACCUAUUAUGGCAUUUCCAUAGCCAUUCCGAGAUAUAUUUCCAUGCAACUUUCCACCGUUCCAUUUAUUAUGACACGCUCCAUCAUUGUCAUAUUGCUUUGCAUGAUCAUGUAGUUGACAUCGUAGUGUGGCAAAGCCACCAUUCAUAAUUCUUUCAUACAUGUCACUCUUGAAUCAUUGCACAUCCUGGUACACUGUUGGGGGCAUUCACAUAGAGUCAUAUUUUGUUCUAAGUAUUGAGUUGUAAGUAAAUAAAAGUGUGAUGAUCUUCAUUAUUAGAGCAUUGUCCCAUGUGAGGAAAGGAUGAUGGAGACUAUUAUUCCCCCACAAGUCGGGAUGAGACUCUGGACCAAAAAAAGAGAAAAAAAAAGAGGCCAUAAAAAAAGAGAAGGCCCGAAUAAAAAACAUGAGAGAAAAAGAGAGAAGGGGCAAUGUUACUAUCCUUUUUCCACACUUGUGCUUCAAAGUAGCACCUUGAUCUUCAUGAUAGAGAGUCUCCUAUUUUGUCACUUUCAUAUACUAGUGGGAAUUUUCAUUAAAGAACUUGGCUUGCAUAUUCCAAUGAUGGGCUUCCUCAAAAUGCCCUAGGUCUUCACGAGCAAGCGAGUUGGAUGCACACCCACUUAGUUUCUUUUUGAGCUUUCAUACAGUUAUAGCUCUAGUGCAUCCGUUGCAUGGCAAUCCCUACUCACUCACAUUGAUAUCUAUUGAUGGGCAUCUCCCUAGCAUGUUAACACGCCUAGUUGAUGUGAGACUAUCUUCUCCUUUUUGGUAUUCUCCACAACCACCAUAUUCUAUUCCACCUUAGGGCUAUAUCCAUGGCUCAUGCUCAUGUAUUGCGUGAAGAUUGAAAAAGUUUGAGAACAUCAAAAGUAUGAAACAAUUGCUUGGCUUGUCAACCGGGUUGUGCAUGAUUUAAAUAUUUUGUGUGAUGAAGAUAGAGCAUAGCCAGACUAUAUGAUUUUGUAGGGUUAGCUUUCUUUGGCCAUGUUAUUUUGAGAAGACAUAAUUGCUUUGUUAGUAUGCUUAAAGUAUUAUUGUUCUUAUGUCAAUAUUAAACUUUUGUUUUGAAUCUUUUGGAUCUGAACAUUCAUGCCACAAUAAAGAAAAUUACAUGGAUAAAUAUGUUAGGUAGCAUUCCACAUCAAAAAUUCCGUUUUUAUCAUUUACCUACUCGAGGACGAGCAGGAAUUAAGCUUGGGGAUGCUUGAUAUGUCUCCAACGUAUCUAUAAUUUUUGAUUGUUCCAUGCUAUUAUAUUAUCUAUUUUGGAUGUUUUAUAUGCAUUAAUAUGCUAUUUUAUAUUAUUUUUGGGACUAAACUAUUAACCGAGAGCCCUGUGUGAUACGUCCAUUUAGCAUCAUGUUUUCCUACUGUUAUUUAUGUUGUUUUAUUGUAUAAUAAUGCUUUAUGGAGUAAUUAUAAUGCCUUUUCUCUCAUAAUAUGCAAGGUAUGCACCAAAGGGGAGAAUUCUGGCAGCUGGAAAUCUGGAGUUGGGAAAGCUACGUCAAGCUACCUAUUCUGCACAUCUCCAAAUGAGCUGAAACUCCCCGAGGUUUUUUUAUGGAAUAUUUAGGGAAUAUUGGAGCAAAGAAGUACCAGAGGAGGGCCACCUGUCGGUGUCAAAACCGGCAGAUCUCGGGUAGGGGGUCCCAAGCUGUGUAUCAUGGAUCGAUGGGUAACAGGAGACAGGGGACAUGAUGUUUACCCAAGUUCGGGCCCUCUCUAUCGAGGUAAUACCCUACUUCCUGCUUGAUUGAUAUUGAGCAAUAUAGGGUUUCAAGAGUUGAUCUACCUCGAGAUCAUAUGUUGUGGUCUAAGCCCUAGAGGUAUGAUGAGUAAUGCCAUAAUGAUCUAGCUUAUCUAUCGACUAGCCUAGCCUCGAUUUCUAUAAUGUACCAGAGGCCUAAGAUAACAAGAGUCCUAGCCGAAUACGCCGAUGGGGAGGAGUCCUUGUCUUGAUCACCAAGUCUUGUGGAAUCUUCCUUGUAUGCGGCAGCUGUCCGAACUGGCCCAUGAGUGUACGGCCAUGGGGGUCCUCUGCCCAAUCUAACUGAUCGGGGGACGAUGUGGUGAGUACCCCCUAGUCCAAGACACCGUCAGUAGCCCCCUGAACCGAUCUUCAAGUUGGGGAUGCUCCUCGAUUCUUCUGAACUGUUCUUCAUCUUCGGUCGUCGGUCUUGAAAACUGGUUCAACAAAUCUUCCCAUCUUCGAUCUUGAGGAUCACCAACGUGCAUCCGAAGAGUUUAUACGUCGGGUAUCCGAGGAGCCCCUUUGAGUUUUCGGCCUUUUGAUACGUCCAUUUUGCAUCAUGCUUUUAUAUCAAUAUUUAUUGCAUUAUGGGUUGUUAUUACACAUUAUAUCUCAAUACUUAUGGCUAUUCUCCCUUAUUUUACAAGGUUUACCAUGAAGAGGGUGGAUGCCGGCAGCUGGAAUUCUGGCUGAAAAAGGAGCAAACGUUGGAAACCUAUUCUGCACAACUCCAAAAGACUUGAGACUCCAUGAAACAACUUUUUAGAUUUAAUAAGAAUUUUUGGGCAAAAGAAAUAGGCCAGGGGGCCCACACCCUGUCCAGGAGACGCCCCCCCCUAGGGUGCGGCCCCCUAUCUCCUGGGCCCCUGGUGGGCUUCUGGCGUCCAUCUUCUGCUAUAUGAGGGGUUUUCCCCUAGAAAAAAUCGUGGGCAAGCUUACGGGACGAAACUCCGCCGCCACGAGCUGGAACCUUGGCGGAAUCAAUCUAGGGCUCUGGCGGAGCUGUUCUGUCGGAGACACUUCCCUCUGGGAGGGGGAAAUCAUCACCAAUGUCAUCAUCAACGAUCCUCUCGUCGGGAGGGGGUCAAUCUCCAUCACCAUCUUCACCAGCACCAUCUCAUCUCAAAACCCUAGUUCAUCUCUUGUAUCCAAUCUUGUAUCAAAACCACAAAUUGGUACAUGUGGGUUGCUAGUAGUGUUGAUUACUCCUUGUAGUUGAUGCUAUUUGGUUUACUUGGUGGAAGAUCAUAUGUUCAGAUCCUUUAUGCAUAUUAUUACCCCUUUGAUUAUGAACAUGAAUAUGCUUUGUGAGUAGUUACGUUUAUUCCUGAGGACAUGGGUGAAGUCUUGCUAUUAGUAGUCAUGUGAAUUUGUAUUCGUUCGAUAUUUUGAUGAGAUGUAUGUUGUCUUUCCUCUAGUGGUGUUAUGUGAACAUCGACUACAUGACACUUCACCAUUAUUUGGGCCUAGAGGAAGGCAUAGGGAAGUAAUAAGUAGAUGAUGGGUUGUUAGAGUGACAGAAGCUUAAACCCUAGUUUAUGCGUUGCUUCGUUAGGGGUUGAUAUGGACCCAUAUGUUUAAUGUUGUGGUUAGGUUUACCUUAAUACUCCUUUUUGUAGUUGUGGAUGCUUGCAAUAGGGGUUAAUCAAAGUGGGAUGCUUGUCCAUGUUAGGGCAGUACCCAAGUGUCGGUCCACCCACAUAUCAAAUUAUCAAAGUACCGAACGCGAAUAUUAUGAACAUGAUGAAAACUAGCUUGACGAUAAUUCCCAAUGUGUCCUCGGGAGCUCCUUCUUCAUUAUUAGAAUUUGUCCAGGCUUAUCCUUUGCUACAUCAAGUAUUGGGCCACCUUGCUGCAAUUUGUUUACUUUAUUACUUUUUGCUUGUUACUAUUUAUCUUAUCACAAAACUAUCUAUCACCUACUAUUUUAGUGCUUGCAGAGAAAACCUUACUGAAAACCGCUUAUCAUUUCCUUCUGCUCCUCGUUGGGUUCGACACUCUUACUUAUCGAAAGGACUACGAUAGAUCCCCUAUACUUGUGGGUCAUCAAGACUCUUUUCUGGCGCCGUUGCCGGGGAGCGUAGCGCUCUUGGUGAGUGGAACUUGGUAAGGGAACAUUUAUAUAGUGUGAUGAAAUUUUCUGUUACUUGUCACUAUGGAAACUAAUCCUUUGAGGGGAUUGUUUGGGGUAUCUUCACCCCAACCAGAAGAGCAAAGAGAUGCUCCUCAACCUACUGAACCUUAUGAAAAUAUUCACUUUGAGAUUCCUUCGGGUAUGAUAGAAAAACUGCUAGCUAAUCCUUUUGCAGGAGACGGAACAUUGCAUCCUGACUUACACCUUAUCUUUGUGGAUGAAGUUUGUGGAUUAUUUAAGCUUGCAGGUAUUCCCGAUGAUGUUGUCAAAAGGAAGGUCUUCCCUUUAUCUUUGAAGGGAGAUGCAAUAACAUGGUAUAGGCUAUGUGAUGAUACGAGAUAUUGGAAUUAUAAGCGAUUAAAGUUGGAAUUUCACCAGAAGUUCUAUCCUAUGCAUCUUGUUCAUCGUGAUCGUAAUUACAUAUAUAAGUUGGCCUCGCGAAGGAGAAAGCAUCGCUCAAGCUUGGGGGAGGCUUAAGUCAAUGUUGUAUUCAUGCCCCAAUCUUGAGCUCUCUCAGGAAAUGAUUAUUCAGAAUUUUUAUGCUCGGCUUUCUCUUGAUAAUCGCAACUUGCUCGAUACUUCCUGUGCUGGUUCCUAUAUGCUGAAGACUAUUGAUAUCAAAUGGGACUUAUUGGAAAGAAUUAAACGCAACUCUGAAGAUUGGGGUUUCGACAAUGGUAAGCAGUCAGGUAUGACACCUAAGUUUGAUUGUGUUAAAUCUUUUAUGGAUACCGAUGCUCUUCGUGGAUUUAGCUCUAAGUAUGGACUUGACUCUGAGAUAGUAGCUACUUUUUGUGAAACUUUUGCUACUCACGUUGAUCUCCCUAAAGAGAAGUGGUUUAAAUAUAAUCCUCCUGUUGAAGUGAAAGUAGUUGCACCUAUUACAGUCGAAGAGAAGACUAUUACAUAUAGUGAUCCUAUUAUUCCUACUGCUUAUGUUGAAAAACCCCUUUUCCUGUUAGGAUAAAAGAUCAUGUUGAAGCUUCGACUGUUGUUCGUAAGAGUAAUACUAGGACUUAUACACCUCCUGAGCAAAUUAAUGUGGAACCUGGCAUUGCUAUGAUUAAAGAUCUUUUGGAUGAGGAUUUAGAUGGGCAUGUUAUCUCUUUCUUGGGUGAAACUGCUAAUAUUGCUAGACCCGAUACUAAGACACGUAGACCUGUUGUAGGCACGCCUGUUAUUUCUGUUAAAAUAGGAGAUCAUUGUUAUCAUGGUUAUGUUAUAUGGGUGCUAGUGCUAAUGCGAUACCUUAUGAUCUUUAUAAAGAAAUUAUGCACGAUAUUGCACCUGUUGAAUUAGAAGACAUUGAUGUUACUAUUAAGCUUGACAAUAGGGACACCAUUGAACCUAUUGGGAUUGUUAGAGAUGUUGAAGUCUUGUAUGGGAAGAUUAAAUACCCUGCUGAUUUUCUUGUUCUUGGUUCCCCACAAGAUGAUUGAAAGUGCAACUAAUCCCCGGGUGGUUUUGGUAAUUAAUAACAACAUAUAUAUCAUUGAACUAAUGGUUACUUGAGAAUCAUUUCAGAGAGUUCAGUGAUAUGGGUAUGGCAAGGACUGAAGAAGUGGACCCCCUCAAAAUGCUAAGGCAAGCAUUGGCAAAAGCUCAAGACUCCAUUUUUGGUUUAGUGAUCCAAGAUCACAUUGAGUCCAUAGGAAAAGUCAAUACUAUUAAAAGGGGAUGAGGUUAUGACGAUGAUCUGGUUGCUCAAGUGCUUAGUGAUACAUCUCCUGAACUAUCAGCAACUUUCACUGCCAUAUACACUCAUAAGUAAUCUCGGUCCCACCGAUUUUCCAAACUCAGUCACACCAAGAUGAACCACCUCAGCCAUAAGCCAAACCCUAGCAAACUCGGAUUUUCCGAUUCUGAACUCGGUCUCACCGAAACAUGAGUUGCCAAGCUUCUGUAACCUUCUGUCAUCAAAUCGGUGUCACCGAGAUGAUGAAGUCGGUCCCACCGAAAUUGGCAUGCUCUUGUCAUUGCACGAAUCGGACUAACUGAGAUUGUAUUUUCGGUCCCACCGAAAAUCCCAACGUUCACAUUAUUUGAACUAUCGGUCUCACCGAGUUGUCAACUUCGGUCCCACCGAGAUUGCUCAAAUGUGUGUAACGGUUGGAUUUUGUGUGGAGGCUAUUUAUACCCCUCCACCCCCUCUUCAUUCGUGGAGAGAGCCAUCAGAAAGAACUACCACUCCUACCUUACAUUUCUGAGAAGAGAACUACCUACCCUUGUGUUGAGAUCAAGUUGCUCCACUCCCACCAUAUGAAGCUUGAUCUCUAGCCUUCCCAAGUUGCUUUCCACUCAAUCCUUUCUUCCACCACAGCCAAAUCAGUGAGGAGAGUUGAGUGUUGGGGAGAUUAUCAUUUGAAGCACAAGAGCAAGGAGUUCAUCAUCAUCUACAACAUCUAUUACCUUUUGGAGGGUGGUGCCUCCUAGAUUGGUUAGGUGUCGCUUGGGAGCCUCCAUCAUCGAGAUGUGGAGUUGAACCAAGAAGUUUGUAAGGGCAAGGAGAUCGCCUACUUCGUGAAGAUCUACCCCGAGUAAGGCUAGCCCUCCGUGGGCGUAGGCCAUGAUGGAAUAGACAAGGUUGCUUCUUCGUGGACCCUUCGUGGGUGGAGCUCUCCGUGGACUCUCGCAGCCGUUACCCUCCGUGGGUUGAAGUCUCCAUCAACGUGGAAGUACGAUAGCACCACCUAUCGGAACCACGAGAAAAAUCACCGCGUCUCCAAAAUUGCGUUUGCUCUUCUCCACCUCUCUUUACUACAUGUGCAAUUUACUUUCCGCUGCCUAUACUCUAGAAUUGCAUGUGUAGGGUGAUGCUUGACUUGAUCAUAAUUGUGAAUCUGCCAAAAACUGUUCUUUGUCAAAAGGCAGAAUUUUUAUAUUGUCAAGUAGUCUAAUCACCCCCCCUCUAGACAUACUUUCGAUCCUACAAGUGGUAUCAGAGCUUUGGUCUCCAUUGUAUUGGUUUCCAUUGCAUUGGACUCCAUAAGCUUGGUUUCACAACCUAGGAGAGUAUGGCGUCUAGUGAGGGUAAUUUUCGUAGAGGUCCUUACUUUGAUGGUACAAAUUUUGCUAGUUGGAAGCAUAAAAUGAAAAUGCAUAUUCUUGGUCAUAACCCAGCCGCAUGGGGCAUUAUUUGUGUUGGUAUGCAAGGUGAAUUCUUCGAGGAAGGAAAAGUUCCGGAUCGCGAAGCUACAACGGAAGAAUUGCGGAUGUUGCAAAACAAUGCUCAAGCUUGUGACAUUCUCUUCAAUGCCUUAUGUCCCGAGGAGUUCAACAAAAUCAGCCGUCUUGAGAAUGCAAAAGAGAUUUGGGAUACUUUGGUUGAAAUGCACGAAGGUACCGAGUCCGUGAAGGAAUCGAAGCUAGAUAUUCUUCAAGGUCAACUUGACAAGUUCAAGAUGAAGGAUGGUGAAGGAGUCGCUGAAAUGUACUCUAGGCUUGCUCUCAUCACAAAUGAGAUUGCCGGCUUAGGAAGCGAAGAAAUGACCGACCGAUUCAUCAUCAAGAAGAUUCUCAGAGCUUUGGAUGGAAAGUAUGACACCGUGUGCACUUUGAUCCAAAUGAUGCCAAACUACAAGAAUCUCAAGCCAACCGAAGUCAUUGGAAGAAUUGUUGCUCAUGAGAUGACACUUAAGGAUAAGGAAGAGCUUCACAACAAGUCAAGUGGUGCUUACAAAGCUACAAGUGAUGCUCCCACAACCUCAAGUGACAAGUUAGUUUCCAAUGAAGAGAUAAGCCUAAUGGUCAAGAACUUCAACAAAUUCUACAAGAAUAGAGGCAAAGAAAGAAGCUCAAAGUCUAGAUCAUAUGAUGAAAAGAGAUCUUCUAGUCGUGAUCGAAACUGCUACAAUUGUGGAAGACCCGGACACUACUCAAAUGAGUGUACGGCUCCCCACAAGAGAAGAGAAGAAUCUCCAAGAAGAAGAAGCUCAAGAGAUGAGUCACCUCGGAAAGAGAGAAGGAGUAGAGAUGAUCGUUAUGAACGAAGACCCUCUUGGAGAAGCAAGGAUUCGGAGAGGAAAGACAAGUCAUCAAGGAGCUACACAAGAAGAAAACAUCAAGCUCAUGUAGGUGAAUGGGUCUCCGGCUCCGACUCCGACAAUCAAUCUGAAGGAAGCUAUCACUCCGACUCCGACUACAGUCAAGAUGAAGGUGUUGCCGGUCUUGCUCUCGUAUCCUCCAACUCCAACUCCUAUGACUUAUUUGAUUCACCAAAUGAGGGAAUUGGAAGAUGCUUCAUGGCUAAAGGCCCCAAGGUAUCACACCCUGAAUUCAUUGACUUCAAUAGUGAUGAGGAUGACUUGCUUGGUGAAGAUGAGCUCUUGCAUGAUAAAUCUAGUGAGCUUAGUAACGAUGAACAUGCUAGUAGUCUUUAUAGUCGAGAAGAGUCGAAUGACAAUGCUAUGAAGGAGAUUGAGCGUCUAACUAAAGAACUAAACACUCUUAAGUUAGCUCAUGAAACAACUCAAGAAGAUCAUAGAGAGCUCCUAAGAUCUCAUGAGAAGCUACGCUUCGAGAAGCUCACUCUAGAGCAAGAACAUGAGUUUCUAAAAGCAAUCAAUGACGAUCUUCGAAAGAAGAGUUCUUCAUAUCUUGCCAAACGACUUCUCUUGUCUAAUUUUUUGCCACCCAUUAAGACUAAGCAUGACAAGCAUAAGAAAAAUUCUUCCUCUAGUAGUAACAAUAACCAUGCUAAAUCCAAUGUUGUUGCUUCUAGUAGUUCUCUUGAUUCCACUAACAAUGUUUCAAGCCAAGUUACACUUGAGCAAGAAAAUAGUUUAUUGAAAGGGAUCAUAGAGAAAGGUGUCUACAAGAGCCUUGCCGGAAGCAAGAACUUUGAGGAAAUUGUUCGCAAGCAAGGAAGGCACCGGAAGAAUCAAGGAAUUGGUUUUGAGCGAAAGUUCAACGUCGAAGGUGUUGAAUGGGAAGAAGGUCAAUAUCCUACUCCACAGUUUGUUCCUCAAAAGGAGAAGUAUGAUCCUACUUCUUCCAAUGUGGAACAAGCUCAAGAUGACCUUCCACCACAAGACCACAAGCUAAAAGGCAAGGACAAGAUUCAAGAGGAGAUUGAUGCAUUUGUUGAAGCACCUCAAGCCAGGGUCAAGUGGGUUCCCAAGGAAACGUCAAGUUCUACUUCGUCAAGCUCAACUACAACCCCAAGGAUUCCCAUCAAGAUGAUGUGGAUCCCGAAGAAGAAGAACUAGAAAGUUCUUGAGGGUGACUCCGCCAACAUACUUCAUUCACAUUCAUUUUGGCAAAAACUUGUGCAAUCAACUUCCAUAUCGUGCACUAGUUCAUGGAGUCACAAACCCUCUUGUUGGUAAGUCAAGGGACAAGGUAAUCAUUGCUUUCAUGGACAUCAUCUAUUGUGAACUUCAAUCUAUGUCCAUGGAUAUCCUUGUUUGUUCCUUGUGGGACUAACCCAUGUAGGUAUUGACAGUGCCCAAAUCCAAAGGAUAGCUCCCAACUCUUGAUGAUCUUCAUCAACAUUGAGCAUCCACAUCUUCAACAUCUACAUGAAGUCUUCUACGACAACCCAAGGUUAGUUUGACCCUUUAAAAGGGGUUCUCACAUCUAGGGGGAGCUUUGCUCUAAAAAUUGAGCGAAAGCAUCUUCAAAUGAUGUGAACACAUCAAUGCUUUAUGUAAAAGUGGUAACCCCACUUGUGCUUAAACGAUGAGUAUGACCUAUGAUCAAAUGUUCUCAUUUGGCUCCUAAGUCAAUAUACUCAUAUAAAGAUGACCUAGUCAUCGACAAAUUGUGUGUUAAUUGCUAGAGUUUUGGUUGUGCAUGUUUGACACAUAUUUCAUUUGCUAUCUUAUUGUGUGAGCAUGUUGGAUGCAUGAUUUUAUCCAUUCGAGGACAUCCAUUUGUUGUUUUGGUCGUUUUGAUUUUUCUGACCAAAUGGAUGGACAAGAAUGCCUAAGUACCUCCCCUAGCUAUCUAUGCUUUCUUGUCUCAAAUUCUAUUCAUGCUUACAUCACAAAUUUUGAACAAGUCAUUUUCGGACCCUCCGGGUGAGGAGCACUCAGAGCCACCGAUCCGUCAAGGGCUAAAUUUCCAAAACCUUCUAAUUGAUUUCGGUCAGACCAACUCACUCAAACUCGGUCGAACCGAAAGCAUUUGGACUGAUCUAGGUUUUCAUCUCGGUGAAACCGAGUUGUGAUUUUCGGCGUGACCGAAGUGCAUAACUGCCUAGCAGUUAUCCAUCUCGGUGCCACCGAGUUUUACAACUCGGUCCCACCGACAGCGAAGGGGUAUAUAUAUCCGAGGGCCGCGCGCGUUGAUUCCUCCUUCAAACGUUUCGCCCCCACACCCCUUGCUGUCGUCGCCCUGGUCUCCGGAUCGUCGCCGUCGUCGCCUGUGCGCCCUCGCCGCAGGUCUCCGUCGCCGUCAACGGACAUCUCCUCCGAGCCGUUGCCGCCGUAGAAAAACUCCACCAAGUUAGGGUGAGUUUUGAUCCCACUCGUGCUCCCAUCUCCAAUUCAAUGCACGUUUGGAUUGCCUAGUAUCUUGCCACGAUUGAAAUCCUCCUGUACACUAGAUUGGUUCGUUUGAACUAAAUUCGAGUAAAAGUUUUAGAGUUAGGUUUCCGCGGAACACAUCUCGGUGAGACCGAUUUUAUAUUUUCGGUAUGACCGAUUUGGCCUAUGGCCAUUGCACUGCACCCUUCGGUCCAACCGAGUUGUGCAAAAUCAGUGUGACCGAAAUGUACAUUCUGUGAAACCCUAGUGUUUUCGGUAGGACCGAAACCCACUUCGGUCAAACCGAAAGUGGUGUGUCAAGCUCUUGUUUAACACUUCAGAUUCACCGAAUCUUAAACUCGGUCUAACCGAAAUGUCUUCUGUGAAAACUUAAUACUAGAAUUUGAACUCAUUUUGUUUGCAAAAACUUCUGCAGUUUGUGAUGACUCUUCUUCUCUGCCUACACCUUAUCUAUUCACAGGUUGUCAGCCAUGUCAGAUGCCAGUGACAGUCAGAACAGGUCAGAGACACCUAUUGCAGACAUUCCAGAGGCAGGCACUAGUCCUGAUCCUAGCAGCUCAUCUGAUGAUGGUGAGAGGAGUACACCAAGUGGCAUGCCUCCUGCAGCCACCAGAGCUAGAAAGAAGAGAAAUUCAGAUGAUGAGGAUUCAGAUUUUGUUGUUGAGGAAGAGGUAACCUCAAAGCCCAAAAGGAAGGUUGUUGCCAAAGAGCAACAAGGUCAACAAACUAAGAAGGGCACCAGCAAAGUCAAGCAGUCAACUGUUGCUAAGAAGCUGAAUUUGGGAGAGGCAGCUGCAAGCAAAGUGAAGAAAACCACCAAGAGAAAGAGGAUAGUGCAUGAUGCAGCAGUAGAGGAUGAGGAUGAGGAAGCACCCCAGCCUACUCCUCAGAAGCCGAAGCUCAUGGGUGAUGCCAUUAAGGCUGGAGCCACAUCCAAGCCCAAGAAAUCUGCUCCAGCUAAGGCAGCUCCAGCAAAGCCUGCUGCCAAGCCCAAGAAGACCGUCAGAAACAUUCCAGCGUCUGAAAAGAACAAGGAUGAUGUGCCACCAGCUGAGUCAGACGAUGAAGGACCAGUUUUGCUGAAACUUCGUCCAAAACUGCCACUCCAUGAUGAUGCUCAUCCUCAAGCUGAGGAUAUGAAGGCAAGGAAAGAUAGAGGUCUCAGGCUAUGGAGACAAACUGACCCAUAUGCCGUGAGGAGAAGAACUGCUGUAGAUCCCAGAUUUCACACCAGAGAGCAGCAGGACUUCUAUGAGACCGUGCUGAUGGACAAGAAGCCCAUAGUCGCAGACACAAGAUAUGUUGACUGGAAGUACAUUGACAGCGAAGAGCACAGAGAUUUCUUUUCACAUGUGCAUGAAAGUUUCACUGCAUGUGGAGUUGCAGACUUUGUAGGUCAGAAAUUGACCAGUUGGAACGAUGAGAUGAUAAUGCAAUUCUAUGCCACAGCUCACUUCUACCCUGAUGGAAAGAUCACGUGGAUGACUGAAGGUCAAAGAUUUUCUUCUUCUGUUGAAGAAUGGGCAGAAAUUCUGAAUGCUCCAGUGCAACGAGAAGAUGAUAUUGAUGUAUAUGGGAUUCCAAAGAAGAAUCAUGAAUCCAUGAAGAACAUGUACAAAGAGAUUCCAGCAGAGGAUUUGGGAAUCUGGAAGCUCGGCUCAGUCUACUAUCUCCAGGCAGGCUUACCUACCACUAAUACCAUUUUUAGGCAUACCUUGAUGCCCAAAUCUGGAGAUCAUCGCAUGAUCAGAGGAUACUCUAUCAACAUGCUGCACAUACUUGAUGAGAAAGCACCUUUCAAGGUGAUGGACUUGAUGGUAGAGACCAUUAAGAGGACUGCAGCUGACCAGAAGAGGUCAUGUGGAUUUGCCCCGCAGAUUCAGAUGCUUAUCAAUGCCAAGUUUGGCACGGGCACAUUCUUGUUGGAUAGAGAACACUUACCGUUGCAGCCAGAGCAUGAAGACAAUGUUGUUGUGAUUGAUGAGGAGGAUCCGACAUCAGUUGAAGGUCAAGCCAAGAUCGAAGCUGCUAAGAAAGCCAAAGCUGACAAGGAAGCAGCAGCAGCAGCUAAACCAAAGAGUUCCGGAGAGCAAAUUCUUGAAGCUACUCAAAGAAUUGAACAACGCCUGGCCAGCAUUGUACAGUCUCAGGAGAGCUUAGAGAGGAUUGUUGAAGACAAGAUCCACGCUCUGGACGUGAAGCUGACUGAAGUACAAGUAACCGUCAACAAGCUCGAGGCAGACAUUGAGGAAGCAAAGCAGGAGAAGGAAGAGCUUAUGCGUGAGAUGCAGGAUGACUUAGUCCAGGAUUCUCAUCAACAGACUGCUCCAGUUCCCACAGGACCCCGAUCAGCUGCUAUUCCAGUGACAGACACCAGGACUACAGCUUCAGCACCUCCCACAGUUCCAGCAGUUACUCCAACUCCAGCUCCAGUGUCCACUCCUCCAGCACAGACAUCAGCUGAAGCCUUCGCCGAUGCUGUCAUAUCCACUCCGACAUCAACCCAGACGGGAGCCGCCAGCAGAGUCCCCGGUGAUGCUUAGCUCUAUGCUUUUUCGAACUUUUUGGUAACUUGUUGCCAAAGGGGGAGAAAUUGUAUAGAUCAUAGGACUUCGAGAGAGAGAGUGUUGUUGUCUUUGCGCUUUUGCUCUUUCGUUCUUUUGCGGUUUCUUUGAGAUACUUUUGGUUUUCGAGACAUUCAGUGUGUUUGAUACUCCGUUUGAUUCUACCUUAAUGAGUGCUUGGUCGUACUAUGCUUUAAUGUGUGCUUAAUGCUUAUCAUAUGCCAUUCCUAUCUCGUAUGACCAUUUACUCAUGUCUUGGUGAUUGGGUGCAUGCUGUUCAUUCUUAUCAUUUUGUGCGCUCCACCAAGAUGUAUGUGACAUGGAAGAGUGACCCAUGAUCCUAAUCGAUUGUGCAUUUGCAUUCAAACACAAAUCUUAAAUAAUGCACAAAUUUAGGGGGAGCUCUUGCUUAUCACAUACUUCUCAAAGCGACGAUAUUAUUCAUUGAUUAUAUCCUUUGUCGAAGCUUUGAUCUAUAUGUUGUCAUCAAUUACCAAAAAGGGGGAGAUUGAAAAUGCAACUAAUCCCCGGGUGGUUUUGGUAAUUAAUAACAACAUAUAUAUCAUUGAACUAAUGGUUACUUGAGAAUCAUUUCAGAGAGUUCAGUGAUAUGGGCAUGGCAAGGACUGAAGAAGUGGACCCCCUCAAAAUGCUAAGGCAAGCAUUGGCAAAAGCUCAAGACUCCAUUUUUGGUUUAGUGAUCCAAGAUCACAUUGAGUCCAUAGGAAAAGCCAAUACUAUUAAAAGGGGAUGAGGUUAUGAUGAUGAUCUGGUUGCUCAAGUGCUUAGUGAUACAUCUCCUAAACUAUCAGCAACUUUCACUGCCAUAUACACUCAUAAGUAAUCUCGGUCCCACCGAUUUUCCAAACUCAGUCACACCGAGAUGAACCACCUCAGCCAUAAGCCAAACCCUAGCAAACUCGGAUUUUCCGAUUCUGAACUCGGUCUCACCGAAACAUGAGUUGCCAAGCUUCUGUAACCUUCUGUCAUCAAAUCGGUGUCACCGAGAUGAUGAAGUCGGUCCCACCGAAAUUGGCAUGCUCUUGUCAUUGCACGAAUCGGACUAACCGAGAUUGUAUUUUCGGUCCCACCGAAAAUCCCAACGUUCACAUUAUUUGAACUAUCGGUCUCACCGAGUUGUCAACUUCGGUCCCACCAAGAUUGCUCAAAUGUGUGUAACGGUUGGAUUUUUGUGGAGGCUAUUUAUACCCCUCCACCCCCUCUUCAUUCGUGGAGAGAGCCAUCAGAAAGAACUACCACUCCUACCUUACAUUUCUGAGAAGAGAACUACCUACCCUUGUGUUGAGAUCAAGUUGCUCCACUCCCACCAUAUGAAGCUUGAUCUCUAGCCUUCCCAAGUUGCUUUCCACUCAAUCCUUUCUUCCACCACAGCCAAAUCAGUGAGGAGAGUUGAGUGUUGGGGAGAUUAUCAUUUGAAGCACAAGAGCAAGGAGUUCAUCAUCAUCUACAACAUCUAUUACCUUUUGGAGGGUGGUGCCUCCUAGAUUGGUUAGGUGUCGCUUGGGAGCCUCCGUCAUCGAGAUGUGGAGUUGAACCAAGAAGUUUGUAAGGGCAAGGAGAUCGCCUACUUCGUGAAGAUCUACCCCGAGUAAGGCUAGCCCUCCGUGGGUGUAGGCCAUGAUGGAAUAGACAAGGUUGCUUCUUCGUGGACCCUUUGUGGGUGGAGCCCUCCGUGGACUCUUGCAGCCGUUACCCUCCGUGGGUUGAAGUCUCCAUCAACGUGGAAGUACGAUAGCACCACCUAUCGGAACCAUGAGAAAAAUCACCGCGUCUCCAAAAUUGCGUUUGCUCUUCUCCACCUCUCUUUACUACAUGUGCAAUUUACUUUCCGCUGCCUAUACUCUAGAAUUGCAUGUGUAGGGUGAUGCUUGACUUGAUCAUAAUUGUGAAUCUGCCAAAAACUGGUCUUUGUCAAAAGGCAGAAUUUUUAUAUUGUCAAGUAGUCUAAUCACCCCCCCUCUAGACAUACUUUCGAUCCUACAAUGAUUUUGUCCCAUUAUUUUUGGUAGACCCUUCUUGAAUACUGCUAGUGCUAUGAUUGAUUGUAAUAGGAAGGUUUUCACUGUUGGCAUAGACGGUACGUCUCAUGAGUUUAAUUUUGCCAAGUUUAGUAGACAACAACGUGAAAAGGAACCAUCUAGUAAGGAUGAAAUUAUUGGUCUUGCGUCCAUUGUUGUUCCUCCAACUGAUCCGUUAGAACAAUAUUUGCUAGACCAUGAAAAUGAUAUGUUUAUGAAGGAAAGGGAAGAAAUAGAUGAAGUGUUCCUUAAACAAGAACCUAUGCUGAAACAUAACCUUCCCGUUGAAAUCCUUGGGGAUCCUCCUCCACCCAAGGGUGAUACCAUGUUUGAACUCAAACCAUUACCUGAUAAUCUUAAGUAUGCUUAUCUUGAUGAAAAAUAAAUAUAUCAUGUUAUUAUUAGUGCUAACCUUUCAGAGAAAGAAGAAGAAAGAUUAUUGAAAACUCUGAAGAAGCAUAGAGCUGCUAUUGGAUAUACUCUGGAUGAUCUUAAGGGCAUUAGUCCCACAUUAUGUCAACACAAAAUUUCAGUGGAGAAAGAUGCCAAACCAGUUAGAGACCCUCAAAGACGAUUAAAUCUCAAAAUGAAGGAAGUGGUAAGAAAGGAGAUACUAAAACUCCUUGAGGCAGGUAUUAUUUAUCCCGUUGCUGAUAGUGAGUGGGUAAGCCCUGUCCAUUGUGUCCCUAAAAAGGGAGGUAUUAUCGUUGUUCCUAAUGAUAAAGAUGAAUUGAUCCCGCAAAGAAUUAUUACAGGCUAUAGGAUGGUAAUUGAUUUCCAUAAGUUAAAUAAAGCUACUAAGAAAGAUCAUUACCCUUUAACUUUUAUUGAUCAAAUGCUAGAAAGGCUAUCCAAACACACACAUUUUUGCUUUCUAGAUGGUUAUUGGGGCUUCUCUCAGAUACCUGUAUCAGCGGGGAAUCAAUCUAAAACUACUUUUACUUGCCCUUUUGGUACUUUUGCUUAUAGACGUAUGCCUUUUGGUUUAUGUAAUGCACCUGCUACCUUUCUGCCAUGAUUUUCGUUUUAGUUUAUCUUUUCGCUCGUUUAUCGGAAUCAGGCGAUUCAAGCGCAUAGAGUUUCAUCUUGAAGGCCUCAUUCUGUUUAACCAACUUAAACAAGUUUUUGCUACUGUAAAAUUUGACUUAAGUCUAGAUUAGUAAACGAAGCUUGUUUUUUCGCAGUUUGAGUUUCGUUGCUUCGUUUGAUCUAAUUCUUUUUGCAAACCGGAGUUCUUAAGUUGAACUUUCUGGUGAUCUUUUAUUUGAGUUUUACCCGUGCUUCUAGUUGAGUGCUUAUUGUAUGCUUGUUUGUUUGUGAUAGAGUACCCGGAGUGCGAAGCGUGCUACUACGAGUCUGUAGGUUUCACGGAUCAUAAAAAAGGCAAGUAACACUUUGAUCAUACCUCUUUACUACCCAGUUUUAUUGCAUUAGAUCAAUCCUCAAACAACUGCAUGGUUAGGAUCUGUUUAACUUGUGGGUUUUGGGAAGUAGAUGAGGUAGUACCUAUUGUCCUGUUUAUUAUCAAAUCUUUGGGAGUUACUUCUACUUUGCUUAUAUUGCUAUGCUAUGCUUGUAGACGUGGAUUGAGUGAGUGUAUCCAUCACAUAUGUGAGUGUUGUUAUUUAAUGGUUAACUUGACGUGGCUACUUUAAUACACAUCUGGGUGGAUUGAGGCACCUGGGGAACCUAGUGUUGCAUGCAUUUUUGGAAAUCCCAGGGUACCGUGUGAUUCUCCUAUGGACCGCCACCCAGGCUCAAAGGGAUCAUAAGAUAUUCAUGCUAGAAACUUCCGUGUGCAGCCACAAGCUAUUAUGGGCUCUAGCAUAGUUGAGUAUGUUGCAAGACCUCUUUCAGUGGUGGGCUAGCAGAUGUAGGGGAAAGUAGGUGUAACUGUCCACCCAGAGUAAAGAGUUAUUGUUUCAGAAAGACUGUGUCUCGUUUCUCCAACCAUGGAUGUAUUCGAGUCUUGUGGGGAAAAGUGCGCAAACCUCUGCAGAGUGUACAAACUAAUCAUGGUUAGCCGUGUCCCCGGUUAUGGACGUCUUGACUAUCUAGUUCUUGGAUUAUCAUGUGGAUCUCAUCACUCUUAAUAUAACUUGAUUGGGUUUAAUGAUGAUGCUUAAUUGGGAUUGAGUUGGGUGAACCUUCUCAAUGUUUAACAACCACCAUGAUAGUUAAAUAAACUUUAUUCCUUUGUUGUAGAGGAAAAUUGGCUUUAUGCAAAACUGUAACCAUAGAACUUAAUUUCCACCAACCAUGUAUGCAUGUAGUGAUAGCAUUAUUCUGUUCAUUACUCUCUUGUGUUACAUUGCCAGCAUAUUCCAUGUGUUAACCCGUUUCGGGCUGCAACAUUCAUGUUGCAGACUUUUUAGACGACGAGUAAGGUGCCUUAGGUUGUGAUCUUUCACUCAGUGAUGUCGUUGGAGUUGAUGGACUCACUUUAUCUUCCAAGCCUUCCGAUGUUAUCGUAUUUAGAUGGCCUUAAGCCAUAUUUAUUGUAAUAGGUUCUCUUUUGAGACAUUCGAUGUAAUAAGUGUGUGACUGCUACUCUGUUAUAAAUCCUUCAAGUACCGUGCAUGUCAGCAUUACCGAUCCAGGGAUGACACUGAUGCACAGAGAUCAGACUGUUUGAGGUCUGGUCACUACAAUUUGCCCUUAAUAGAUUUCUUGAUUUUGAUCUAGAGAAGAUUUAUAUGUAUUGUGCGGUGAAUUGCACUGAAAAUACUUAUAUUGUCAAUUACCUAAAAAAGAAAGCAAAUAGAAGAUGAAGAGAACACUAAUGAAAGGGAAGAGACUUCCCAAUAUCCUCCUAUUAUUUCUUAUGAUGAAUCGGGUAACGAGGAGGAGCUUUCUAUUCAACCAAUCUCAUCAAUAAGGAGCUCAGAGAAGAAGGUUGAACCCACACAUAAUGUGAAGAAGAAAAAGAAAAACGGAGAAGCAAAGGUAAAAAGGUAUCCCUCCCAAAUGAUGUUGCUCCUACUACUCAUUGUGAUGAUGAUAAUUGCUAUGCUAUUGGUGCUAUCCAUACUAUUAAUGAUGAGAGUGAUUAUGCUUAUGAUAUGAAAAGGCCCAAGCUUGGGGAAGCUGUGUUUAAUGAGGAUGAGAUAUUUGAGAAUAUAUUUUCUGAAAUUAAUGUUUGUCCCAAGCUUGGGGAUGCUACGUUUAAUGAAGAUGAUAUUUUUAGCCUCCCAAGUUUUGAUAUGAAAAGUUGUUGUGGUGAUAGCAUGCCUCUUACCUAUGAUGAUUAUAUUGAUGAAAGUGGGUUUGGAAGAGUGUCAACUUUAGGAAGUAAUGAUCCCACUAUUUUGGAGGAUGUUGAAUCUUAUUGUGAUGAAUAUGAAAGUGGAUUUGGAGAGGUCAUGACUUUAUUUAGUGAUGAUUCCACUAUUUUGGAAGAGGUAUCAAUUGAUUAUGAUGAGAACAAAUUUGCUACUUAUGAUGAUUAUUGUGAUGAAACUUAUGCUAUAAAAAGUAGUGAUGAUUAUAUUUAUAAAACUUGUCAUGAUUAUGAUUACCAUUUUUCUGAACAUUACUCUUUUAAUGUGGAAACAAUUUAUAGUAUUCGAGUCUCUAAUGAUACUCCCACUAUUCUGAAUGAGAAUAAUUUUGCUUAUGUGGAGAGUAAUAAAAUUUCUAUGCAAGUAGAUCAUGAAAAGAAUGCUUUAUGUGCUGGUUAUAUUGUUGAAUUCAUUCAUGAUGCUACUGAAAAUUAUCAUGAGGGAGGAACAUAUGCUUGUAGGAAUUGCAAUAAUAUCAAGUUUCCUCUCUAUGUGCUUAAAAUCUUGAAGUUAUGCUUGUUUUGCCUUCCUAUGCUAGUUGAUUAUUGUUCCCAUAAGUUGUUUGCUCACAAAAUUCCUAUGCAUAGGAAGUGGGUUAAGCUUAAAUGUACUAGUAAUAUGCUUCAUGAUGCUCCCGUUAUGUUUCAACUCUUAUCUUUUAUGUGAGCAUCAUUGUCAUCAUCAUGCCUAGCUAGAAAGGCAUUAAAGAAAAGCGUUUGUUGGGAGACAACCCAAUAUUUUACCCUUACUGUUUGUGUGUGUUCACAUGAUUAUGCUACUGUAGUAAUCAUGUUUUAUAACUUUUGUUUCAAUAAAGUGCCAAGUAAGACCUUUAGGAUAGCUUACGGUAAUAGUUGUGUUGAUCCUGCUGAAAAUCAGAAACUUUUGCACCUAGUAAAUUAGUUUUGAUAAUUCACAUAAACGUUAUUUUGAUCUGAUUCUUUUUGCUAUGGAUUGGUACACAAAUUUCUUAGUACUUACUAAUUUGGUAUGAUUUUUUGAGUUCCAUAAGUAUACGUUUGAUAUAGAUUACUACAGACUGAUCUGUUUUUGACAGAUUCUGUUUUCUAUGUGUUGUUUGCUUAUUUUGAUGAAUCUAUGAGUAGUAUCGGAGGGUAUGAACCAUAGAGAAGUUGGAAUACAGUAGAUAUUACACCAAUAUGAAUUUAGAAUGAGUUCAUAACAGCACCUAAGUGGUGGUUUUAUUUUCUUAUACUAACGGAGCUUACGAGUUUUCUGUUGAGUUUUGUGUUGUGAAGUUUUCAAGUUUUGGGUAAAGAUUCGAUGGACUAUGGAAUAAGGAGUGGAAAGAGGCUAAGCUUGGGGAUGCCCAAGGCACCCCAAGGUAAUAUUCAAGGACAACCAAGAGCCUAAGCUUGGGGAUGCCCCGGAUGGCAUCCCCUCUUUCGUCUUCGUUCAUCGAUAACUUUACUUGGAGCUAUAUUUUUAUUCACCACAUGAUAUGUGUUUUGCUUGGAGCGUCAUUUUGUUUUAUUUUGUUUUGCUUGUUGUUUGAAUAAAAUACAUUAGAUCUGAAAUUCUUAAAGGAGAGAGAGUCUUCACAUAGUUACAUAAUUAUUUAACUACUCAUUGAUCUUCACUUAUAUCUUUUUGGAGUAGUUUGUCAUUUACUCGUGUGCUUCACUUAUAUCCUAUGAGUAAAUGGUUGAAUGAGUUGAAUGUCAUAAAUCUGAAAUUAUAUAUGUUUCAUAUGCUUACCCCGUUGGGAGUAAUGACUUCAUAGCUAAGAAAUAGAGGUAGUAAAUUUAUUGAAGGUUAGCAAUCAUUAUAUUGGUCACUUGAACAAUUCAUGAAAGAAUAUUGAAGGAAGAGAGAUUUCACAUAUAAAUAUACUAUCUUAGACAUCUUCUAUGAUUGUGAGCCCCAUUAAUUAUUUUCAAACCUGAGAAAAUUAGUUGAAAUUGAACAAGGAAGACAACGUAAUGAGUUAUGUUUGGGUGUAUUUGUAUAGAAGUUAUAUUGUUAUAGAUCCUCCAACAUGUGGUGCUUGUUGUUUAGAAUCCUUUGCUAUCCAAAUAUCUGUACUAAGCGGGAAUACUGCUUGUGCAUCCAAAUCCCUUGAACCAAGUUUCUUUCAUGAGUGUCCACCAUACCUACCUAUAUGCGGUAUUUACCUGCCGUUCCAAGUAAAUUUGCAUGUGCCAAACUCUAAACCAUCAAAUAAUAAUCUGUUUUGUAUGCCCGAAUCGCUCAUGUAGCGAUUAGGGGUUGUCAGUAUCUUCCAUGCUAGGUGGGUUAUUCUCACGAUGAGUGGACUCCACUCAUCAUUCACGAGAAAAAUGGCUGGUAUCCGGGAUGCCCAGUCCCAUGAUCAAAAGAUCAAAAUCAAAUCAAAAAUAAUUGCAAACAAAACUCCCCUAGGAUUGAUGUUAGUUGGAGGCACCUGUUGUUUCAGGCAAGCCAUGGAUUGAUGAUUGUUGGUGGAGGGGGAGUAAAAACUUUACCAUUCUGUUUGGGAACCGCCUAUAAUGUAUGUAGUAUGGAAGAUAUUGGGAACUCUUGGUUGUUAUGUUGACAAUAAAAGCAUAUCUCUCAAAAUUAUUUUCAUCUCUAUUUAAAAACCGAGCUUUGUCACCUCUGCAAAUCCCUGCUUCCCUCUGCGAAGGGCCUAUCUUUUACUUUUAUGCAAGAGUCAGUAGUAUUCCUUCUCAUUCCUACCUACUCUUUAGUUGGCAAGCAUCGUGUGUUGGGGAAAGAUCUAAGCAUCUAUGGCCAUGCAAAUAUAUUUGAUCAUGAAUUAUUAUUGUUGACAAUUAUCUAUAUGAUAAGUGAGUUGGGAGGCGAAACACUAAGCCCCUAUCUUUCUCUGUGUUCGAUGGAUGCUAUUUGUUCUAAGAAUAUGCUUUGAGUGGUAGCAAUCAUGGAAGACUAUAUGAUAGUUGAGUAUGUGGAGUUUUGCUAAAUCAAAGCUCUGACAUAGACCCUUCCUGAAAAUAAGAUGAAUUGUAAUUGUUUGAUGACUGAGAAUGAAGUUUGCUAGUUUUCAAGAAAGUUUAUGGUCUAUGCUUUAACAUGUGAAUAUCUUGUUACUUGAUCUUGAGAAGUUUUAUGAGAUGAACUACUGUUAUGACAUAUAAUCAUGCUAGAAAAGGUGAUUGAAAUUACCAUUGAUCAAACUUGUGCACUUGCUAGCAUUCACACUUCAUAAAUUCUUUCUUUUAUCAUUUACCUACUCGAGGACGACCAGGAAUUAAGAUUGGGGAUGCUGAUACGUCACCAACGUAUCUAUAAUUUAUCAAGCAUUCAUGCUAUUAUAUUAUCUGUUUUGGAUGUUUAUGGGCUUUACUAAGCACUUUUAUAUUAUUUUGGGACUAACCUAUUAACCGGAGGCCCAACCCAUAUUGUUGUUUUCUUGCCUAUUUCAGUGUUUCGAAGAAAAGGAAUAUCAAACGGAGUCCAAAUGGAAUGAAACCUUCGGAAAAGUUAUUUUUGGAACGAAAGCAAUCCAGGGGACUUGGAGUGCACGUAAGGGAAGCUUCAAGGUGGCCACGAGGCAGGGAGGCGCACCCACCUCCCCUGGGCGCGCCUCCACCCUUGUGGGCCCCUCGUGGCUCCCGUGACCGACUUAUUUUGCCUAUAUAUCUCCAUAUACCCUAAAAACAUCGGGGACAACAAUAGAUCGGGAGUUCCGCCACUGCAAGCCUCUGUAACCACCAAAAACCUCUCGGGAGCCCGUUCCGGCACCCUGCCGGAGGGGGAAUCCAUCACCGGUGGCCAUCUUCAUCAUCCCGGCGCUCUCCAUGACAAGGAGGGAGUAGUUCACCCUCGGGGCUGAGGGUAUGUACCAGUAGCUAUGUGUUUGAUCUCUCUCUCUCGUGUUCUUGAGGUGAUACGAUCUUGAUGUAUCGCGAGCUUUGCUAUUAUAGUUGGAUCUUAUGAUGUUUCUCCCCCUCUUCUCUCUUGUGAUGAAUUGAGCUUUCCUCUUGAAGUUAUCUUAUCGGAUUGAGUCUUUAAGGAUUUGAGAACACUUGAUGUAUGUCUUGCGCUUAUCUGUGGUGACAAUGGGAUAUUCACGUGAUCUACUUGAUGUAUGUUUUGGUGAUCAACUUGCGGGUUCAAUGAACUUAUGCACAGGGGUUGGCACACGUUUUCGUCUUGACUCUCCGGUAGAAACUUUGGGGCACUCUUUGAAGUACUUUGUGUUGGUUGAAUAGAUGAAUCUGAGAUUGUGUGAUUCAUAUAGUAUAAUCAUGCCCACGGAUACUUGAGGUGACAAUGGAGUAUCUAGGUGACAUUAGGGUUUUGGUUGAUUUGUGUCUUAAGGUGUUAUCCUAGUACGAACUCUAUGAUAGAUCGAACGAAAAGAAUCGCUUCGUGUUAUUUUACUACGGACUCUUGAAUAGAUCGAGCAGAAAGGAUAACUUUGAGGUGGUUUCGUACCCUACCAUAAUCUCUUCGUUUGUUCUCCGCUAUUAGUCACUUUGGAGUGACUCUUUAUUGCAUGUUGAGGGAUAGUUAUAUGAUCCAAGUAUGUUAUUAUUGUUGAGAGAACUUGCACUAGUGAAAGUAUGAACCUUAGGCCUUGUUUCCUAGCAUUGCAAUACCGUUUACGCUCACUUUUAUCAGUAGUUACCUUGCUGUUUUUAUAUUUUCAGAUUACAAAAACCUAUAUCUACCAUCCAUAUUGCACUUGUAUCACCAUCUCUUCGCUGAACUAGUGCACCUAUACAAUUUACCAUUGUAUUGGGUGUGUUGGGGACACAAGAGACUGUUUGUCAUUUGGUUGCAGGGUUGUUUGAGAGAGACCAUCUUCAUCCUAUGCCUCCCACGGAUUGAUAAACCUUAGGUCAUCCACUUGAGGGAAAUUUUCUACUGUCCUACAAACCUCUACACUUGGAGGCCCAACAACGUCUACAAGAAGAAGUUUGUGUAGUAGACAUCAAGGAUCACCAAGAACAAGCACAAUAUCAUCAUUGCAAUGACCAAUACUACUCACCCUAGCAUUACCUUCUGGAAAUCCACAUGUAGGUGAAGUAGAGAAAGUUGGGAUGGCAACACGGCCGGAGGUGGAGGAAGAACAAUCAUCCCUAAAAAUCUUGGAAACACCUAUUUAUCUUGAAGCUUUGUCCACAACUCAUGAGCAUCCCGGAACGGCAUGAGUUGAAAUAUAACUACAUUGAUCAAAGCAUCAAAAAGCACAUUAGAAGCUUGAGCAUUGAGAUAAGAGUUUUUCUCAUCCUCUAAAGAUAAUCUUCGGGGAUCCUUUGGAGGAGAAAAACCCAUAUCUACAUUUCGCUCUAAAUUUGGGUCCAUGACUCUAAAGAGAUUAAGCAUGUGAAUUACCCAAACAUCAAAAUUUGUGCCAUCGAAACUAAGAGUGUCAGAGAAUCCUAAACCCCUAGUCGACAUCCUUACUCUCUAGGCGGUUAAGCUCUAUAACGAGAGACGAGGUUGUGAUACCAAUUGGAAGAUCGUGGAAGUCGCCUAGAGGGGGGGGGGUGAAUAGGCGCUUUAAAAUAAUUACAGUUUAGGCUUGAACAAAUGCGCAAUAAACCUAGCGGUUAAUUUGUCAAGCACCAAACCUACAACAACUAGGCUCACCUAUGUGCACCAACAACUUAUGCUAAGCAGGAUAAAAAACUAAGUUAUAGCAAGAUAUAUGACAAGAAACAAUAUGGCUAUCACAAAGUAAAGUGCAUAAGUAACGGGCUCGGGUAAGAGAUAACCGAGGCACGCAGAGACGACGAUGUAUCCCGAAGUUCACACCCUUGCGGAUGCUAAUCUCCGUUUGGAGCGGUGUGGAGGCACAAUACUCCCCAAGAAUCCAUUAGGGCCACCGUAAUCUCCUCACACCGUCGCACAAUGCAAGAUGCCGUGAUCCCACUAAGGGACCCUUGAGGGCGGUCACCGAACCCGUACAAAUGGUAACCCUUGAGGGCGGUCACCGAACCCGUACAAAUGGUAACCCUUGGGGGCGAUCACCGAAUCCGUACACUUUGGCAACCCUUGGGGGUGGUCACCGGUACCCGUCAAAUUGCUCGGGGCGAUCUCCACAACCUAAUUGGAGACCCCGACGCUUGCCUGGAGCUUUACACCAUAAUGAUUGAGCUCCAAACAACACCAACCGUCUAGGGCGCCAAGGCACCCAAGAGGAACAAGCUCUAGGGUGCCUAAACACCCAAGAGUAAUAAGCUUCUCAAACUUCACUUCCACGUAUCACCGUGGAGAACUCAAACCGAUGCACCAAACGGAGUGCCCAAGUCCUUCUCUCCCAAAUCCCACCAAAGCAACUAAUGCUAGGGAGGAAAAUGAGAGGAAGAACGAAAGAAGAACACGAAGAACUCCAAGAUCUAGAUCCAAUGGUUUCCCCUCACUUAGAGGAGAAAGUGAUUUGUUGGAACAUGGAGCUAGAUCUCCUCUCUCUUUUUCCUCAAGAACUAGUACGAAUCAUUGGAGGGUUUGAGAGUUAGCAAGCUCAAAUAAGGUCAACAAUGGGGGAAGAACACGAGCUCAAGAGAGAAGGUUCAUUGGGGAAGAAGACCCCCUUUUAUAGGUGGGGAAAAUCCAACCGUUAUGCUCACCGCCCGCCCAGAGAGGUACUACCGCUCGACCUCACGGUACUACCGCUCGACCUCACGGUACUACCGCAAGGGGUAGCGGUACUACCUCAAAGGGUAGCAGUAUUACUGCUUGCGAGCAGUACUAAAAAAAUACAUCUGUGCCUACGACCGCUGGACUUGUGAUGAGUUUUUGGUCCGGAGCGGUAGUAAAAAAUUACAUCCGCUCCUGUCCGCGGUAGUACCGUUGCAGCCUUUCCAGAACACAAAAAAUGCCACAACUUCUGUAAACGGACUCCGAAUUCAACGAAACCAAGUUUGUUUGAAAGCUAGCAUCAAGGGCUAACACAAUAUUUAUAGAACUAACAAUAAUAAGGAAAUUAGAAAAGGCCCAAGAUAAAAUGGUGAGAACCCUUCCUCGAAAAGAUCGGUAAAACCUCCAACAACGAAAAUGCGAUAGAAGAGGCAUAUGAAAUCCGUUUUCGAAGUACUAGAGCUUGUCACGGAGAUAACCACAAGCUCUAAAAUCUCAAAAUAAAAAACAAAUAAGAAUCAAGAAAGAUGAUGCAAGGAUGCAAUGGUUUGAGCUCUCGACGAACGAUACGAUCAAGCUACUCACUUGAGAGCCCCCCUUGAUAGUACGACUAUCGAUCUUAUAACCCGGUCUGCAAACUAUCACCAUGAGACUAGUAAAAUAUAAAACCUAUCAAGGGCAAACCUUUGCCUUGCACGAAGCCCACUUGAGCUAGAUGAUGACAACCUUGACUCCCUCAAGUUGGACCACCUUUCUUGAUUGCGUUCGCUCGAUGAAGACUAGUUGAUUGCUCCCCCGUACUCCACUAUUGGUGAGCCACUCUUUGGCACAUCUUCACAAGUCCAUUGAUACCAUCAUGGACGGCAAGCUACAAGCAUGAUUUCUUCGUGAUGCUCCACUUGAACUUGCACAACACAACCUUGAUUUGAUGUCAUCCUCCAUGGGUUGUAUGUGAUCUUCCUCUUGAUGCAAGCCCAUGGAAGCAAACCUAACCCCACAUAGAACUCUCACAAAGACCAUGGGUUAGUACACAAAGCGCAAUGGACAAUGCUUACCAAACCGUGAGAUCACUUGAUCCCACUCGGUGUAUCUUCUACGCUUUGUGUUAUGAUCAACUUGAAUCGCUCUCUGUACUUAGUCUUGAUCAACCUUGACUCUUUCCAACUCUCUUCAUUUGGAUGAUGUCUUGAAGGUAAACAUGAAUGAUCACACAAUCUUCUUCUUUAAGACAUGCUUGCAAUAAGCUCAAUACUCACAUGACCAAUCUUUGGAUAAUAAUUAAUAACACCUUGGUCAACUCAUAAACUCCUUGAAACCAACACAUGUACUUCAAUAAAUGCCUAUGGACAAAUCCUUCAAAUAUAACUCAAUGCAACCAUUAGUCCAUAGAGAAUGUCAUCAAUUACCAAUACCACACAUGGGGUCGCCGCAUGUCCUUUCAUUAACCUUUACAUAGAUUAGCUUGGAGAGUCUCAAAGAUUUCCUUAUGCAUACACCCUUCAUGCACAAAUAAACCUAAAUAUCUAGGCCAUAAAAUUUAAUUACGAAUAUCACGGAUCCUUUUAACCUAAACACAACUUCCGAGCAAUUUUCGGAAAAAAUGAUGAAACCUUUGAUAAAUUGAACCGUCAUCACGACGUAAGUUUCAACAAACCUUUAACCAUUGUAGCCUACCGCUCAGAGAUCUGAAUAACAACAAUGAGUCAUCCGCAAACAACAUAUGCGCAAUAGUUGGAGCUCUUCUAAAAAAUUUAACCCCUUCAAAACCCUCCGCUCCACCGCUUUGUUCAAUAGAGCAGUCAAGGCUUCAACAAUAAAAAGGAAUAAAAAGGUGCAAUGGCGGUGCCAGGAAUUCAAUCAUGGGUAGUCAACUGAAUCUUGUGUAGUCAGAAGCAUGCAUUUGUAGGUAUUUUUGCAUGAUGUCUAUUUGUUGUAGGAUGUGUUUUGCAAAGAGUUGUGUACUCAAUGGACUACACAGCUCAUGUGUGGCCUCAUCACUGAAAAAGGGGCUUGAUGUAGACCACGCGAGGGGUCGAAGGACUCCAACAAUUUCUCAUUAAACUUCACAUAAUAUUCGCCGAAGACACAAGUCAUAACACGAGCAAUCUAGUGCUGGGAGUUCCUUUGAUCUAUAGAUUUUUCCAUAAUCUGUUGUUACUUGGGUGACAAAGGACGGAAAUGCAUACCCUCUUUUCCAAACUAGCGUCCCAAAGUUCCUUUGAUCUGUAAUUUUUUCCAUAGAGACUUUUGUCUCACGUUGGCCGUGAACCCGUGACUAAAGUAGAUUUAUGUUAUUACUUGGGUGACAAGAGAGUUUAGGGUGGUCAAGGUGCAUAGCUUUAAUUGGGAAAUGAGAAACUUGCAAUCAGUUGAUUUUUUCUCUCUAUAUCAAUGCAUGUGCAUUCAACCAUGUAUCUCUUCAUGUACACAAAUGCAUAUAUUGUGCAUGUAUACUUUAACAAAUGAAUAAUUAAUUAUCGCAAAAAAUACAAAUGGAUAAUUAAAUUAUCUGUUAAGACGGAUCUUGAUAGCAUCAUAUACGUGAGUUUUCUCCCAUGACAAUGCAUGGACUCACGAGCUAAACAUGAAAGAAUUUUUUUCUCCCGUUGCAACAAACGGGCAUGUUUGCUAGUGUGUUGUACAAAUACAAAGAAACACCCCGAUAUAAAUUGAUCGUGGAAACCAGGGAAAAACGCUUUCCAAAUUGUCCCGGCGAUAAGGCCCUGUUUGGUUUCAAAUAAGUCACCAACUUAUAAGUCGAAAAGUGCAAAAAGUGACUUAUUUUGCCAAACGGCCCCAACUUAUAAGUCAUCCCAACUUAUAAGUCAUAAGUUGCUCCACCCCAACUUAAAACUUAUAAGUCACCUCCUUUUGCAUGGGUCCCACCACAUACAUGAUGUUAAUUGGUGUGGAAAGGUGUGGGAAGGUAAAUUAUAAGUCAGGUGACAACCAAACGGGUGUGACUUAUAAGUCACUGGUUUUAAGUCACCUGACUUAUAAAUCAGGGGACUUAUUGGAACCAAACAGGGCCUAACAUUAGUUGAAGCCUUCCGAACCACGCCUCACGGGCCCACCGGUCUGAAAUCCAUCCGAAAUUUCGCGGCAGCGAGCACCUCCCCGCGCAGGAAAAAUCCAUCAAAAAAACUGCUGGGUCCCCCUGCCAGAAACCCACCGAGGCGCACCCCUCCUGGCAUCCCGGCACCCCGCCUCCUCCUCAGAAAAGAAACACACUUCGCCCGCCACGUCACCGAUCCGCGCCACCCCUCUUCCCCAUUCCGCACCACCGAUCUGCCAUCCGACGGCCGGCACCCCGCAUCACGCGGAUCGCGGCCGCGCCCCUGGCCCCAAACCGCGCGGCUAUAAAUCUACCUCGCCCCGCACGGCCCAACCAUCAGCACCGCAGCAGCCACCUCCCAAAGACAAGUCAACCUCACCGAGGAGAAGCAGAGAGAAGGGAGAAGAUGUCGGGGCGCGGUAAGGGAGGAAAGGGGCUCGGCAAGGGCGGGGCCAAGCGCCACCGGAAGGUGCUCCGGGACAACAUCCAGGGCAUCACCAAGCCGGCGAUCCGUCGUCUGGCGCGGCGGGGCGGCGUGAAGCGCAUCUCGGGGCUCAUCUACGAGGAGACCCGCGGCGUGCUCAAGAUCUUCCUCGAGAACGUCAUCCGCGACGCCGUCACCUACACCGAGCACGCCCGCCGCAAGACCGUCACUGCCAUGGACGUCGUCUACGCGCUCAAGCGCCAGGGCCGCACCCUCUACGGCUUCGGCGGCUAGGCCACCGCCAGAUUAGCUAGCCUGUGUCUAGGGUUCGUUGUCCAUGAUGUAAUUGCAGCAUCUCGCUGUUGUUUGCUAUCUUCUGUAGAAUCGAAUGGAAUGGAAAUUGAACUAGUUUAUCAUUGGAAUCUGUUGCGUCCGUCAAUUCCCUAUUAGCUGGCUCUCCUGCUCAAGUCGGUCGUUUUUUUUGGUGCACGCAAUUCGAACGUAUCUGGCCUGUGAAAUCCACACUCCAAACUUAUCCCAAUUCCAAAUCCAUCGAGUAAUAACUUGCGGGCACCGAUCCACCUCCGUUGCAGAACGCACAAUGCUUUGGAAUCGGUACCGAUUCCUCCGUACCGAGGUUCCCGUUCAGCAAUUUCGUCGAGCACCUGAGGUUCGUUGUGUUUUCCUUGCCGCCUUGUCUUUUGACGGCAUGGAUGUUCAUUACUCUGCUUCUGGAGCAGGUUGCGUUGCCGCUCACAACAGAGUAGGAGGCAGGUGAUCGUGCUGGAGCCUUGGAACCUGCUGGGAUUGCGUGCAGUGCUGGAGCGAUCCCUCGGUACACAUCUGCCUUGGCUGCCUCUGUUGUCUUCCCAAACUUUCUCAUGAUUAAUUCUGCUUCAUGGCUUAAGUAACCACAUGAAAAUCUGCUCCUCUGAUAUAACUAAAUUCUUUUUAACUGUAAUUACAAGUUAUAAGUCAUGAGACACGAUUAGCUGGCCUGACCAUUUGAAUUGUGAUGGGAUGGAGCUGAUUCUUGGCCGAAAGUGGAUUUUGACUACCUGAUCCAAUUUGUUGAAUUACAUUAACCAGCGGCAGGCAAAGCCCAUGCCCCAGCUCCAGAUCACAUUAGUAGCUAGGGUUCUUGAAUUGCAAUAACCAGCUGCUGUUUGCUCUGGUCUGUGCUUCAUGUUAGGAUGUACGAUGAACCGGCUACUGCUUGUUUGAUGGAAUGGAUGGGUAGUAGUAAAUUUCAGUUGUUUACUGUGUUCUGCUGUUUGCUCUGGUCUGUGCUUCAUGUUAGGAUGUGCGAUGAACUGGCUACUGCUUGUUCGAUGGACUGGAUUGGGUAGUAGUAGUAAUUUCCAGUUGUUCACUGUGUUAGGAUGUACGAUGAACUGGCUAUUACAUGUUCGCUUGAAUGGAUUGGAUUGUUGUGAAUGUUAGGCUCUUUUGAUCUACAUUUGUGUAUUCUUCCUUCUGCCCCCAAACCAACCAUGUUCACGCAAGGAUACGAUUCGAACUGUCUUUGCAUUUUGGCAUCUUAGCAGUCGAAUUUUCACGGCGACUAGUUGCAGAAGCAAAGUUCAGUUCAGAAUGCCUUGUGGUUUGCACCUUUGUUGCUUUACUGCCUUCUCAAAAGUUGUCAUGAUCAAUUAGCUUGUCUGUUCUGAAUCUCUGAUGCGUAACUUUUCUCAUUGCUGUACAACUGUAGGGAGUGGUAUUCUGUAUUCAAGUUUUUCUUUAUGUACUAAGGAGUACUAAGAUAAGUCAAUAGUAAUAUCCUUCACCCAUUUUUUCCUAAUAUCAUCUUUACCCUUUUAUAUGUUUUCUUUUCACAAGUUUGUGAGUUAGCCCUUGCUCCCUUUGCUUUUAUCUUCUGUGGACCCCAUUUUGGUGUCUUGGACUUCUCAUACUGUUGCAGGCUUCUCAGUUGGCCAAUGUUUUCUUUCCUUUCUGCAGUGAUUUAUAAGCGUUUUUAAAGAUUUGCCGAACAAGGUACUAAGAUCAUUUAAAAAUAGAACCACUUUAUUAGUCACUCCAUUGAUGUGGUUGAGAACUGUUAUUCCUUCACAAAAUAAGCAGUGCAAACUUUGGCUCAUAUUACCAUGGCAGCAGCAAAUCGUAUGAUGAUUUGCUGUGUAAUUCAUUUGGUCUGCACAUGUUCGUCAUUUACAUAACAUAUUGGGCUGGACAGCGGACUGUUUACCAUUGAUUCUUACUAUUUCAUACCCACAUUUUAGCUUCGUCAUGGUUAUUUUGCCAUAAUAAGAUUGGGAUGAUUGUUGAGAUAUGAGGUGUGAACUUCUUUAUGUAGACUAUACUCUAUAGCAUUUUGAUGUCAAGAGCUGGGCUAUCCAAAUGACAACAUAGGUAUGUUGUACUUAACCCAACAUCUUUUUAUCCUGUCAGUAGAGGAACUAAAAUAAAAUAAAAUGUUCGUAGCACUCCUAUGACUUCUUUUUAUGCUUUGGACCGUUAUACAGGGUUUUCUAAAUUUCAUACAAGAUGCAUGUAAAGAUACAUCAAAUGAAAUUUACUUGUGAUUUUCAGUAUAUAGUAUAGCAAAUAACUGCCCUGUUCUCUCUUCUUUCGCUGCCUCAGGUUUUGUGUGUGGGAAGGGAACAGUGCACGAAUGCUCCAAAAUAACUUGAGGGAAGCAACUAGACCUCCCCCAACACCUUGAAAGAGCAAAAAACAUCUUAGGAGAUGCACUAAUUAAAAUUUAUUAUGGUAAUCUGUAGAGUUAUUUCCUGUAGUUAAGCUAACAACAAAGUGGCUAAAACAAAGACUUGUUGAAAUCAUCUAUAGAGCCCUGAAGGUAUCUGCUUUUGUCUCUUCUUUUGCUUUGAAUAUAAUAGUGAAAAAUGUGCUCUUGUCUUAUGCAAAGGUCUGCAUAAUCAGCAGGUCCAUAUGGCUGGAACCAUUCAGCCAGGAAUCCUUUCUCUCUGAAAUCAUUCAAAAGUGGGUUCAUGCUUUUGAUAUACAUUACUUCACUAAGAUCUUGCAAUAGUGCAGAAUAUGUAUAUAUAGUUUUCUAUUGAAUAUUUUUCACUUCGAAUGUAGGCUCCAUUUAGGGAACUAAGCAGUGUGAUUUCUUACUUCCUAACCUCAUUAUUAGUUCACUUUUCCCCUUAUUUUUCCGUGUUACAACUGUUAAGCGGUGGUGCAGUUCUCUAGGAAAAAAAUGUUCUCCCUAUGCUAGUAUUUAUUGUCCUCCAAGCAUGCCAAGCUGAAAAAAUUGUCCAACCUGUACCUGUACAGAGGAACUGAUGUAUCUGAUGAUCCUGUCACUAUAUCUCUACACCAGUUUGUUGCGAAGAUGUCCCUAAGCUUCUGGUCUCCGCUGAAUCCUGUUGCUAGAAUUAUAAUAUCACUCUUUAUGCAUUCAUUUCCUUCCUCCAGGAUGAUCCCAUUACUGCAGAAGCUGAACCUCUUGGAUUUCUCAAGAAUAACGCUACCCUCAUCAACCCUGUCAUGAAAACCUAUUGCCAGCAUUGCAAUCAAACACGAAGACAUAGCAAAGGAGAAGCUGUAGUCAGGACUCCCUUUAUCAUUGUCCGCGGACACGACAAAUACCGUGUCUUUUUAGAGGAUAGCGUCGAAGACGACUGUAUACAAUGCGAGAAAGAAACACCCAUAUAUCAAUUGAUCGUGGAAAACCCAGAAAUACGCUUUCCAAACUGUCCUAGCAACAGCCUGAGUUUACGUCUCCGAACCAGAAAUCCGUCCAAAAUUUCGCGGCAGCGAGCGACGCGCCCCGCGCAAAAAAAUCCAUCCAAAAACUGCGGGGUCCCACCCGCCAUAGACCCACCGAUGCGCAGACGCUCCUCGCAUUCCCGCACCCCGCUUCCUCCUCAGAAAAGAAACACACCUCCGCCGCCACGUCACCGAUCCGCGGCACCCCUCGUCCUCGCUCCCCUCCAUCGACCCCCCAUCCGACGGAUCGCACCCCGCAUCACGCGGAUCGCGGCCGCCCCCGGGCACAAAGCCAGCAGCUAUAAAUUCGCCUCGCCCCAGAAGCCUGCUCCAUCCACCUCAUCGCUCUACACCUCACAAAGACAGGUCAACCUCACCGAGGAGAAGAAAGGAGAAGCGAGAAGGAUGUCGGGGCGCGGCAAGGGAGGCAAGGGUCUGGGCAAGGGCGGCGCCAAGCGCCACCGGAAGGUCCUCCGCGACAACAUCCAGGGUAUCACCAAGCCGGCGAUCCGUCGUCUGGCGCGUCGGGGCGGCGUGAAGCGCAUCUCGGGGCUCAUCUACGAAGAGACCCGCGGCGUGCUCAAGAUCUUCCUCGAGAACGUCAUCCGCGACGCCGUCACCUACACCGAGCACGCCCGCCGCAAGACCGUCACCGCCAUGGACGUCGUCUACGCCCUCAAGCGCCAGGGACGCACCCUCUACGGAUUCGGAGGCUAGGCCACCACCGCCGCCAGAUUAGAGUGUCUAGGGUUCGUGGUCUUUGAUGUAAUCGCAGUAUCUCGCUGUUGUUUGCUAUCUUCUGUAGAAUGGAAUUGAAUGGAAAUCGAACUAGUUUAUCCUUGAAAUUCUGCAGUCUGUGUCUGAUUCGUGAUAAAAUCGUUCUAUUGCGUUACCUGAUUCCCCAUUCUGCGCCUCUAUCCUUAACCCCAAAAUCUGUUGUAUUGGUUUAUGUUACGAACCGCAUCGAUCUUAUUCAAAUUCCAAAUCCGUCGAGUGAUAAGCUUCAGGCGUCGACAUUGGCGCAUCUGCGUUGCAGGUACGAACUCCCCAAACAUUUGUUCCCGUUCAGCAAUUUUGUCGAGCACCUGAUGUGCAUCCAAGGCACAAGUUCUCGUUAAUUCGCAUGCCUUCUAUUUCUGGAACAGAUUUGGGGCCGAGUUCGUGGCUGACCGCAGCGUACGAGGCGGACAGGGCUGAGAUAUAUUUGUCAUCGUGCUGCUGGCGGCUGGAGCUUUGGAAUGCGUCCGUGGCCAUGGGCGGCCCUGGAGUCGGGAUCGCGUGCGUGCCCCCCUCUACCUCUGCCUCCAACCUGCUUCGCUGCUCCUGCUGUCUCACGGUAUGGUGACGAUCUGCUUUGCUUACUCUGUUGUAGUUUUUCUGACUGAAAUUACUCAUGACCUACUGCUUCCGUGGCUUAACCGCAUUAGGAUGUGCUCUUCCAAUAGAACCGAGUUUCAAAUCAGAUAUGUGCUGCCCAUUUGAGGCUGUGACUCCUGGGGGUUGAUAACAACUCCUGUGGCCAGAGUAGCUGACCCUGACAAUUUGAAUUGUGAAUUUGUGAUGGGACUCGUGGUAGACAGCUGAUUCAUUUGGCUGAAAUUAGACUUUUACUUACCUGAUCCAACUUCUUGAAUGGAAUAAACAGUGGCUGGCCAAUGCCAGGCCCCAGCGCGCCCCCACCGACAGAUCAGAUUAGUAGCUAGGAUUCAUGGUUCGGCAGGCAGGCAGUCUCUUGCUGCUGUUUGCUCUGGUCUGUGCUUCAUAUUAGGUGUAUGAGGAAUUGGCUACUGCUUGUUCGCUGGAACCGAUUGGGUAGCUCCUAGUCUACAUCUGUGUACAUUUGUUCAGUGGAGUAAAUCUCAGUUGUUUACCUUGAAAAUCUCUUGGUGCUCCUAGUCUACAUUUGUGUGUUCUUCCUUCUGCUCCCCAAUUUCUUGUUCUGUGUGAUAAACUAAGCAGUUACUCCACUUGAGGUUGAAAACUGUUACUCCCAAAUUUGAACUAAAACCACGACACUUAUUUUGGAACGGAGAGAGUAUUUCUUAAGAAAGUAAAUUGUGUAAUCUUUGGCUCAUAAUGGAACGAAAUGCAAAGAUCCUUUGCGUUUUCUCGAAAAAAAUGAAGCGUAAAGCACCUUAGGAGAUGCUCUAAUUAAAAUGUACUGCAGAAAACUGUAGAGUUAUUUCCUGUAGUAAAGCGAACAACAAUCUUGCUAAACAAAGACUUGCUGAAAUAAUCUAUGGAACCCUUAAGGCAGCAGCUCUCGUCUCUUAUUCUUUUGCUAUGAGUACACUAGUGACAGAUAUGCUAUUGUCUUCAGCAAAGGCCUGCAUAAUCAGCAGGUCCAUAUGGCUGGAACCAUUCAGCAAGGAAUCCUUUCUUUCUUCUAGGGUUGCAUCCGAUGUCUUGGCACAACAAAUCAUUAAACCAAAUAUUCACUGUGCUUAUGCAAGAUCGUCGAAAAUACUUUCCAUUGUAAAGAUUCUUGUACUUUGUCCACUCUGCUACACUCUCUUCCAUGCGUCUUACGCUUGGCAUUUGGAAGCCACCAGCCAGGAAAUGGAUUACCCAAUUAGCCACCCUCUCUGAGACAUAUAUGUCGGUAAGGCUCUCAGAAUAUCCGACUAUUGCCAACUGAGGGAUUCGAGGAUGGAUGCAUUCUCUGUUAAUUAAUUCAAUCCAUUUAAUAAAUGAGAUUAGUAUGCAUAACACAAAGUAAACAUGCAAAUGUUACUUCCACCUAAAUUAAUGGUUUGAUUUUAUUAAGCUUGUUAUUUUUAUUGAGCCAAAGCAAGAGAUAGAAAAGCAGAUAACAACUUGAAAAGUGGGCGCAUCCUUUGAUACAUUACUUUGCUAAGAUCUUGCAAUAGUGCACUGUGCAUAAUGUAUAUAAUUUUGUACUGAAUGAUUUUUGCUUUGACUGUAGACUCCAUUUUGGGAACUCGCAAUGUGAUAUCUUACUUCCUAACCUCAUUAUCAGCUUACCUUUUCCCUUACCUUUCCGUGUUACAAUUGUUUAGCUCAGUGCAAUUCUUUAGGAAAAAAAUGUUCUCCCUAGCGUAUUGUUUAUUGUCCCCAAAUAUGCCAACCCAAAAAAUUGCCCAACCUGUACCUGUAUAGUGGAACUGAUGUAUCUGAUGAUCCUGCCACUAUAUUUCUGCACCAGUUUGCUGUGAAGAUGUCCCUAAGCUUCUGGUCUCCUCUGAAUCCUGUUGCUAGAAUUAUAAUACCACUCUUUAUGCUUUCUUCUCCAUCCUCCAGGUUGAUCCCAUCACUGCAGAAGCUGAACCUCUUUGAGUUCUUAAGAAUAAUGCUGCCAUCAUCAACCCUGUCAUAAAACCCUUUUGGCAGCAUUGCAAUCAAGCAAGAAGACAUAGCAAAGGAGAAGCUGUAGUCAGGUACCAUCCCAUGUUUUUGUAAAGGAAUCCUUUGCUUGAGGUAGGUUUCAAUUACUUUUGUAAUUGCCCAUCUCUGAAAACAACAGGAGUAUUGUGGAUUCAUGAGCUUUCUAUGCACACAUAUGAAAAUAAAUUGACUGUUGACUGCUUUCAAAACUCUAGUCAAGAAGAAAAUAACUGUUUACCAAGGGAGAGAGUGCACUAGCCAACAUAUAGUGGAGAAAUCCUUCACCGGGUUUAUGAACGAAUAAUUGCGAGAUGCGGUUAAGAUAGAAGUAAUUAAGGUUAACUCCCCACAUACUAAAUUUGUCAACCCGCCAGUGUUUUGUUCUGUAUAUCAUGGUGCACGGCUGAGCUGCACCUGCAUUGGGGCAGAAGUGUCAGACACAUAUUCUGAAUGAUUAUUGCUAGUUAGUGCGGUCUUAGUUCUCUUGGACUCACCAUUCACUUUGGCAACCUCUGCAGCAAUGUCAAAUGCUGAUUUUCCGGACCCAAUUAUUGUCACACUCUUCCCUUUAACAAAUUCAGCCGCAUUAUCCAUGUAAGAGUAGUCCAUAGAGUGCAAUAUUUUGCCCUUGAAGAAUUCAGGCCCUUUGCUCACUGGAAAUUCUGGGAUAUUUGGGGUUCCACUAUGCCUUCCGAUGCACAGUAUGAGAAAAUCCACCUGAAAAACCUGCAACAUGAUGUUACUUAUACAUAGUUACAGUCUGCAUGGCCUACAGAGUGAUUCCAGGCAUGUGCGAAUGCAUCAUAUUGUUCAAGCAGACUGUCCUAGUUCAUAUUUUCCUAGCUCAGGAUGUUGUUCCUUUAUUUCCAAUGAAUGAAAAAUAUCUGUACCAUUCGACAAAAAGCAUUUUAAUUGUCAUAUGGUUCUGUGAUUGUCCUUUCUUAGCAGUUACUAUGCACAUGUGUGGAGUCAAUUAAUAGGACUCAUCUAUACCAAAUAGUUAUUUACUACCACUGCACACCAUAGUGAAAACAAAAUUGAAUCAUAAUACCCCAUUUAGAUGCAACCUGCACCUGGGCUCUAUGUUUGUGCAUGUACAAACAUGUAUUCCGAAACUCGAACCAAGAUAGAUAUCCCAAGGGAUUGCAAAUACCUCAACUGCACCAAUUUUCAGGUCCUUCACUUUAAGGCUCCACCCUCCAUCUUUCCCAGCUCUGAACGCCUUCCCGUCGUCACCAGACCAAUGCUUCCACUCCAUAAUCUCUUCCUCGGUUGCACCAAAGUAUUCAACUCCAAGCACCUGGCUACUGAACUUGAUACACUUGAGGAGGUCAAACUCGCACGCGUACAACCUGAGGUAUUCCAUGACUUCAUGGUGGCCUGGGUACGUCGCCGUCACGCUGGCCGGCCAUGCCAAGUCCGAGAACCGGAACGAUGUCGUCGGCGCCUGAAGCCUUGUUGACUGCAAGGUAUGCGCCCACACUCCACCGAUGGUGUCAUCGGCCUCGAAUACCACCGGGCUGAACCCCUUGUCGAGUGCGUGCUUGCAGGCUGCUAGGCCGCUCACACCAGCACCAACAAUGCCCACCCUCUUCCUGUCCAUUUAUGCUGCUCCUAUUCAGAGUUCUUGGAAGGAAGGAGAACCUGAGGAUGAAGGUGAGAGAGUGUCUAUUAUGUAAACCAGGGGUGCUGGAUGAGGCUGAACUGCUGAACCACUACUUGCCUGAUAUCUUCCAUUGUUUUCUUCGUCUAUUUCUGUCAUCCUCUGUCCCCAUGUGCUAUUUUAUCUUCCGUCAGCUAUUUUUUUGUUUUCAGCUAUACAUGUACAGACGGCUAGCUGAUGGGUGAGUUUUAAAAUGAUUGCUAAUUUAUAUCGACAAACUAUCUCGUGUUGCAUGUUGAGGUGAUGCUGCAUACCUUACGGCCAGGUGGCAUCAGGAUGACCUCAGUAAUAAACCUGAAGGAAGUCACUUACAGCCGUAAGUAUGAGUCACGAAAGAACUGCUCACCCAGAGUGGAAGCUUUUAGUUGCCCAGCUGCGAUGGUUCGAUAUGCACUGUUUGUGAAUUUGACAACACUUCCGUGACAUGCGGGUUUGGUUUCAGAGGUGAGUAUCAUGAAGCUGGGCAGCUAAUAGUUUUUGGGUAGUCAUUUGGACCCAUUGACAUUUUUAUAGACGAUUAUUAUAUUCCUGAGUCCUGACAAAAAAAAAAGAUCAUUAUAUUCGGUGGUGGUGGUUACACUUGGUCGAAGGAGGGAAUCCCUUGAAAGCGACAAUCUAUAUGUCACAGUAGAGUAGCUGAAGUUCUGGGUUUCUGGGUUCAAAGUGCGCACACAUUGUUUUUCAGUCGUUAAUUCUGAAUAGUGUUGGAAAUCAAUUGACAAGUCCCUUCAGUUUUUAAUUUGACUGUGUGUCUAGUUGAUGCGCUCAUUUUUCAUGAGGAAAUUAAACAUAAAGCAUAUUGUCAUCUUCCUGAAACUGACACAGGAGAAUGGUUUACCGAUUGAAAAGAUUCCUGGAAGAAUGGUAGUAGUUUGAGUUCAAUGCUGACUUGCUGCACCUAUAUUCAGGAACAUGGCAGCAAAUGUAGUUUCAACUGAAGAGCUCAUUCUGUGACAUUCAGUUUGUACAAUAGUCAUCUGAUAACAAUGACCCUUGCAGCUGAAAUGGUCGCACAGAACGACACACUAGGUCACUGGCUAUGGCUGUUCAUGAAAUCUGCCUGCAAGUAUUGCUGGUGGUUGCAUUGUUUUACUUCCGGAUGCAUUGGCAGUUUCUGCCCCAAGUGCCCAGGUGCUGCAACUUAUUCAGUUACGUUUUUCAAAUAUAAUUUGUGAACACUGUCAGAUGCAAAACAAUCACGGUUGCUUCGGACUUCACUAUGUUUAAUCUUUCUGGAUGAGAACUAUAACAUGAUCUUGUGCUGUUUGUAGAUUUGAACCAAUCAAUGCAAGACUUAAGUCAUGCUAGUCCCUUCAGUUUAUUGAAUGGAUUUACUUGAUUCAGAGCGCUGAUUGCAAGUUUCCGAUGCUAAACCUGACUACGACGCACACAAUGUACUAAAGGUAGUAAAUUUUACUAAUUAUCUUGAGGCUACUCUACAUAGGUAGAAAGUAAUAUCUGCACGUUUCAAGCCAACUUCGCAUGAACUUUGUUUCCAAGACAUGUGUAUUUGUUCUUGUAGCUUUAGGACAUCUUCUGUUAUAUUUGUUAUAGCAUUGUUAUAGCAUGAUCAACAGUAAUAUCUUUACCUGUUUAUGUAUUCUUGAAGUUUGUCAGUGCCAGGCCGCCAAUCAAUGCCCUUGCUUCGGACUCUAUUUCGGUGUCUCGGACUUCUCAUGCUUUGCUUUUUGCAUGGGUUUAUUAGUUUUUUUAUGGGGACAGUAUGAAAAAAAAUCCUACUAGUGAAUACAGUAUAUAUUAUACAAUAAUAGGAACAAAAUUACACUUCAUAAAAGUCCAAAGGAUUCAAAAUCCAAAACAAACGAAAUAUUUUAGGAGCAAUAAUGCAUCCAGAAAAUUGUAGAAGUAAUUUUCUGUAGUUAUGGUAACACUAAAAUUUCCAAGACAAACACUUCCUAAAAUCAUCUACAGAGCCCUGAAGGUAGCAACUCUUGUCUCAUCUUCUUUUCCUAUUGAAUACACUAGUGAGAAAGGUGCUAUUGUCUUCAGCAAAUACUUGCAUAAUCAGCAGGUCCAUAUGGCUGAAAGUGAGGUGCUAUUACCUUCAGCAAAUACCUGCAUAAUCAGCAGGUCCAUAUGGCUGGAACCAUUCAGCCAGGAAUCCUUUCUUUCUUCUAGGGUUGCAUCCGAUGUCUUGGCACAACAAAUCAUUAAACCAAAUAUUCACGGUGCUUAUGCAAGAUCUGCGGAAAUACUUUCCAUUGUAAAGAUCCUUGUACUUUGCCCACUCUGCUACAUUCUCUUCCAUGCAUCUUACGCUUGGCAAUCGGAAGCCGCCAGCUAGGAAAUGGAUUACCCAAUUGGCCAUCCUCUCCGAGGCAUAUAUGUUUGUAAGGCUCUCGGAGUAUCCGACUAUUGCCAACUGAGGAAUCCGAGGAUGGAUGCAUUCUCUGUUAAUUUGAAACAUUUUAAUAAAUGAGGUCACUAUACUCAACAUAAGUAAACAUUUUAAAUUUACUUCGACCUACCUUAAUAUUUUGAUUUUAUCAAGCUUAUCAUUCUUUUCAAACCAAAACAUAUGAUGCCUACUAUGCUGAUAAUGGUGUUACACAAUUGAUAGAGAAGUACUUAACAACUUCUAAAGUGAGUGCAUGCUGUUGUUUAUGCUCCCUCCGUCCUAAAUCAAAGACACUUAUUUUGGGACGGAGGGAGUAUUAGUUUGCUAAGAUAUUGCAGUACUGCAGAAUGAUAUUUUCUUGUAUUGAAUAUAAUUUCCACUAGUGUAGGCUCCAUUUGGGGAACUCUGUGUGCGAUUUCUUAUGUCCUCACUGCACUAUUAGUUCACCUUCCCUUAUUUUUGUUAAGUGGUGGUGCAGUUCUUAAGGAUUUUUUUAUUCUGUAGCACAGUAUAUUGUCCUCCAAAUAUGCAACCAAAAAAAAGUUGUCCAACCUGUACCUAUAUAAAGGAACUGAUGUAUCUGAUGAUCCAACCACUAUAUUUCUACACCAGUUUGCUGUGAAGAUGUCCCUAAGCUUCUGGUCUCCUCUGAAUCCUGUUGCUAGAAUUACAAUAUCACUCUUUAUGCAUUCAUUUCCAUCCUCCAUGAUAAUCCCAUUACUGCAGAAGCUGAACUUCUUGGAUUUCUUAAGAAUAAUGCUGCCCUCAUCAACCCUGUCAUAAAACCCUUCUGGCAGCAAUGCAAUCAAGCAAGAAGACAUGGCGAAGGAGUAGCUGUAGUCAGGUACCAUCCCAUGCUUUUCUAGAGGAAUCCUUUGCUUGAAGUAGGUUUCAAUUACUUUUGUAAUUGCCCAUCUCUGAAAUAACAGGAGUUUUGUGGAUUCAUGAGCUUUCUAUGCACGAAUUGCUUAUAUGAAAUAAAUUGACCAUUGACUGCGUUCAAAACUCUAUUUAAGUUGGAAGUAAUUAUUUACCAAGGGAGAGAGUGCACAAGCCAAUAAAUAGUGCAGAAAUCCUUCACCAGGUUUAUGAACAAGUAGUUGCGAAAUGCGGUUAAGAUAGAAGUAACUAAGGUUAAUUCCCCAUAUGCUGGAUUUAUCAACCAGCCAGUGCCUCGUUCUAUAUAUCAUGGUGCAUGGCUGAUCAGCACCUGCAUUGGAAUAGUUGUGUCAGGCACAUAUUCCUUUGAACAAUUAUUGCUAGUUGGUGAGGUCUUAGUUCUCUUGGGACUCACCAUUCACCUUAGCAACCUCCGUAGCGAUGUCAAAUGCUGAUUUUCCGGACCCAAUUAUUGUCACACUCUUCCCUUUAACAAAUUCAGCCACAUUAUCCAUAUAAGAGUAGUCUAUAGAGUGCAAUAUUUUCCCCUUGAACAACUCGGGCCCUUUAUUAGCUGGAAAUUCCGGGAUAUUUGGUGUCCCACUAUGCCUUCCAAUGCACAGUAUGAGAAAAUCCACUUGAAAAACCUGUGACACGAGAUUGCUUACACAUAGUUGUGCUAUAGCCUACAGAGUGAUUCUGUGUACAUAAGGUAAAAAUGCAUUACAUUAUUCAAGCAGAUUUAUCUUAUUUGAGAUUUUUCUGGUCAGGAGAUGUAUUUAUGGAUUUUAUGAAUGAACAACAUUUUUAUACCACUCUAAAGAGAGUAUUUCUCGUUUGGUUGUGUGAUUCUUCUCUCUUAUUAUGCACUUACAUGAAGUCGAUGCAUAUGACUCAUCUGUGCCAACUGCCUAGCUAUCUACUGCCAUUCUAUAUUUCUAUACAUCAUAAUGAAAUCGAAAUAGAAUCAUAAUACCCCAUUUAGACGCAACCUGCAAUCUGAGCUCUAUGUGCGCAUUAGCAAGCAUGUCGAUAUCUGAAUUCAGAGGCAGAGCAAGACAGAUAUAUGAGGGUCCCAAGGGAUUGCACGUACCUCAACAUUACCAAUUUUCAGGUCCUUCACUGUGAUGCUCCACCUUCCAUCCUUCCCAGCUCCGAAUGCCGUCCCAUUGCCAGACCAAUGCUCCCACUCCAUGAUCUCUUCCUCAGUUGCACCAUGGUAUUCUACUCCCAACACCUGACUAUUGAACUUGAUACACUUGAGGAGGUCAAACUCGCACACGUACGACCUGAUGUACUCCAUGACUUCCCGGUGGCCUGGGUACGUCGCUGUCACGCUUGCAGGCCAUGCCAGGUCUGAGAACCGGAACGAUGUCGUAGGCGCCUGAAGCCUCGUCGACUCCAAGGUAUGCGCCCACACUCCACCAAUGGUGUCAUCGGCCUCGAAUACCACCGGGCUGAACCCCUUGUCUAGCGCGUGCUUGCAGGCUGCUAGGCCGCUCACACCAGCACCAACAAUGCCCACUCUCUUCCUGUCCAUUUUUACUGCUUUUCUUGAGGAUGGAGAGGAAAGGGUGUCUAUUAUAUAAAUCUUGGGUUUGAUUCUCUGGAUGGGCUAGAUAUUUUUAAAAUCUCAGGAUCUUUUGGGUGGCUGGAUGAGGCCGAACGAACCACCACUUGCUUGGUAUCUUUCGUUGUCUUCUUGGUUUAUUCCUGUCACCCUCUGACCACAUGUCCUGUUUUAUUUUCUUCAGUUAUCCUUUUUGUCUUCAGCGACACGCUGGGAGUAUGGGAUACGUGUGCAAGUAGCUGAUGUAUGAGUUUUUAGAUGUUUGCUAAUUUAUAGACCCCUUCCAAAUUUAAGUCGACAUCAACUGGCAUGUAGAGUUAACUUUGGAAAACAACCUCAUGUUGCACGUUGAGAUGAUAUUUCAUACCUUAUAGUCAGGUGGCAUCAGGAUUGCUCCAGUAAGCCUGAAGAGUCACUUACAGGUUACAGCCAUAAGUAUGAGCACCUGAUUUAUUGACUCAAUGGCAUGCUGCCACAUAAAACUGCCAACGCACCCAUUUUUGAUGGUUCAAGACGUAUUGUUUGUGAUUUUGACGACACUUCCAUGGCAGGUGGGUUUGGUUUCAAAGGCGAGCAUCAUCUAGCUGGACAACUAAUAUUCUUAGUAAUCAUUUGGACCCAUUUUUUAUAUAUGAUUAUCAUAUCCGGUGGUAUUCGAGGGAAUCCCUUGAAAGAGACAAUUUAUAUGUCAUAGUAGAGUACUUAGAGAUCUAAGUUCAAACCGUUGUUGUUUCCCAUGGUCCCUGGCUGCUACACUGAAAGCAUGUGGUGACGAUGCGGUGCUGUGGCGUGCCAGACUGAAGGAGGGAGACCGUUCCCAUAUUGAUAUCUGGCUGGCUGUUCUCAGGACCAGAUGAAAAGCCCGAUGGCUAGUCCGCCUUCUCCUCUUUCUGUAAACUCUCCCUCUCUGUAAUCUGACAUUCAGAGGCUUUGCGCCCUUUACGCAAUAUAUAUUCAGGUGGUGGCCCCCCCCCUCCCCCCACCCCCGGUGAAAAUUCAAAAAAAAAGUUGAUAAGUCUGCUCAAUUAGUAUUUUGAAGUAUAUGGGGAGUUCGUGAGGAAAUUGACAUGAAGCAUAUUGUCAUCUUCUGAAACUGGUGCUGACAAUGGUUUACCCAUUGGAAGGAGUCCUCAGAGGACGGUAACAAGUAUGAGUUCACAGCUAUCUUGUAGCACUUAUAUUUAGGAACAGAGCACCAGAUCUUGUUUCUGUUGAAGAGCUUAUUAUUCUUGGAAGUUGUACAUUUCUUGAAUGGUAUUUUUCUCUUCCAUUCAAGAGCAACAAUUGGCGUGACAGAUCUCAGUCAUGAACUGAUUGAAUUUCUGAUAUUACACAACCUUCUGUGUCUGAGAUUACAACACCCACAUCGCCUUUUUGCUGAGGCCACUUCUUCAGAUUGAUAUCGUUGUAAUCUGAUGGAAGAUAUGGCAUCAUCCACUGCAAAGAACUCUUUCUUUCUUCUGGGUAGCUUUCGUUGUUUUCUUCGUUUAUUCCUGUCACCAUCUGACCACAUGUCCUGUUUUGUUUUCUGCCAAUAAUUAUUCUUGUCUUCAGUGACUCACUGGGAUGAGUUGUAAAAUGCUUGCUAAGCUAUAGGUCUCUUUCAAAUUUAAAUCGACACCAACGUGCCAUGCAGAGUUAGCUUUGGAGAACUAUACCGUGUUGCACGCUGAGGUGAUGAUGCAUACCUUACAGCCUACCAAAUAGGUGGCAUCAGGAUUGUGCCUGUGAACCUAAAGCAAGUCACUUACAGGCAUAAGUACGCGCAGCUAAUAUUUGGACGCAAUGGCAUGCUGCCACAUAACAAAAUUACUUUCAAAUAUGUAUCCUUUGCAAAAAUAUAUUGAGUAAUGAAACUAGUUAGUUGCCAAAAUUACUUUUGUUGUCCACUUGAAAUGGUUCAAUAUGUAUCCAUUGCAAAACAAGGCAUUUUGAUAACACUCCUAUGACAAGUGAGUUCUAUCUCUUUUAGAAAUGGGCAUCAUCUAGCUGGACCGCUAAUAUUUGUAGUUUUGCUUUGGACCCAUUACUAUUUUCUACUCCCUCCGUUCCAAAAUAGUUGACUCAACUUUGUACUAACUUUAUAUUAAAGUUAGUAUAAAGUUGAGUCAUCUAUUUUGGAAUGGAGGGGGUAUAUAUGAUUAUCAUAUGAGGUGUUGGUGGACCGAUGGUCACCCAUUGGCCCAAAGGGACAAUUUUUUGGUCGCAGUUAGAAUAGCUAAAGAUCUGGGUUCAUACUGGGGAUGCAUGUUCUUUUAGUUUUUAUUUUGGAUAGUCUUGAAAAUUAAUUGACAAGUCUGGCUGAUAUGCUCAUUGCUCAUGAGAAAAUUAACACAAAUCAUAUUGUCAUGCUCCUGAAACUGAUAGAGAUUCCUUGAAGAGCGGUAGUAGUCAAGUUCACUGCUGACUUUCUGCACCUAUAUUUAGGAACAGGGCAACAAAUGUAGUCAACUGAAGAGCUUAUUCUACAACAUUUCAGUUUGUAGAAUAGUGAUCAUAGCAUCUCUAGAAUGAUAAUAUUUCUGUUUCAUUUAAGGACAGCGAUGUCGUGACAGCAUGUCACUUCUUCAGGUUGAUAUCACUUCUUCAGAUCGACAUCCUUGUAAUCUGAUGGAAGAUAUGUCAUCAGCCAAUCUGCAAAGAACCCUUUCUUCCUCCUGGGUUCACACCCCAUGUCCUGGCACAACUGGUCAUUGCACCAGAUGUGGAGAGCUCCAACGCAAGAUCGACGGAAGUAUUCACGAGAGUACCUCUUCAUGUAUUCAUCCCAUUCCUUUAUAUCCAGCUCCAUAGACUUUAUGCUAGGCAACUGAAAUGCUCCAUCAAGGAAAUGUGCCAACCAUUUGGAGUGCAUGUUGCUAUGCUCUCAGAGUAGCCGGUGAUCGCCAAUUGCGGGGUCCUAGGAUGCACGCAUUGCCUGCCCAGUUGACAAAAUUCACUGUGAGCUUCUACAUAUGUACAGACAGCCAAACAAACAUGUUUAAGAGAAAGACAGAUUAAACCUGUAGAGAGGAGUACUACUGGAUGGCGGGCCAGUCACAAUGUCUCUGAACAAGGAUGAUGUGAACAUCCCCUUGUAUCCGGUGACGAAUAUGACCACAUUGCUCUUUAUCGGCGUGGACUCACCUUCGACAAUGACACCUUGUUUGCAGAAACUGAAGCUCUUUGCUUUCUUGACAACAAUGCUUCCUUGAUCAACCAUGUCAGAAUUUGUCUGGCAAUAUGGCAACCAAGCAUGAGCUGAUGACCUGGAAGAAACUGUGGUCUGGCACCAUGCCGUGCCUAUCCAUAGGCACCGCCCAUCUGUAGUAGCUCUCGACGAACUUCGAAAGGAGCCAUCUCUGAUCAGUGUAUAUAUUCAGGUUGAAUAAAUGCAUGAGCACAAAUAGAUGAUCUGUAGUUACUUAAAAGAGUGGUGUGGUAUAAGUAGAAACUCUGGCUGGUGGCCCUUACCAAGGGUGAUAAGAAGGUAGCAAGAAUGCUAAGGAGCAGCCCAUCUCCUGGCCUGUGAACUAGGAGCUCCGAGAAUCGGUUGAGGUAGAAGAACGCAAUGGGAAUGCCCCAGGCGUAGCAGUCAGGUAUGAUCCAUCUCUUCGUCCGACAAAUUAUUGUGCAUGGAUACUUGGCUCCUGAGUGCAACAACAGUGAACAAUUAAAUUAGGACUUUUUCUCUGAACUCUUCUUUCUUUUGAUCACCCUGCAGUGGAGAGUAGCAGGAGAGCUAGAGAUGUCACCAUUCGUGUUUGUGCACUCUGCAGCAAUGUCAAUAGCGGACUUCUGGUAACCGACAACAGUAACGAGCUCGCCCCUGGUAAGCUCGGUGGACUUUGCACCGCAGCGCCCAUGUCGGAGUAGUGAGUUAUUUACCCAAAACCACCACAUUAUGGGCUAGGAUAACAGAUCGGUAUCACAUUUCAGGCAGUUCACACAAAACCAUCAACAAUGGGGCUAAUCUGUAACGCGGAGCACUGACGCUGCGUUUUAGCCCCGAAAACAGCGAAUCCGACAGGUGGGUCCCGCCUGUCGGGCUGACGUGGCGCGUGUUGACGGACGCCGUUAGACGGCGAGAGACGGCCGGCGCGCCCGUUUAAGUGGCCGCACGGUCGGUGUUCGAACCAGACCAGCCUGUUCAUCACUCUCGCUCUCCACUCUCUCGACCCCGACCACCGCCGGCGCCGGCACUGUCGAGUCGCCGCCUUUCGCCGCUCCGCCAUGGUUUCUUGGAGCGAGCCGUCCUCGAGCUCUUCUUCGGACGGCGAGGAAGUCACUAGCCAGGUAUGCAUGUUCGCCUCUCGCCUCCCCCACGGAUUAGGGUUCAUCCCGCUAGGGUUAGGGUUCAUCAUUUGGGGAUUUUUUUUACAAGGUCGCUCAUUUGUGCAAUUUGUGUGCUGGUUAGCUUCCUAGGACAAUCUCUUGCUAUGAAUGGAGUGGCAUUGCUCACGAUCUGUCGUCUCGUUGUCUGCAUCAACAACCUUGCAUCAGGCUUGUUGCAUUUGAAUCUGUGGACACAGGCAGACGUUUUCUUGCGUGUGCUGAGGAGAAGGUAUGUUGGUUAGUACUGUAAGUGAGUGCUCACUGUAAGUAGAUUAACUUAGUUAGUUUUUGGUCCAUUCACUUGUCAGUAAUCCAAUUUUGUGUAUCAAAGAAUUGUUUCUGGAUAGUUGUUGCUUCAGUACUCCAAUCUUGUGUUGCUUCAGUUGCUGUAAUAGUUGUUGCCCAUAAUCUAUGCAUAUAAUAUAUGCAUAUACAAUUUUGCACACAUUAAAAAAUUAUAUAUGAUGUUAUAAUUGUUUUUUCCCAGAAUUCAGUGGAUAGAAGUAAAUUAUAAUUUCAUAUAAUUUGUGCAUACAAUCUUAUUGAGAAUAUAUUUAUUUAAUUGUAGGUAGAACUAAAGUGCAACUAUCUGGAGCGGAUAGACCAAGAGUGGCCAGUGGCUAUGCAGUUCUCCCUCACUGAAUUGUGGAGCAUGUAUGACAAAGAUAUGAAGGAGAGGCACACAGAAAAUGUUGAGCUUGCUGAAAGAAAUUACAAACUAGUUGGAGAAAAGAGGAAGAUGGAGGAAGAUCUUAGGUUUUUCAAACUGGACUUUGCUAAAAUGGUUGCUGACAAGGAGGAUGCUAUCACAGAGUUGGGCAAUGUUAGGUUGGCUCUAAGUGAUCUCAAAGAGGAGAUGGAGAAGAAGAAGCUGGCAGACCAUGGUUGUACCAAUCUUCAUCAGGUACUUAGGGCAAAGGUAGAGAAAGAGAGGGACCAGCUAGUUGUAGAGAGAGACCAAGUUGUGAGAGAGAGGGACCAACUUAAACAAGAGAAGAAAAAACUGGAGUACAUCAUUGCAGAUCUGCUCAAACAAAAACAUGGGUACAAGGACAAGAUCAAGAAGUUGAAGGAGAUAUGUGAUGAUUUUUAACUAUGUAUUGUGCUGUGGUUUAGGGUAGCACUGCAGUUGAAUGUGCUCUUAUGCACUUAAUAAGCUGUAGUGCUUUAUGUAUCUUUAUGUCCAAGACUUGUGUUGUGUACUCUGAAGACUUGUGUUGUGUACUCUGAAGACUUGUGUUGUGUACUAAAUGUUUGUGGUUGUUUUGCCAUAAUAUUUGCAGAGAACAUAUAUUCCAGAGUGAUCUGUUACCAUUUACUUUGUGGUUGUUUUGCAUAAUAUUGGCAUGAUCUGUUUUGCACAGAAAAUAUUUGUGGUUGUUUUGGCAUGAUCUGUUUUGCACAGAGAAUAUUUUGCACACAUCAUAUAUUGCACAAAUCACAGAAAAUUUUGCACACAUCAUAUAUUGCACACAUCACAGCAAAUAUUUUGCAUAGAACAACUCCACAGAACAUAUAUUUGCAGAGAAUUUUAACAGCAGGAGAUAAACAAGGAUAACUUCACAGUGCCAUACAAAGGUUCAUAAUGCCAUACAAAGGUUUAACAAACAUAGGUUCUGAGUGCCAUAGUGCCAUAGUGCCAUAAUGCCAUACAUAGGUUCAUAAUGUCAUAAUUAAAGUGAUGUAAUGCCUGAUUUAGCACAGAUGCACUUGCAUACAGACUUCAAAUUUGAGCAUUUAGUAGUUCCCACUGGCAUAGAAGUACCCUUCCAUCCUCUUGCUCAUGUACUUUGUCCUCUUUGGCCUACUGCCUGCAGGCUGGCUAGUAGAAGCUUCUGCAGAAUUUCUUGGAGGCUUCAACCUUGCUCCUCUUCCAGCAGCAGCAGAUGAAGUAGCACCCCUUCUAGCACCCCUUCCAAGAGUAGAAGCAGACCUUGCUCCUCUUCCAGCAGCAGCAGAUGAGGCUCCUCCUCUUCCAGCAGCAGGAGCUGAGGCUGCUCCCCUUCCAGCAGCACCCCUUCUAGCAGCAGUAGUCUUUGCACCUCUUGCAGCAGCAGGAGAGGAGUUUGUAGUAGAUGAUGAUGGUGCACCCCUAGCACUUCCAGUAGCUGAUGAAGCUGCAGCAUGGUGCCAUUCAGGUACAGUCCUGUUUUCCUGUAAUUAAAAAAUUAAACAACUUUAUAAUAAUCAGUCAACAGAAAUAAACACUCAAGUAAUUUCAAAAUGAAAAUACCAUGUGCUUGUUCCUCCUGAUUUGCAAAUCAGGCCUUAAUGGCUUAGGACAACUUGUGUACUUGUGUCCUUGCAGCUUGCAGUUCCCACAUGUUAUAGUAGCCAUCCUAGAAGUCUGUUUUGCUUGAGGUGGCUCAAACUUCCCUUUUUUCCCUUUCUCUUCUGCUGGCCCCUUCUUGUCAUCUUUGAACUGUGGUGGUUCAAUGUCAGGUGUUGGAGUUUUCACCCAGCUAUCUGGACCAGGAACAGGGUAAAUUACUGGCUUAUAUGCCUCCAAGUACAUAGAUUUCUUGAAGAACACAUUGAUAUGAUCCUCUGGCAGCUGUUUAGACCUAUAGAUGGCAGAACAAGCAUGGUUGCAAGGAACUCCAGUGAUGUCCCAUUUCUUGCACCCACAUAUCUGUAUGUUUGUGUCAACACCAUAGGUCUUGUCUCCACUAGUUACUUGGAAAAGUCCUUGGCCAGCUAUCAGUGCUUUGCAAUCCCUUGCAUACUUCUUGUUCAUCUCCAACUUCUCUGCAUAGGUUGGUGCAAUCUCCCAUCUAGCACAUUUUCCACCCUCUCUCUUCUGGUGGAACCUCACUAGGAACUUGUCCUUGAUCCCAUUGAUCAUUGUGACAAUUGGCUUGUUCCUUACAUCAAGAAUGUACUUAUUAAAAACUUCACUUAAGUUAUUCACCACCAAAUCAGUUUUGCAGUUAGUGUCCAUUGCAUGCCUAGACCAAGCUUUAGCAGGAAUUCUUGACAUCCACUCCCAAGCAGCAGUGCACUCAGCCUUCAUGCUUUCCAUGGCCAAAUUGAAGUCAUGUUCAGUGUAAGCAUAGGCAGCUGCAUCCAUGCAUCUCUUCAAAUCCUCUCCUCCAAAUCCCGCUCUCUGGAAAUUUGCAUAGAUGUGCCUCAAACAGUACCUAUGAUGGCAGUUUGGGAAUACUGCUGUCACUGCAUUGAGUAGACCCUGCAUGAAAGUGAAUUGAAAUAAAUUUAAAUGAUUUUAAAUGAUUUUAUAUGAUUUAAAAUGAUUUUAUAUGAUUUUAUAUGAUUUAAAAAUGAUUUUAUAUGAUUUAAAAUGAUUUCAUAUGAUUUAAAAUGAUUUUAUAUGAUUUAAAAUGAUUUUAUAUGAUUUAAAAUGAUUUCAUAUGAUUUAAAAUGAUUUUAUAUGAUUUAAAAUGAUUUAAAAUGAUUUUAUAUGAUUUAAAAUGAUUUUAUAUGAUUUCAUAUGAUUUAAAAUGAAUUUAUAUGAUUUUAUACGAGUUAAUAUGAGUUAAUAUGAUUUUAUAUGAUUUAAAAUGAUUACGACUCGACACCUACCAACUAGUCAUGAUGGCAUCACUUUGAUGAUGGAUAUGUUCUUUGAUACCACAUGGGUCACCCUAGGCUAUAUAUGCCUAAGUGUCGACAAGAAGGGUUAUGACUCGACACCCACCAACUAGUCAUGAGCAAGUAAAUGAACUAAAUGAACAUGUAAAUGAUCAAGUAAAUGAACUAAAUGAACAACUAAAUGAACAUUAUAAUGAACUAAAUGAACAACUACAUAAACAAGCAAAUGAACUAACCUUCUGUCUAUCAGACAUGAAUGUGUACUUUCCAAACUUGCCCUCUUCACUUCCCCCUAGAGCAUACUUUAGCUGUGUCAAGAACCAGGACCAGUUAACUGUAUCUUCAACUCCAACCACUCCAAAGGCAAUGGGGUACAUAUUGUUGUUAGCAUCCCUUCCAAUAGCUGCUAGUAUCUGUGCACCACUAGUCAAUUUGAUGAAGCAGCCAUCUAGACCUAUGAAUGGCCUACAUCCAUUCAAGAAGCCCUCACAACAUGCAUUCAAACUGAAAAAUAGACCAUGGAACCUUGGUCCAGCAGUAGGAUUUUCUCUGGUUCCACUAACAGUAGUGACAAUGCACCUAGAUCCAGGAUUUGUAAGCUUCACAGUCUCCAAAUAGUCUCUCAGCCUCUUAUAUUGCUUCUUGUGAUCACCAAGCACAAUCUCUUUUGCUUUCUUCUUAGCCCUCCAUGCCAUCAUCCUAGGAAUCUCAAGCCCAAAUUGCCUCUUUGCCUUGUCAACAAUAGCAGGUACAGUAGUGUUGGGAUCUGAUCUGAUGGUCUCAAGCAUUUUGUUGCCAAGCCACCUUGAACUAAUCCUAGUUUUCUCAGACUGGGUGGGACAUGUGUGUUCCAACCUCAUCUUCUUAAUGCAGAAAGUGGGCUCAUUUGUUAUCUGUGCUGCUACCAUGUAGAACUGACAACCAUCUCCCUCACAGCAAACAAUUACCCUAUCACUGCAGUUUCUGUGGUAUUUAUAUCUUCUAAGUUGUUUCACAUGCAAAUUGACAAGGGCCUCUCUGAAUUGGUAAACAUCUUUGAAACAGACUUUAGCUGGAAUUGUUGUUCUGGAUGCAUCCUGUCCUCAUCAUACCAGACCCUAGGUGGUCUUUUCUUAGCCCUACUCCUUCUGCCAGAGCUGAUAACAAAGGACAUUGGUUCAUUUCCAUCAUCAUCUGCUUCAAAGCCUGUAUCUUCCUCUUCUGAAGAUGGAAACCAAUCAGGAUUAAUGCUUGGACCAGCACUAGAGUGGGACCUACUAGUAGGACCUGGCCUCUUUGCCUUCUUCUUAACAGGCUCAGGAACUGGAAUCUCUUGGGCCUCCUCAUCAUCUUCUUCCUGCUCCAUGUCAUAUAUAUCUUCAGGAUCUGUGUCCCCCUCACAGUGUGUACUUGACAUAUAUUCAGCUCUCUUCCUCUUUAUUUCAGAAAGAGUUUCAUCUAGCUCAGGUUCCUCUGUCCUCCUAUUUGCAAAUUGUUCUUCUACAUACUGCACUGAAUCUGAGUCAUCUUCUUCUUCUUCUCCUGCAUCUAAGUGGUCAACAUCAACUACAAAAUCUUCAUCACUGCUUGAACCUUCCUCACUAACUGCAUUGUCCUCCUCAUCAGUGUCCAUGCCUACAGGAAUUGCUUCCUCACUAACUGCAUUGUCCUCCUCAUCUGAAUCAAACUGAAAAUCAGCAUAAUUGACACUUACUUCAGUGUUAAGCUGUGUCCCAAGAUGGAACUGAUAGUUAGGAGGAACUGAUUUGAGUGGCAAAAAAUUUACACUUUCCUGUGUCCCAAGAUGUAACUGACAGUUAGGAGGAACUGAUUUGUGCACAACACCUGAUUCAGCAACAGCAAAAACAACAGGUGCCUCUUCUUCUAUUUGCUGUGCAUGUUGAUCUUCUCCAACUGGUGGUUCAAUAACUACCUUUCCCUUUCUAACUGUCAGUGACAAUGUCUGGGUGCUCUCAAAUUGUCUCAGCAUGUGAACUACUUCAAUGUUGCCUUUAAUAACACAAACACCUUGCAACCCUAUAUUUUCAUCUUUCAAGUAGCAAAGACUGUCAUCCUUACAGUAUCCAUUGCUGACCAUUACAUUGACCAAACUACCAUAAGUGAUUUCUCUUUCAGACAUCUUAACAAGAGCAUACUUCUCUCCAGGAAACUGGAAAUAGAUUGACCAUAAAUCUUCAGGCCUAAAAUAGACAUACAAAUGAAUAUUAACAAGUCAAUUGUAUUAACAUAACUGACCAUUAUAUCUGACAAUUAUAAUGAACUAUUUUAAAUUAUAGUAACAUGGCAAAUCAGUACUAACAUUACUAGCAGUGUACUAGCAAAAUUUUGAAUUACAAUAACAUGACAAUGCAGUGUACUCAAAGCAUUACAAUGCAGUGUAGCAAUACCAUAAAUGAAAACUACAGUGUGAUUUUCUCCAAAAAUUCAGAACCAUACAGUACUACUAAGAUAACUGAACCCUAACUAAAGAUGUGAUAUUCGACAAAUAUUCAGGACUACAAUCCCUUCUAAAUGACUAACAAAUCAAUGUUUAUAACAGAUCCUGCAGUAAGGAGGAAAGAUUGAAAUAACAGAUUUUGAAAGAUUCAGAUUACCUAGCUGAAGAUGGGGCGAACGGGAGCACAUCCGCGGGAACAAUCUGCGAAGCUGCUUCCUCGGUACCAUGCUCCGGUGACAGGCCCGCCGCCGCGGCAGACUCUGGAUCUAGGUCGCAGCCGCCAUCGGUGUGGGGGCCGAUGACCCCGCAUUGCGAGCGCAACAGCUUCUGCCCUGAAGUAGUACCACCGCCCUCGCCGCUGAGUGCGGCGUCGCCGCUUCCGUCGACUCCGUGUGCGCCGUCGCCGCCGGAGCUGGUCGCCAUCGGAGCGGAGCGGGGAAGGACUGAAUCGACUGGACUGAAUCGAGCGAGGGAAGGGAACGGCUUAACCUAGUAGACGGGCGCGCCGAAACGGCCGUCUCUCGCCGUCUAACGGCGUCCGUCAACACGCGCCACGUCAGCCCGACAGGCGGGACCCACCUGUCGGAUUCGCUGUUUUCGGGGCUAAAACGCAGCGUCAGUGCUCCGCGUUACAGAUUAGCCCCAUUGUUGGUGGUUUUGUGUGAACUGCCUGAAAUGUGGUACCGAUCUGUUACCCUAGCCCAUAAUGCGGUGGUUUUGGGUAAAUAACUCCGGAGUAGUCUAUGGAGUGGAUCACCGUGCCGUCAAAGUUCUCCAUCCCUUUGUUCGGCGGAAAUUGUGGGAAUGUUGGGGACGCCGCUGAAUCUCCCAGUGCACAGGAUCACAAAGUCCGCGACUCAGUAUGUCUGGAAAUCAGCUGUUGCCGAUGCACCAAUCUGUUCAAGUGUUGAUGCAAACCUGUUUUCUCACUGUUAACUAUUGUCACUUUGUCAGCUCUUAACUACAUUUUUUUUACUGCUAGUGCCAUGUAGAGGCCAAGAAAAUUAUUAUUUUCACCUUGUUCUCUUGGAUCUUGAGGUUCUUUGCAGAUGUCAUGUCCUCACCCGGUCACCCCCGACCGCUGGUUCCGGUUGCGCCGACGAAGCAACCCUCGGUCAGCGCGGCGGCUAGGGAUGUUAAGGGAGGCUGCGGCGCCGGCGAAUCUCUUCUCCAUCGGCGCGGGGGCAUGAAUCUCAGGGAGUCAGCGUCUGCUCGGUCGCGGCAGAGCGGGAGGUCGCAUGGUCCCACGUAUUUUUUUUUUUGAGGAAAUCUCGCCACUUUAUUAAGAAGCAACAAUGUUCAUAGGUACACGGUGUUCGUCAUGGGGAAUUCCCAACCAGACGUGCCGAUCUACUCCUAAAUUACAAGAAAAUUUGGCGAGAUUAUGAGCUUCGAAGUUAUGGUUUCUCCGCUCGUGAAUGAAAGAAACCGAAGCAAAAGUGUUCCUUCGGUCCAUUAUUUCAUGAAUAAUGGCCGAGUGUGGACCUCCUGUCCCUUGGUUUAAAUCCAUCACCACACCUUGGCAGUCCGAAGCUACUAUCAGAUUUGUUUCAUGUAGAUCAACUGCAAGUGCUAACGCCUUCCUGCAGGCCAAUGUUUCCAAGGUUGUGGGAUCAGUGAUUCCUUUGAAGACCACCGCCGAGGAGCCCAAAUAUAGACCUGUAUGAUCUCGGCACACAGCCGAAACCGCUCCGCCACGUCUGUGGCGCGCCAUAGCUCCGUCGACGUUGAUCUUAGCCGCCCCUACAGGUGAAGGUAGCCAGCUCCUCGGGCCUUCUCUCCGAGCCCCUGUCACCGCAUGAGGUUGUGCGGGUUUUGCAAUCUGCGGGAGGCCAACUGAGACCAACUAAGUUCAAGGGCGUCGGGAGGAUAGAGCGUCAUGUUCGUCUUUUGGUGUCCUAUCCUGGUGGUUGAUUCCUCUGUGCGGUUCAUCAGUUUAUCUUAUGUAGUUGAUUCCCGUACUUGGGUAUUAGUCCUUGUGGCAGUUUUUGUUUUCUUCUGAGCUUUGUUGCUCUGGAUGUUCGUUGUGCCUGGUAGUGUAUUCUCUGNNNNNNNNNNNNNNNNNNNNNNNNNNNNNNNNNNNNNNNNNNNNNNNNNNNNNNNNNNNNNNNNNNNNNNNNNNNNNNNNNNNNNNNNNNNNNNNNNNNNNNNNNNNNNNNNNNNNNNNNNNNNNNNNNNNNNNNNNNNNNNNNNNNNNNNNNNNNNNNNNNNNNNNNNNNNNNNNNNNNNNNNNNNNNNNNNNNNNNNNNNNNNNNNNNNNNNNNNNNNNNNNNNNNNNNNNNNNNNNNNNNNNNNNNNNNNNNNNNNNNNNNNNNNNNNNNNUUCGUUCAAAAAAAACAAAGGAUGAAGUAUGCAUUGGUGAUCGAAAGACACCCUCAUGGAUUGCCUGUCUCCGAGCAUACCAUAUUGCCCAUAAGGUGACUACCAUUGACGUGAAUGAACUGUGAUCAAGAGACUCGUUUAACUGAAACAGCCAGUUCUUUGCAUGGGGUUCUGAAUUCUCUGCCAUUUUCGCCACUAGCACGGGGUCGGAUAGAGCCCAUGUGCACCUUGCCGACGUGCAUGAGACCAAUGCGUGGCGCCAUGAGUCGGGUGAGCCACAUAACGGGCAAGCAUCCCUGGUUGCCAUAUUUUUUCUGUUCAACACGUCUGUAGUUGGGAGAGCUAAGCGCCAUAGAAAAACCUUGACUUUUGACGGCACCGUCAAUGACCAUAGGCUAGUCCAGUCCUUCUCCUCUCUUUCAGUGCUUGAAGAACCACUUCUGCCUUCGAGCCAGCUUUCUCUUGGUAACUUUCCCACGUAAGUAAGUUUGAGCUAAUCCCGCGUGGGUGCCCACGAUCACGAUUUUUGUGGGCUCAGCCCACAUCCACGUACAGCCUGAUUCAUACAUACGGUCCCGUCCGUGGGCGCUACGAUUCGACGAUGAUCCGUUGCUUCCUCGGAUACAAAUACGAAAAUCGCGAGAGCCAAUCACAAGGCGGUAAACGUAUCACGUACGUACGUCCUGUAUCUGUAUGUAUGCAGCUCUCCGAGUCCGAUUCAAUCAUCGACGCAAAGGAGAAAAAAGUCCGAUUCAGUCACCUGGCACGGAGCCUAUAUUAAUCCACGGCUACAAGAGAGGUACCGUUCGAUCCAAGAUGGCAUCGUCGUCGAGAAGCAAGUACGGCGUGAAGACGCCGGAGGAAGAGGAGGCGGACGUCGUGUGCUCGCGCUGGAUCUUCCUCUAUGUAGCAGUGCUCCACCUUGGCCUCUUCGCCAUCACCGCCAUGAUCUCCUACACGCACGUGUUCCCCCGCGCCAAGAAGUUUGACAAGAUCUUCUUUGGAGUCACGGGAGCGGUUUGCCUGUCCAUCGCCGUUGGCAUCAUCUGCGUGCUUCUACGGGGGGACUUCCCCUUCAGCAACAAUCGUGCCACCGCCCGAGUCGCCGACCUGCCGCUCGCCGAUGUGUGCUAGUUAUCUUUUGGUUGGUUGCUUCUAGUGCACGAAUUGAUUUAUGUGUGCUAGCCAUCAGUAAUAUUUGACUGAUCUUUUUUGCUUGGCAUACUGUUUUUCAAGAUACGCGGUUACCGGCGGUAUCCUUGCAUCUAUCUUUAUAUUUUAUGUUAGAAAAUGAUUUUACUAAAUCUCAAUUGCUAUUACUCGUCGCUUACGCGAUGUUGGAAUCAUAGAUCUGAUGUUGGAAUCCUUGCAAUGGUCACUGGUUAAAGGACCUCAAACCUCUGUCACUGUAAAUAAGUUCAUCCAGCUGCUCAACUUGUGGAAGUUAGUUUGCCCAGUACAACUCUCCCGAAUCAAGCUGACAAUUGGAGAUGGUCGCGCGGCUCCUCUAGAAACUGCUCUUCUACAAAAGCUUCUAUUGAGGGAUGGCCGUUAUGCGCUUCGGCCAGUGCCAUUUGGAAGAGCUGGGCACCCCUCCAUGGUUCAAAGACACGAUGACUAGCCGGGAAUAUUGACCAAAAUCUCGGGGGUUUACCUGGUGAGGAAAUCUCCAAUACCGUCUCCUCAGAUGAGAUUGACGAGGCCCCUGAGGAGCAGGCGCGGAAGCUCAAACCCUAUAAGAACAAAUUCUCGGCAUGCAGGAACAUCCACGAGGACGAAUCUACCUCUAAUGCUAAGAAAAUAGUAUGGCUUGUGUAGCCGUCUUUGGUUGUUUAUAGGGCACGAAUUAAUGUUCCGAGUAUUACUUUGUUUUCUUUGACUACUACUAGUAAUUUGCCCGGGAUAUACCUGAUACAUUGGUGAUGAUAAAUUUUAAUGAUUAUUUCUACACAACGACCAUGAUUGCAUGCCAUUUUAUUAUUAUUAAUGUGAUGGUGUAAAAAUUUAGACUCUAGCUAUCGAUCAAAUACAAACUUGGCUUCUAAAAAAAAUUAGCACUAUGAUUUUACUUGGUAAGCCAAUAAGAAGUGUGAUAGUUUAGGCCCGUAUCAACUAAUAUAUACAUUCAAAACUUUCUCAAGGCGCACACACUUGGAAAAAUUGCACACUAAAAGUAUUUUUCAUCUCCUUAUACGAACCGCGGAUUUGGUUUCUCCAUAAAAAAACAUAAAGCAAUUACCCUGCUAUUCGGGACAAAUAUCCACGGCCUGAGGGAAUGGGAAGCCAACAACCCAUUGAAGUUGAAGGUGUUAGAGUUAUAAUAUAAGUCAUGUACCCCUUUGUAUUUAUCCCAUUGUAUAAGGGAUUUUCUGCAUAUGUUUCACACCUGUACAUGUAUAUACAUCGGCCUAUGGCCUCAUGGGAAUACAAGUAGCAUAUUUCCUAACAGAAGGCAGCUACCUGCUAGAUUUAGAAUAUGCAUAUAUAUUUUAAAUGACCUAACUUUAUCAAUAUAUGUCGAAAUGCAAAGUAAUAAACAUCAUCAAUCACUCAUGUGAUAGUAUAAGAUUUAAAAGGAGAUCAUCUCGCAUUCAUGCUUUAUUAUUCACACACAUGCAAACUAUUACAAUAGGAGAUAAACAUACUUCUCUGACAUUCUAUUUCGAUAAAAAAUAGAUUGAUUGUGUCAUCUUUUGCACUCUGACAUCAAGAAAUUUUAAAAUUACUCAAAGCAUUUUUUUUACUAAGAGUUGAAAUACAACAUUCCCAUUCAAUGUUGGAUAUGCAAGGAAAUUACGAUCUUCCACAAAAAUACAUACUUAUGACAAUUUGUAUGCAACUAUCAUCUUGCAAGCAUGUGCACAUAAAUCAAAUCAAUUGGCAAAAUUUAAAAAAUGCUCAGAUCUACCAUCAUCUCACAGCAACAUGAUAUAGACAAAUCUAGGUACUACUUGUUCGUGUUUGCUGAGUUGUCACAAAAUGUCUUGCUUCCAAGAUCUAGGAACACCAACCAUGAACCAUCCAAAUAACCAGGCCAGCUCCUUUUAUUUCCUCGAGUCGGUUGUCGAUGAUUUUAUCAGGUUAUUAUUAGUGCAAUUCAUCAAGCACUUGGUAGUAUAAAAAUAAGUGAUGUAUCAGAAAAAAUUAACAUACCCAAGCCAUCGGCAAGAUGCACAAGAUUGAUUGGCAGAUAUGUGCACAUCGCUCUCCAUGUCCUUUCGACGUGUCAUCAUCGUACCCGAGUAUCACCAAACAGAGUAGGACCAGACUUCCGGUGAUCUUCUCCAGCCUCCAGCGCCAACAUCAACCGCCUCCAUCAGUGCCAACAUCGUACUGGGUCAUCACGUUGCCAAGGNNNNNNNNNNNNNNNNNNNNNNNNNNNNNNNNNNNNNNNNNNNNNNNNNNNNNNNNNNNNNNNNNNNNNNNNNNNNNNNNNNNNNNNNNNNNNNNNNNNNNNNNNNNNNNNNNNNNNNNNNNNNNNNNNNNNNNNNNNNNNNNNNNNNNNNNNNNNNNNNNNNNNNNNNNNNNNNNNNNNNNNNNNNNNNNNNNNNNNNNNNNNNNNNNNNNNNNNNNNNNNNNNNNNNNNNNNNNNNNNNNNNNNNNNNNNNNNNNNNNNNNNNNNNNNNNNNNNNNNNNNNNNNNNNNNNNNNNNNNNNNNNNNNNNNNNNNNNNNNNNNNNNNNNNNNNNNNNNNNNNNNNNNNNNNNNNNNNNNNNNNNNNNNNNNNNNNNNNNNNNNNNNNNNNNNNNNNNNNNNNNNNNNNNNNNNNNNNNNNNNNNNNNNNNNNNNNNNNNNNNNNNNNNNNNNNNNNNNNNNNNNNNNNNAGAGAGAGAGAGAACGGGAGGGCGGAGCAGAUCGGUGGCGCCAUCAUGGAAAGGAGAACACACGUUGAAGAGGAGAUCUGUUGCUCUUUUUUUUGAAGGUAGAGAUCGGUUGCUAAGUCCUGGGAAGGAGAAUCUAUACCCCGAUUUUUUGGAAGAACUUACUUCCUCUGUUUAUUUUAGUCUGCAUAUAAAAUUUGGUCAAAGUCAAACUUUGUUAAUUUUGACUAAAUUUAUAGAAAAAGAUAUCGAGAUUCACAGUAUGAAAUCAACAUUGUUACAUGCAUCAUGAAAUUAAUUUUCAUACCAUAUAGCUUUAAUAUUUUAGAUGUUGUUAUUUUUUUCCUACAAAGUUGGUCAAACUUUAUAAAGUUUGACUUUGAUCAAAUCUUAUAUGCAGACUAAAAUGAAACAAAGGGAGUAAAUGUGAUUGGAUCGUGGGUUAGAAAACCAUGGGAAAGUUGGUAACGGCCAAAAAAAAUCAAUGGAGGGUGCGGACGAAGAGGUGGGACGUAAGAGGGGAGACGGACCCUUAAGCUUUUUUUAGGUAGUAGAGAAGAUAGAGAUAGAGAUUAGUGUAUUUCUCAUUCUGCUUGCUAGUUGUAACAUCUUUUCUUCUUAGCUGGUGCGAAACUUGUAGGUACUAGACUGUCAAAGGUGAGCGUUGUUGCGCCUGUCGGAUUUUGACACUAAUAUUAGUGAUUGAUGCAAUUAUAUGUAAAUAUAGAAUUUUAAUCAUGGGGUAUAAUCUUCACAUUAUACUUUAUUUAAGGCAGUAUUCAAUCAUGAGAUAUAAUUAUCACAGCUCAUGAAUCAUGUGUUUUGACCUGAAAUUUCAUCCAAUGGUGUGUGCUUUUGCACCAACUUAUUUUGAAAUUCCAAAAUAGCUAUUGAAAAACAGGAACAAAAUUUAGAAUUCCAAACAUCUUUUUGAAAAUUUAUGAUUUUUUUGAAAAAUCAAAAACACAAUUUAUAAAUGUGUUUUUAAUUUCCAUAUAUUUUUAACAAGCACUAUCAAAUUUUGAAAUUUCAUCAAUUUUCUGAGAACACAAACAAAAUUUGGAAAUCCCAAACAUUCUUUAAAAAUAAGAAUUUUUAAUAAAAAGAAAAAGAUACAAAAACAAAAAUAGAAACAGAAACAGAAAACGAAAAAAUAGAAAAGAAAAAGAAAAAGAAAAAGAAAAGAGGGAAAUGAAUUAUUUUCCAAAAUUAAUCUGAAUAACCGGUAAAAGAAACAAAAUACGAGUUCAGGGAAAUUUUUAGAAGGUUCUGAGAACCGGCUUCCUCUUGAUGUAUUGAGCGUCAUAUAGGGUUUUGCGUUCUGUUGCACGGUUAAAAAAAGUAUUUGCUAAAAGAUUGCUCCUUGUUAACUAAAUUGUCGGCCAUGCUCGACGGCCAGCCUCGAGUUAGUUAUCUAUCUGGGCUACCCAUCGGGGUAGGUUGGGCUUGCUAGAAACAAAAUAAAAAUAUUUACCGAAAUCACUAGUUGGGGAAUACUAUCAAAACUUUUCCCUCAAGUUAGGGUUUUCUUCCUCCUCUCGGGGCGACAACACCGCCGUUGAGUUCCCCUGUUUCCCUGCCGCCGAUCUCCGCCCUGUUGUUACCCGAGAGAGAUAGGGGCGGCUGUGGGUCGCAUGCCUGUUUGUCUGGAAGGGGCUGCGGGGUGCGGCGGAUCUGGGGUUCCACACAAAACCCGUUUUGAGAUCGUCUCUUCGUGUUAGAGAUACAGAUGGCAUCUAAGGGAGUCCCGAGCUCCUCUAGUCUUAGCGAGGUGGAGAAGAUGAUGGAGGAUCUUGGCCUGCGUGAGGAGGACCUCGAUGACGUCGUCUUCGACGAUAAGGAGGCGCCGCAGGAGGCGGUGCGGUGGAUGGCUUUGGCUAGGGUUAACACGAGUAAGACCUAUAGUCAGACAUGGUUUUUCAGAAACAUGCGCUCGGCAUGGGAUGCGGCACAGGAGGUGAAGUUCAAACCUCUGGAAGAUAAUCUCUAUACAGUCAAGUUUUCGUGCCUUGGGGACUAGAAGAGAGUCAUGCAGGACGGUCCGUGGAAUUUCAGGGGAGAUGCGGUGCUCAUAAUGCCGUAUGAUGGAGUCACUAAACCAUCAACGAUCAAGUUGGAAACUAUUGACAUAUGGAUUCAAAUUCAUGAUGUGCCUGACUUGUAUGCUCACUUAGUUGGUCCUAUGGCGAAGAAGGUAGGAGAGGUUCUGUAUGCUGAAACGGGCUCCAAUGAUUUUCCUGGAAACUUUUAUCGUGUGUGGGUUCGCAUCAAUGUCCUCAAACCUUUGAAGAAUGCAGUAUCAAUGGUCAGAGAUGGGCAGAGGAAAAUCUACAGGGUUAAGUACGAGCGGCUUCCUGACUGGUGUGCCGUGUGUGGCAUGUUGGGUCAUCUUUACAAAGAGCAUGGCAAUGGAAUACACCCCCCCUCGGCGUCGGUUUUCAAGGACCUACGUGCUACUUGGUUCAUGCGCGCUGGGAGAGGACCUGGUGAGGGCAGUGGACGUCGGGGUGGCCGACGGGGUGGCCGCACUAGUGGCCGCGCUGGUGGCCGAAUGGGGGGCGAUCCUGGAGCAACCCAAGAGGAUUUUCAUCAGGACAAUUGGGAUGGAUCAGUGCCUUUGGUUGAUGUGGACAUGACUGAUCAAAAUAGGAAGAGAUCCAACCCAUCCACUUCAAACUCUUUGCAGACUCAGCGGAUAGUUAAAGGGGGACUAAAUGACCAGAACAGCACGCAGGCAGGAUCCAACCAAUUGGCGAUUGCCCUCACCUCCCAUCGCCGCUCAGUCCUCCACCGAAGAGGGACCCAAAGAGGAAUAAACAUGCUGCAGAAGAAAAAGAAGUUGCUUCGAAGAACAGUUUGGCGGGCUCCCAAGUGGGGCGCCGUCCGGCCCAAUGAGUGUCUUUUGUUGGAACUGCCGUGGCGCGGGCAAACCUGCGGUAGUUCGUGUCCAGAAGGAGAUAAAGGAGGCCUCGCUUGAGAGGUUGUGAAGCGAUCCAGCCGAACUGGAGCGACGCACAUAGAGAUCAAGAUGAAUGAAAAGCUGGUGGAGCUGUACCAUAGGGAGGAGAUAAUGUGGCGACAGAGAUCAAGACUGGAAUGGCUUUCAGCGGGAGACAGAAACACUAAGUUUUUCAUAUGCGGGCUAGUAUGAGGAGGAAGAAGAACAUGAUCAAGGCAUUGUAUAACUCACUGGGUGUCCACACUGAAGCCCCAGCCGUGCUAUGCAUUAUGGUUCGUGAGUUUAUGAGGCACUGUACACAUCUGAGGGUGUUAACGGUGUCGAGGAAGUGUUGCAGCACGUCCCCCAGAAAGUAACCCCGGCAAUGAAUGAUAUGUUAUGUGCCCCUUAUGCCAACGAUGAAGUUAAGCAUGCGUUAUUCCAGAUGUUUCGAACUAAGGCCCUGGGUCCUGACGGGUUCCCAACUCAUUUCUAUCAGAGGCACUGGGAUCUAUGUGGCGAGGAACUUACUAAGGUGGUACUGCGGAUAAUCAGGGGAGAAGAGAGUGCUGAACAUAUCAAUGACACAGUGCUAGUAUUGAUCCCUAAGGUAACAAACCCCACAUUACUGUCUCAGUUUCGGCCUAUCAGUCUUUGCAAUGUGUUGUACAAGAUUGCUUCCAAGGUGGUAGCUAACAGAUUGAAACAAAUACUUCCUGAUGUCAUCUCAGAAGAACAAUCGGCCUUUGUACCUGGGAGGCUUAUCACUGACAACAUUAUAUGUGCCUAUGAAUGUCUGCACUUCAUGAAGAGGAAUAGAUCAAGAACUUCCGGUUUUUGUGCUUUGAAGCUGGAUAUGAUGAAGGCCUACGACAGGCUUGAGUGGGAUUAUUUACCGUCUAUCAUGUUGAAACUCGGUUUUGCUCCAGCCUGGGUUGAUGUAGUGAUGUCCAUGGUUAGGUCUGUAUCUUUUUCAGUCUUAUUCAAUGGAGAGAAGUUGGAACAAUUCAAACCUACAAGAGGUAUACGACUGGGAGAUCCCAUCUCCCCCUAUCUAUUCUUGCUAGCAGCGGAGGGCCUUUCGUGCCUUUUAAAAUCUAAUUCUCAGUCAUCAGUGCUUAGUGGUGUCAAGGUGGCACCGACAGCUCCUGCUGUUAACCACCUGUUGUUUGCAGAUGACAGCCUGCUACUUUUUAAGUCUAGUGUGGAGGGUGCAACUUGGGUAUCAAACCUGUUGGAUAUUUAUUGUGGAGCCUCGGGACAGAAGGUAAAUAAUGAAAAAUCUUCUAUCUUUUUCAGCAAGGGGUGCCCUGUCUCUCAAAGACAAGAGGUAAAGGAUGUUCUUAAUGUGCAAAAUGAGUCCUUGAGUGAAAGGUAUCUAGGGAUGCCAACGGAGGUCGGUCAGCCAAAGAAUGGUACAUUCAAAUACCUUCGUGAUAGGGUAUGGGAAAGGAUCAAGGGUUGGAUGGAGAAGCUCUUGUCUGCCGCUGGGAAGGAGGUUCUGAUUAAAUUAGUAACACAAGCUAUCCCGGUGUUUUCAAUUCUUGCUUUCGAUUACCAAGGGGUCUCUGUGAGAGCAUAACUUCACUCAUUCAUCAAUUCUGGUGGGGCAACAAACGUGGAAAAAGAAAGCCAUGUUGGGUAUCUUGGGAUGUUAUGACUAAUCCUAAAAAUUUGGGUGGUCUGGGUUUCCAGGACAUGGAACUAUUCAACCUAGCUCUGCUGUCACGUCAAGCUUGGCGACUACUUCAAGAUCCGUGGUCCUUGAGUGCGCGCUUGCUGAAAGCUAUCUACUUCCCGAACACUAGCAUUAUUGAGGCUGAACUUGGAUCAUCACCAUCGCAUAUUUGGCGCUCCAUUGUGGAUGGGUGAGACACCAUGCUGAACGGAAUUAUUCGGAGGAUAGGCGAUGGAACUACAACACAUAUUUGGAGCAUAACUGGCUGCCCAGGGAUAGGCUGAUGAGGCCUAUUUCUUCAAGGGUUGCAAACCCUCCGCAAUAUGUUUUAGAACUUAUCAACGCCACUACGGCAUCAUGGCGAGAGGAUAUAGUGCGUGAUGUGUCCGUACCCCUGGAUGCUGAAACAAUCCUCAAGAUCCCUCUAUGCAUGAGACAGAUUGGUGAUUUUUGGGCAUGGUCAGAGGAUCCUCGAGGCCGUUUCUCUGUUUCAUCCGCAUACAGGAUGAUCUCACGCAUCAAGGCGAGCAGAGAGGCAUGGCUGGAGGAAGGGCAUGAUGUUUCCAACAGUGCCAUCGAGAAGAAGGGAUGGUCCUCCAUCUGGUCUAUGCAAGUUCCUUCAAAACUCAAGGUGUUCACAUGGAGGCUGGCUCAACACUCGUUGCUGAUGGGGGACGUACUAUACCAUCGGAACAUGUCGACAACUCAUGUAUGUGCACUGUGCGGAGUUGAAGAUAGCUGGAGACACUCAUUGCUUGAUUGCACCAUGGCGAGAAGUGUUUGGGCCUUGAGCAAAGAGGAGCUAGUUGAACACAUGUGCGCGAAUAGAGAGUAUAGUGCAACUGGUUGGCUUUUUACUAUGAGUGAUUCAUUACCAGCUGAAGAUUUCACAAAACUUAUUGUUACUAUGUGGGCAAUUUGGCAUGCACGUCGCAAGGUAAUCCACGAGGGGAUUUUCCAAACACCUUUCGCGACUCACAGUUUCAUUAUAGUUUAUCUAUCCGAACUCCAAAUGUUGAAGAAGCCGAUACUGUGACCGACGCGUGAGCAUGCAAGGCCUACCUCCUGGAUCCCACCGACGACUGGACAUGUGAAGAUCAAUGUUGAUGCAGCUACUCCUAGAGCGGGAGGUUUUGGUGUGGUGAGCGCUGUUGCACGUAAUUCUGACGGAAUCUAUCAGGGAGCUUCUGUAGUAAUUUUCAGCAAUAUUGAUGAUCCCGAAGUUCUGGAAACUCUAGCGAUCGGAGAGGCGUUAGCACUGGCUAAUGACCUGCACAUUCAGCAAGUUCAUGUGGCGCCUGAUUGCAAGCAGGCCGUCGAAGCCAUUAAAGGAGGAAUAGCUUCAUCCUAUGCGGCAAUUGUGCUGGAAAUUAAGGCACAAUCUACUUCUUUAGUUUCUUGUUUAUUUAGCCAUGAAUUUAGAACCUCGAAUGUCAAGGCUCACAGACUAACAAAGCAAGCGUUAACGCUCGGGGUUGGCCGCCAUGUCUGGUUAGGUCACCCUCGAGGUCAUUUGUUCGUCCAUGUAAACUGUGUGACGGGUGAAUAAAUCUUUGUUGGUUUGCCUACAAAAAAACUAGUUGGGGAAUACUUCUUUCAAAUAUCACCCUUCCUUCCAGGUUGUCACAAGUGGCGCGUGUGCGCCACUUGUCAUAACCUGAGUUUUCCAUUUUUUUGUAGAUUCGUUUAUUUAAAACAUUUUAUCUCUUAAACCGUGCGUCCAAAUCUCGAACCGUUUUCACUGUUGGAUUUCUCGUGUUGAGAUUUUCAAAACUAGAUCCCAUGUUGAUAGGUUUGACGCACUUUUCUUCACAAAAAAACAGACGAAAAAACCAAACUGGAAGCACGUUUUCCCCCCUUUUUCGGAAGCCGUUUCUGAGAGGCACGGUCGUGCCUCUCACGGAAGCAAAACCGUGCCUCUCACGAAAAAACAGAGAGAAACACGUUUUUUUUCCGAUAGGCACGGUCGUGCCUCUUGCGGAAGCAAAAUCGUGCCUCUCAUGAAAAAAAGAUAACACAUUUUUUUCUAUUUCUGCGUGCCUCUCGCGGAAGCAAAAUCAUGCCUCUAACAGAAAAAAAGAAAACUCGUUUUUUUCAUUUCCGGAAGGCACGCCCGUGCCUUCCGAGAAAGCAAAACCGUGCCUCUCACGAAAGAAAAAAGAAGAAUAGAAAACACGUUUUUUCCAUUUCCGGGAGGCAUGGCCGUGCCUCUCGCAGAAGUAAAAUCGUGCCUCUCGUGAAAGAAAACCAUGCCUGCAAAAAACAAAUUUUUAUAUUUUUUUGUCGAAAAGCUAAGAAAGACCGGUAGAAAACCAAAAAGUCAAAAACCAAGAAAAUAACCAUGUAAAAAGCCGAAAAUGCAUGCGAAAAAAAAAUCCGAAGAAGUGCCAAGAGCAUGACUCGUGGUGGCGGCUGAGGGGCGCUCUCGGCCCAUCUCAUGUGAUCGUUGGGGAGGCUCCUGAAGAAGGGCGCUUCAAUUCCUAACGUUCAGCGACACCUAGGGGGAGCGCUCGCAUGGAGAGGCAGUGCACAUGGGCCGGCCCAGGUUCGCUGGAGGGCACAUUCUCAUUUUUUUAAUUUUUUGUUUUCUUUUUGGAUUUUAUCUUUGUAGUUUUGCUUAUACUUUAAAAUAUAUAAAAGAGUUUUUAAUAAAUGUAGAAAAUUAUUUGAAAAAUGUUAAAUAGUAUUUAAAAAAUAUUGAACAAGUAUUUGAAAAAUGUUAAACACGUACUUGAAAAACUAUUGUACAAGUAUUUGAAAAAAAUGUUGAUCAUGUAUAUAGAAAUGUUGAACGAGCACUAAAAAAUAUUGAAUGACUAUUUAAAAAAUGUUGAACAUAUAUUUCAAAAACAACGGUACAAGUAUUUGAAAAAAUGUUGAUCAUGUAUAUAAAAAUGUUGAACAAGUAUUUAAAAAUGUUGAAUAGGUAUUUGAAAAAAAAUGUUGACAAGUAUUUGAAAAAAUGUUGAUCAUGUAUAUAAAAAUGUUGAACAAGUAUUUGGAAAGUGUUGAACAAUUGUUUAAAAAAGUUGAAAAAGCAUUUGAAAACUGUUGAACACAUAUUUUAAAUGUUGUACAAAUAUUUGAAAAAAGUUGAUCAUGUAUAUAAAAAUGUUGAACAAGUAUUUGAAAAAGGUUUAACAAGUACUUAAGAAAAUGUUGAACAAGUAUUUUAGAAAAUGUUGAUANNNNNNNNNNNNNNNNNNNNNNNNNNNNNNNNNNNNNNNNNNNNNNNNNNNNNNNNNNNNNNNNNNNNNNNNNNNNNNNNNNNNNNNNNNNNNNNNNNNNNNNNNNNNNNNNNNNNNNNNNNNNNNNNNNNNNNNNNNNNNNNNNNNNNNNNNNNNNNNNNNNNNNNNNNNNNNNNNNNNNNNNNNNNNNNNNNNNNNNNNNNNNNNNNNNNNNNNNNNNNNNNNNNNNNNNNNNNNNNNNNNNNNNNNNNNNNNNNNNNNNNNNNNNNNNNNNNNNNNNNNNNNNNNNNNNNNNNNNNNNNNNGAAAGCAAAAAAAAAACUAAGCAAAAAAUGGAGAAGAAAAAAGAAAAUGAAAAAACCUGAAGAAAAAACAAAAAGAAAAAAACCAUGAAAACAAAUAAAAACCCGGCUUCACUCGCCUCAACUAGAGAACGCAUCUCAUUCUAACCACGAGCUAGACUUGGGUGCAGUGGCUAGCAGAGCUAGCUCUCCGAAAGAAGAGCAAGGGUCGAAUCCGCUUCUCCCCGCGAUCGCUUAAUGUAAUAAAUAGUCACUGUGCCCGAAGAAGCGCUCCUCAACUAGUUGGUCCACCUUGGCCUCUUUGCCAUCUCCGCCGUAAUCUCCUACACGUACGUGUUCCGUGGUGCCAAGAAGUUUGACAAGAUCUUCUUUGGGGCUCUAGGAGCGGUUUUCCUAUCCAUUAUCGUUGGUAUCAUCCGCCUGCUUCUACGGGAGGACUUCCCCUUCCGCAACAAGCGUGCUACCGCCCUAUAACGCUCUAUCCGCAGGCGACUGAGGCGUCGCCUGCUCCUCCACCAUGUCCAUGUCGAAGUGUGCAUGCGCCUGCUCCAUGGUCAAGCUGAAGGAAAUAUGCCCUAGAGGCAAUAAUAAAGUUAUUAUUUAUUUCCUUAUAUCAUGAUAAAUGUUUAUUAUUCAUGCUAGAAUUGUAUUAACCGGAAACAUAAUACAUGUGUGAAUACAUAGACAAACAUAGUGUCACUAGUAUGCCUCUACUUGACUAGCUCGUUUACCAAAGAUGGUUAUGUUUCCUAGCCAUGGACAAAAGAGUUGUCAUUUGAUUAACGAGAUCACAUCAUUAGGAGAAUGAUGUGAUUGACAUGACCCAUUCCGUUAGCAUAGCACUUGAUCGUUUAGUAUAUUGCUAUUGCUUUCUUCAUGACUUAUACAUGUUCCUGUAACUAUGAGAUUAUGCAACUCCCGUUUAUCGGAGGAACACUUUGGGUGCUACCAAACGUCACAACGUAACUGGGUGAUUAUAAAGGAGUACUAUAGGUGUCUCCAAAGGUACAUGUUGGGUUGGCGUAUUUCGAGAUUAGGUUUUGUCACUCCGAUUGUCGGAGAGGUAUCUCUGGGCCCUCUCGGUAAUGCACAUCACUAUAAGCCUUGCAAGCAAUGUAGCUAAUGAGUUAUUUACGGAAUAAUGCAUUACAUAACGAGUAAAGAGACUUGCCGGUAACGAGAUUGAACUAGGUAUUGGAUACCGACGAUUGAAUCUCGGGCAAGUAACAUACCGAUGACAAAGGGAACAACGUAUGUUGUUAUGCGGUUUGACCGAUAAAGAUCUUCGUAGAAUAUGUAGGAACCGAAGGAAAUAUGCCCUAGAGUCAAUAAUAAAGUUAUUAUUUAUUUCCUCAUAUCAUGAUAAAUUUAUAUUAUUCAUGCUAGAAUUGUAUUAAUCGGAAACAUGAUACAUGUGUGAAUACAUAGACAAACAUAUAGUCACUAGUAUGCCUCUACUUAACUAGUUCAUUAAUCAAAGAUGGUUGUGUUUCCUAACCAUAGACAUGUGUUGUCAUUUGAUUAAUGGGAUCACAUCAUUAGGAGAAUGAUGUGAUUGACAUGACCCAUUCCGUUAGCGUAGCACUUGAUCAUUUAGUAUAUUGCUAUUGCUUUCUUCAUGACUUAUACAUGUUCCUGAAACUAUGAGAAUAUGCAACUCCCGUUCACCGGAGGAACACUUUGGGUGCUACAAAACGUCACAACGUAAUUGGGUGAUUAUAAAGGAGUACUACAGGUGUCUCCAAAGGUAGAUGUUGGGUUGGCGUAUUUCGAGAUUAGGUUUUGUCACUCCGAUUGUCGGAGAGGUAUCUCUGGGUCCUCUCGGUAAUGCACAUCACUAUAAGCCUUGCAAGCAAUGUAACUAAUGAGUUAGUUACAGAAUGAUGCGUUACAUAACGAGUAAAGAGACUUACCAGUAACGAGAUUGAACUAGGUAUUGGAUACCGACGAUCGAAUCUCGGGCAAGUAACAUACCGAUGACAAAGGGAACAACGUAUGUUGUUAUGCGGUUUGACCGAUAAAGAUCUUUGUAGAAUAUGUAGGAACCAAUAUGGGCAUCCAGGUUCCGCUAUUGGUUAUUGACCGAGAAUAGUUCUAGGUCAUGUCUACAUAGUUCUCGAACCCGUAGGGUCCGCACGCUUAACGUUACGAUGACAGUUUUAUUAUGAGUUUAUAAGUUUUGAUGUACCGAAGUUUGUUCGGAGUCCCGGAUGUGAUCACGGACAUGACGAGGAGUCUCAGAAUGGUCGAGACAUAAAGAUUGAUACAUUGGACGGCUAUAUUCGGACACCGGAAGUGUUCCGGGUGUUUUCGGAGAAAACCGGAGUGCCGGAGGGUUACCGGAACCCCCCGGGAGAAGUAAUAGGCCUAGUGCGUUCCCAGAGAAAGAUAAGUUGAAAGAUGAUGGUAGCAACUACACGGACAGGGCCCAUAACUUGAGGAUUAUCCUCACUGCUGCGCAGAAGAAUUAUGUCCUUGAUGCACCGCUAGGUGAAAGGCCUGCUGUAGGAGCAGAUGCUGAUGUUAUAAACGUCUGGCAAGCUCGAUAUGAUGACUACUCGAUAGUUAUGUGUGCCAUGCUUUACGGCUUAGAAUCAGGACUUCAAAGACGCUUUGAACGUCAUGGACCAUCUGAGAUGUUCCAGGAAUUGAAGUUAAUAUUUCAAGCAAAUGCCCAAGUUGAGAGAUAUGAAAUCUCCAACAAGUUGUAUAGCUGCAACAUGGAGGGAAACAGUUAUGUCAGUGAACACAUACUCAAAAUGUCUGGGUAUUACAAUCACUUGACUCAGCUGGGAGUUAAUCUUCCAGUUGAUUGUCUCAUUGACAGAGUUCUCCAAUCAUUACCACCAAGCUACAAGAGCUUCGUGAUGAACUAUAAUAUGCAAGGGAUGGACAAGACUAUCGCCGAGCUCUUCGCAAUGCUCGAAGUUGCGGAGGGACCACUAGUUUCAAGAAAACGGCAAAGGAAAGAAGGGGAACUUCAAGAAGAAUGGCAAGCAAGUUGCCACUCCCGGGAAGAAGCCCAAGUCUGGACCUAAGCCUGAAACUGAGUGCUUCUACUGCAAAGGGACUGUACACUGGAAGCGAAACUGCCCCAAGUAUUUGGCGGAUAAGAAUGAUGGCAAAGUGAACAAAGGUAUAUUCGAUAUACAUGUUAUUGAUGUGUACCAUACUAAUGCUCGUAGUAACGCAUGGGUAUUUGAUACUGGUUAUGUUGCUCAUGGUUAACAAAAUAACUUCAUCCUCGAAUGCUAAAGCAUGCGGACCCUACGGGUUCGAGAACUAUGUAGACAUGACCGAGACACCUCUCCGGUCAAUAACCAACAGCGGAACAUGGAUGCUCAUAUUGGUUCCCACAUAUUCUACAAAGAUCUUUAUCGGUCGUACCGUAAUGACAACAUACGUUAUUCCUUUGUCAUCGGUAUGUUACUUGCCUGAGAUUCAAUCGUUGGUAUCUUCAUACCUGGUUCAAUCUCAUUACCGGCAAGUCUCUUUACUCGUUUCGUAAUGCAUCAUCCCGCAACUAACUCAUUAGUCACAUUGCUUGCAAGGCUUAUUGUGAUGUGCAUUACCGAGAGGGCCCAGAGAUACCUCUCCGAUACUCGGAGUGACAAAUCCUAAUCUCGAUCUAUGCCAACCCAACAAACACCUUUGGAGAUACCUAUAGAGCAUCUUUACAAUCACGCAGUUAUGUUGUGACAUUUGAUAGCACACAAGGUAUUCCUCCGAUACACGGGAGUUGCAUAAUCUCAUAGUCAAAGGAAUAUGUAUAUGACAUGAAGAAAGCAAUAGCAAUAAAACUUAANNNNNNNNNNNNNNNNNNNNNNNNNNNNNNNNNNNNNNNNNNNNNNNNNNNNNNNNNNNNNNNNNNNNNNNNNNNNNNNNNNNNNNNNNNNNNNNNNNNNNNNNNNNNNNNNNNNNNNNNNNNNNNNNNNNNNNNNNNNNNNNNNNNNNNNNNNNNNNNNNNNNNNNNNNNNNNNNNNNNNNNNNNNNNNNNNNNNNNNNNNNNNNNNNNNNNNNNNNNNNNNNNNNNNNNNNNNNNNNNNNNNNNNNNNNNNNNNNNNNNNNNNNNNNNNNNNNNNNNNNNNNNNNNNNNNNGCCCCCUUUCAGGUGUCAUGUACGUAUAAAGGUAUAGUAGCCCAUCAGCCCAUUGCUCUUGUUGAAAAGAAAGUAGCCUAGUAAGGGAUGGCAGGUAAUAAUAGUGUACGCACAUAAAUCACGUCAAUCAGAUCGCGAGGGAAAAAAGAUCAGCGUACGCACGUAAAUCACGUCGUCCCCGUCCUCUUUCCUUCUUUUUUGGCACAGUACCGAUCUCUUCCCUUAUUCCUUACGAUCGUGAAACAUUCUCUUAAAAAAAGACGACCGUGCGCCAUGUGUUCAUCCCAAAUUUACUAUUCUCUGUUCCCUUGUUCCAAACUUCAGAUCCCAAGUCGCAGAGGGCUGGUUGGUCUCAAGGCGCUGUACGCAGACAAGACACGGCACGAAACAUCGCCUGGCUCCUAAAAAUUGACAUUGAUGGAGUUAGCGCACGCGUACAUCGCCGAGCACCUGCCACCAGACAUGCACAUCACAUCAUUGCCCCGAUCCAAUCAAUCUGAGGUAUAUCAUAUUACUAUUCCCGACAAUUUCAGCAAAGUUUCGUGCCAUGUGGGAACAAACAGUUUGAUAAAAAUAGUUGACCAAGAAGAAAUUCUAGAAGGUGAGAAAAAAAAUUUCAUGUUAAAUAUUUGUUUGUUUUGGUUGAUAUGAAUCACUUCAUUGAAGAAAGGGUUUAAAAAACUCAUGGUGUGUAAAGAUUUAUUCGGAUUUACUGUGCAUGUGAUUUUUGCAACAGCUAAAAGAAGCUUUUCAAACUUGAAAUUAUUGAAAGAACAAUUGGCAUAAACAAUUACCCAACAGAGCUUAAAUGGUUAGGCAACAUUAUGCAUGGGGAAGAAGGAUGAGAUUGACAUCGACACAAUCAUAAGCAUCUUUGCAUCAAAGAAUGUUACAAGAAAAUUUUAAGAUAAUAAUGUGUAUAAGUUAUUAUAUAAAUAUGGAUUUCCAAUGCAGUUAAGUAUUUAUUGGUAACAUUUCAUGUAUAAUUAAAUUAGUUAUUAUUGUUAUGAUGAUUAUAUUAAGGGGCCCGAAUGUUAUCUUCGCCCCGGGCCUCCAAAAUCCCAGUACCGGCCCUGCACAUGUCUAUGGUUAGGAAACUUAACCAUCUUUGAUUAACGAGCUAGUCUAGUAGAGGCUUACUAGGGACUUUAUGUAUCCACACAUGUAUCAAUUUUUCGGUUAAUACAAUUCUAGCAUGAAUAAUAAACAUUUAUCAUGAUAUAAGAAAAUAUAAAGUAACAACUUUAUUAUUGCCUCUAGGGCAUAUUUCCUUCAGAAUCUGGCUCUGGCGCCCUCAACCGGCAUGAAUGUGCGGCAACCGCUUCGGGUUGUAGAAACCGGAUGUUAGCGCAGAACAAAACAAAUGAAGAGGUCAAUGUUGUCGCACCAGGAAUGGGCUAACUCCUUCUCUUGAUAAACGCACCAACUGCCAAGAUUCAAAGGGAACCAAUAGACCCGACGACCUCUACCCUCACGAACCCUUCAUUGACAUCGAAUUUAAAGCCAAAAGGUAGGAAGAUGCCGAAAAUACCUUAUUCUAACACACCAAUGCCGCCAUGGAAACAAAAUAAAAGAAAAACAUGACCUAGUAAGAAAAAACAACAAAGACGAAGGGUCCCUACCGCCCCCAGACGAAAAAGAGAAGGGUGAUUGAGAUGGCGGCGUGGUACGACCAUAGCUGCGGCGGAUGUGUUUUCCAAUCACGUGGGUGUUUCUGAUAAGGGAUAAGGGAUUAAGAUGUUUUUCUUGAGAAACACCUGUAAUUUUAUUCAUACUCAUAACAAUUACAAAUGCACUGAUUUGGAUCUAAGAUCCAAGAAAAUACAAAGUAACUCCUAUGACUAAGAAUUACAAUGAAAUCUCUUGAAAACACCUUCUUCGCGGUAUCAGUCUCUGCUUGAAGAAAUACUCCAAAAGACUUCAGUAAAGAGGCUGCAAUUGAACUGGAGCAACAAUGUUGUCACUCUUUCACCCGUACGAACACUACCAAUAAUGGUUUACGAAAGCGCCUUGAGUUGCCCAUCCAAAAAGAUGGGAAGCCUUGAUCGAUGAACCUACUUGGGUCGGGGAUGAUCCUCUAGAAGUGCACACCAUCGAAUCACUAUAUCUUCACCAUGGUGUCGAUGAAAGAUUUCACCUCCACAAAGAAUCAGUCUAACAAAAAAAAAGCAUGACACAACAACAUAAACUCAUCAUAUCCGAAUAAUUGGAUCUGCGAGGACAGAUUACUCUUUAGCCAUAUGACAUCACCAAAAGGACAAGAGAAAAUUUAUUCUCACAAAACUAUGAUGAUCACGAUACGUCGACGAAGAGCAUAGAGGUCUUAAAGAUUUGAGGUGCCCCCACUUCUCAGCACCAAGAUGGCAGCCGGUGGCGAGGGGACCCAAAUUUUUCAGAUGAUGACGGUGGCGGCACAAAAUUUUAUUUUUGUAAGAGACACCAUAGAACACAUUUUUUUUGAGACAAGACACCGUAGAACACAUAGUGCGGAGUUGUGUAAGGCGCUACAUGGAGCCCGUUAUUCUAAAAUAAAGUGAUACCUCCAAUUAUAAAAGAUUUAAAAAAAAUCCUGUCAGAACUUAUAUAUAUUCGGAAGGGAUCUGUAAAUUUUCGUCUCGAUUGCUAGUAUGGUGGGCUAGCCCAUUAGGGCUCCUCGCUUGCUCGCUAGUUGUCAUGGAUCACCUACUCAUUCGUGUUUUAUUUAAUGUUUCCUAAAAAACAUCGGUCUUUUACUUCUGUUUUUUCACAAACUUGAAAAUUGUUUUUGAAUUUGAAAAAUUCUAGGAAUUCAAAAAAUUAUGGAAUUUUAAAUAAUCACGAAUUGGAAAAAAAUGUCUGUAGUAUUUAUUUUUUCCACGAAUUUGAAAUUUAUUCAUACAUUCAAAAAUGUUUGUGAAUUACAAAAAUGUUGAAUAUACUUGAACUGUUUUUGAAAACUCAUGAACAUUUUUUGAAUUUGUGAACAAAUUUUGAAAAAAGAACGUUUAAUAAAGUUUUGGAAAAUGCAUUCACUUUUUGAAGUUCCCACCGUCUCCGACGGGCACCCCUAUUCCUCGCGUUCAGCGAGACAGGAGCGAACCUCGAGAGCAACUAGUUGACGAGCGCUCCUUCUGGAGCUUCGCAACGCUAUGGUAGGCUGAGAGCGCGUCACUUGGCGUGCUCUUAGCUUCCACCACGUGUCACGCUAUGGGCGCCCCUCCGGAUUUUUUUAUUUUUCUGCACGCGUUUUCAAACCGUUUUUUUGUUUUUUUCCGUCUUUUUUGUUUUUCGCGGGUCUUCCUUAGCUUUUGGACCAAAAAAUUCGGGAACUUUUUUUUUUGCACAAACAGCCCGUUUUUUCUUUCACGAGAGGCACUAUCUUUCCUCUCGGAAACGAAAAAGACGCGUUUUCUAUUUUUUUUUCUUCCGUGAGAGGCACGGCCGUGCAUCCAGAAGUGGAAAAAACGCAUUUUCUAUUUUUUCCCCUUCAACGAGAGGUAUGGUUUUGCUUCCGUGAAAGAGACAUGGUUGUGAUUUUCACGAGAGGCACGGCCGUGCUCUCGAAAACGAAAAAAAAUGUGCUUUCUAUUUAUUUUUUUCUUCGGCAAGAGGCACGGUUGUGCUUUUCGCCAGAGGCACGGCCCUGCCUCUUUCGGAGAGGAAAAAACCGUGCUUCCUAUUUGGUUUUUUACAUGAAAAAAGUUCAUCAAAACCUAUCAACAUGGAUCUAGAUUUGAAAAUCUCGACGCGAGGAAUCCAACGGUGAAAAUGGUUCGAGAUUUGGACGCGCGGUUUAAGAGAUAAAACAUUUUGAAUAAACGAAUCUACAAAAAAAGGGAAAACUCCUAGGUUGCGACAAGUGUCGCACAUGCAGCACGCCACUUGUCACAAUCUGGGAAGGUGGCAGUGAUCUUUGUAAGGAGUACUCCUCAAUUAGUGAUUUUGGCGAACCUCUCGCAUCGGAAGAGCUUCGCCAGAAGCUCCAGCCUCCCUUUUCUGUUUUUUUUCCUUUUUGUUCUUUUUUUGGUUUACUUUUGUCUAUACUUUUAAAUAUUCUAACUAAAUAUAUUAGAAUAUUUAAUUAUUUUGAGUAAGUAUUAAGAAAAUGUUGAAUAAGUAUUUGAAACAUGUUGAAUAAGUAUAAAAAAACGUUGAACAAUAAAUUCAAAAAAAUGUUGAAAAUAUAUUUGAAAAUGUCGAAAAAUUAAUAAAAAUGUUGAAAAAUUAUUUUAAUUUUCUAAAUAAGUAUUAAAAAUGUUGAACGAGUAUUUGAGAAAUGUUGAGUAAGUAUUAAAACUGUUGAACAAAUAUUUGAGAAAUUUUAAAUAUGUAUUAAAAACUGUUGAAGGAGUAUUUGAAAAAUGUUGAACAAGUACUUGAAAAAUGUCGAAUAAGUAUUUGAAGAAUGUUGAACAAAUAUUUGAAAAAAUAUUGAACAAGUAUUCAGAAAAAAUGUUGAACAAGUGUUUGAAUUUUUUUAAUUAAGUGCUUGGAAAAUGUUAAAUAUAUAUGGAAAAAUGUUGACCAUGUAUUAAAGAAACUAUUAAACUUUCAUUUGAAAACUGUUAAUAAAUUAUUCAAAGACAUGUUUAAAAUGUAUAAAAAAUGUUGACGGUGUAGUUAAUCUUGUUUUGUACUCCCUCCGUUCUAGAAUAUAAGGUGUAUUGGUUUCCGUGCAAGUCAACCAUUUGAAAGUUUGACCAAGAUUAUAGAACAAAAUAGAAACGUCUGCAAUACCUAAUAGAUAAAAUAUGAAACCACCAUUCAUGAUAGAUCAAAUGAUAUAAAUUUCAUAUUGUCAAUAUCGAUGUAUUUUUCUAAAAACUUGGUCAAACUUGCACUCGUUUGACUUUUGAAAAAACAAAUACACCUUAUAUAAAUAUUAAUCAAGCAUUUGAAAAAUGUGUAUAGGUAAAUGUUGAUUAUGUAUUAUGAAAUUGUUUAAUUGGUAUUAUGAAACUCUUUUUAUACACAAAAUGUAGAAUAAUAACCAAAAGAACAAACAAAACAAUAAAAAGAACCAAAAUAAACCAAAUAAAAAAUAAAAUGCAAAAAAAAAUGAAAAUAAUGGAAAAUAUAGAGAAGAAAAAGAAAAGAAACAAAAGAAAACGAAAAAAAGGAGAAAAAAACGAAGGAAAAAAAACUGGCUUGAAUCAACUCAAGUAGGACGCGCUCCGAAAACUAACUAUGUAUGGGAACUGGAUGGGGUGGCUAGCAAGGGCAUUUCCUAUUUGGCGCCACCGGCGCCAGUUAACGUGAAUUUUGUUAACUGGCGCCUGUGGCGUCCGUAAUGGGCCGGCCCAUCUAGGCGCCGGUUGACCAUUUUUUAAUAAAAAUUCUGUGAACUUUUUUUAGAUUGAUGAACUUUUUUGAAUAUUGAUUAACCUUUUCUAAAUUAAAUGAACAUUUUGUCUUGAAAAUGGAUGAACUUUUUUUAUUUAUGAACAUUUUUUUCAGUUCCAUGAAUUUUUUCUAAAAAUACAUGAACUUUUUUCAAUUUCUGUGAACUUUUUAAAAAUUUAAUGAACUUUUGCGAAAUUGGAUGACCUUUUUUUUCAUUUUGAAUGAACCUUUUUUCAAAUUGAUGAACUUUUUCAAAAUUUAUGAUUUUUUUUAAAGAUAUGAAAUUAUUUUUUCGAAUGGAUGAACUUUUUUUCUUUAAAUCUGAAAACCUUUCUUCAUUUCUUAUUUUUAUUUUUGCAAAAAAAAAUAAAAAAACAUUUAGGGCAGCACGCUAGUGGGCCGGCCCAUGCUACCAGCGCUGCAGGCGCCGGAUCGUUAACGGGCGUCUGCAGCGCUGUAUAGGAGCUCCCGCUAGCAAGGCAUGCGCUGUCCCUGGAGACCAGGGAUCGAUACCUUUCUAGUAAUAAGUAAUUAAUUUGGGCUUCCCAAAAUAAAAUGCUCUAACACAUUUCUUGCUAACAACAAUUUUGGCCCAGCUCAAAGGCUAGCCACUAUAUUUCGGACUACGGGCUGGUAGUAUGGGCCCGUCUUGAAUGAUUUGGUAAUUGGUCUUUCUGUGUGUGUUACAAAAAAAAAAGAUUGGUUCCGUUAGAAAAAACAAGAAGAUCAUUGGUCACGAAUUAUUGGUGCUAUGCAUGCACGAGCUACCCGAUGGAGCAAAUCACAGCCAAUGAUCAGGGUUUUGUCCAAGCUCCUGUUAAGCUCUCGAUUCCGGUCCUCGCAAAAACAAAACAAAAAUUAAAAAACUCUCGAUUCCGGUCUCUGCGCAGAAAAGUGACGGCGGCCCUACCUAACAUCACGACCAGAAUUGCAGAAGUAAAAAAAAAACAUAAACAUGCACGACCAGCCCCGCUGCGGCGACGAACUUGCGAGUGUAUUGCGGUGCGCCGGGUGUGCUCUUGUCUCCUGGUCUGGUCCCUCCCUGUGCUCGCGAGUGGACCAUCGCGCAGCUCGGGUUUCGGUGCAAAAAAGCGCAGCUCCUUUUGGUCAAGGGCAGAAGAGGCGCCUAUCCAUUGCCAUUCAGGUAGCAUGCCAGGGCCAGGCCGCCAGCUUUUCUACCUUGGAGAAGGGGAACGGCUCUCUCCCGUGGCUGGUGGCUGGCUACGGCUACGCAGGCAGGCGCCGGAUCCACCACCAAACGUCCUAUUGCCGUUGCAACCAGUCGCGCUACUGUCUAGGAUUCUCCAUCGACUCAAACAGGUUUCCACGCUCGUGGCUCUUCUAUCAGUACAAUUUUUUCGGAGAGUACAUAAAAAUACGGGAUUUCUGGGGGGUAAACUAAAUUAAUUAACUAACUAGAAUUAACAGUAAAGUAAAUCGUCUAAAAUAUAACUUCUGAGAUUUAUAAUCAACGGGAAAUAAUAAGAAGAAAAUUAUUUUUAAUAUAUAUAUAAUAUUCUAAUAAACUUAAAGAAAAGAGCAAAGUAUAUUUUAAAAUUUCAUUGGAAUCCAUGGAUUUCCAAGAUUACGUUGUGCAUUACUAAAAUUCCAUUAAUCAUUGUUCAGUACGUGGGAUGCUUUUUUCAUAGACCUUUUCCUUAGUCUUACGAUUUUCUUUUACAUUUGGGCACGAGAACAUAUCGAGCAGGCCCUUUAGACCAAAAAAGGGGGGGUAGAGGUAAGAAAACGAGGUCCACAAGGGGGCAUACUAUUAGGGCCCCAAAAUUGGGCUAGAUGAUUCCAUUUUUCUCACCGACACCUUCUCCAACGAGUCUCUAGCACAACCCCCUAACUCAAAUAGACCAAGACUCGGAGGAAGUUCCAUAUCCCGUCCCUGCACAUGCCCUCCUCCUCCUCCUCCUCCUCCUCCUCCCACACUGGUGCGCUCCGCCUCCUCCCCUUCGAUGGCAAAUUUUGUGUUGCCAAGCUCAUUUAUUCCCCAGAAUUGGUCGACUCUACCCCCAUGCUCGUUGCCCACCUCACUGACCCGUUUUGGUUUAGUGCCUACUGUAGUCAUGCUUGUCGUAUCUGUUUCGUCCUCACAUUCGCUACUGGAGCAACAACACCAUGGCCCGGGACGAUGACAACGUUGUCAGACCUGCAGCCGAUAACCACAAAGGCAGGGCACAUGUUAAGUGCAUAACAGUCAGUUCGUGUGGGGGAAAUGGAAGAGGGGAGCAAGCCGAGAUCACACUGGUUGGUAGUGGUGCAGGAGGUGGCUGGAGAGAAAGGAAAAAUAAAAAGGGAAAUAGAAGAAAAAGGUGACCCGCUGGCAUGUGGGUCCUAUGUGUGGCAAAAGUAAAAGAGGCUACUACUAGACUUGAUGUCGUCUUUUGCGGUCUCAAAAAAUGCAGGCAUCCCCCAUUUAGCUUUUAGGGGCUCUAAAUUGGAGCAAUUGUUGUAGAUACUUUGAGUGGCUACCAAAUGUGUGAAUCACCAUGUCAUUACCAAAUAUCGAUGCGCAUUGACAAUAGUUGAGAGACCACAAGAGAUACUUGUUUUAUUUGUAUUAACGCCCACCAUUUUUUAAUUGCAUAAAUUUUAACAAAUUAGAUAUGUUCAGUAGUUCUCAUGGCUUAAUACAAUAUACCGUCAUCCAAACUAAACUCCAUUUUAAAGAAAUUCUUAUCGUAACUAUUUCCUUUUCCAAACCCCUUCCACAUCCCCGGAAUCCUUUGAUAACCCACAAGAAUAGGGGAUCAAUUGUAGCCUCUUUCGAUAAAUAAGAGUGUCGAACCCAACGAGGAGCCAAAGGUAGAACAAAUAUGCCCUCAAGUUUUAUCGACCACCGAUACAACUCUAUGCACGCUUGACGUUCGCUUUACCUAGAACAAGUAUAAAACUAGAAGUACUUUGUAGGUGUUGUUGGAUAGGUUUGCAACAUAAUAAAGAGCACGUAAAUAAAAGUUAGGGGCUGUUUAGAUAAAGACACAACUAAGUUAGUUUAGCGAGUGUGGAGAAGUGGUGGUAUGAGUUGUGAAAUUGUCCCUAAGCAAUUGACUACUUUACUAGACCGAUAGCAAAUUUUAUGUGGGAGAGGCCACUGCUAGCAUGUCAUCCCUGACUUGGAAUUAUAUGCACUUAUGAUUGGAACUAUUAGCAAGCAUCCGCAACGACUAAUGUUCUUUAAGGUAAAACCCAACCAUAGCAUUAAGAUAUAUUGGUCCCCCUUCAAUCUCGUAUGCAUCAAUUUCUAUGCUAGGUUGAAGCUUCUGUCACUCUUGCCCUCCAAUACAUAGUCCUAUCAACAUACAACUAACCCUAUGGUGUGAUCCACGCACGCGCUCAUAUGAUGGGCACCAAAACACAACAACAUAACCACAAGCAAAUUAAACCAAUCAUAGCAAUUCACCAAUCACCGAUAGGACAACGAAAAUCUACUCAGACAUCAUAGGAUGACAACACAUCAUUGGAAAAUAAUAUGAAGCAUAAAGCACCAUAUGCAAGUAGAGGGUACUGUUGGAAAUAUGCCCUAGAGGCAAUAAUAAAAGUAUUAUUAUAUUUCAUUGUUCAUGAUAAUUGUCUUUUGUUCAUGCUAUAACUGUAUUAUCCGGAAAUCGUAAUACACGUGUGAGCACAUAGACCACAAUAUGUCCCUAGUGAGCCUCUAGUUGACUAGCUCGUUGUGAUCAACAGAUAGUCAUGGUUUCCUGACUAUGGACAUUGGAUGUCGUUGAUAACGGGAUCACAUCAUUAGGAGAAUGAUGUGAUGGACAAGACCCAAUCCUAAGCAUAGCAUAAAGAUCGUGUAGUUCGUCUGCUAGAGCUUUGCCAAUGUCAAGUAUCUCUUCCUUCGACCAUGAGAUCGUGUAACUCCCGGAUACCGUAGGAGUGCCUUGGGUGUAUCAAACGUCACAACGUAACUGGGUGACUAUAAAGGUGCAUUACAGGUAUCUCCGAAAGUAUCUGUUGGGUUGACACGGAUCGAGACUGGGAUUUGUCACUCCGUAUGACGGAGAGGUAUCUCUGGGCCCACUCGGUAAUGCAUCAUCAUAAUGAGCUCAAGGUGACCAAGGUGUUGGCCACGGGACCAUGCAUUACGGUACGAAUAAAGUGACUUGCCGGUAACGAGACUGAACAAGGUAUUGGGAUACCGACGAUCGAGUCUCGGGCAAGUAACGUACCGAUUGACAAAGGGAAUUGUAUACAGGGUUUUGAUCGAAUCCUCGACAUCGUGGUUCAACCGAUGAAAUCAUCGAGGAGCAUGUGGGAGCCAGCAUGGGUAUCCAGAUCCCGCUGUUGGUUAUUGCCCGAGAGUCGUCUCGGUCAUGUCUGCGUGUCUCCCGAACCCGUGGGGUCUACACACUUAAGGUUCGGUGACGCUAGGGUUGUAUGAAUAUGAGUAUGCAGCAUACCGAAUGUUGUUCGGAGUCCCGGAUGAGAUCCCGGACGUCAUGAGGAGUUUCGGAAUGGUCCGUAGGUAAAGAAUAAUAUAUAGGAAGUGGUAUUUCGGCCAUCGGGAAAGUUUCGGGGUCUCCCGGUAAUGUACCGGGACCACCGGAAGGGUCCCGGGGGUCCACCGGGUGGGGCCACCCAUCCCGGAGGGCCCCAUGGGCUGAAGUGGGAGGGGAACCAGCCCAUAGUGGGCUGGUGCGCCCCCCUAGGCCCACCCCCUGCGCCUAGGGUUGAAACCCUAGGGGUGGGGGGGGGGGCGCCCCACUUGGCUUGGGGGGCACUCCACCCCCUUGGCCGCCGCCCCCCUUGGAGAUUGGAUCUCCAGGGGCCGGCGCCCCCCCUGGAGGGGGAGGAGGGCAGCCGCACCCUUGUGCUUGGUGCCUCCCUCCCCCUGCUACACCUCGUCCUCCUCCCGUAGUCGCUUGGCGAAGCCCUGCCGGAGUUCUGCUGCAUCCACCACCACGCCGUCGUGCUGCUGGAUCAUCAUCAACCUCUCCUUCCCCCUUGCUGGAUCAAGAAGGAGGAGACGUCUCCCGUCCCGUACGUGUGUUGAACGCGGAGGUGCUGUCCGUUCAGCACUUGGACAUCGGUGAUCUGAAUCACGUCGAGUACGACUCCAUCAUCACCUUGCAAGCUUCCGCACGCGAUCUACAAGUGGUAUGUGGAUGCAAACUCUCUCCCAUUACUCGUUGCUUAGAUGAACUCAUAGAUGGAUCUUGGUGAAACCGUAGGAAAAUUUUUAAUUUUCUGCAACAUUCCCCAACAGUGGUAUCAGAGCUAGGUCUAUGCGUAGUUCUCUAAUGCACGAGUAGAACACAAUUUUGUUGUGGGCGUGGAUCUUGUCAACUUACUUGCCUCUACUAGUCUUUUCUUGCUUCAACGGUAUUGUGGGAUGAAGCGGCCCGGACCAACCUUACACGUACGCUUACGUGAGACCGGUUCCACCGAUUGACAUGCACUAGUUGCAUAAGGUGGCUGGCGGGUGUCUGUCUCUCCCACUUUAGUUGGAGCGGAUUCGAUGAACAGGGCCCUUAUGAAGGGUAAAUAGAAGUUGACAAAAUCACGUUGUGGUUAUUCGUAGGUAAGAAAACAUUCUUGCUAGAACCCAAUCGCAGCCACGUAAAAGAUGCAACAACAAUUAGAGGACGUCUAACUUGUUUUUGCAGCGAUUGAUCAUGUGAUGUGAUAUGGCCAGAAGUUGUGAUGAAUGAUGAAUUGUGAUGUAUGAGAUCAUGUUCUUGUAAUAGGAUUCACGACUUGCAUGUCGUUGAGUAUGACAACCGGCAGGAGCCAUACGAGUUGUCUUUAUUUUUUGUAUGACAUGCGUGUCAUUGAAGAACGCCAUGUAAACUACUUUACUUUAUUGCUAAACGCGUUAGCCAUAGAAGUAGAAGUAGUCGUUGGCGUGACAACUUCAUGAAGACACGAUGAUGGAGAUCAUGAUGAUGGAGAUCAUGGUGUCAAGCCGGUGACAAGAUGAUCAUGGAGCCCCGAAGAUGGAGAUCAAUGGAGCUAUAUGAUAUUGGCCAUAUCAUGUCACAACUAUAUAAUUGCAUGUGAUGUUUAUUAUGUUUAUGCAUCUUGUUUACUUAGGACGACGGUAGUAAAUAAGAUGAUCCCUUACAAAAAUUUUAAGAAGUGUUCUCCCCUAACUGUGCACCGUUGCUACAGUUCGUCGCUUCUAAGCACCACGUGAUGAUCGGGUGUGAUGGAUUCUUACGUUCACAUACAACGGGUGUAAGACAAUUUUACACAGCGAAAACACUUAGGGUUAACUUGACGAGCCUAGCAUGUACAGACAUGGCCUCGGAACACGGAGACCGAAAGGUCGAACACGAGUCGUAUGGAAGAUACGAUCAACAUGAAGAUGUUCACCGACGAUGACUAGUCCGUCUCACGUGAUGAUCGGACAUGGGCUAGUCGACUCGGAUCGUGUAACACUUAGAUGACUAGAGGGAUGUCUAAUCUGAGUGGGAGUUCAUAAUUUGAUUAGAACUUUAUUAUCAUGAACUUAGUCUAAAACCUUUGCAAAUAUGUCUUGUAGAUCAAAUGGCCAACACUAAUGUCAACAUGAACUUCAACGCGUUCCUAGAGAAAACCAAGCUGAAAGAUGAUGGAACCAACUAUACGGACUGGGUCCGGAACCUGAGGAUCAUCCUCAUAGCUGCCAGGAAGCAAUAUGUCCUAGAAGGACCACUAGGUGACGCUCCCGUCCCAGAGAACCAAGACGUUAUGAACGCUUGGCAAGCUCAUGCUGAUGAUUACUCCCUUGUUCAGUGCGGCAUGCUUUACAGCUUAGAACCGGGGCUCCAAAAGCGUUUUGAGCAUCACAGAGCAUAUGAGAUGUUCGAAGAGCUGAAACUAGUUUUUCAAGCUCAUGCCCGGGUCGAGAGAUAUGAUGUCUCCGACAAGUUCUACAGUUGUAAGAUGGAGGAAAACAGUUCUGUCAGUGAGCACAUCCUGAAGAUGUCUGGGUUGCACAACCAUAUGACCCAGCUGAACAUUAACCUCCCAGAUGAGGCGGUCAUUGACAAAAUCCUCCAGUCGCUCCCACCAAGCUACAAGAAUUUUGUAAUGAACUACAACAUGCAGGGGAUGGUGAAGGCCAUUCCUGAAGUGUUCUCGAUGCUGAAGUCAGCAGAGGCUGAAAUCAAGAAAGAACAUCAAGUGUUGAUGGUCAAUAAGACCACUAAGUUCAAAAAGGCAAGGGUAAGAAGAACUUCAAGAAGGACGGCAAAGAUGUUGUCGCGCCCGGUAAGCCUGUUGCCGGGAAGAAGUCAAAGAAUGGACCCAAGCCUGAGACUGAGUGCUUUUAUUGCAAGGGGAAGGGUCACUGGAAGCGGAACUGCCCCAAAUACUUAGCGGAUAAGAAGGCCGGCAACACCAAAGGUAUAUUUGAUAUACAUGUAAUUGAUGUGUACCUUACCAGUACUCGUAGUAACUCCUGGGUAUUUGAUACCGGUGCCGUUGCUCAUAUUUGUAACUCACAGCAGGAGCUGCGGAAUAAACGGAGACUGGCGAAGGACGAGGUGACGAUGCGCGUCGGGAAUGGUUCCAGAGUCGAUGUGAUCGCCGUCGGCACGCUGCCUCUACAUUUACCUACGGGAUUAGUUUUGAACCUUAAUAAUUGUUAUUUAGUGCCAAGUUUGAGCAUGAACAUUGUAUCUGGAUCUCGUUUAAUACGAGAUGGCUACUCAUUUAAGUCUGAGAAUAAUGGUUGUUCGAUUUAUAUGAGAGAUAUGUUUUAUGGUCAUGCUCCGAUGGUCAAUGGUUUAUUCUUAAUGAAUCUCGAGCGUAAUAUUACACAUGUUCAUAGUGUGGAUGCCAAAAGAUGUAAAGUUGAUAACGAUAGUCCCACAUACUUGUGGCACUGCCGCCUUGGUCACAUUGGUGUCAAGCGCAUGAAGAAGCUCCAUGCUGAUGGACUUUUAGAGUCUCUUGAUUAUGAAUCGUUUGACAAAUGCGAACCAUGCCUCAUGGGCAAAAUGACCAAGACUCCGUUCUCCGGAACAAUGGAGCGAGCAACCAACUUGUUGGAAAUCAUACAUACCGAUGUGUGCGGUCCAAUGAGCGUUGAGGCUCGCGGAGGAUAUCGUUAUGUUCUAACUCUCACUGAUGACUUAAGUAGAUAUGGGUAUGUCUACUUAAUGAAACACAAGUCUGAGACCUUUGAAAAGUUCAAGGAAUUUCAGAGUGAGGUAGAGAAUCAACGUGACCGAAAGAUAAAGUUCCUACGAUCAGAUCGUGGAGGAGAAUAUUUAAGUCAUGAAUUUGGCACACACUUAAGGAAAUGUGGAAUCGUUUCACAACUCACGCCGCCUGGAACACCUCAGCGAAACGGUGUGUCCGAACGUCGUAAUCGCACUCUAUUGGAUAUGGUGCGGUCUAUGAUGUCUCUUACCGAUUUACCGCUAUCAUUUUGGGGAUACGCUCUAGAGACAGCUACAUUCACUUUAAAUAGGGCACCGUCUAAAUCCGUUGAGACGACACCGUAUGAAUUAUGGUUUGGGAAGAAACCUAAGCUGUCGUUUCUAAAAGUUUGGGGAUGCGAUGCUUAUGUCAAGAAACUUCAACCUGAAAAGCUCGAACCCAAGUCGGAAAAAUGCGUAUUCAUAGGAUACCCUAAGGAAACUGUCGGGUAUACCUUCUACUUAAGAUCCGAGGCAAGAUCUUUGUUGCCAAGAACGGAUGCUUUCUGGAAAAAGAGUUUCUCUCGAAAGAAGUAAGUGGGAGGAAAGUAGAACUUGAUGAAGUACUACCUCUCGAACGGGAAAGUGGUGCAGCGCAGGAAACCGUUCCUGUGAUACCCACACCAACUGAAGAGGAAAACAAUGAUGAUGAUCAAGGUACUUCGGAUCAAGUUGCUACUGAACUUCGUAGGUCCACAAGGACACGUUCCGCACCAGAGUGGUACGACAACCCUGUCCUGGAAAUCAUGUUGUUAGACAACGGUGAACCUUCGAACUAUGAAGAAGCAAUGGCGGGCCCAGAUUCCAACAAAUGGCUUGAAGCCAUGAAAUCCGAGAUAGAAUCCAUGUAUGAAAACAAAGUAUGGACUUUGACAGACUUGCCCGAUGAUCGGUGAGCGAUAGAAAACAAAUGGAUUUUUAAGAAGAAGACGGACGCGGAUGGUAAUGUUACCAUCUAUAAAGCUCGACUUGUCGCUAAGGGUUAUCGACAAGUUCAAGGGAUUGACUACGACGAGACAUUCUCUCCCGUAGCGAAGCUAAAGUCCGUCCGAAUCAUGUUAGCAAUUGCCGCAUACUAUGAUUAUGAGAUAUGGCAGAUGGACGUCAAAACGGCAUUCCUUAACCGACAUCUUAAGGAAGAGCUGUAUAUGAUGCAGCCGGAAGGUUUUGUCGAUCCUAAGAACGCUAACAAAGUAUGCAAGCUCCAGCGAUCCAUUUAUGGACUGGUGCAAGCAUCUCGGAGUUGGAACAUUCACUUUGAUGAGAUGAUCAAAGCGUUUGGGUUUAUGCAGACUUAUGGAGAAGCCUGCGUUUACAAGAAAGUGAGUGGGAGCUCUGUAGCAUUUCUCCUAUUAUAUGUAGAUGACAUACUCUUGAUGGGAAAUGAUACAAAACUUCUGGACAGCAUUAAGGCCUACUUGAAUAAGUGUUUUUCAAUGAAGGACCUUGGAGAAGCUGCUUAUAUAUUAGGCAUCAAGAUCUAUAGAGAUAGAUCGAGACGCCUCAUAGGUCUUUCACAAAGCACAUACCUUGAUAAGAUUUUGAAGAGGUUCAAAAUGGAUCAGUCCAAGAAAGGGUUCUUGCCUAUGUUACAAGGUGUGAGAUUGAGCUCGGCUCAGUCACCGACCACGGCAAGAGAUAAAGAAGAGAUGAGUGUCAUCCCCUAUGCUUCAGCCAUAGGAUCUAUUAUGUAUGCCAUGCUGUGUACCAGACCUGAUGUAAACCUUGCCGUGAGUUUGGUAGCAAGAUACCAAAGUAAUCCCGGCAAGGAACACUGGACAGCGGUCAAGAAUAUCCUGAAGUACCUGAAAAGGACAAAGGACAUGUUUCUCGUUUAUGGAGGAGACGAAGAGCUCGUCGUAAAGGGUUACGUCGACGCUAGCUUCGACUCAGAUCUGGAUGACUCUAAGUCACAAACCGGAUACGUGUAUAUGUUGAAUGGUGGAGCAGUAAGCUGGUGCAGCUGCAAGCAGAGCAUCGUGGCGGGAUCUACGUGUGAAGCGGAGUACAUGGCAGCCUCGGAGGCAGCACAUGAAGCGAUAUGGGUGAAGGAGUUCAUCACCGACCUAGGAGUUAUACCCAAUGCGUCGGGGCCGAUCAAACUCUUCUGUGACAACACUGGAGCUAUUGCCCUUGCCAAGGAGCCCAGGUUUCACAAGAAGACCAGGCACAUCAAGCGUCGUUUCAACUCUAUCCGUGAAAAUGUUCAAGAUGGAGACAUAGAGAUUUGCAAAGUACAUACGGAUCUGAAUGUCGCAGAUCCGUUGACUAAACCUCUCUCGCGAGCGAACCAUGAUCAACACCAGAACUCUAUGGGUGUUCGAUUCAUCACAAUGUAACUAGAUUGGUGACUCUAGUGCAAGUGGGAGACUGUUGGAAAUAUGCCCUAGAGGCAAUAAUAAAAGUAUUAUUAUAUUUCAUUGUUCAUGAGAAUUGUCUUUUGUUCAUGCUAUAACUGUAUUAUCCGGAAAUCGUAAUACACGUGUGAGCACAUAGACCACAAUAUGUCCCUAGUGAGCCUCUAGUUGACUAGCUCGUUGUGAUCAACAGAUAGUCAUGGUUUCCUGACUAUGGACAUUGGAUGUCAUUGAUAACGGGAUCACAUCAUUAGGAGAAUGAUGUGAUGGACAAGACCCAAUCCUAAGCAUAGCAUAAAGAUCGUGUAGUUCGUCUGCUAGAGCUUUGCCAAUGUCAAGUAUCUCUUCCUUCGACCAUGAGAUCAUGUAACUCCCGGAUACCGUAGGAGUGCCUUGGGUGUAUCAAACGUCACAACGUAACUGGGUGACUAUAAAGGUGCAUUACAGGUAUCUCCGAAAGUAUCUGUUGGGUUGACACGGAUCGAGACUGGGAUUUGUCACUCCGUAUGACGGAGAGGUAUCUCCGGGCCCACUCGGUAAUGCAUCAUCAUAAUGAGCUCAAGGUGACCAAGGUGUUGGCCACGGGAUCAUGCAUUACGGUACGAGUAAAGUGACUUGCCGGUAACGAGACUGAACAAGGUAUUGGGAUACCGACGAUCGAGUCUCGGGCAAGUAACGUACCGAUUGACAAAGGGAAUUGUAUACAGGGUUUUGAUCGAAUCCUCGACAUCGUGGUUCAACCGAUGAAAUCAUCGAGGAGCAUGUGGGAGCCAACAUGGGUAUCCAGAUCCCGUUGUUGGUUAUUGCCCGAGAGUCGUCUCGGUCAUGUCUGCGUGUCUCCCGAACCCGUAGGGUCUACACACUUAAGGUUCGGUGACGCUAGGGUUGUAUGAAUAUGAGUAUGCAGCAUACCGAAUGUUGUUCGGAGUCCCGGAUGAGAUCCCGGACGUCACGAGGAGUUUCGGAAUGGUCCGGAGGUAAAGAAUAAUAUAUAGGAAGUGGUAUUUCGGCCAUCGGGAAAGUUUCGGGGUCUCCCGGUAAUGUACCGGGACCACCGGAAGGGUCCCGGGGGUCCACCGGGUGGGGCCACCCAUCCCGGAGGGCCCCAUGGGCUGAAGUGGGAGGGGAACCAGCCCAUAGUGGGCUGGUGCGCCCCCCUAGGCCCACCCCCUGCGCCUAGGGUUGAAACCCUAGGGGUGGGGGGGCGCCCCACUUGGCUUGGGGGGCACUCCACCCCCUUGGCCACCGCCCCCCCUUGGAGAUUGGAUCUCCAGGGGCCGGCGCCCCCCUGGAGGCCUAUAUAAAGGGGGGAGGGAGGGGGCAGCCGCACCCUUGUGCUUGGCGCCUCCCUCCUCCUGCUACACCUCGUCCUCCUCCCGUAGUCGCUUGGCGAAGCCCUGCCGGAGUUCUGCUGCAUCCACCACCACGCCGUCGUGCUGCUGGAUCAUCAUCAACCUCUCCUUCCCCCUUGCUGGAUCAAGAAGGAGGAGACGUCUCCCGUCCUGUACGUGUGUUGAACGCGGAGGUGCUGUCCGUUCAGCACUUGGACAUCGGUGAUCUGAAUCACGUCGAGUACGACUCCAUCAUCACCUUGCAAGCUUCCGCACGCGAUCUACAAGUGGUAUGUAGAUGCAAACUCUCUCCCAUUACUCGUUGCUUAGAUGAACUCAUAGAUGGAUCUUGGUGAAACCUUAGGAAAUUUUUUAAUUUUCUGCAACGUUCCCCAACAGGUACAAUGGGUUCCGGGAGAGUGGACCGAUGUAGAUAGAUGGGGGAAGGUGAUGAAGAUGUUGGUGAAGAUGACGGAGGUGUUGGUGUAGAUCGUUGUCGCACGAUUAUGGCCCCGACGGUGUCCCGGGGCCACCGGGAGAGAGGGGGAGAGAGAGCCCCCCUUCUUCUUCUUCUUCUUCUUCUUCUUCUUCUUCCUUGACCUUCUCCCUAGAUGGGAGAAGGGUUUCCGCUCUGGUCCUUGGCUUCCAUGGCAUGCGAGGGGCGAGAGCCCCUCCGAGAUUGGAUCUAUCUCUCUGUCUCUCUCUGUUUCUGCGUUCCAGAUUCUGGCCUUUCACCGUUUCUUAUAUUCCCGGAGAUCCGUAACUCCUAUUGGGCUGAAAUUUUAACAUGAUUUGUAUCCGGAUAUUGGCUUUCUUGCGGCGAAAGAAGGGCACCAACCGCCUUACGGGGUGGCCACGAGGGUCAAGGGCACGCCCCUUGCCUCGUGGCCCCCUCGGGCAUCAUCUCUCGUUGAUUCUUCUUCCCCAAAAUCACAUAUAUUCCAAAAAAAUCUCUGUAUGUUUUUAUCCCGUUUGGACUCUGUUUGAUAUGGAUUUUUUGCGAAACAAAAAACAUGCAACAAACAGGAACUGGUACUGGGCACUGGAUCAAUAUGUUAGUCCCAAAAAUAGUAUAAAAAGUUGCCAAAAGUAUGUAAAAGUUGUAGAAUAUUGGCAUGGAACAAUAUAGAUACGACGGAGACGUAUCAGUAUCUCCAAGCUUAAUUCCUGCUCGUCCUCGAGUGGGUAAAUGAUGAAAAAGAUAAUUUUUGAUGUGGAAUGCUACCUAGCAUAAUCUUGAUCAUGUAAUCUAAUCAUGGCAUGAAUAUUAAGACACAAGUGAUUCAAAGCAAUAGUCUAUCAUUUGACAUAAAAGAAUUUAAUACUCGGGCAUCCCAACGAACAAUCAAGUCUUUCAAAAUAUCAAUGCUAAAGAACGUUAUCCCUACAAAAUCAUAUAGUCUUUUAUGCUCCCUUUUCUUAACACAAGGUACCCCUCAUGCCCAUCCCGGUGUCAGCCAAGCAAUUGUUUUCAUACAUUACUUUUUCGAACCUUUUAAACUCUUCACACAAUAUAUGAGCGUGACCCAUGGACAUAGCACUAUGGGUGGAAUAGAAGGUGGUGAUAGACAAAAGUAGGGAGAAAGUCUCACAUCGACUAGGCAAAUUAAUGGACUAUGGAGAUGUCCAUCAAUUGAUAUCAAUGUGAGUGAGUAGGGAUUGCAUGUAACGGAUGCACUAGAGCUAUAAGUGUAUGAAAGCUCAAAGGAAAACUAGUGGGUGUGCAUCAACUUGCUUGCUCAUGAAGACCUAGGGCAAUUUGAGGAAGCCCAUCGUUGGAAUAUACAAGCCAAGUUCUAUAACGAAAAAUUCCCACUAGUAUAUGAAAGUGACAAUAUAGGAGACUCUCUAUAUGAAGAACAUGGUGCUACUCUGAAGCACAAGUGUGGUAAAAGGAUAGUAACAUUGCCCCUUCUCUCUUUUUCUCUCAUUUGUUUGACGGGCUUCUUUGGCCCCUUUUUUUAUUUAGGCUUCUUUGGCCUCUCUUUUUUAUUUCCUCACAUGGGGCAAUGCUCUAAUAAUGAUAAUCACCACACUUUUAUUUACUUACAACUCGAUAUUACAACUCGAUACUAGAACAAAAAUAUGACUCUAUAUGAAUGCCUCCGGCGUUGUACCGGGAUGUGCAGUGAUCUAGCAUACCAAUGGCAUAAAAAAACGGACAAGCCAUGAAAAUAUCAUGCUAGCUGUCUUACGAUCAUGCAAAGCAAUAUGACAAUGAUGGUGCAUGUCAUAACAAACGGAACAGUGGAGUUACAUGGCAAUAUAUCUCGGAAUGGCUAUGGAAAUGCCAUAGUAGGUAGGUAUGGUGGCUGUUUUGAGGAAGGGUAUAAGGUGGUUUGAUGCACCGGUGAAAGUUGCGCGGUACUAGAGUGGCUAGCAAGGUGGAAGGGUGAGAGUGUGUAUAAUCCAUGGACUCAACAUUAGUCAUAAAGAACUCAAAUAGUUAUUGCGAAAAAUCGAUUAGCCCUCAAAGCAAAAUACUACGACGCAUGCUCCUAGGGGGGAGGUUGGUAGGAGUUAACCAUCCCGCGCCCCGACCUUCACGCAGAGAUAAACAAUCAAAAUACAAUGCGCGCCAAUUUGGUUACAUAGUUAGAAGACCAUACGUGCAUGCUUCGGGAAUCACAAACCUUAGCACCAAUAUUUUUACUAAACCACAAUCAUUCACUAGUACCUCCCACAUAUUAGCAUCUCUAUAUCGCAAAACUAUUGCAAGGAAUCAAACAUAUCAUAUUCAGCGAUCUACAAGUUUAUGUAGGAUUUUAUGACUAACCAUGUGAAUGACCAAAUUCCUGUCAACUCUCUAAAUAGAUAUAAGUGAAGCAAGAGAGUUUAAUUCUUUCUACAAAAGAUAUGCCCACGCUCUAACAAAUAUAAGUGAAGCAAAAGAGCAUUCUACAAAUGGCGGUUUUCUAUGUGAGGAGAAACAGGCAAUCCAAACUUCAAAUGAUAUAAGUGAAGCACAUGAAGCAUUCUAUAAAGUCAUACUCAAAAGAUAUAAGUGAAGUGCAAAGAGCAUUCUAUAAAUCAACGAUGGACUAUCUCAUACCAGCAUGGUGCAUCAAAGAAAAGUGAAAACUAAAUGCAAAAGAUGCUCCAAGAUUUGCACAUAUCACAUGAACGAAACGAAACCGAAAACAUACCGAUACUUGUUGAAGAAAGAUGGGAUGCCUUCCGGGUCAUCCUCAAGCUUAGACGCUUGAGUCUCCUUGAAUAUUUACUUGGGGUGCCUUGGGCAUCCCCAAGUUUGAGCUCUUUCCUCUCCUCCUUCUCCUCAUAUCGAGACCUCCUCGAUCUUUGGUCACUUCAUCCACACAAAACUCAAUAGAAAGCUCGGUAAGAUCCGUUAGUAUAAUAAAACAAAUCACUACUCUAAGUACUGUUGCAAACCAACUCAUAUUUUGUUUUUGCAAGCUUCUGUAAUAUAACUUUUCCAUGGCUUAUUCCACUGAUAGAAAUCGUUAGUUUCAUCAAAACAAGCAAACAAUGCAUCAAAAAACAGAAUUUAUCUUAAAUAGGACAGUCUGUAGUAAUCUGAACAUUCACCAUACUUCUGGUACUCCAAAAAUUCUGAAAAAAAUUAGGAAACAUAAACAACUUUUAUAGAAAGACAGUGCAAAAAGUUUCAGAACCGUUUUACGUUCCAGUAAAAAAUGUAAAAUCAUGCACUACAGCCAAAGUGUCUGUUUUGCACCGCACAAACCAACAAGCAAUGUAAACAUCCUAGAGGCAAAUCUUGGAAAAUUAUUUUUAUAAUACAAUGGAAUUGUACAAGGGGAUAAUUAUUUUUGUUGAAAAGUUUCUGUAAUCAAGAUUCACAAAGUUUCCGUGAGCAUGAACAAAGUUCAAGGAGAUCCCUCACUUCAACAAUGCUUGUCUCUCUCACUUUCACUUUCCUUUUUGAAAAGCUUUGGGUUCCCCUCUUUAUUUUUUUGUUUUAAACUCUAUAAACUCACUCAACAGAAAUAAAUUACUCGCUGAAACUUCCAGAUUGUCUCCCUGGCAACACUUUCUUUAAAGCCAUUAAGCUAGGCAUACAGUGCUCAAGUAAUGAAUCCACCCAGAUCCGAAGGUACAUCAAAGCCAAUUUGAAUUAGCAAUGAUUUGGCAUUUAGUAGUGAGCAAAAAGCAACAUAUAUCAAGCAAUGACGAAGUCUAACUUUCUUCCUAUGCAUCAGCAUGUCAUACAAGAACAUUUUAUGCACAACAAGUAAAGGCCAAUGCAUAGCAUAAGAAGUUUCUUGCAAUUUUAUCGUGUUGGAAACAUAGAGAGGCGGUGUAGUUCCUCUCUCAUAAUAAUUGCACGUGGGAGAAGAAGCACAUGCAUAUUAUAUUCAUCAAAAUUAUUAUGUGCAAUGGUAAAAGGCCACCCAUCAAUAUAAUCCUUAAUAAGUGCAAACUUCUCCGAUAUAGUGUAGUUUGGAGAAUUCAAAAAGAUAAUAGGACUAUCAUGUGUGGGUGAAAUAGCAACAAUCUCAUGUUUAACAUAAGGAACUAUAGCGAGUUCAUCUCCAUAAUCAUAAUUCAUAUUGGCAUCUUGGCCACAAGCAUAGCAAGCAUCAUCAAAAAGGGAUAUUUCAAAAGAAUCAACGGGAUCAUAACAAUCAUCAUAGCAUUCAUCCUUCGGUAAAUUCGAAGGGAAAUUAAACAAUGUAUGGGAUAAAGAGUUACUCUCAUUAGAUGGUGGGAACGGGUGAUCAAUCCGCUCUUCCUCCUUUUGUUCUUCGCUCUCCUCCUCAUCUUUUUCAUCCAAUGAGCUCACAAUGUCAUUAAUUUCUUCUUUCAUAGACUCCUGCAAAAUAUUAGUCUCUUCUUGGACAGUGGAGGAGUCCUCAAUAUAUGGUUUAAUAUAAGGAUUAGAAGCAUAAUUAUCAUAGCAAUAUUUAAGUAUGGCCAAAUUUUCAGAUUUGUAGAGAGUAGUAUCACACUCUUCAAUAAAAAAAAGCAAUUUCACAAGUACCCCUAAAAGCAACUAAUUCUUUAAUUUGUUGAACAUCAUAGUAAUUAUAAACACCCUUAGUAUAUGAAGAUACGAUUCCAUUAUCACUAAACUCACAUUGGUAAGAAAGGUGUUUCUUAGGGUCUUUAGAUUAACAAGUAAAAUCAUAUAUUUCACAUAAAUUCCAAGCAUAGCACUGCAAACAAUGAAUUUGAUCCAGUAAAAGUUUCCCUUUUUUGGAUAUGCGGUGUCGCACAUAACAAGCAUGCUCAUCUAAAGAUUUGCCCUCAACUAAGCUAGUUAGGGUUUCAGCCCGAGCACAUAGGGAUCGAAGAUGAUCCAAGUAAAAAGCUUCAGUAGUGUGAUAGAUUUUGAGUGGUUCUUCAACCAUUGAUUCAGUAGGUACCACCAAUUUUUUUUUGUAUUUUGCGUUUCCUACCCAUAACUAAAGAUAGAUAACAAGAUCACAUAAAAACUACUUAGUGAUAAAGCAAACAAGCACACACGAGAAUAUUCACCUCACGCUAUAACUCCCCGGCAACAACGCCAGAAAAAUGUCUUGAUAACCCACAAGUAUAGGGGAUCAAUUGUAGCCUCUUUCGAUAAGUAAGAGUGUCGAACCCAACGAGGAGCUAAAGGUAGAACAAAUAUUCCCUCAAGUUUUAUCGACCACCGACACAACUCUACGCACGCUUGACGUUCGCUUUACCUAGAACAAGUAUAAAACUAGUACCUAGAACAAGUAUAAAACUAGAAGUACUUUGUUGGUGUUGUUGGAUAGGUUUGCAAGAUAAUAAAGAGCAUGUAAAUAAAAGCUAGGGGCUGUUUAGAUAAAUACACAACUAAGUUAGUUUAGCGAGUGUGGAAAAGUGGUGGUAGGAGUUGUGAAAUUGUCCCUAAGCAAUUGACUACUUUACUAGACCGAUAGCAAGUUUUAUGUGGGAGAGGCCACUGCUAGCAUCUCAUCCCUGACUUGGAAUUAUAUGCACUUAUGAUUGGAACUAUUAGCAAGCAUCCGCAACUACUAACUUUCAUUAAGGUAAAACCCAACCAUAGCAUUAAGAUAUAUUGGUCCCCCUUCAAUCCCAUAUCCAUCAAUUUCUAUGCUAGGUUGAAGCUUCUGUCACUCUUGCCCUCCAAUAUAUAGUCCUAUCAACAUACAACUAACCCUAUGGUGUGAUCCACGCGCGCGCUCAUAUGAUGUGCACCAAAGGACAACAACAUAACGACCAGCAAAUUAAACCAAUCAUAGCAAUUCAUAACCUUUAGGACAACGAAAAUCUACUCAGAAUCAUAGGAUGGCAACACAUCAUUGGAUAAUAAUAUGAAGCAUAAAGCACCAUGUUCAAGUAGAGGGUACAACGAGUUACGGGAGAGUGGACCGCUGUAGAUAGAUGGGGAAAGGUGAUGAAGAUGUUGGUGAAGAUGACAGAGGUGUUGGUGUAGAUCGUCGUCGCACGAUGAUGGCCUCGGCGAUGUUCCGGCGCCACCGGCAGAGAGGGGGAGAGAGCCCCCUUCUUCUUCUUCUUCUUCUUCUUCUUCUUCUUCUUCUUCUUCUUCUUCUUCUUCUUCUUCUUCUUCUUCUUCUUCUUCUUCUUCUUCCUUACCUUCUACCUAGAUGGGAGAAUGGUUUCCCCUCUGGUCCUUGGCUUCCAUGGCAUGGGAGGGGCGAGAGCCCCUCCAAGAUUGGAUCUGUCUCUCUAUCUCUCUGUUUCUGCGCUCUAGAUUCUGACCUUUCACCGUUUCUUAUAUUCCCGGAGAUCCAUAACUCCGAUUGGGCUGAAAUUUUAACACGAUUUGAAUCUGGAUAUUGGCUUUCUUGCGGCGAAAGAAGGGCACCAACCGCCUUAUGGGGUGGCCACGAGGGUCAGGGGCGCGCCCCCUGCCUCGUGGCCCCCUCAGGCACGCAUUGUUUCUUCUUCCCAAAAAUCACAUAUAUUCCAAAAAAAUCUUCGUAAGUUUUUAUCCCGUUUGGACCGUUUGAUAUGGAUUUUCCGCGAAACAAAAAAAUAACAAACAGGAACUGGCACUGGGCACUGGAUCAAUAUGUUAGUCCCCAAAAUAGUAUAGAAAGUUGCCAAAAGUAUGUAAAAGUUGUAGAAUAUUGAAAUGGAACAAUCAAAAAUUAUAGAUACGACAGAGACGUAUCACCCUUCUAGUUGUCUCCGUGCACAUAUGACCUCCUUUUCUAGGGUUGGUGGUUGGCACCAUGUUUUCCAAUCGCACAUCUGUAUGCACACUACUACCGGUUUGCAUCCGCUCCGCCUUAUUCUAAGCAAAGUGGGAUAUAUAUGUACUCACCAAAAUAAUCAACUUGUGGUUGCCACAGUCCCUCCGACCUCUGCUCCCUCUGUCACUCGCCCACCGCUCCAUCGUAUAUCCAUGGAUGACAGCCGUUGGCUGAUCUGCUAUCCUAUGAUCGACUACCUCGCUAUCGGGAUGGAUCUGGUCCUGCUUCAGGAGAAAUCCAUGCUGACCUGAGCGUUAGCUGGCCACGACAGCGCCACCCCGGUGUCAUUUUCCCUCCUGGGGGGCAUGGUCCUUGAGCUGUACCUGGCCCGCUCGGUAUGGGCUUCGGGCGAAAGUCCAUUGACGACGUCGUCUGCGGACGUCGUUCACCUUCUUGAACGCAACAUUGGGAGCUCUUCGCUGUCAUCCAUCCAACCCUGCUCACUGUUGAUUGCACCACUUUGGUGAUACUUGUUGAAGAUCCUCGCAUGGUUGCCGUUGUGAUGCGGUGAGCUUUAUGCUCUUGGUGCUAUCUCGGUUCAUCUUUGCUCAAGGAUGACGCAAGAUGCCUCACAAGCUUGCUAGUCGUUCUUAUUUCCUAUGGUGGAGUUUCCAAUCGAGGUUCGUGUUUGCUAUGGCACUCGUUGAUUGUGAAUGCUCCUAAGCUGUGCAGCGGGGGUCGGUACGCACGCCGGUGCGUUCGGCUGUUUGUAGAUCUUGGUGUUGUGAUCCUUUGACGGCACCUCACAUCUACUUGUGUGUCUCGUGGUGAUGGUUUUGCCUUGUCUUGGGCACCCAUUCGUUCUCAUAUUCUUUUAUCCUUGUUGUUUGUACGGUUUUUGGGCCCGGUUUCCUUUAUAAAUGAGGUCAACUUGUUAAGGUUUUCGAUCCAGUUUUUCUUAUAAACCGGAUCACUCUAUGGCAUAUUGACCACUUUGAGUAAUAUAUUCAGGUGGGACCCCCAAGGUGAUUCUCAAACAAAAAGAAAACUCCAGCCCUCGAUAGUAACACGGCAAUACUGUAAUAUGCAUGAUGCAACUGUGCGGCAACAAACUGUGACAAUCGCCAGAUGUGCGCCAACAACAAUCGAUCACAGAGAAAGCUAUGUAGUUAUAUGAGAUAGUAUAUGAGAAACUACAAACAUUGUCCCCAUCCGUCUACCGGGAAUCUCUCGUUGAGAUAUUGCAUAACAAAAAAAAAAAUGCCCAUGGAUUGAUGCCAACUCUAGAGCAUCUAAAAUGGCGUGAUGCCAAUGUUGUUUAAUCCUAACUCGCCACGUAGGAUUUUUUGUUCAGUUGGAGAAGAGAGCGGGUUGUGUUUCUCUUGGCAUCCGUUAUUCAUGGUCCAUGGAUUGUUGGCUAAAAUGUGACUGGCCGACGAUGAGUUCCUGCCAUGCACGCCCUAGCUAGCUAGAGCCAUGGUAGAGCGGUAGAUCAAGGAAAGCACACCCACCCAACGAUUAGUGUUCUCCCCGUCCAAAUCCUAGCCAAAUCCCCUAAAAAAUUGUAAGCUAACUCCCUUCGCCAGUUCACGUGAAAUCCCUUCGAACUAAACGCAAACUGCACGUGCCUAAACGGAUAGUAGAAUCGAUGUGAAUACACUACUGUACGUACUAGUAGUAGCAACACGGACAGACACCAACACGGUUGGCUUGUGGCCUUGUGGUCGCUGAGCUCCCGCGCUGGUUUUUCUGACGGAAUCUCCGUCCAUCUUUGUCGGUUCCUUUCUUGAACAAGGUGCAGCCGCUUUUGGUGCAGUCAGAGGAGGAGUUUACCGCUUCCGGUAAGAUAAGAAGCAUCAGCAGGCCAUUGCCAGGGGCCCGCCCAGAAUCUCUAUUGUGUCUUGGAGAAGGACAAGGGAGUCUGUUUCUCUCUGGCACGUGACAAUGCAUGGCUGCUGCUGGCUGGCUGGCUACGGCCACCCAUACUAGGUGCACGCGAACCUACGCGGAGCGCGACGUGCACAGAUUAGACCGGACAGACACGCCCCCAUGGCCCAUGCUGCUGCCGUUGCAAUGGCGUAACCACGUUGCAGUAGCCCGAGACAGAAACGUACUAGUAUUACUAGGCGUUCAUUUUUUGGCACGAUGGAGGUUAAAUUAUUAGGGCUGCUAUGCACACGAUACCCGUUGGACGAUUGCUGGACGAUACUGCAAAUCAGGCCAUCCAUGCGUAGGACUAGGUGCAACGCAGCCGCUGGAUUAACUAUCGUGCCUGAAUCGUCCAUCAUGCAUCGUCUGUGAAGUAGUUUCGAUUAUGGGAAAUGUUUCCAGACGGUGCACCGGCCGAGCGUUUCGGCCGGUCCCGCGCACGCCGCUCGAUCGGGUAGCGAUCCAGCGCUCCCGCACCUCCCGAUCCACGUUGUUUUUUUUCCUUGGCCCAUCACGUGGCCUUGGUCCACCACGUUUACUCGGUCAGCUUUUUUUUUUCACCAACCGCUCAAGCUGUGGGGUGGGAAAAAUAUCUACAACUGCAGACGGACGAAAGUUGCAUCCGUUUUUUGCUGCAACAACGACAUUUUGUUGCUGCAACUGCCGUUAUCUUUUGCUACGACCAGCGUGUUUUUUUGCUACAUCCUUUUUUUGCUAUCGAUUUCUUGCCCAAAUAAAAAAAGCUGCAACCAUUUACAUGAAAGCUUCAACCCUACAUUUAAAAAGCUUCAACUCAUAAACUUUUUUGCUGGAACCAACUACUGUAUUUGUAGCUGAUUCUUUUUUGCUGGAACUAGUUUUUUGUUUUGCUACCACCGACGGCUUCAUUUGCUACCACCGGCGACAUGGUUUGCUACCACCAUAUGCAGCGGCCGGUCGACGUCAAUGUUUUUCUUGCUACAACCGUGUCAUGUUUUUGUUGCAACCGGCAGCCACAGAAGAUACAAUCGGUUAACAUUUUUGCUACAAUGGUGCCGGCGAGCUUUUAAUUUGUUGGAAGUGUUGCCCUUUUUUGCUACAACCGGUCGUUCUUUUUGCUGCUACCGACACCCCGACGGAGAGUACAGUUUUCUUAUGAGCUCGUCGCCGGAGGUGUUGCGACCUGCAGCCGCAGAACGCCGGAGCUGCGUUCGUCAUCACCGGAGUUGCGACCGUCGUCACCGAGAGAUGCAACUACGGGGACACGCUGCUGCAUGCAUGGAGCCAACGAGAAACACAUGAGACAUCAGGGUUGUAGUACCAUUGCAACACGGUCCACUACCACCAGGGCCCUGCCUGCUCAGGGGACUCCGGCCAUGAACGGCAGCGGAGCUCGAGCCUAAAUCCAUGGUGGCAAGGAGGUCAUGACGUAUGUACGACAUGAUUGAAGCAAUCCCAAGGCGGCUUGAUAGGUGGGGGAGCCCCUCCUAGACGUGAUUCGGCUGCGGGCAACGAAGAACAGGCGGAUCCGGUCGCCACCGCCGCGGAUCGGGGACGGGCGGACGCGGGGGAUCGAGCUCCCCUGUUUUUCUCGUUGUGGCUGUUCGUACAAAGGUUGCAACAAAACAUGUUCUUUUUGCUGCAACGGUUGGUUCGGUGGUGGCGUCGCGCGAAAAUCUAACGGCUGGGGCUGACCGCAUCGCACGGCUUGGGCUGGACCGGCCGAACAGUUCGGCCGGUGCGCCGGCGCGUAUCACUCCUCUUCGAUUAUUAGGCGGCCGUUGCAAGCAGGCACGAGGUCAGGUCACCUGCUGCGCGCGCGCUGUCCUCCGGCUGGUCUAGUCUGGUGCAUGCAUGUGUGGGAUUUUUGUGCGUGCCAUGAGGCGAACUAGCUAGCAAUUGUUCAAACAAAAAGUAGACUUGUAGUAAUACUAGUAAUCGCUCAGUUGGUCUCGGAGACCAAAGUCGCCUCUCUCUCACGUGACAUGCCACUACUCCAUUCGUGGUAUGAGCAGUCCCCAAUAGCCUACAGCUACAACUAUAUCUAUGGCUAUUGCCUAUUGGUGUGGUAGCACGCACGCGCCGUCGGGCCACCCGCUGCAGUCGCUCCUCUCUCUCUCUCUCUCUCACGUGACAAUGCAUGGCUGCUGGUGUCUGGCUACGGCCACGCAUGCUACGUGCACCCGAAUCUACACCGCGACGUGCACCGAUCAGACUGGACACGACCCCAUGCUGCUGCCGUUGGAAUGUAGGGACCAAACGGACGCGCGUUUUGUGUGUGUUUUUGCUCGUUUGGGUCGCUACUUUGGCCCAUGUAUGGCUGUGUCCGCGUUAACCGUUUGUUACAUUUUGGUACGGCUCAGCCGUUUUUGUUGCCAAUUUAUCCCAAUCUAGACAUUCUAUAGGCAUAAAUCAAAAGAACAAAUGAAAAUAAAACAUUGCACAUACUUAAACAGAUAAGUCACAUCUUUUACAACACAAUAAAUUUAAAUCACAGAGUUUAUUACAACCAAAUGUUUUUUAAAUUGUAGUAAAUACAUUGAACGAAAAAGUGUAGAUAUAUCUAUUGGUUUCCUAUGUGAGUUCACAUAUACUCAAUCAAAUCAUUUUGAAGUUGAAUGCGAGUUAUUCAAUCACGCAUUCCUUGAUGAAAUUGGGUGAACUGUGCAUACGUUGUUGCUUCAUACUUAGGCUCAACAUUCUCACCAUGAAAGUCCCACCCUUGAUCCAAGAGGUUGUUCUCAUGCUCAUCCUCUAUGAUCAUGUUGUGCAUGAUCACAUAAUAUGUCAUCACCUCCCACAUCUUUUGAGUGCUCCAUGUUCUAGCAGGGUGCUGGACAAUAGCCCAUCGAGAGCUGUCGGCGACCCCUGUCCUCGGCGUGCCUUGUAGUACUCUAACGGCAGCUAGGACCGGCCACAAGGCCGGCGAGAUUUGGCGUGGUGACGGUGGUGGCUCAGGCAUGUCCGUGGAUGCGGCCAUUGGUGCUCUGGUGGUCGUGAGACGACCGUAACUGGAUGGCGGCGGCGAUAGCGGCGAGCCAGGGGUGUUAGAGUGGAGGGGGAAGGACCGUUAUACCAUAGACAGGAGGGCCAGGGGGAGGACAAGGGAGGGCGAUGCGGGCGUCCGCAACGUGUUUGCACGGACGCAAACUUGGCCCAAAUUUGUGGCCAGAAAUGGGUUGAGUCGGAAAAAAGUACACCCGCUAGUUUGCGUCGAGCCGUAAUUUUUGUCUACGCGGACCCAAGCAGACGUGAACGGACCAAAUGCGUCCCUAUGUUGGAGUUGGCCUUGGACCAACUUAAUUGUCAUUUAUCAAAACAGACACAUCAAAUAUUCAUGGACACGUUCCGACGUCUUUACGGAUAUCAAAUAAGCAUCAAAUCUGAACAACAGAGCGGCGCAUGUGGACCUCGCAUUAGCAUCAAAUUCUGGUCGGUGGAAUAACGAGAUCAACGUCAUAGUUGUCGAACCAACUCCCACUGUAGAAAGUGCAAACCUGUCCAUCAGAUAUCUUCGUUAUAUCCGACAGUGCACACAUCGCCGAAGCAAGAGAACACACGGGGGAGACCUUAUGAACACCACCGCCACCGCCUUUGGAUGGGAUGAAGGACUACUUGUCCACCCUAUCUCACUUGCCGCAACGUCAUAUGCACCGUCGGGCCGGGGCCGAAGAAGAACAUGGAAGAUCCAUUACUGAGCACCACCACCAAUGAUGGAUGGUUAAAAUGGUGGACUAAUUAAGACCUACCUAAUGUCCUAUGACGGAGAAACUACAACCCCCUCUGGUUGAUCGGGACCUCCGUGCACACCCCCACCGUCGGAGCCAUGGGAGGAGGAGGUUGGUGAUCUACCGACGGUUCAAACAUCAAUAAUGAACAUGAAAAGGGUGAAAUAAUUAUUGUAGACAAAAUUGCUGAAUAACAAAAAAAGCAUUGCUAAAAAAUUAGCAAAAUACCAUGAUCUAGAUUGUAUUUAAAUCCUUGGCUUUUCAAGAUUAUGUUAUACAAUGUUAAAAUACCAAUAAUCAUUGUUCACUUUCCUGGAAUGUUUUUUUCUUACAGAUUUACCCUCAUUCUUAAAAAAAACACAUGUUUCUUACAUUUUGGCUAGUGUCUUAAUUCCCAAGGUUCUGCAUCCCAAGAACCUGAAGGAUAUUAGGCCAAUACGCUUGUCCAACAUGGUGUACAAGAUUGUUUCCAAGUUUUUGGUAAACCGACUGCAUCCUAUCCUUGGUGAUCUUAUCUCGGAGAAGUAAAGCACUUUUGUCCCUUCAAGGCUUAUAACUGUUAAUUUGAUCAUAGCUUUUCAGUCCAUUCACUAUAUUCAAUCUCUGAAGGUAAAUUCCUGAGCUGCUUGUUGCUACAGAUUGGACCUGUCCAAGGCCUAUGGCCGGGUGGACUGGGGUAUUCUUGAAAUGGCACUUCACAAGUGGGAUUUUUUCUCUAGGUGGAUUUUUCGAGUCAUGGCUUGUGUGACCUCGAUUAAGUACCCCAUGAAGUUUAAUGAGAAAUUGAUACAGACUUUUACCCCAUCGCGUGGGCUUUGUCAAGAUGGACCCUUGUCCUCCUUUUCUUUUUAUUUGUUGCUGACGUGUUUUCUGCUCUCAUCAACAAACCAGUCAUCAAAGAGGGGUUGGAGGGAGUAACAAUUUGUCACGGGCCUCCGGUAAUAUUCCAUCUUUGGUUUGAGGAUGAUCCCAUGUUGUUUUUCCAAGCUUCUAGCCGACAUGCAAACAUUGUUAAAUGUUUGUUGAACACAUAUGCGACGGUGAUGUGUAAACUCAUAACCCCCAAAAGGGCUCCAUUGUUUUCUAUAGUAAUUGCCAGGAGGCAGUGGUUGAGGAAGUUAUGACAUCCCUCCUAGCGCACUCUAAUAAGCCCAGAGGAAGGCAUCGGGCUGAGGGUAGAACACUCACUUGUAAUCUCCAUGCAAGAGCAAGAACACCACCGGAGGGAGUAGGGUAUCAUCUCAUGCGACGAGGGCCCAGACAUGUAUACAUCAUUGUGCGUACACCCAUUUGCAUAUUUCGUUAGAUACGAUCGGCCCUACUUUCAUACCCCCAUAGUAUUGUCAGGUUUAUAUCCACGUGACCCCUUUAUCACUCGAUUACUUGAAAUUCUAGUCACAUAAGCAUGCCAAAUGGUAACCUGUUGCUCAAGAGAUUUAUCCGCGGAUCUAGAGAAGGCAAAGAUAAUAGAAGAGAGAAAAAAUGUUAUGGUGGGAAAUAAACAUAAACAAAAAGAGAGGAAAAAAGAAAAAUGUGAAUGAAAGGGAGAAAUGAACAAAGAAGAAAAAGAAUACAAAGAAUAGAGCGAGCAAAACUUAGCAGUAAUUAAACUUAGUAGUGUUGCCUAAAAACGGUAUUGUUAUCUGGCGAACGUCAGCUAGAAAUGGGGUGGCAAGCAAAGAUUUUUUUAUGGCAAUUUCACGUGGUCGGAGAUGGAAAAUCCUUCUUUUUUGCAGCAAUUUUUUCUUCUCUUCUAGAAGUUUCCAUGUGUUUCUGAAGAAACUGCUACCCUCCCAUGUCGUAUGAUGUGAACCAAAAGCGCGUCUUGUUUCCUAUUCCUAUUCAUAGGAUUUGAGAUAGGAUUACAUGUCAUCUCAUUUCAUAUGACCUUCCUAUCCCUAUUAUUUCCCUAAACCAUGAACCAACCUAAAUUGGCAGAAAAAACAUUUGCAAUUGCCACAGUUUCCCAGUUGACCUAGCGGAAGAUUUAAGAAGGGCAUGCUCGUAUGGCCAUGAACACGUCACUAACGUUGGUCCAAAAACUGUUGUUACUAAGUUCCAAUUAACAAGUAUAUGUUUUUUUGUGUGUGUAAAUUCCCAAACAAAUAGUUAUGCCAUUUAUUUAUAUAACUACUUAAAUGAUUAUAAAAAUGCUCACGUGUUGCAUAUUUAAAACGACCGCUCAUAUAGAAGAAAACAUUCGUGUAUGUAAAAAAUGUUCAUGUAUUUUUUAUCUCACUAGUUUCGUAUCUGGUUCUUAUAACUAAGUGAAAAUCAUUCAUGAUUUGCAAAUAAAUAUUCGCGCAUAUAUUUAAAAAAAAUGUCCAUGUAAAAUUUUAAAAAUGACCACAUGUCUUUUUCAAAAAUAUUCUGUAUGUGGAAAAGUGUUCAUAUGUUGCGAAAGAAAAAUGUUGACGCACAUGGAAAUAUAGGUUCCGUGCAUUUUCUUGUAAAAAGUUCACGCAUGUAUUUAUUUCCCCAUUUAUUUGCAAUAUAGGUUCUGUAUGAAGAGCUAGUACACCGCAGAAAAGCGACGGGUGGCCCUGUGGGCGCGCGGGGCAGCGCGGCACACGCCAAACCAACAUGCAUGCACGUACGUAUAGGAUUGAGCCGCGGCGACCAACCGCGAGCGCCGGCGCCGCUCCACUACCGCGGGUGUGGACACGGCUGGCUUGUGCGGUGCACCGGCCGGUGAGCUCCCACGCUAGCUUUACCUGAAGGAACCUCCCUCAUCACUAUCUACUCCCUCAUCGUGUUCACGUUGAACGAAAGGCAGCCGGUAUUGGUCCAGUCAGAGGGGUAGUUUUAGCGCUUUUUUUCUUUUGAGAUUGAGAUUGAGAAAAGGAGUCCAACCCUUGGGGUCUAGUCAGAAUGCCAGGGGCCAGAAUCGCUUUUGUGUCUCGGGGAAGGAGAAGGGAGAUUCUCUCUCGCAAGUGGUGGUCUCAUGGCGGCUGGUGUCUGGCUAUGGCUUCGCGGACAAGCACACUGAACGUACGCCGCGGCGUGCACCGACUAGACCGGACAUGACCCCAUCUUGUUGCCGUUGCAAACUUAUAUAUACUGUACGAGGUUAAUUUAUUUUACGCCCACUAACAAUUACGCGCAAAGAUUUGUCGCUACAUCUGUUUUUACUGUUGUCAUAAAUAAAUUUCCUAACGUUUGCACCAACAAUGAUAUGGAAGGUGCAUUGAACGUUUGAACCGGCGCAACACGACGUGUCACGCGAGAGGGUACUAGUACACCAUUGGUAGCACUAGCACGCCUGCAUCUGCAUGAACACAAGUUACAGAACCCUACCGCGUACAGCUACGUCUACGGUCUACCCCUCAAAAAAGAAAAAGAAAAAACAACGUCCACGGUCACAGGCACGGGCCUGUUGCAAAGCAGGCACGAGGUCACCUGUCUCCGCGCUGUCCGCCGGCUGGACCUGCAUGUAAUAAACCCUGGCCUAGUCUGCUCUGAUCUGGUCUGGUGCAUGCAUUUGUUGGGUUUUUGUGCGAGCCAAGAGGCACAGGAAUUCAAACAAAAAGUAGGCAAAGGCAACAGAGAGAAUAAAAGGUUCCGGCCUUUUUUUCCUUUUCCUUUUUCUCUAGCUCCGUUGGUCUCGGUCCGGGGACGGCCGGGGAGAAGCGCAGGCUGUACGUCUAUGCAUGCGCCAAGGCGCUGCGUGACAGCCCAACCAGCCUAGUUGGUCGUCUAAAAUAGCCAGCCUAGUUAAACUCACACGGUUUAUCUAGCGCACACAUAUUAUAUUUUAGCUAUUCAUCUCAUCAUGCUAGACAGCCAACGUUAUCCAUCGUCAAGAUUUUUCGUACAUGCCAUUGUGUUGCCGUGCUGUUCUCUCGUAGAAGAUGGCUUAAUCGCGAACCAACCUACAGUUGAAUGGUUAAAAGGGCAGUGGUAUCUCAGCUCAUCAGGGUUUAAGUCAUGGUACUCGUAUUAUUCUUGAAUUUAUUUUGGAAUUUUCGGCGAUGCGCUUUCAGUGGGAGGAGACGUUCCCGUCAACGACGAGGCGCCUACUGUGACUUCGUAAACCACAGUCACCUGUGUCUGCGCUGUCCGGGGAUGUGGAUGGGGAUGGUGGUAUUAUUUUUACUAAAUGACAUCGGAGGGUCUUAUUUCANNNNNNNNNNNNNNNNNNNNNNNNNNNNNNNNNNNNNNNNNNNNNNNNNNNNNNNNNNNNNNNNNNNNNNNNNNNNNNNNNNNNNNNNNNNNNNNNNNNNNNNNNNNNNNNNNNNNNNNNNNNNNNNNNNNNNNNNNNNNNNNNNNNNNNNNNNNNNNNNNNNNNNNNNNNNNNNNNNNNNNNNNNNNNNNNNNNNNNNNNNNNNNNNNNNNNNNNNNNNNNNNNNNNNNNNNNNNNNNNNNNNNNNNNNNNNNNNNNNNNNNNNNNNNNNNNNNNNNNNNNNNNNNNNNNNNNNNNNNNNNNNNNNNNNNNAAGGCAUCUUUGACCGACGCCGACAACCAGCUGCCAGCGUGGCAUCCACCAAUCGUGCCCAACCGAGAGGCGUGAAUCAACUGGAUGAGCCGGAAUUUUAUACAUGACCAUGUUAUCGCUGUAUCAGACCAUCUUAUAUAUCCAAGUACCAGUGGGUGUUGUAGCUGCAUCCGGCUAACAUGUCGGAUUGUCUGAUGUGCUCCCUGGACACGCUCAUCUAUUUGGCGCAAUAUCCUUGUGAGAUCAUCCGACAUGUUAGGUUGGCGCGACUGGGUCCUUGUGGGCCAUAGCUGCACGUCGCCGCACAUACUUAUUAGGCGUUUAUCCUGAAGUAAAAAUUACCUUGCCAGGCGCUUAAAAAGUUAGGCGGUCUGGCUCACUGCUGUGUGGGUCCACACGAUGGCAUUGGAAGCAUCCUAUUUAGCCUUCGAACCCCUUUUUUGGUGAAACCAUUUGCCAUUUCUCCCCGCCGCCCUCGUCCUCCUCUUCCCCGCCGUCGGUGCCGCCACCUGCACGCGCCAUCAUCGUGCAUGAUUUGAUCUCGAUGGCCGAUAAGCCGACUCCGUCCCCAAAGCCAAGGAAGUAGAUGGUUGAUCAGUAAAUGGAAGAACUGGAGCGGCAAGUUCAUGCCAAGAUUGCCGGAAAGCGAGCUGUUGGUGGCACCCCCAUGGAGGGAGGAUCCAACAAUCCUUCUGCUCAUGUAAGUAAUCCCGACGCAACAUAUGUACCGACGGGUGAUUUCAAAUCGGUAGGAUCUAUCUUUUGUGGUGGUUACAAUUUUUGAUUAUGCAUGUAGCAUUACUGAUUAAAUCCUAGGUUUGGGGGGUAAUCUAGAUUCAUGCUGGGGUUCAAAUGUCUGGAUCCGUACAUAAAUAAUAUUGCAUUAGGUUUUCUACUGUGCAGAAACCAUCCUAAACCAGUAGUAAUUAGAUCCGUCAUUAUAGGUGCUAUUUGAUAUAUUCUGUUUGGUUCAGUUAUAUAGAUCUGCCAACCCAGUUGCUUGGCAUUUGAACAUGCAAUCAGUUGGUAUUUGAUUUAUUCCCACACGCAGUUAGCACAGUCAUCGGUUCGUUUGGAUUGCAUAGAUGGGUUAUCCACGCUGAUGUACAUAUCCUUCUCUGUAGAUUGCUUAUUCAGCAAUUCUAUGCACAUGCAUUUCUUAUUUGAAUUAGUUCAUUGGUCUUUAGAUUGGUCAUCAAGCAAACAUCAGCUGAUGACCCACAAAUAUGGGGAUCAAUUGUAGUUCUUUUCGAUAAGUAAGAGUGUCGAACCCAACGAGGAGCAGGAGGAAAUGACAAGUGGUUUCUAGUAAGAUAAUGUUUGCAAGUGCUGAAAUUGUAAGUAGCAGAGUUGUUUGAUAGCAAGAUAAUUUGUAACGAGCAAGUAACGAUAAUAGUAGCAAAAGUGCAGCAACGUAGCCCAAUCCUUUUGAGGCAAAGGACAGGCCAAAACGGCUCUUAUAAUAAGCAUAGCGUUCUUGAGGGUACACGGGAAUUUCAUCUAGUCACUUUCAUCAUGUUGGUUCAAUUUGUGUUCGCUACUUUGAUAAUUUGAUAUGUGGGUGGACCGGUGCUUAGGUGUUGUUCUUACUUGAACAAACCUCCUACUUAUGAUUAACCCUCCUGCAAGCAUCCGCAACUACGAGAAAAGUAUUAAGAAUAAAUUCUAACCAUAGCAUUAAACUUUUGGAUCCAAUCGGUCCCCUAAGGAAUAGCACAUAAACUGGGGUUUAAGCUUCUAUCACUCUCGCAAUCCAUCAUCUAAUUGCUACUCCACAAUGCAUUUCCUUAGGCCCAAAUAUGGUGAAGUGUCAUGUAGUCGACGUUCACAUGACACCACUAAGGGAAUCACAACAUACAUACUAUCAAAAUAUCGAACACAUAUCAAUUUCACAUGAUUACUUGCAAUAUGAUUUCUCCCGUGACCUCAAGAACAAGAGUAACUACUCACAAAUGAUAAUCAUGCUCAAGAUCAGAGGGGUAUUAAAUAGCAUAAUGGAUCUAAACAUAUAAUCUUCCACCAAAUAAACCAUAUAGUAAUCAACUACAAGAUGUAAUCAACACUACUCGUCACCCACAAGCACCAACCUAUAGUUCCGGUAACAAGAAUGAACACAAGAGAUGAACUAGGGUUUGAGAUGAGAUGGUGUUGUUGAAGAUGUUGAUGGAGAUAGCCCUCCCCAAGAUGGAAGAGCUGUUGGUGAUGAUGAUGACAAUGAUUUCCCCCUCCGGGAGGGAAGUUCCCCCGACGGAAUUGCUCCGCCGGAGGGCAAAAGUGCUCCUGCCCAAAUUCCGCCUCGAGACGGCGGCACUCUGUCCCGAAAGUCAUCUCCUUAUUUUUUAGGUCAAAAUGACUUAUAUACCAGAAGAUGGGUACCGGAGAUGGGCCUGGGUGAGCACAACCCACCAGGGCGCGCCUGGGCUCCCUGGCGCACCCAGGUGGGUUGUGCCCACCUGGUGGGCCUACUUUGGUACUUAUUUGCUCCAAUAUUCUUCAAAUAUUCUAUAAAGAUUCUCCGUGAAGUUUCACCUUGUUUGGAGUUGUUGAGAAUAGGUAGCCUGACGUAGCUUUUUCAGGUCCAAAUUUCUAGCUGCCGGAAUUCUCUCUCUUUGUGUGUACCUUGAAAAUUAUGAGAGAAACGACAUUAGAAUUACUCUAAAAAGCAUUAUUAUGCAUAAAAACAUCAUAAAUAACAGUAGGAAAACAUGAUGCAAAAUAGACGUAUCAUCAGCCAUGCUGUAGCGAACCUUGACAUCGCUGUUGUCGACAGGGUCCCAGAGGAUAAUACUGUCCAUGCCCUAUGUGCGUGCAUUUUAGUGAAGCGGCAAGCGAGAAUGGCACGUGCACUUGCACGCGAGCAAAUGCUAGCAGUUCGUUCACUCGCCAGCCAGCCUCCUAGAGAGGAGGGCCCUCCAAGGAUGCCAUUCUUGAGGUCGUUGCAGAUAAAGAGACAUGGAUUUGGCAUUCAUAUUCUGGAAUGCCGGGAUCUUGCAACGAUAUCAAUGUUCUUGACAAGUCACCUCUUUUUGUGAAGUUAGCAAAUGGAGAAACUCCUCCAGUGACCUUCGAAGCAAAUGGCAGCACCUACAAUUAUGGGUACUACCUUGCGAAUGGGAUCUAUCCGAAGUGGAGUACUUUAGGGGAGCCAAUCCAAAGCCCCCAAGGUAAGAAAGAACUAUAUUUUCACAAUGCUCAAGCGACAGCUAGGAAAGAUGUUGAGAGAGCAUUUGGGAUUUUGCAAUUCAAUUUUCUAUUGUGCGAGGACCGUCAGAUUCUGGGACCAGAAAAACCUUUGGUACAUCAUGACUGCUUGCGUGAUCAUGUAUAACAUGAUCAUUGAGAACCAUCGUGGGCAGGAUUUGGAUUAUACCUUCGACGAUCUCAUGGGCAUACCCGUUAUGCCGAUUAGAAAAGAGGACCGAAUAAGACGUUUUAUGAAGGUGUACCAUGAAAUUAGAGACGCCGAUAUGCACAAUAAACUUCAGAAAGAUUUGAUGAAGGAGUACUGGAAAUGGCAUGACGAAAAAACCUUCUAAUUUCAUUCUCUAUUUGUCGUAUUGUGCAAGAACUUUGUUGUAUUUGUGUUGCAUUUGAUCUUGUGGAUUUGAUGAAUUAUGUUAUAAUUUGAUAUUGUGGACAGAUGAAAUUGUAUGCUUUAAUUUGGAAUAUUUUCAAAAUUGUGCGGUUGUUAUGCGGCUGGAGUGCGGCUAGACUGCUUCUGUACAACGGCUGUAGCACUGCUAUCGUGCGGCCGUUGACCGCUUUUACAUCAUCUGUUGGAGCACUAGUUUUACAUUGUCAAUUAUACAUCAUUUGCUGGAAUUAGGUGUUUUUUGAUGAUGUAAAAAUGAUUUUUUUUAUAAUGUAAAAUAUACAUCUAGCAGUUUUACAUUUCUAAAUAUACAUCUUUUAUUGAAGAUGCUCUAAUGGAUGAACACAGGCAACCCUGAACGAGGUUUAGAGACCAAUGAAAAUUUGACAUAACCAUACAAAAACAAUAAUCGUCCAUGCAUUUAUCAUUAUAACUAAAAAAACUAAUUUAGGUGGGCACUCAUCAUUUGAACAUGGGUAUGGUUAGGCCUCAAUCGACUAAGAUUUGAGCAAGUAUCAGUCAAUGUAAGACAUCACGGAUAUAGUAUUGACUGAGACUUCGCGUGAGACUUAGCAAGACUGUUUAAACAUAUAUGGGCUCGUAUAAAUAUGAAGAAACGUAAAUACUUAUUUCUUUUUCGGGGAAAAAAUACAAGUGCAACACUGGAGUGGCUCUAGCAAAUUAAGCUUUCACAGCUCUCCGCCCUGACAAAAAGCCUGCAAAGGCCGCGGCCAUUCUCAUCUUCUCCUCCGUCCUAUCGAUCGGAAAAGAGUUGCACUUUGAAGUUUGAACACCCACAGCACCACAUCUUCCCCACCGUCUUCCCCGCCCCCCCGCCGCCACCUCGUCCGGCCUCACGGAUGGCGUCCGCCGCCUCACCGGGGUUCGACUCACCUGCAGGGGAUCACCGCAUGAAUUAAUGUGCAGGCCCAAUAAUAGAGCGCCACGUAUCCUUGUCUUCUGGGCCAACAACUUUCAUUAAGCUACAUUUAUUUUGUUACCGUUUCAAGCUCCUCCGCCGAGGCCGCUGCAGACCGGCAGUCACCGCUGACGCGUUCGCUGCUAGUGUCUCCCGCAUCACUGCCUCUAGGCUCUCGUUCGUGGUCUAACCGGCGCCCCUGACCACGCGUGCGCCCGCGGUGGCCGCGGCAACUUCCUCUUGCGCCGCUCAUGCUCUAGGCUUCACUGCUCCACGUCUCGUCGUGCCUCAUCACUCAUCAGGUGUUCAGGCGUCAUCUUCCUCCCCUCGCCGCUGUCCCUCAGUCCUUCCUGCGUCACGACGAGCUGAGAGGUCACCCGACUCAGCUCAUCCUCCAGCGACGGGUUGGAUGCCGACGACACGCCCUCCUUCCACCGCAGCGCGGCUUUCCCUUAUUCACGUAUGCGCGCAGCAACGUGGCGGCGACCUGGACGAUCUUGGCCUCGUCCUUGGCUUCUCGACGCUCGCCAUCGCUUUCUCAAGCUCCGUCUUCAUCUUGCCCUGCAUCCCCGGCGUGCUGCUUGCCGUGGGUGUCUCUUCCUCCUCGAUGGCGCGCGCAAACAGCUCAGCUCUUAGCGUCGCCGGAUGCUCGGAAGCCGUCACCAUCUUGUUCUCGAGGUCGUCGGUGGCGUCCAGCUCGGCCCUCAACCUCCGUGCCUCCUCCUCACCUCGCUCUAGCUCGUUCUGGUACGCCAGCGCCAACAUCAUCCUCCGCUCCGCUGUGUUGUGGACAGCGCGCGCGGACUCGAGCUCCGCCUUGAGCACAUCGAGCUCUCAAAAUUUGUGGCACCAACAUCGCUGCUACAGCAAGAAAGAGAAAAUAAAUUGAGAACGCAGUAACAAAAUAAAUCUAGCUUAAUGAAAGUUGUUAGCCCACCAGAAAAUGAUACGUGGCGCUCUAUUACUGGGCCUGCACAUUAAUUCCUGCGGUGAUCCCUGCAGGUGAGCCGAACCCGCCUCACCGAUGCCGCACUGCACGCCCGUACAUCUGCUGCCUCCGGCGGCCCUACACCCACCGUCGCCGUCGCCGCCGCCUCUAGCCGUGUGGGGGACAUCAGCUGCAGCACCACCACCUGUUUCGUUGGCGGAGGUGGUGGUGAUAUCGGCUUCUCUUCCGACGGCGUGGAUCUCACCACACAGCCGGCUUCCUGGGCACAAGCCCCCGCCGUCGACCAGUGGGUACGUCGUCACCGGCGGCACAACCCUCCCCGACGAGGAGAUGGGCAUCAGGGCAUCUUCCUCGCCGCCGCGUCUUCCUCGACCCCCUGCCACGUCUUCUCCGGUGCCUCUACCCGAACCCGACGACAAGAUUGGCCUCGAGGGGUCGAGGAAGACUACCCCGCCGUCCUGGUCUUUAACUCCAACUCCAAGUUACGGACUUCUCCCUCCUGCUGCAGUGGGCACAUCGACCCCGCCGUGGUCUUCAAGUCGGCUCCUUCCCCCUCAAACUGCAGCGGCCACAACACCACCGCCCUCGUCUUCAACUCCAUGCCGUGGGGUUCCCCCUCCUGCUGCAGCAGCGGUCACAUCAACACCGCCGUGGUCUGCAACUGCAAGUCGGCUGCUUCCACCUCAUCCUCAUGUUGCAGCGGCCACAGCACCGCCGCCCUCGUCUUCAACUACAAGCCGUGGGGUCGCCCCUCCAGCUGCAGCACUGGUCGCAUCAACACCGCCAUGGUCUACAGAUCGGCUUCCCUCUCAUGCUGCAGCUGCCACAACAUUGCCGUCCUGGACUUCAAUUCCAAGUCGUCAGCUUUCUCCUUAUGCUGCAGCGGCCACAGCAAUGCCGUCCCGGUCUUCAACUCCGACCCGUCGUCAUGCUGCAGUGGUGACAGCAAUGCCACCGGCGGAGCCGAGUUCGGGGCGUGCACGGCUGUCCCACCAAAGGCCGACGCCGCCGUGGCCUCCCUGCAAGCCUGCUCCUAUGGUCAGACCCAAAUCACUCUUGCCACUACUGCAGUCGGCGGCCGGGGAAGGAGCUCCGCACGUUAGUGACGGCCGGGCAGCUGAAGUGGGGAUCCGCGAGGAAAAUGAAGAUGCUGAGUCCGGUUUGCUGGCCCGACAGGAAGCACGGGAUCAUCCUCUAAGCAGUGACCAUGAAAGCAAUGGUGGAACCGAUGCAAGUGGAAUUGCUCCUAACAAUGGGGGGGCUCCUGUUGGGGAAGCUAGAGGAGGUGGAGAAGGAGGCGGAGGUGGUGCAGGUGGAGGAGGUGGAGAUGGAGCUCCACAAGCUGUCGCUGAGAAAUCUCCACACAAGCUCAUGUUGGCUGUAGUGAUGAUCUAUGUGGGAUACCAUGUAUGUCUAAUCUUUCUAUCGUGGUUUAUAUCCGUGAUUGACAAGGAAGACCAAACCAGGAUUGGAAAUAUUCUGUGGGCAUGUUUUUUCCUGGCAGCUAUUCCUUUCGUCGUUUUCCCCUACAUGCAUUACUGUGGUCAGGCCGUGCAAGUUAAAGAAGCUCGGAGGGCAGCUAGGAGGGCAGCCAACCCUGGAAACGAUGUGCAAGAUGAAUGGUACACGCUCAGCGCAGUGAGGGUGAAUGGUUUGCUGAUGUGGAUAGGCGGGAUCGCGAGGAUUGUCUAUUUGCUUGCAGGUAGUUCAUUCCCUCUUGUCAUCGUGGCACAUGUGGUGGCAUUCUUCGUUGAAGUCAUUGAGCUGGUUCUGAAGUACUAUGUCCAAGGGGAGAUCAACGUUGCAAUGCCGCAGGUAUGAUGGCCAUAUUGUCGAUGAGCUACAACAAGUCUCAGUAUCAAACUCCUGCUCAAGUACUCUGUGGAGGGAGAGGUCAACAUUGCAAUGCCCCGGAUAUGAUGGUCACUGUGGAUGAACUCCACACCAGUUUAUUUCCAUUUUGAGUGCUGCCAUAGUUACACUUCUUCAGCGGCAUGUGUGUGUCUGUGGACUGAAUGGGAUUCCAGUACUGUGAAUUGCUUGCAUGAAAGCAGUUGAUUUCCUGAGUGUUGCUACUUCUCAAUUCAUGUAAUGCUGUGCUUGUGUACAAUUUCGAAUCUGAAGGUUCAACUAUCUUAUUCCCACUUUGCUUAACGUGCAAGAUUCCAAUACCGAAUUGCGACUUCCCUGAAUGUGCCCAUGUUUUGAAAUAUGCAAUUCUUUUUCAGACUUCUCCAAAUUCAUUUGCUCCUUCAGUUUGGCUAUUGCUUCAUCAAGCUCCUUUUUUGCAGUUUCAUAUAUUUGUCAUUUAACAUGUGCUUCUCUGCCAGUGUGCUUUCGCACUGCUCGUCAGUUCUUCAUGCUCUUCCAGAGUAGAAGAUACCUGGCUUUCCAGUUCUUCCUUGCGCUGAAUCAUGUUUUUCGCAAUGAAUGAAUCUCUUCCGAAGACCCCUGAUUUUCUUCUACUGCAGCAGCAAGUGUCAACUGUAAUUCAUUCAGCUUGCUUUGAUUUACUACUUCCAAUUCCUCAUUCAAACCACUAUUAGCAGUAAUCAAGUUUUCUUUCUCUGUUCUGGAAAAGAUCAACCUUGUUUUGUGUUUCUGCAAGUUGUGCUUCUAGGCUCUUUAGUUUGUGUACAACUUCAUCAAAUUUAACCUUAUGUUUUUCUUCAUUGGCAGCAGCUUCGGUUGCCUGCUCCUCAUAAUAUCCCAACUCAAUCUCGAGAGUAUCCAGCUUCUUUCUCAUGUUUUUGACUCCAGCUCCUUUCUGUGUUAUUGUCUCGAGGGCUUCAUGUAGCUGAGCUUCAGUUUCUCCAUUCUCUGUUUGAUUCAGCUGCAGAAUGGAAUUCCGAGUUUCUUUUGGUGUGGACAUCUGUCAGGUGUGUGAUUGUUCCCUCAUGAGCAGCUAGGUUCUCUACAGCUUCUUCCUUUUCAGAAUGAGUAGACUAAACCGUUCCUGUAACUCAUCAUACAUGGCCACCUUAUUAGCAACCCCUUCUAGGUACUCAUUCUUAUCAGCCAGUUUUCCAUUCUCAGCUUCAAGAGAAACCAUCUUUCCAUUGAGGUCUGUAACUUCAGCUUCUUUGUUUGCAAUUGUCUCAAGAGCUUCAUGCAGUUGACUCUGAAUUUCCACAUACAUCGAUUCAACAGCAGACUGGAUUUCACAGACGCAAAUUGCUCUUGCAGCUCAUCAACCAUGACCAACUUAGAACUGAUUUCCCGCUUCAAGGCUUCGUUGACAUGCAUCAAACUUUCAGUCUCACAGACAGAAUAUGUCAUGUCGUUUCUGUACUAGAUCAGAUCAUGCAGUAUGAAAUGAUGUUUUGAGAUGUAUGUGUAUAUACUGUUGCAAGAUCUUUGCAAAGUAAUGUAUAUCAAAAGAAUGCACCCACUUUUGAAGUUAUUAACUGCUUUUAUAUCUUAUACUUUGGCUGAAUAAAAAUAGCAAGCUUAAUAAAAACAAAAUAUUAAUUUAGGUGAAAGUAAAAUGUACACGUUUACUUUAUGUUGUGCAUAGUGGUCUGUUAAAAUGGUCGAACUAACAGAGAAUGUACCCAUCAUCGAAUUCCUUAUCUGGCAAUAGUCGGAUAUUCUGAGAGCCUUACCAACAUAUACGUAUAAGAGAGGACGGCCAAUUGGGUAAAUACAUUUCCUGGCUGGAGCUUCUAGUUGCCAAGCAUAAGAUUAAUGGAAGAGAGUGUAGCAGAGUGGGCAAAGUACAAGGAUCUCUACAAUGGAAUGUAUUUUCGUAGAUCUUGUAUAAGCACUGUGAAUAUUUAGUUUAAUGAUUUGUUGGGCCAAGAUAUCAGAUGCAACCUUAGAAGAAAGAAAGCAUUCCUGGCUGAAUGGUUCCAACCAUAUGGACCUGCUGAUUCUGCAGGCUUUUGCUGAAGACAAUAGCGUAUCUGUCACUAGUAUAUUCAUAGCAAAAGAAUAAGAGACAAGAGCUGCUACCUUCAGGACUCUAGAUUAUUACAGGGAAUCUUUGUUUUAGCAAGUUUGUUGUUAGGUUCACUACAGGUAAUAACUCUACAGUUUCUGCAAUACUCCGAAGAUGCUUUUUGCUCUUUCAGUAGUGGUUAGGAGAGAACUAAUUACUUCCUUACAAUUUGCUGCAGCUAUGGCUAUUAUGCCUCAUGAACCCACAAAGAAAAUGAUGUUAGGGUGAGGCUCAGUAUAAACAGUAAAUAAAUGGACCAUGGUAAAAACUAAAAUGUGCGUAUAAAAAUAUUUACAUAUAUGUAAAGUUGUAAACAGUGUGCUGGCCCAAUCUGUGGUGUAAAUGUUCACAGGCAGACCGAACGAAUUUCAUAGCAAAGCAUCAUACAAUUUGCUGCAGGUAUAGUCAUUAUGAACUAAAGUUUGCACUGCUUGUUUUGUUAAGGAGGCUUAGUUGUCCGAACCUAUAACUGUUCAAUAGCAUAUGUUAUGCUAGAUAUAUACUAGUGGGAAAUCCAGACUCCCUGAUAACGCCUUAGCCCACUUUUGAUUUCAUCAUCUACAUACUCUCUAUUACUCAUUUACUUUACUUGCACACCUUUACUUUCAAUCACCUUACACUCAUAAUAUUAGAAGCUUUCACAUCCGCGUUUCUUUGGGACAUGACUAACUUGCUGGCAUAGUUUAUAAGUCUCUACAAGAGAUAAAGUCCAUUUCAUGUGCUUGUUGUUGGAUUGAUACUCUUACUUUGAGAAAGCACAACUAAAACAGCCCUAAAAUAUUGCUUCUAAAUAGUUGCAUCAGAGAGAAUCAUGCAUCAUGUCUAAAUUCAAUAUACCUUAAAUUGAGGGAAUUUUCAAAGGCUCAGAAUUUUUUGAAUAAAUGGCAAAAACCCUGAAAAUGCAUUCAAUAUUUCCAAAGUAGCCUUAAGCACGUUUGAAAUUUUUGGCAAGAGCUAUAUUUAAAAUAAAAUUAAGGAACAUUUUUUAGGAAUAUUUUGGGACUUUGAAUUUAAAUCAUAUUCUAUUUGAAUUUGGAUUUAUAUUCAUACUAUUAGAAUAUAAAUUUAAAAUUCCCUGAAAUAUUUUAUGUGAUUUGGAGAAAAUCCUUUGAGCCACUUAAAAUAUUCAAUGGUUUUUUGGGCACUGGUUUAAAUACGUUUUGAAAUUUAAACAGUGGCAAACAAAUAAUUGAAAACAGACGCAAUAAGUUUUUUUUAGGGAAAAACAGACGCAAUAAGUGAAAGGAACAGGAAACAGGAACUUACCUGGCAGCGCACACUGUGCACGACCCAGCCCACCUACCUCCACCGCGUUGUCUUCCUCGUGCGAGUAGGAGCUGGUGCGUCUUGACGCACACGCACUCACGGCCACGUCCUCGCGCCACGUCCUGCUUCCUCCCCCGUCCUCAUCCGCGCGCCUGGAGACGCCCUAGAGCCCCUGGUCCUUCUCCCCCUCUCGCCGCGCUCGCCCCCCUUCCUCCUCCGCCCGAUCCCGCAACCAUCAUAGAGCAGCACCCGGUGCGUGUCGUCGUCGCCUGCGUGGCCACAGCCAUAACCUCGCCGCUCCAACAUGUACAGAGGCCUCGCCGUUGAUCAGAGCUUCACGACACCGAAGAAAACUACACCAGAUGCCCUGUAGCGACACUAUCGAGCUCGUCUUCCUCCUCUGCCCCGACGACCGUAAUCGUCAAAUUCGUCGCGCCCCGAUCCUCCUCGAGAUCACCGUUCGUGCCAGAAGAUCCGCUGUGAGCUCCUCUCCUUUACCCCCUACUCCCCUGGUCGCGCUCGUUCGCUAGGUGCGAUUCCCACCAUGGUCGCCGCCGCAUAGCCGCCACCCCGCUUGACCAAACCAAGGACCCAUCUUGGAGAUCCCAGGAGGCCGUAGCGUUCCUCGCGUCUCCCGCUAGUGCACAGCAGCGGCCUUUCGGACGAACCCGAGCAUGCGGCCGCAGUUAAGCUCGUCGCCAGCCUCCUUUCCGGCGACCCCUGCGUCCAAGUCCAUUGUCCCUUGAUGCAGGCGAGUAAGGGCUAUGCCCUGGUGCCCUCAACGCGCCAUACCGAUGCCUGCAGCGCAAGUCCGGCGUGCCUCCGCCGUGUCCUGUGGUCGCCGCCAGCUAAUCUCCGGCGUGAUGACGUGGUGAUGGAUUAACUAGUGUUAACCACCCCUUAAUCAACCCCUAGACUCACAGAUAUGUGGGUCCCCUGUCACUAAUUAAACCAGGUUUAUUUUCUUGUUAGAAUUAGUAUUUCACCCAGUGGUCCCACACGUCAGUUUGACUUGGCUGACGUGUGCGUUGACUGGGCCCAGUAGUCAAUGAGUGCGGCUAGCUAACAGCCGAGUAACCAAAGUAUUUUGUGAUUUAAAUCAGAAAUGAUUUAUUUAAUUCCGGAAAAUGCUCAAAACAUAGAAACAAAUCAUAGAAAAUCAAGCGUAACUUAGAUUGAAAUAAUUUAUAUAUGAAAAAUGAUCAGAAAAAUCCAACAUGUCCAUCUGCACCAUUUCAUGCAUGUUUGAACAACUUAAAGUUGCUGGGUAGGAUAAUUUAAAUGAAUGGCAUUUGAAAUGCCGUAUGUGGAGCUUGAAUUUGAACCUUGGGUUCAAUUCAACUCCAUUUAAAUCUAUUUCUAAUUGUAUUAUCUCAAACACUAGCACAUUGCCAUGUCAUGAUGAUGCAUCAUAUUGUUGCAUUUGUUGUGUAUUGAUUGCCUUCUUCGGUGUUGUUCUCCGCGAUAGGAUCUAUUCCCAAGGGUAUGUUCGAGUAUCCACUGAAGGAGCAGUAUUCCAUUGUCAAUCUGCUUGGCAAGCAAACCCCCUUGAUCAUGUCGAUACAAUCCUACUCUCUCGCUCUUGCUCUCUUUACAAUGCAUUAAAACAAUACAAUUCAACAGUUACAUGUUUCGAUAGUUGAACUCAUUCCUUUGCAUGACCUAUCAUUGUCAUAGUAAAUAGCUAAACCUUUCUGGCAUGAUUAGGAGUGCUUAGCCAUGAUGUGACUUCAUCCAUGCCAUGCUUGCUAUUCUUAGAGUUGUGUUAGGCCUGAUCUAACUGGGCGAUGAAUUGGAAUGCUUGUGUUCAUGUCCUACUAAUGAGAGUUAAGUGUGUGAAUCCGAUUUGGUAAAGAUAGCGAUGAGAGGCCAUGUAGGAGUACAUGGUGUGUUGUCUCAUUGAGACUGUCCUUAAGAACUGAGUUAUGUGUAUGUUAUAUAAGACUAGCUACUACCACACAUUGGGAUCCUUAAUUGACUCUCUCAACUUAUUAAUCACCAUGAUCUCUAUCCAGGAGUUGCAACUAGUUUCUGAUGUUUGUCGGAUGUGAUGUUGUUCUACCAUGUGGCACCGACCAGGUGGGCUUGGGGAGACUAGGCACAUGGCAUGGUGUACCAAGUGGCACCCAGAUGGUGGGCUUGAGAACCCUGCACACAUCUUUUGAGGCCGUAAUAGAAACUUUGGUCGGACUUCCUUCGUGGAUUCAACCUUAGAUAGGCGAUAAAACUGGGUGUCUUGCAUUAAUGGUUGUGGCCGACACCCUUGCCAGGCUUCUGCUUGAAGAUUGGCGAGUACAUGACGUGUAUAUGGUGGUAAGUGGUGAGAGCAUGUGUGAAGUAUACCCCUGCAGGGUUAAUGAUCUAUUGUAAUAGUUGCAUCCUCGGAUAUUGUCGGAUUCAGGGCUCCGCAGACCCAAGAAAAGGUUCGAACCCGGGGGCGUGUGCGAAGAAUUCAACCCCUUCAGCCAACCAGUUCGUCGCCCCCACGGACUAGAUUGAUGAACAAGGAAGAAGAUGGACACGGCAGUUUACCCAGGUUCAGGCCACCUUGCGCUGUAAAACCCUACUCCUGUUUUGUGGUGGAUUUGCCUCACGAGGGGUUGAGGAUGAACUAGUACAAGGGAAGAACAACCUCACGAGGUCUGCUCUGGUGUGGAUGUGAGCUGAUGGGAUUCCGAACCAAAGCCAUGUUUUCUACUAGUGCUCCGACCACCUACUAUGGUGGUGGCUAAGCUAUAUUUAUAAUGGCCUUGGUCCUCUUCCCCCAAAACGAAGGAGGGAAGGGAUCCCACAAUGGCCAAUUUUGAAGGGGGACAAGUAGUACAUCUUAUCCUGACAAAAGGUGGUCUUCUCCUGCAAAGCUCCUGGUCGUGACGCCGCGGUGGGCUCGGCGAUGACAUGUUCUUUUAGUUUUUAUUUUGAAUAGUCUUGGAAAUUAAUUGACAAGUCUGGUUGAUAUCCUCAUGAGAAAAUUAACAAAAAUCAUAUUGUCAUGUUCCUGAAACUGAUAGGGAGAAUGGUUCCUCGAAGAGCGGUAGUAGACUAGUAGUUCAAGUUCGCUGCUAACUUUCUGCACCUAUAUUUAGGAACAUGGCAACAAAUGUAGUCAACUGAAGAGCUUAUUCUACAACAUUCAGUUUGUAGAAUAGUGAUCAUAGCACCUCUAGAAUGAUUUUUUUUUAGAAAUGGAGGAGGACCUUUGUCCUCUGCAUAUGGACGAUGCAUGCAGCCACUUUAUUAAUUAUUCACACAAGACCUUACAAAGUCAUACACCAGUAAGACUAAAGCCACCAUCUAGGCGACAUCUGUCGCUACUCCUAUCCAAUUGAUGAAGGGAUGAAGGGAUGCUGAUAGUCUGGACCUAAUACCAAACAGACCUCGCAGCCAAACCUAACAUCUAAGACCCGAGGGCCCAACUAGGACGCCUGCCGGGUAUGGGGCACCCACCAGUCGGCACACUCCUCAACCAGGACACCUGUCGGGUAUGAGGCCACCGCAGCCACCUGCCACCAAUCCAUCUUCAGUUCUGUACUACUGCAUAUACCUUGCCCGGUCUAGCUGUCGUCGAUGCCACCACGGCGCCAGACAACGCCACCAUCCUGCAAGUAUCCAUCCACACGCGCUGAUACGUCUCCAACGUAUCUAUAAUUUUUGAUUGCUCCAUGCUACUUUAUCUACUGUUUUAGGCAAUAUUGGGCUUUAUUAUCCACUUUUAUAUUAUUUUUGGGACUAACCUAUUAACCGGAGGCCCAGCCCAGAUUUGCUGUUUUAUGCCUAUUUCAGUGUUUCGAGGAAAAGGAAUAUCAGACGGAGUCAAAACGGAACGAAAUCAACUGGAGAAGUUAAUUUUGGAAGGAAACCAACCUGAUGGGCUUGGAGUGCACGCCAGGGGAGCCCCUGGCUGUCCACGAGGGUGGAGGGCGCGCCCCUCCCCCCUGGGCGCGCCCCCUACCUCGUGAGCAACCCGGAGAUGUAACCCCUGCACCCAUAUAUACCUACGUACCCUAAAACUUCCAGAACAGAAGAUAGAUCGGGAGUUCCGCCACCGCAGGCCUCUGUAGCCACCAAAAACCAAUCGGGACCCUGUUCCGGCACCCUGCCGGAGGGGGAUCCCAUCACCGGAGGCCAUCUUCAUCAUCCCGGCGCUAUCCAUGACGAGGAGGGAGUAGUUCACCCUCGGGGCUGAGGGUAUGUACCAGUAGCUAUGUGCUUGAUCUCUCUCUCUCUCUCUCUCUCUCUCUCUCUCUCUCUCUCUCGUGUUCUCUCUCGUGUUCCAUCUAUGGCAUGAUCUUGAUGUAUCCCGAGCUUUGCUAUUGUAGUUGGAUCUUAUGAUGUUUCUCCCCCUCUACUCUCUUGUGAUGUUGAGUUUCCCCUUUGAAGUUUUCUUAUCGGAUUGAGUCUUUAUGAGAACACUUGAUGUAUGUCUUGCCGUGAUUAUCUGUGGUGACAAUGGGAUAUCAUGUGCCACUUGAUGUAUGUUUUGGUGAUCAACUUGCGGGUUUCGUGACACUUGGGAACCUAUGCAUAGGGGUUGGCACACGUUCUUGACUCUCCGAUAGAAACUUUGGGGCACUCUUUGAAGUACUUUUAUGUUGGUUGGAUGAAUCUGAGAUUGUGUGAUGCAUAUCGUACAAUCAUGCCCACGGAUACUUGAGGUGACAAUGGAGUAUCUAGGUGACAUUAGGGUUUUGGUUGAUUUGUGUCUUAAGGUGUUAUUCUAGUAUGAACUCUUUUAUAGAUCGAUCCGAAAGAAUAGCUUUGUGGUGGUUUCGUACCCAACCAUAAUCUCUACAUUUGUUCUCCGCUAUUAGUGGCUUUGGAGUGACUCUUUGUUGCAUGUUGAGGGCUUGUCAUAUGUUCUAUCUAUGUUAUUAUUGUUGAGAGAACUUGCACUAGUGAAAGUAUCACUACUAGGGAAAAGGCUAUACACAGAAUCUUAGCAGCAGCGAGGGUUAAAAACCCUCGCUACUGCUACUUACUAGCAGCGCAGGUUUUUAAACCUCGCUACUACUAAGUUGAUAGCAGCAGCGCGGGUUUGUAACCCUCGCUACUACUAAGCGGUCUCUACCGUGCCCCUCGGGAUAUGCCAUAGUAGUAGUGCGGGUUUUUAACCCUCGCUACUACUAAGUUGAUAGCAGUAGCGCGGGUUUUUAACCCUCGCUACUACUAACCCGCGCUACUGCUAUCAACUUANNNNNNNNNNNNNNNNNNNNNNNNNNNNNNNNNNNNNNNNNNNNNNNNNNNNNNNNNNNNNNNNNNNNNNNNNNNNNNNNNNNNNNNNNNNNNNNNNNNNNNNNNNNNNNNNNNNNNNNNNNNNNNNNNNNNNNNNNNNNNNNNNNNNNNNNNNNNNNNNNNNNNNNNNNNNNNNNNNNNNNNNNNNNNNNNNNNNNNNNNNNNNNNNNNNNNNNNNNNNNNNNNNNNNNNNNNNNNNNNNNNNNNNNNNNNNNNNNNNNNNNNNNNNNNNNNNNNNNNNNNNNNNNNNNNNNNNNNNNNNNNNNNNNNNNNNNNNNNNNNNNNNNNNNNNNNNNNNNNNNNNNUUUAAAAAAAUAAAAGAAAAUGAUAAAAAUGUCAAAAAAAUAAAAGAAAAUAAGUUUCCCAUGUGAUAUGUGGUCUAGUUGUUGGGAAAAUUUACAAAUAUGAAUUUCGACUUUAUUUGCAAAAUCUCUCUGGAAAUUUGUAAAAUGGCCAUAACUUUUGCAUACGAACUCGGAUGAAAAAGUUUUUUAUAUGAAAAAUCAUCUACUCGAAAAGUUACAUCCAAAUUUAACCGGGGGAACCCCGUUAAACAUUUUUAAAAUCCUCAAAAGCCUAACAGAAAAAAAGUUACGGGGCUUUUAAGAUCUGGAGGCAAAAAAAUUCAAAAAAAAUCAGUUUUUUUAAGAUUUGACAAAUCUGGUCAAACUAUGGUCAAACUAAUUAUUCAAGAAUAUUAGUGUUAAUAAAUAAUUAUUUUAGUUUUUUUGAAUUUUGGUCAAAUCUGGUCAAACUGUGGUCAAACUAUGGUCAAACUAAUUAUUCAAGAAAUAUUAGUGUUACUAAUUUUUUAGAACAAUAGUUUCAAACUCAAACAGUGAAAUGUGUGACUUCAUUCUCAAGCUAAAUUCCUGAGGUUAAUAGGAUUGACAUCUUACUAUUGUCAGGAAAACAACAAGUGCAGACUUGGAAACGAGGGAGAAUAGAACCCGAAAGUUAAGCGUGCUCAGGCUGGAGUAGUGAGAGGAUGGGUGACCGUCCGGGAAGUUAGAUGAUUUGGAAUGAUGAGGGGUGAUUAGAGAUUAAAUUGAGCAGCGAUGAGGGGUGAUUAGAGAUUUGAGGUUAAAAUAAUUAAGAAAUUUGAAAAUUAGGGAAAAAAAUUCAAAAAAAAUUCGAAAAAAUUCAAAAAAAAAAUUCAGAGAUUACAGAUUAGUAGUAGCGCAGGUUUCUACCCACGCUACUGCUAUACGUUAGCUGUAGCGCGGGUUGCACCCGCGCUACUGCUAUAAGUUAGUUGUAGCACCUUAUUAGUAGCGCGGGUACCCGCGCUACUAAUAGGCCCAAAACCCGCGCUGCUGCUAGGCUUUUCCCUAGUAGUGUAUGAACCCUAGGCUUUGUUUCCUAUCAUUGCAAUACCGUUUACGCUCACUUUUACCGCUUGUUAGCUUGCUGUUUUUAUUAUUUCAGAUUACAAAUACCUUUAUCUACUAUCUAUUUUGCACUUGUAUCACCAUCUCUUCGCCGAACUAGUGCACCUAUACAAUUUACCAUUGUAUUGGGUGUGUUGGGGACACAAGAGACUCUUUGUUAUUUGGUUGCAGGGUUGCUUGAGAGAGACCAUCUUCAUCCUACGCCUCCUACGGAUUGAUAAACCUUAGGUCAUCCACUUGAGGAAAAUUUGCUACUGUCCUACAAACCUGUGCACUUGCAGGCCCAACAACGUCUACAAGAAGAAGGUUGUGUAGUAGACAUCACGCGCCCGUCGCCGAAGCUCCGCAGCGCCAUGCUGCCGGGAUCCGUCGUCGGCCUUGCGGUAGAUGAAACACCGCUCCUUCUCGUCCCCUCCAGCCAGCUCCUGCUCCAAAACAAUGCCCUCAGGAGGGAGCACGACACCAAAGGCGCUGUCAUCGUCCGAUCCGGUAGACCCAGAUCUAGGAUUUCCCCCAGAACAUCCCGAUCAUGUUGACGCAGUUUGCAACGAUGAUGCCUCAACAGGGGGCGUCGGAGACGCCGUCACCGUCCAUCAUCCUACUCUGAGAUCUAGAAUGAUAAUAUUUCUGUUUCAUUUAAGGAAAGCGAUGUCGUGACAGCAUGUCACUUCUUCAGGUUGAUAUCACUUCUUUAGAUUGAUAUCCUUGUAAUAUGAUGGAAGAUAUGGCAUCAGCCAAUCUGCAAAGAACCCUUUCUUCUGAAGGAAAUAUGCCCUAUAGGCAAUAAUAAAGUUUUUAUUUAUUUCCUUAUAUCAUGAUAAAUGUUUAUUAUUCAUGCUAGAAUUGUAUUAAUCGGAAACAUAAUACAUGUGUGAAUACAUAGACAAACAUAGUGUCACUAGUAUGCCUCUACUUGACUAGCUCAUUGAUCAAAGAUGGUUGUGUUUCCUGACCAUAGACAUGAGUUGUCAUUUGAUUAAUGGGAUCACAUCAUUAGGAGAAUGAUGUGAUUGACUUGACCCAUUCCGUUAGCUUAGCACUUGAUCGUUUAGUAUGUUGCUAUUGCUUUCUUCAUGACUUAUACAUGUUCCUACAACUAUGAGAUUAUGUAACUCCCGUUUAUCGAAGGAACACUUUGUGUGCUACCAAACGUCACAACGUAACUCGGUGAUUAUAAAGGAGCUCUACAGGUGUCUCCAAAGGUACAUGUUGAGUUGGCGUAUUUCGAGAUUAGGUUUUGUCACUCCGAUUAUCGGAGAGGUAUCUCUAGGCCCUCUCAGUAAUGCACAUCACUAUAAGCCUUGCAAGCAAUGUAGCUAAUGAGUUAGUUACGGAAUGAUGCAUUACGUAACGAGUAAAGAGACUUGCCAGUAACGAGAUUGAACUAGGUAUUGAGAUACCGAUGAUCAAAUCUCGGGCAAGUAACAUACCAAUGAAAAGGGAACAACGGGACCGAUAAAUAUCUUCAUAGAAUAUGUAGGAGCCAAUAUGAGAAUCCAGGUUCCGCUAUUGGUUAUUGACCAGAGACGUGUCUCGGUCAUGUCUAUAUAGUUCUCGAACCCGUAGGGUCCGCACGCUUAAAGUUAGAUGACAGUUAUAUUAUGAGUUCAUGUGUUUUGAUGUACCGAAGAUAGUUCGGAGUCCCGGAUGUGAUCACGGACAUGACAAGGAGUCUCGAAAUGGUCGAGACAUGAAGAUUGAUAUAUUGGACGACUAUAUUCGGACACUGGAAUGGUACAGGGGGUUAUCGGAUAUAUACUGGAGUACCGGGGGGUUACCAGAACCCCCCGGGGGGCUAAUGGGCCUCAUGGACCCAAGUGGAGAAGAGGAGGGGCGGCCAGGGCAGGCCGCGAGCCCCCUCCCCCUUUAGUCCGAAUAGGACAAGGGGGGGGGCUCCCCUGUCCUUCCUCCCCUCUCUCCCUUCCUCCCCCCUCUCCUACUUGGACAAGGAAAGGAGAGAGUCCUACUCCCGGUGGGAGUAGGACUCCUCCUGGCGCGCCCCCUCCUGGCGGGCCGCCCCCUCCCCCUUGCUCCUUUAUAUACGGGGGCAGGGGGGCACCUCUAGAAACAACAACAAUUGAUCCUUGAGAUCUAUUAGCCGUGUGUGGUGCCCCCCUCCACCAUAUUCCACCUCGAUAAUAUUGUAGCGGUGAUUAGGCGAAGCCCUGCGUCGGUAGAACAUCAUCAUCGUCACCGCGUCAUCGUGCUGACGAAACUCUCCCUCGACAUUCGGCUGGAUCGGAGUUUGAGGGACGUCAUCGAGCUAAACGUGUGCAAGAACUCGGAGGUGUCGUUCUUUCGGUGCUUAAUCGGUCGGGACGUGAAGACGUACGACUAUAUCAACCGCGUUUUAUGCUAAUGCUUCCGUUUUCGGUCUACGAGGGUACGUGGACAACACCCUCCCCUUUCGUUGCUAUGCAUCACCAUAAUCUUGCGUGCGCGUAGGAAAUUUUUCAAAUUACUACGUUUCCCAACAUAUUUCUCCUGGGUUCACACCCCAUGUCCUGGAACAACUGGUCACUAUACCAGAUGUGGAGAGCUCCAACGCAAGAUCGACGGAAGUAUUCACGAGAGUACCUCUUCAUGUAUUCAUCCCAUUCCUUUAUACCAAAAAGGGUUUCCCCCCACUUUGUAUUCCAAAGCAAACCACCAUUGUACACAUCGCAAUGCUGGGGUGAGCAGCACAUCAAGCCCAAAGAAAAAGAAGAAGAAAUAAAUGCCAACAACGGCAGCUCGACAAAGCGCUGAAGACCCGCGACCGAUGCGCCCUCCGGAAACAAACCACCACACCGAGGCUCCGAUGUACCGCGAACUAAGCAGCACCUCCAAGAAGGGAUGCGACGCCGACGACGCUGCUGCCCGGACAAGUCCUAGGGUUUCCCCCAGUACACGGAGGGAGGUGGGGCAUAGCUAAUACCGACACCCUCCAAGAAGGGAUAGUGGCACCUGCCGGUGUCACCGCAUCGGAGCCGGACGAACCAGCAAGGAUUUCUCCACCACGCCAAACCCCACCGGCCAACCGGAGCCAACCAGCCAAACCACUGCCCAACACCAUGCGCCAUCACGGUUGAGCCGCCACCAACGCCGUCUCGCCACGAGCACCACCACGAGGCCAAGAAGACCGGAGAGAAGAUCCAAGCGACGGGAGCAGAAAAACCAAGGCCGAGCGGGAGGGAACCACCUCCACCGCCAUCGUGCGAGAGGCCCACGCCUUUGGCACCGUCGCGAUAGCCGUCCAUACACGGCAGCGAGGCAUACUAGGCCACCCCUGGCCCGGCCAGGCCCGAAACGGGCCCGUUAAGCCUCUCCGACCACGCUGCAGCAGGCUGGCGUCGGCGCCGCCAGCACCCCGCUGUUCAUCGCCGCUCCCCAGCCUCCUGGGAGUCACGCCGCAGACCCGUCCUGCCGCCGGCCCGCCCAGCCCCAGAUGGGACCUGAAGGGCCCAGAUCUGGGCCGAGCGCCGCCGCCAGGCCGCGCCGCUGCGCCACCCCGCCGCCAACGUCAGCGCCGCCGCCCANNNNNNNNNNNNNNNNNNNNNNNNNNNNNNNNNNNNNNNNNNNNNNNNNNNNNNNNNNNNNNNNNNNNNNNNNNNNNNNNNNNNNNNNNNNNNNNNNNNNNNNNNNNNNNNNNNNNNNNNNNNNNNNNNNNNNNNNNNNNNNNNNNNNNNNNNNNNNNNNNNNNNNNNNNNNNNNNNNNNNNNNNNNNNNNNNNNNNNNNNNNNNNNNNNNNNNNNNNNNNNNNNNNNNNNNNNNNNNNNNNNNNNNNNNNNNNNNNNNNNNNNNNNNNNNNNNNNNNNNNNNNNNNNNNNNNNNNNNNNNNNNNNNNNNNNNNNNNNNNNNNNNNNNNNNNNNNNNNNNNNNNNNNNNNNNNNNNNNNNNNNNNNNNNNNNNNNNNNNNNNNNNNNNNNNNNNNNNNNNNNNNNNNNNNNNNNNNNNNNNNNNNNNNNNNNNNNNNNNNNNNNNNNNNNNNNNNNNNNNNNNNNNNNNNNNNNNNNNNNNNNNNNNNNNNNNNNNNNNNNNNNNNNNNNNNNNNNNNNNNNNNNNNNNNNNNNNNNNNNNNNNNNNNNNNNNNNNNNNNNNNNNCCCCGCCGCCAGCCAGACCGCCGCCGCCUAGGAGCACCCCCGGUGCAGCUCCGCCCCGCGCCGGAGAGCCACUGGGAGGGGAAAGUCAGGGGGCGCCGCCACCAGCAUCCCCGAGGCCAGGCCGGCCGCGGGCGCCAGCGAUGGCGGCGGGGAGGAAGGGGAGAGGGGGGCCUGGAGGAGGAGGAGGGCGCCGCGAGGCCGCUCGCCCGCGGGGGCGACGCGGUCGCGAGAGGGGAGGGGGAGGGUGCCAUUCCUUUAUAUCCAGCUCCAUAGACUUUAUGCUAGGCAACUGAAAUGCUCCAUCAAGGAAAUGUGCCAACCAUUUGGAGUGCAUGUUGCUAUGCUCUCAGAGUAGCCGAUGAUCGCCAAUUGCGGGGUCCUAGGAUGCACGCAUUGCCUGCCCAGUUGACAAAAUUCACUUUGAGCUUCUACAUAUGUACAGACAGCCAAACAAACAUGUUUAAGAGAAAGACAGAUUAAAUCUGUAGAGAGGAUUACUACUGGAUGGCGGGCCAGUCACAAUGUCUCUGAAAAAGGAUGAUGUGAACAUCCCCUUGAGCUUUUGGUCUCCCUUGUAUCCGGUGAUGAAUAUGACCACAUCGCUCUUUAUAUAUCAGCGUGGAUUCUCCUUCGACAAUCACACCUUGUUUGCAGAAACUGAAGCUCUUUGCUUUCUUGAGAACAAUGCUUCCUUGAUCAACAUCAGAAUUUGUCUGGCAAUAUGGCAACCAAGCAUUGGCUGAUGGCCUGGAAGAAACUGUGGUCUGGCACCAUGCCGUGCCUAUCCAUAGGCACCGCCCAUCUGUAGUAGCUCUCGACAAACUUCGAAAGGAACCAUCUCUGAUCAAUGUAUAUAUCCAGGUUAAAUAAAUGCAUGAGCACAAAUAGAUGAUCUCUAGUUACUUAAAAGAGUGGUUUGGUAUAAGUAGAAACUCUGGCUGGUGGCCCUUACCAAGGGUGAUAAGAAGGUAGCAAGAAUGCUAAGGAGCAGCCCCUCCUGGCUUGUGAACUAGGAGCUCCGAGAAGCGGUUGAGGUAGAAGAACGCAAUGGGAACGCCCCAGGCGUAGUAGUCGGGUAUGAUCCAUCUCUUCGUUCGACAUAUUAUUGUGCAUGGAUACUUGGUUCCUGAGCGCAACAACAAUGAACAAAAUUAAGAUAUAUCUGACCUCAGUGCUCUGAACCCUUCUUCCUUUUGAUCACUCUGCAGUGAAGAGAUCUCACCAUUUGUGUUUGCGCACUCUGCAGCAAUGCCAAUGCGGACUUCGGUAGCCGACAACAGUAACGAGCUCGCCCCUGAUAAGCUGGGUGGACUUCGCAGCGCCCAUGUCGGAGUAGUCGGAUCACCGUGCCGUCAAAAGUUCUCCAGCUCUUUUGUUCGGCGGGAAUGUGGGAAUGUUGGGGACGCCGCUGAAUCUCCCUGUGCACAGGAUCACAAAGUCCGCGACUCGUAUGUCUGGAAAUCAGCUGUUGCCGAUGCACGAAUCUGUUCAAGUGUUGAUGCAAACCUGUUUUCUCACUAUUAACUAUUGUCACUUUGUCAGCUCUUAACUACAAUUUUUUUACUGCCUCCGUCUAGGUGUAUAAAUCACCUUACGAAAACUAAAUAAUCCCAAAACACUUAGGCACGGUACAUUAACUCCCUCCUCGUUUCUUCUUUUGUGAUAUAUCAACCAAUAAGAGAUGUGGGCCAUGCGUGCUUUCAAUGACUUGAGACUGCCAAACAUGACAUGCAGUGGUUAGUUCAGUGCAUGCAAUGCUAUUAAUUAGCAAAACAACAUUAAGUUUUCUCGUUUUCCUCUCCGCCUUGGUCGCGGUGCACAACGUAAGAUGACUUACACACCUAGACGGGGAGAGUACAUAAAUAUAAAAUUGAGUUUUUUUUAAGAAGAAUAGAGGUUUCCUCCCACCCCAUUUUUUUUUUGCGAGAAAAUUUCCGAUCUAUUCAUCUUCAAUCAUGGCAGUACAACGAAUACCAGAAAUAAUAGAAAUUACAUCCAGAUCCGUAGACCACCUAGCGACAACUACCAGUACUGAAGCGAGCCGAAGGCGCGCCGCCGUCAUCGCCCCUCCAUCGCCGGAGUCGGGCACAACUUGUUGUAGUAGACAGUCGGGAAGUCGUCGUGCUAAGGCCCCGUAGGACCAGCGCACCAGAACAGCAACCGCCGCAGAUGAAGAAUAACGUAGAUCAGAAAAAUCCAAUCCGAAGACACACGAACGUAGACGAACAACGACGAGAUCCGAGCAAAUCCACCAAAGAUAGAUCCGCCGGAGACACACCUCCACACGCCCACCAACGAUGCUAGACGCAUCGCCGGAACGGGGGCUAGGCGGGGAGACCUUUAUUCCAUCUUCAGGGAGCCGCCGCCGUCUCGUCUUCCUGAACAGGACACAAACUCUAGCAAAACUGAAAGAAACGAUUAAAAACGGAGCCCUCCCACCGACCCUUGCCGAGAUCCACUGCGCCCCCAUGGCCCUAAGGCCAUCGGAGAGUAGGCGGACCUGCGGCGGCGGCGGCGGGAGGCAAAAACCCUAGCUUUUUGUGGAGGAGAAGGAGGAGGCGGCAAUUUGUGCCUAUUUAGAUACAUUAUACCACCCCAUUUUAUUAAAACGAGGCAACAGGGAACAAGCCAUAGUAGCUGAACGUGAUUACAGAGCUUAAGUAGAACUACUACAACGAACAGCCACUGUAGGGUUUUUAAGACAAACCAAGCUAAUUAUUACUCCCUCCAUAAAAAAAAAUAAGUAGUGAUCUAAACACUCUUAAAUUUCUUUACGGAGGCGGCAGAGCGGGAGGUCGCAUGGUCCCACGUAAGUUUGAGCUAAUCCCGCGUGGGUGCCCACGAUCACGAUUUUUGUGGGCUCAGCCCACAUCCACGUACAGCCUGAUUCAUACAUACGGUCCCGUCCGUGGGCGCUACGAUUCGACGAUGAUCCGUUGCUUCCUCGGAUACAAAUACGAAAAUCGCAAGAGCCAAUCACAAGGCGGUAAACGUAUCACGUACGUACGUCCUGUACGCUGCAGCCAGGGCUGUAUCUCCUGUAUCUGUACGUAUGCCGCUCUCCGAGUUCGAUUCAAUCAUCGACGCAAAGGAGAAAAAAGUCCGAUUCAGUCACCUGGCACGGAGCCUAUAUUAAUCCACGGCUACAAGAGAGGUACUGUUCGAUCCAAGAUGGCAUCGUCGUCGAGAAGCAAGUACGGCGUGAAGACGCCGGAGGAAGAGGAGGCGGACGUCGUGUGCUCGCGCUGGAUCUUCCUCUAUGUAGCGGUGCUCCACCUUGGCCUCUUCGCCAUCACCGCCGUGAUCUCCUACACGCACGUGUUCCCCCGCGCCAAGAAGUUUGACAAGAUCUUCUUUGGAGUCAUGGGUGCUUCUACGGGGGGACUUCCCCUUCAGCAACAAACGUGCCACCGCCCGAGUCGCCGACCUGCCGCCCGUCGAUGUGUGCUAGCUAUCUUUUGGUUGGUUGUUUCUAGUGCACGAAUUGAUUUAUGUGAGCUAGCCAUCAGUAAUAGUGCUUGGCAUACUGUUUUUCAAGAUACGCGGUUACCGGCGGUAUCCUUGCAUCUAUCUUUAUAUUUUAUGUUAGAAAAUGAUUUUACUAAAUCUCAAUUGCUAUUACUCGUCGCUUACGCGAUGUUGGAAUCAUAGAUCUGAUGUUGGAAUCCUUGCAAUGGUCGCUGGUUAAAGGACUUCAAACCUCUGUCACUGUAAAUAUGCCAUCUAGAUGCUCAACCCGUGGGAGUUAGUUUCCCCGGUACAACUCUCCCGGACCAAGCUGACAAUUGGAGAUGGUCGCGCGACUCCUCUGGACACUGCUCUUCUACAAAGCUUCUAUUGAAGGAUGGCCGUUAUGCGCAUCAGCCAAUGCCACUUGGAAGAGCUGGGCACCCCUCCAUCGUUCAAAGACACGAUGACUAGCCGUGAAUAUCGACCAAAAAUCUCGGGGGUUUACCUGGUGAGGAAAUCUCCAAUACCCUUUCCUCACAUGCGAUUGACGAGGCCACUGAGGAGCAGGCGCCACAGCUCAAAACCUAUAUGACAAAAUUCUCGGCAGGCAAGAACAUCCACAAGGACGGGUCUACCUCUAAUGCUAAGAAAAGAGUCUGGCUUGUGUAGCUCCGUCCGGUGCAAACCACAUUUUGGGGAGGCUCAAUCCUACAAUUCCAGGAGGGAAGAAAAAGUGGUCGCUAGGAAUAUGGUCGUAGUGGUACCAGGCUCACCAUGCAUGCCCGAGACCCUACUCCGGCAGGAUGACCAUCCUGUUGACACCUGAUUUUGGCAAGAUACAAAGUGAAAGGGUUUUCAACAUGAGAAAAUUUCAUAUCGUCGAGUGGAACAACUUUGAUGUUUAGGCUAUCGACAUUCGACCUCAUCUCAGUGGCCGAAGCUGUACUCCGAGUGACAAAAUUUAAUAUUCUGAGUGCUUUUCGGCUGAUUACGUCCUCAAUAUGACCUCAGAUGAAGGAGUGCUCUAAAGGAAUUGUCUUCGUCUCGUCGAGACAGUCGAUUUUCAUAUAUAAAUUAUCUCAAUCCGAGUUCACAUGCAAAAGUUAUAGUCAAUACGGUCUGGACAGGUUCAGAGACCAAAAUAUUACGCUUGACACCAGACACAUGUUGAUAAGUGUCUGAUGCAAUGCGUGAGCAAUUCGGCCUUCAAGACGGCCUUGAAUUGAAAAACCUUCAACACGGAAAGGUUUCCUAUCAUCGAGCCGAUCGAUUUUCAUAUAUAAUUCGUCUCAAUCCGAGGUCGUAUGAGGCCUGGAAAGACAAAUCAAGAUCAGGCUAUGUUCUCAGUCGGAAAAACUGAGUGAAAAGUUCACCAUCCGAGUGAAAAUUUACCGGUCGAGUGAAAGUUUGCUGACCGGAUGAACUUAUUAUUAUCCAAGUGGAAAUAUAGUCAUCCGAGUGGAAAUAUGGUCAUCCGAGUGAAAUUGUCCUCCAGGUGAAGAUAUUUCGAGUGAAAACCUACCGAUCGAGUAAAAGGUCGAGUGAAAACCUACCGAUCGAGUAAAAGGUCGAGUGAAAACAUACCGGUCGAGUAAAAGGUCGAAAACAUACCGAUCGAGUAAAAGGUCGAGAGCCUACCGAUCGAGUAAAAGGUCGAGUGAAAACCUACCGAUCGAGUAAAAGGUCGAGUGAAAACCUACCGAUCGAGUAAAAGGUCGAUCGAGUAAAAGGUCGAGUGAAAACUGAUCGAUCAAGUAAAAAAUUGUCUUCCGACUGAAAAUGUGGUCAUCAUCCGAGUGAAAGAUUGUCUUCCGAGUGAAAAUAUAGUCAUCCGAGUGAAAAGGUCUAGUCGAGUGAAAGACUCUAAUAUCCGAGUGGAUGAGCUCAAAUCCGAGUGAAACUGAACAUGUGCCCAAAAGUUUAUCAAGAUGAUCUCGGAUGGAGAAGUGUUCAAUACAGAAGUUGUGCGUAUCAUCAAGACGAUAAACUUUGGUUUUGGAGUCAUCGUCAUCAGAGAUAUUAUAUGGCCUGCAAAUUCACUACAAGACUCGGAUAAUUCAGUCUACCGCAAGACCGAGUCCGACUGGAAGGUAAAGACGACCUCUAAAAGUGUUCAAGAUGGCCUUAUUUGAAAAAGUGAUCAACAUGAGAGUUGUUCGUAUCGUCGAGGCGCACAAGUUUGGUAUUUGGGCCAUCUUGAUCGGAGGUCAUAUGGAGGCUCGGCGGCCUGCACAAGGAGGAAGACAGAAGUUGGGCCAGAUUCAGACUGAAUCCGAGUUGGAAUAGAACUAGGACUCUAGGACGCGAAUUGAUGUAAUUUUUCUUGUAAGGAAAGCCUAGAUGAAUCCUUUACUUGUAUGGGAAGUCCAGCCGCCUCUUAUAUAUGUUGGGGGUGACGGCCGAUUGAACAACACACAAUCGAACAAAUCAAUAUACUACUUUUUCCUGUCUACUUUUUAUCUCUCCACCGUUUUUCUCUCUCGUUCUUCGCUGUUCUUCGUGUUUGAGAGCUGCGAAUCCGGAGGCUCUAGGGGCGAGCGAAUCGACCUAGGGCAGCCCAUAGCCGCCGCAAUCCCUGACGGGGUCCCUCCCGGGUGCGCGGGGUUUCGGGUCUGCAAAAGCGCCCGCCGACUGUCUUGCGUAUCGCGCUGUCGGUCGGGUCUCCUUCGACGUGAGCUGCGGUGCAUCACCCCCGGCGUCGAGGGUACACGUGACGUGUUCGUGUGUCAACACACUUUUUGGCGACUCCGCUGGGGAUCGAAGAUCAAUCAUCAUCAUCCACCAUGUCCAAUCUUCCCAAGCCAUCCGAGGUAGACGCCGAUAACAUCAUUAAGCCCAGUCUUGAUGAGAUAUCGGCCGAUCAUCGCCAAGUCUAUGAGGAGUACAAGAAGGCGCGCGAGGAGAAGGACUUGCAGGAGUUCCUUGCGAAGUUCAAGAAGGAUCGCCAAGGCAACAUCACUCCGAUUGAAGAAAUCAAGUUCCCUCCUCUUCAAGCCGUGCAGGUUAAACCCUCUGUAAGUACCGCCUUUUCUCCUGAGCAGUGGGCUGAGAUUGAAAGUCGUAUUGCUGAUGGUAACAAUCUAGUCUAUCAAACUUUCAUAGAAAAUACUAAUGCUCAGAAGAAUACAUCUCAAUCGACUAGUGGUAAUGAUGGUGUAGCUGCUAGUGUGCAAAACCCUAAUCUGGCUUUACCUAUCUCAUCGGCGCCUCCCGUGCCGAUGACUUAUUAUCCUACCCAAACAAAUCAGAUUGUGGCUGCACCCGUUAAUCCUAUUAUGAGCAUGCCAGGUUCGGUGGUGACGCCGAACCAAACCCUACCUACAGCUACAACCACUCGACCACUACCAAAUUAUGGGUCGACAUACAUGCCACAAUUCCUACCUAUAGCUAGUAACCCUACUCCUCCUAUGCCACUGCCACAAGCUUCAUCGUCCACUAUGGAUGAUGGUUUAGCUAAUCUUAGAGAGGAGAUGGCUAAGAUGCUUCGAGAGAAUUUUGGAGUUGAGCUACCUCGGAAUCGGAUUUACCAAAAGCCGUACCCCGAGUACUUUGAUGCCAUCCAGUGCCCUCCAGGAUAUAAAAUUCCAGAUUUUGUUAAGUUUAAUGGAGAAGGCACAAAAACCACAUGGGAGCAUGUUAGUCAGUAUUUAGCACAAUUGGGUGAGGCAGGCUCAUUGAAUGAAUUGAAAGUGCGUUUAUUUCCUUUGUCAUUAACUGGUACCGCAUUUUCAUGGUUUUCUUCUUUACCACAUGGUUCUAUUCGAGUUUGGUCGCAGCUAGAGCAGAAAUUUCAUGAUCACUUUUAUAGCGGCGACAAUGAACUCAAGUUGUCACAUCUAACAUCGGUUAAGCAGAAGCAUGAUGAAUCGGUCUCCGAUUACGUCAAGAGAUUCAGAGAAACGAAAAACCGGUGUUUUUGUUUGGUGAUAACCGAGAGAGACUUGGCAGACCUAGUGCUGAGUGGUUUCAGAACUCCCAUUAGAGAAAAGCUAGAAGGCUAUGAGUUCUUAAAUAUCAACCAAGUCUUACAAAGGGCUUUGGCUCAGGAAAGCCGAAGCAAAGAUCUCAAAGAAGUGCAUAUAUACAAAACCGAUCGUCCGAAGAUGAAUAUGGUGGAAUAUGAUAGUGAUCACUCGGAUGAUGAGGGUGAUGUUUUUGCUACCGAAUUUGUUUGGCCAUCUAAGGCCAAACCCUUUACUUGCAAUGAUCUGAAACCGAUUCAUAAGAAUCGUGAUGAAGAGAUGAAGUUUACUUUUAACAUUGCUAAGUGUGAUAGAAUAUUUGAUGCUUUGCUGCAGGCUAAGAUUAUUAGAAUAUCUCAUACUUUACCGCCGUUUGAAGAGCUGAAACGGCGUGCUUCUUGCAAGUAUCAUAAUUCUUUUUCUCAUGCUACUAAUGAUUGCAAUGUUUUUCGACGACAGAUACAAUCGGCCAUUAAUGACGGACGAUUGAACUUUUCUGAGAUGCAAGUUGAUAAACAGCCCUAUCCAAUAAACACCAUGGAUUUAGAAGGGAAGAAGCUGCUCAUUCGGCCGGAGGUAGCCGAAUCUGCUAAUAAAGCUAAUGUCAUUGUUGGUGAGCCCAGGAAAGACAAGGAGGGCGACAAGGUCUUGGGGAGACAUGUUGUGCUUGAUAAGCAACCCGAUGGCAAGAAAGUGAUCAAGAUCACCAUCAAGAAUCCUACACUCGGGGGGCAAACACAGGUGCAGCAGGACACUCGAGUUAAAUUUGUCAAGCCCAAGAAUCCAGAAGUUGGCAAAUGGAAGAGGAACGAAGUUAAAGUAUAGCGCAAACGGAACAAACCAACUUUUGAUAUGUUGCUGUCCAAAUAUGCCAAUCAGUCGGCUGGUUCCAGCUCUAACCGGCCAUCAUACUUGAAGCGACCAAGGUCACCAUCAGAUGAUAUGUUCAGUCAGUAUAUGAAACCGAGUGGACCAAGGGCGCAGUUUUUAGAAGAGCAGAGGCAAACUGUUUGGGACCGACUUGAAUACUCAUAUAAUGGCCGACUGAACAUCGACAAUUAUUGGUCGGCUGGUCAAAACAUACGACCGGAUGGAAACUACCCUAGUGUAAGAAUGCACCCUGGUGGAAGCUAUCCGAGUGAAAAAAUAUGGUCAAGUAAAUUCCAUCCGAGUGACAUCAAUUCGAGUGGAUUCCAUCCAAGUAAAAAGGUGCGCCCGAGUGGAAAUUUCGUGCAUCUGGAAAGUCGAAAAGAAUGGCGUGUUAAGUCACCAAGUGUUGCAGCAGUUGAGUCGGGCAAAGGAAAGGAGAAAAUGGAUGUCGACUCACUUAUUUUGGGCACCAAAACAUUCCCCAUACAGCAGCCGACUGUGCAUAAUCACUCAACUGAGCCAAUACUUUCUAUCGUGCCAAAGCACUCGGUUAAUGACCAUGAAGCAAGCACCAGCCAAGUAAAGGUGAGAGAUGCUAAAUACACUCGACCAAAGUGGUGUCCUCCAGGGCUAACAAAGACACAGAAGAGGAAACUACAGAGGUUAAGGAGUCAAGAGAUGGCGGAGCAGGAGGACGAGAAGCAAAGGGAUAAGUUGUUCAAUGACACUCGGCCCAUGGUUCCAGCAAAACAAGUGUGGAGGCCAAAACAAAUACAAGAUACAUCAGCUUCUACAUCUAUCACAGAAGUGCCUACACCACCCAAGGAGGACGAUGUGACGCCUAUUACAUCGUCUGCGACACUUCUUACUUCUCCUUCACUCGGCCAGAUUUCAGAAUCGGUCGAUCCACUUGGAGAAGAGGCUGAUAUGUUGGACUAUGAAUCUACACCGGUUCAUGAAGGUAUGGAUAUCAAUAUGGUGUAUUACUUACCUGCUGAGUUUCGUGCUGUAGAUGAGGAAGGGGAAGUUGCUCAGCUGGAUUUUGGCCCUAAGAACGCAAUAUUCGAGAAGCCAAAAGAACCAGUAACACAUUUGAAACCGUUGUAUCUCAGAGGUCAUAUCAAUGGAUCGCCACUUAGUCGAAUGCUUGUUGAUGGUGGUGCUGUGGUAAAUCUUAUGCCCUAUUCGGUCUUCAAGAAAUUGGGUUUGCCUGAUGAAGAAUUGAUCAAGACCAAUAUGGUGCUCAACGGGUUUGAAGGCAAAGAGAAAACUGAAGCCAAAGGUGUAAUGUAUGUGGAGCUUACAGUCGGAAGCAAAACUUUGGCCACUGCAUUCUUUGUCGCUGAGGUGCAAGGUAACUACAACGUUAUACUAGGCCGUGAUUGGGUUCAUGCAAACCAGUGCGUGCCAUCCACUAUGCACCAGUUUUUGAUUCAGUGGGUUGAUGAUGAAGUGGAAGUCAUUCAUGCGGAUAACUCGGCCUGUGUUGCUUUGGCCGAUGCAUCGGUGGAUUGGCAACAUCCCAAUGCUACUUGCUUGACGGGAUGUGACUUAUCAGAGUUUGAUUUUCUCAGCGCGACCAAGAAUGGUUUUGUGCCCGUGUCUUUAAAGCCGACUGAAUGCAAUCGGCUCCAAGGUAUGAUAGGUUUAAAUGGAUUCUAAUUCCGAGUGGUUACAAAAACGUCUUGUAAAAUAUCGGUCCAGUGAGGACGAUAUGUAUGAGUCUAUAGAGGAGUUGGAUGACAUGGAUAAACUUGGACAAGGUUUUACAUCGGCUGAUCCAUUAGAAGAGAUAGAUAUUGGAGAUGGUUCAGUCACUCGACCGACAUUUAUAAACAAAAAUUUGAAAGCCGAGUGUAAGGCCAAAUUAAUCAAGCUAUUGAAAGAAUAUGUUUGUUGCUUUGCAUGGGAAUAUCAUGAGAUGCCAGGGUUGAGCCGGGAGCUAGUGGAGCAUCGGUUGCCUAUAAAAGCCGGUUUUAGACCUUAUAAACAGUCGGCCAGAAAGUUUAAUCCGAAAACAUAUGACCGGAUCAAGGAAGAGAUCGGUCGACUGCUUGAAGCUAAUUUCAUUCGACCUUGCAGGUAUGCCGAGUGGAUUUCUAACAUUGUCCCAGUGGAGAAGAAGGGAUCCGGCAAGUUGAGGAUGUGCAUUGACUUCAGAGAUUUGAAUAGGGCUACACCCAAAGAUGAGUAUCCCAUGCCAAUAGCCGAUAUGCUUAUUAAUGAUGCUUCUGGACAUAAGGUUAUUAGCUUUCUAGAUGGUAAUGCCGGAUACAAUCAAAUUUUUAUGGCCGAAGAGGACAUGUACAAAACAGCUUUUCGAUGUCCUGGUUUCCUUGGUUUAUUUGAGUGGACAGUGAUGACAUUCGGAUUGAAAAAUGCUGGGGCCACAUAUCAAAGGGCUAUGAAUUUGAUUUUUCAUGAUUUACUCGGUAUCAUACUUGAAGUUUAUAUUGAUGAUAUUGUUGUCAAAUCGGAUGCUUUUGAAUCUCACUUGGCCGAUUUGCGUUUAGCUUUUGAAAGGAUGAAAAAGUAUGGACUGAAGAUGAAUCCUUUGAAGUGUGCAUUCGGCGUGUCUGCUGGCAAAUUUUUGGGUUUCAUUAUUCAUGAAGAUGGCAUCGAAAUCGAUCCCAAAAAGAUAGAGGCCAUACAGAAAGUGGAGGCUCCAACAUGCAAGAGAGAUAUGCAAAAGUUCCUUGGCAAGGUCAAUUAUUUGAGAAGGUUCAUAGCUAAUCUGUCAGGGAAAGUUGAUGCAUUUACUCCUAUCCUUCGGUUAAAGAAUGAUGUUGAUUUCACUUGGGGGGCAAAACAGCAAGAAGCCUUUGAUAUGAUCAAGAAUUAUUUGUGCACUCCUCCGGUGAUGAAAGCACCCAAGCAUAGAGAGCCUUUUAAACUUUAUAUCGCAACAGAGGAAGGUGUUAUUGGUGCUGUUUUGACUCAAGAUACCGAAGGAAAAGAGCAUGCCAUUACAUAUUUGAGCAGACGUUUAUUGGACGCCGAGACAAGGUAUACAUUUAUUGAAAAACUAUGUCUAUGCUUAUAUUACGCUUGCACAAAAUUGAGACAUUACCUAGUGCCGAGUGCUUGUGUAGUAGCUUGUCAAACCGAUGUCAUUAAGUACAUGUUGCAUAGGCCAAUUUUUAGUGGUAGAAUUGGCAAGUGGGCUUAUGCUUUGAUUGAGUAUGAUUUGGCUUACGAAUCUCUAAAAUCCAUGAAAGGCCAAAUUGUUGCUAAUUUCAUUGUUGAACAUCGGAUUAAUGACAAGCAUGAUGUUGAUAUGAACCUUGUUUCAUUAGUACCAUGGAGAUUAUACUUUGACGGUUCAGUUUGUAGCAAUGGCCAAGGUGUUGGUAUUGUUUAUAUAUCUCCUCAUGGUGCUGUUUUUGAAGCCCCAUGCCGCUUAGAAUAUUUUUGCACAAACAAUCAAGCCGAAUAUGAAGCAUUGUUAUUCGGCCUAGAGAUGUUACUUGCUAUAGGUGUUACACAUAUUGAGGCUUACGGUGAUUCAUUACUAGUAGUGCAACAAAUAUCUAAAGUCUUUCAGUGUUUGGACGAAUCACUUAAUGUUUAUCUUGAUAGAUGUCUAGAUAAAAUUUCUACUUUGGAUUGUUUUAGCAUUGCACAUAUAUCUAGACAUGACAAUUGGAAAGCAAAUGAGUUGGCACAGCAAGCAUCUGGAUAUCAUGUUGAUCAUGGCAUGUUUCAUAUUUCUCAAAGUCCGAUGUCUUGUCUUACCAGUAUAGAAGAGGCCGAACCAGAACCCACUGAUUCGGUCAUUAACAAAGAAUCUAGUGCAGAUGACAAUUCCGACUGGAGGAAGCCCAUUGUUGCUUACUUGCGCAAUCCGAGUGAAAGGGUGGACAGGGCUGUUCGGCGUAUGGCUUUUAAAUAUACUAUGAGGGAUGAUGACCUUUAUCGCCGAACAGUCGAUGAUGUUCUUCUAAAGUGUUUGGAUGAGGACCAGGCAAGAGUUGCUAUGGGAGAAGUACAUGAAGGUAUUUGUGGCACUCACCAAUCGGCUCCUAAGAUGAAAUGGUUAUUACGACGUGCUAGGUUUUAUUGGCCGACCAUGAUUAAUGAUUGCUUCAAAUAUUAUAAAGGGUGCGAAGCUUGUCAAAAAUUUGGUGAUAUUUAAUUGGCUCCUGCUGCUAUGUUGCAUCCUAUUAUCAAGCCGUGGCCUUUCAGAGGAUGGGGUUUAGACUUUAUUGGGCAAAUUCAUCCAUCUUCCUCAAAGGGGCAUCGAUUCGUGUUGGUGGCAACUGAUUAUUUCACUAAAUGGUCUGAAGCAGUACCUCUCAAGAACAUGACACAUACAGAGGUAAUUCAAUUCAUAACCGAGCACAUUAUUCAUAGAUUCGGUAUUCCUCAAACGUUAACUACAGAUCAAGGUUCAUCUUUUAUGUCACACCAAGUCAGAGAGUUUGCCGAAUCUUAUAAUAUAAAGUUGCUCAAUUCCUCUCCGUAUUAUGCCCAAGCUAAUGAACAAGCUGAGUCUAGCAAUAAAAUUUUAAUCAAGCUCAUCAAGAAGAAGAUUGAGGAUAAUCCAAGGAGAUGGCAUGACUUAUUGUCUGAGGCAUUAUGGGCACAUAGAAUCUCAAGGCAUGGUGCUACGAAAGUGACUCCAUAUGAGUUGGUAUAUGGUCAGGAGGUUGUUUUACCGGUGGAAGUAAAUUUGAAUGCUUUGAGAAUAGCCAAACAAAAUGAUUUAUCAGCAAUAGACUUCUAUAACUUGAUGAUGGACAACAUUGACGAGGUUGCUGAUAAACGUUUGGCUGCUUUGAAUGCCAUAAAGAGAGAUAAGUUGAGAGUAGCUAGGGCUUACAAUAAGAAAGUUAAGUUGAAGAAUUUUCAAGUUGGUGAUCUUGUCUGGAAAGUGAUUCUGCCGAUUGGUUCAAGAGAUAGAAAAUUCGGGAAGUGGUGUCCAAGUUGGGAAGGUCCUUUUAGGAUUACAAGAGUCGUUCCCGGAAAUUCAUAUUUGGUGGAAUCAAUACAAGGGGCAUUGUUACCUCGAGCUCUCAAUGGCAAAUAUUUGAAGAAGUCCCACCCGAGUGUGUGGCAGGAAGCCUAAGUAGGCAAUGGCCGAUAUACAAUUAUCGUCCUUAGCACAAACAUGGCCGAUACAUAAUUAUUGCCCUGAGAAAAAUAAAUGGCCGAUGGAGUGUUAACAUCGUCCUUAGAACGAACACUAUGCAUAUUAUUUUUCGGCAUGCAAGCUUUGCCGAAAAACAGGGGGGCAUGUGUUGACACCUGAUUUUGGCAAGAUACAAAGUGAAAGGGUUUUCAACAUGAGAAAAUUUCAUAUCGUCGAGUGGAACAACUUUGAUGUUUAGGCUAUCGACAUUCGACCUCAUCUCAGUGGCCGAAGCUGUACUCCGAGUGACAAAAUUUAAUAUUCUGAGUGCUUUUCGGCCGAUUACGUCCUCAAUAUGACCUCAGAUGAAGGAGUGCUCUAAAGGAGUUGUCUUCGUCUCGUCGAGACAGUCGAUUUUCAUAUAUAAAUCAUCUCAAUCCGAGUUCAUAUGCAAAAGUUAUAGUCAAUACGGUCUGGACAAGUUCAGAGACCAAAAUAUUACGCUUGACACCAGACACAUGUUGAUAAGUGUCUGAUGCAAUGCGUGAGCAAUUGGGCCUUCAAGACGGCCUUGAAUUGAAAAACCUUCAACACGGAAAAGUUUCGUCUCGUCGAGCCGAUCGAUUUUCAUAUAUAAUUCGUCUCAAUCCGAGGUCGUAUGAAGCCUGGAGAGACAAAUCAAGAUCAGGCUAUGUUCUCAGUCGGAAAAACCGAGUGAAAAGUUCACCAUCCGAGUGAAAAUUUACCGGUCGAGUGAAAGUUUGCUGACCGGAUGAACUUAUUAUUAUCCAAGUGGAAAUAUAGUCAUCCGAGUGGAAAUAUGGUCAUCCGAGUGAAAUUGUCCUCCAGGUGAAGAUAUUCCGAGUGAAAACCUACCGAUCGAGUAAAAGGUCGAGUGAAAACCUACCGAUCGAGUAAAAGGUCGAGUGAAAACCUACCGAUCGAGUAAAAGGUCGAUCGAGUAAAAGGUCGAGUGAAAACUGAUCGAUCAAGUAAAAAAUUGUCUUCCGACUGAAAAUAUGGUCAUCAUCCGAGUGAAAGAUUGUCUUCCGAGUGAAAAUAUAGUCAUCCGAGUGAAAAGGUCUAGUCGAGUGAAAGACUCUAAUAUCCGAGUGGAUGAGCUCAAAUCCGAGUGAAACUGAACAUGUGCCCAAAAGUUUAUCAAGAUGAUCUCGGAUGGAGAAGUGUUCAAUACAGAAGUUGUGCGUAUCAUCAAGACGAUAAACUUUGGUUUUGGAGUCAUCGUCAUCAGAGAUAUUAUAUGGCCUGCAAAUUCACUACAAGACUCGGAUAAUUCAGUCUACCGCAAGACCGAGUCCGACUGGAAGGUAAAGACGACCUUGAAAAGUGUUCAAGAUGGCCUUAUUUGAAAAAGUGAUCAACAUGAGAGUUGUUCGUAUCGUCGAGGCGCACAAGUUUGGUAUUUGGGCCAUCUUGAUCGGAGGUCAUAUGGAGGCUCGGCGGCCUGCACAAGGAGGAAGACAGAAGUUGGGCCAGAUUCAGACUGAAUCCGAGUUGGAAUAGAACUAGGACUCUAGGACGCGAAUUGAUGUAAUUUUUCUUGUAAGGAAAGCCUAGAUGAAUCCUUUACUUGUAUGGGAAGUCCAGCCGCCUCUUAUAUAUGUUGGGGGUGACGGCCGAUUGAACAACACACAAUCGAACAAAUCAAUAUACUACUUUUUCCUGUCUACUUUUUAUCUCUCCACCGUUUUUCUCUCUCGUUCUUCGCUGUUCUUCGUGUUUGAGAGCUGCGAAUCCCGAGGCUCUAGGGGCGAGCGAAUCGACCUAGGGCAGCCCAUAGCCGCCGCAAUCCCUGACGGGGUCCCUCCCGGGUCCGCGGGGUUUCGGGUCUGCAAAAGCGCCCGCCGACUGUCUUGCGUAUCGCGCUGUCGGUCGGGUCUCCUUCGACGUGAGCUGCGGUGCAUCACCCCCGGCGUCGAGGGUACACGUGACGUGUUCGUGUGUCAACACAUCCAAUUCCAUGGGACGGGCUACCCGGAGAACCCUCUUCAUCUAGGACAAUAUCGACUAGUAGCAACACCCAUGAGAUCAAAGGACAUGGUACAUCGAGUUUUGGUAGACGGAGGGAGCUCUUUAAUUUAAUCCUAAUGCAGACUUUGGAGCAAAUGCAAAUACUGCGAAGGAUCCACCUCGACGGAGUUGUUUUAUGGGCUCCUCCCACAGACAACGAGAACCACAAUCCUCUGAGAAGGAUCACCCUCCCGGUGAUCUUUGAAGAGAAAGGAACUCCCGGUGAUCAUUUGAGGUGAUAGGCUUUGACAUGAUUUUUUUUCCCGAAGAAGAGGAUAACCCCCAGCCUCUGCAUUGAGCGAUGCACACAACCACAUAUAUAUAUAAUUGUGAGAAUUCUGAAGAAAUAUGAGUUGGUUAAAGUUAUCUCCUAUGCCGUCCCAUCCGCUAUUAGUAUGCAUCCAUUGUCGAUCCAACAUCUCUGAAGCAAAGAUUUCAGAUUUCAAAGAAGUUGGUUUUCAUCGGGUACAUGCCGUCUUAAAAAUACAUGGAUGCUUUUUAAAAUUUAAUGAACAUUUUUUAUCAAAAUAUGAGCACAUUUUUAUAUAUUUUACUUUCACUUUUUAGUUAGAUAUACAAAACUAAAGUAAAUAUGUUAAAACAGUACAAAAUAAAAUAAAAUAAAUAUCUGAAAAAUGAAAAAUUGAAACAAUAUUAAAUGGAAGAAAAAGCAAAAGAAAUAAAAGAAAGUAAGAAAAAAAUGCGCUCCACCCCGCAGUGGCUCGACCCAACUGCAUGAGUUUAGUGCAAGUUUGCUAGCCACCCCGUGCAUUACAUGACGAUUUGGAAUACUUUUUUUGUUGAAAAAAAGAGCUCUCUCUCCGAUUUUCAUUAAUAGAACUCACAGUUUCUUACAAACUACCAUCGACCACUACAUAUACACUGCCAACACACAACCAUUGACAGAUCAAACGACGUGCUCCCUUGAUGAUGCAGAACUGGGCAUCUCCACACCCCAUCAGGAUCGCAGACCAGGGGGAAAGCUACAUGCUGCCUACACCCUAGCAAAACACAAGAUCUAACACAUAGUCUGAAUCACACACACCCUCGUGAGAAAUCCCACAUGUCGGGCCUCCAGGCAAGAGGAUAUUAUUUAGCAUCGCACAAAACGCAAACCAAGUAUCACCAAGUGCAUAUUCAUCUAGGAAAGCAGAAAAAACAUUUGGAAUAAGCUUAUAGCGGGCACCUAUAAGAUUUGCUCGCUAAUAUUAAUUGUUUGAUUUUUUUUUUAGAAUCAUUUGCUUUUUUUUUUUGAGAAUCAGAAUCAUUUGCUAUAAAAAGAUGAUAUUGUUAACAGACAUUUUUGGCCCAGGUACGUAUGACCUGGUACCUGGCGUCUUUAGCCCAAGAGUCAAAUGUCCUUGUAAGCACUGGUGCCUGGCCCGUUAAUACUCCCCCGCCUGUCCCCCAGAAAACAAAAUACGUAUUAGUGUACGUAUUACGUCCUCCGUCCGGGUGCCGCUAGGGCUACAUCUCCCGUACGCACGCAGCUCGAUUUAAUCACCUGGCGGCACGAAGCUUCUUUAUUUACGACCACAAGAGGCCCCCCGUUCGAUUCGAUCAAUGCUAACUAGGAAGAGAUGACAUCGUCGAGAGGCAACGACCGCGUGAUGACGGCGGAGGAAGAGGAGGCUGCCGACCUGUGCGUGGGCUGGAUCUGGGUCUAUAUCGCGGUGUUCUACCUCGGCUUCUUCGCCUUCUCCGCCGUGAUCUCCUACACACACGUGUUCGCCCGCGCGACCAGGUUUGACAAGAUCUUCUUUGGGGUCCUGGGAGCGCCAUGUCUGCUCAUCGCCCUUGGCUUCAUCUGCCUGCUUCUACGGGAGGACGGGCCCUUCCGCAACAAGCGUGCCACCCCCCGAGUCGCCGACUCUCCGCCCGCCGAUGUGUGCUAGCCAUCUUUGGUUGUUUCUACUUUCUAGUGCGUGAAUAUUAAUGUUCGGAGUUUUACUUUGUUUUAUUUGAUCCAAUGUAGUUCUCUUUCGGCUUGCUAGUUGUAACAUCUUUUGUCCUUAGCUGGUGGGAAACUUGUACGUACUAGAUUGUCAAANNNNNNNNNNNNNNNNNNNNNNNNNNNNNNNNNNNNNNNNNNNNNNNNNNNNNNNNNNNNNNNNNNNNNNNNNNNNNNNNNNNNNNNNNNNNNNNNNNNNNNNNNNNNNNNNNNNNNNNNNNNNNNNNNNNNNNNNNNNNNNNNNNNNNNNNNNNNNNNNNNNNNNNNNNNNNNNNNNNNNNNNNNNNNNNNNNNNNNNNNNNNNNNNNNNNNNNNNNNNNNNNNNNNNNNNNNNNNNNNNNNNNNNNNNNNNNNNNNNNNNNNNNNNNNNNNNNNNNNNNNNNNNNNNNNNNNNNNNNNNNNNNNNNNNNNNNNNNNNNNNNNNNNNNNNNNNNNNNNNNNNNNNNNNNNNNNNNNNNNNNNNNNNNNNNNNNNNNNNNNNNNNNNNNNNNNNNNNCCGCCACUGGCUGCGCCCCUCGAUUUUGACACUAAUAGUAGUGAUUGAUGCAAUUAUACGUAAAUCUAUAAUUUUAAUCACGUGGUAUAAUCAUCACAUUAUACUUGAAGGCAAUAUUCAAUUAUGAGAUAUAACUAGAAAACAUGACCGUGCGUUGCAACGGAAGCAAAUAUGUUAUGAAGGCCCUAUCAAGAUGCAAUGAUGGCAGAAAGACUUUUUUGACUUUGAAAUGUUGCCACGACUACUUCUCUGUUGCAAAUCUUCCUUCCAUAUAUCCCAGGUUGCGCAAGGACGAUGCUACUUGCAACAACAAUGCCAGGACUAAGCCCACGACGAACCUCCCAUCACCAAAGGCAAAAGUCAUAGCAACAUUUAUUGCAGCUUCCGUGCAAAUCAACUAUAGAUGUCCUACAAUAUUCAUAAUCAUAUUAUAAGGGUUAUUGUCGUGGUUUUGUCACGGCAGAUGUCCUAGUGUGAGGAGUUAGUCGUGGAGCCAUCGCAACGUAGUUAGCUUAAAGGGGUUAAAGCGGGACAAAGGACGCAAAGAGUUUAUACUGGUUCAGCCCCUUGCGGUGAAGGUAAAGGCCUAAUCCAGUUGAGGUGGUAUUGCUAGGGUUUCGAUGACCAAGGAGCGAAUACGCUUUGCCUGGCUCUCGAUCUGUUGUUUCUUGUCUCUAAAUCGCUGCCGGGUCGUCCCUUUAUAUACACAGGUUGACGCCCAGGGGUCUACAGAAUCCCGGCCGGCUCAUAAACGUGUCCAGCUCAGUUUCUACCCUUUCCUAUCUUAUCACACAAGUUAUACAUCAUAUGACGGUUUACAUCUACGGGUCCUAAUCCGCCUUUGGGCCUUCUUGUUAGAUCUUCUCCGUAAAGUGACAUACUCCUUGUCUUCGUGGGCUUCAAUAUGAAUAACUCCUUUGAAGUAUAACCCAGCCCCUCCUGGGCGGUUUAUACUUAGUAGUUAUAUCCCCAACAUUAGGCCCCAGAUUGAUUUGAACUUGUUCAUGUCAAUCUUCAGUACUUAGGAAAAUUCCUUCUUCAACACCUUCGUGAAAAUCUUGUAACUCGCCGUGACGUCAUCUUCCAAGAUCAUGAUAAUCCGCCAUGACGUCAUCUGCCAUUAACUUUAUAUAGAACCCAAAUCUUCUAAUAUUUAUCCUUUAAUGAAUCUCCGAAAAUUGAGGCGUCUGUAUAUCUACAAAUCCGUUUUCCGACCUCCUCGAUUCCCGCGCCUGCCACUUAUCCAUUCACCUUAUAAAUAGGACCGGGGGUCAUUUUCACUUUCCCCCCUCGUGCCCCUUCACUUCAUCUUCUUCCUCGCGUCGACCUAGCGCUCAAACUCAGCCGCUGCCGCCAAGUCUUCGACCUCGACCUCAACUCCGGCCGCUGGAUCGCCCUGAUCGUACCAGAGAAUCGCGGCGCCACUCCAUUGUUCCAUUAGCAUCAGUAAGCCUUCUUUCUCUCCGCCAUAGAUCUGCCAUUAGGGUUUCAGGGUUCAUUGGUGUUCGUCGGUGUCCAUCGCUGUGCAAUAGCUCUUGAUUUAAAUCUUGACUUUUAUCUCGUACAGCGAUACCCGCAUCCCUUCUUUUCAUUAGUGCAUCUCCUUUAAGUAGAAAAUCCCAUCUGGAUCCUUCAACUGUUCAAGUACCAAAAUAUUUAACCCUGAAUAUUUUUUUCAUUUUCUGACAUGUAGUAGAUCCAGAUCUGCAAUAUGAAUCUGCGAAAACCUGUUUUUACAGCACUUAACCAUUUUCCAACCCAAGCUCUGUAUGCUCAAUAUCUGUAUGGGUAAUUUAACUUUUUAGAAAAUAAUAAUCCGCCAGGCACCAUUAGUCCUCUCUUAAACCGCCAAUUGCUCAUCACUUUAACUCUGAUAAUAUGAUCCUUCGGUUUAACAUUUUUGUAUGCUUUAACACUUUCUGUCUCUUAACCUGCAAUCUUUAUGCUUAUCAAUUAUAAAUCUUAAACCGGCACGAACCUUCCUUCGGGUUAUCAAAUAAAUGGCCAAGUCUUUUUAUGCUUGCAACUGGGUUCCUUCCUGGGUUACUGAAGAACAACUGACCGGGUGCGUCGCAACUGACGCUUUAGCAAAAAAGGAAGUCAUUCACUGGAGAACCCCUAGUCUAGAAAAUCCUCCUGAGCCUAAGGAUGGAGAAGUGAUUGUGUUCGUUGAUCAUUUGGGUCGAGGGUUUAGCCCUCCCGGAUCAAAAAAUUUCCAUGAUGUGCUUGCUAGCUUCCAACUCCGCCCUCAAGAUAUUGGACCUAACUCCGUGUCCAAUAUUUGUAAUUUUCAAGUGUUUUGCGAGGCUUAUCUGCAAGAAGAACCCACCGUUGAUCUGUUCAGAGACUUCUUCUAUUUAAACCACCGGACUGAAUUUACAGAUGGGCCCAAUACUGAACUUGACGGGGUUUCAAUUCAGAAAAGGAAAGAUGUUAGCUUCCCUCAUGCCAAACAUCAUAGUCACCCCAAAGACUGGAAUCAGACUUGGUUCUACUGCCGAGAUACGUCUCCAGCUGACGAGAAUCCUCUGCCGGGUUAUCGUGCUCACCGGCUUACCAAUACACGUCCAUUUCCCCAAAGGCUGACUACAAAGGAACGGGCCAACUAUGCACCACAACUUUCAAAGCUCAGAGCCUUUGUUGCGAACGGAUUAACAUGCAUUGACUUUGUUUGUUGCUGGAUAUCCUGGAGCAUUCUGCCUUUAAGCCAUCGCCCCGGUUUAAUGUGCGAGUACACAGGGGACUUGAAAGAUCCUCAAUGACAUAUUAACAUUCAUAUAAUGGAAGCUGAAAUUACUGAAGCUGUCAAGAAGAUACUGGAUGAACCGGUGGCUGUCUGCAGCAAAACAGGGCUUAGUCCCUUCUGCGUUUCCAAUAAACCGCCAGCUAUAAGAAUUAUAUAACUCUUGUUUUAAUCCAGCCCUUUUAACUAUUCCCUUAUAACUUUUGGCAAUCUUUGAUAGGGUGAUGAUCCGUUCUAGAAGAAGAAACCGCAGUAUAAACCGGAAAAAAACCCUCGUGUCAAGACCAAGGUCACCAAGAAACCUGCCAAAAAGAAAACCACCGACUCCACCGCUUUAAACUUUGAUGAUGACGAUGAAAAUCACGAGUCAGAGGUAGAACUUGAUUCACUUGGUUCCUUCUUCGUACAUCUUAUUGAUAAUGAUUAUUAUCAGGAGGACGCAGAGGCUAGUCAAGCUGGUGACGUAGAGGUAAUUAUUCUUUCCUCCGGCUCAGAACCUCUGCCAACUCCGAAAACCUGUCAAGCAAACCGAAAAGUAAGAUUUUCUCACCAUCUAGCUCACAUGGAUCCAAACUUUCUUUUGAAGAAACAACAACACGAAGCUCGCCGCACAACCCGGCAUAGCGGCCAUGUGGUAACUUCUUCCGGUUUACCGAACACGCCGGUUCGUAAACGUCGCCCAGAGGUCUCUUAUACUGCUGAUCCAUGUUAUCCUAAGGCGGGUUAUUUCCGGCAACCUCUUACUCCGUCUGAUUCAAAUUAUCAAGGAACUUCCCAUUCCUCUUCUAGCGAAUCAACAGAGACGCAACUUCCAACCCUCAAAAUGGUUCCUGGGUAAGAAUGUUUAAACUAACCCUUAACACUUUAUAUUUACUCACUGCACCAACCUUUGCGUUCGUUCCUUUCAGUGCCAAGCCCAGACCCAGCAAAAAGGCCAAGUUGAAUAAACCGGCUGAUGAUAACCCGGCCACUGAAUCGGAGAAGACCCCAUAACAGUUUGAGCCAUAUGCUGAUGCUAUUCUUAAUGAUCCGCCACCGCAAGAUCAUGAAACUUUUGCUAAACAGGUGGAAAAUGAUCCCACGGGCCAUGCUGUUGAUCCGCCAAGCCCAGCUAAAGCUGCUGAUAAACCGUUAAGCCCAUCAAAGCUGCUGAUGACAAAGCGGAUAAUGUUGUAGUUACUGGCUUUGGCUACACAACUCCUGGCAACCCCAUCGCUUUAUCAAAACAUAGUGCCAAAUAAGAAUUUGCUGCUAUGGAUAAGGGCAAGUGGACAACAGAUUUGGAAAACUAUGCCCACCUCAACGCCCAAGAUUUCCAUUCUGGGUUUUUAAACUGCCUGUACACAAACCGCGACUAUGAAGCCGGUUUAGUGAACCGGAUGAAAGAGCGAUAUGAGAUAAAUACUGUUAACUCUGCAUAAUUAUUCCUCCCUUAUGUCCAAUUUCUAAUAUCAACUCCAGUAGCCCCCAAGGGCCGGUUUAUAAUACCAAUAUGAACCGGGACUUUGGUAAUACUUCAACUUUUGCCUGCAUAGCCCCCAAGGGCCGGUUUAUCUUUUCAAGAUGAAAUGGGACUUUAGAAUAUUAAUCCUUCAAUUUCACAUGUGUAGCCCCCAAGGGCCGGUUUAUCUUUUGAAGAUGAACCGAGACUUUAUCCUAGGAAACUCAAAAUUGUUGUUUGAACAUCUUGGUAAACUGAUUAACCACCCUGCUGACUGAACAAAUAUGCAUUAGCCCCCAAGUGCCAAGAAUAAUACUUGAAUUAAGCUUGGGACUUGCAAUAAUUUUUUGAUAAAAAGCAAUAUGCAUUAGUGUUGGGGAACGUAGUAAUUUCAAAAAAAUUCCUACGCACACGCAUGAUCAUGGUGAUGCAUAGCAACGAGAGGGGAGACUGUUGUCCACGUACCCUCGUAGACCAAAAGCGAAAGCGUUAGCACAACGCGGUUGAUGUAGUCGUACGUCUUCACGAUCCGACCGAUCCAAGUACCGAACGUACGACACCUCCGAGUUCAGCACACGUUCAACUCGAUGACGUCCCGCGAACUCCGAUCCAGCAAAGCUUCACGGGAGAGUUCCGUCAGCACGACGGCGUGAUGACGGUGAUGAUGUUCCUAUCGACGCAGGGCUUCGCCUAAGCACUGCUACGAUAUGACCGAGGUGGAAUAUGGUGGAGGGGGGCACCGCACAUGGCUGGAAUAGAUCAAUAGAUCAACUUGUGUCUAGAGGUGCCCCCCGCCCCCGUAUAUAAAGGAGCAAGGGGGAGGCGGCCGACCAGGAGAAGGGCGUGCCAAGGGGGGAGUCCUACUCCCACCGGGAGUAGGACUCCUCCUUUUCCUUGUUGGAGUAGGAGAGGGAAGGAAGGAAGACAGGAGGAGAAGGAAAAAGGAGGGUGCCGCCCCCCUCCUUGCCCUGGCUGCCCCUCCUCUUCUCUCACUAAGGCCCAUGAAGCCCAAUUAACUCCCCGGGGGGUUCCGGUAACCCCCCGGAACUCCGGGUUUUCUCCAAAACCACUCGGAACACUUCCGUUGUCCGAAUAUAGUCGUCCAAUAUAUCAAUCUUUAUGUCUCGACCAUUUCGAGACUCCUUGUCAUGUCCGUGAUCAUAUCUGGGACUCUGAACUACCUUCGGUACAUCAAAACACAAAACUCAUAAUACCGAUCGUCACCAAACUUUAAGCGUGCGGACCCUACGGGUUCGAGAACUAUGUAGACAUGACCGAGACAUGUCUCCGGUCAAUAACCAAUAGCGGAACCUGGAUGCUCAUAUUGGCUCCUACAUAUUCUACGAAGAUCUUUAUCGGUCAAACCGCAUAACAACAUACGUUGUUCCCUUUGUCAUCGGUAUGUUACUUGCCCGAGAUUCGAUCGUCGGUAUAUCAAUACCUAGUUCAAUCUUGUUACCGGCAAGUCUACUCAUUCUGUAAUGCAUCGUACCAUAACUAACUCAUUAGUCACAUUUAUUGCAAGGCUUAUAGUGAUGUGCAUUACCGAGAGGGCCCAGACAUACCUCUCCGACAAUCAGAGUGACCAAUCCUAAUCUCGAAAUACGCCAACUGAACAAGUACCUUCGGAGACACCUGUAGAGCACCUUUAUAAUCACCCAGUUACGUUGUGACGUUUGGUAGCACAAAAAGUGUUCCUCCGGUAAACGGGAGUUGCAUAAUCUCAUAGUCAUAGGAACAUGUAUAAGUCAUGAAGAAAGCAAUAUCAACAUACUAAACGAUCAAAUGCUAAGCUAACGGAAUGGGUCAAGUCAAUCACAUCAUUCUCCUAAUGAUGUGAUCCCGUUAAUCAAAUGACAACUCAUGUCCAUGGCUAGGAAACUCAACCAUCUUCGAUUAACGAGCUAGUCAAGUAGAGGCAUACUAGUGACACUAUGUUUGUCUAUGUAUUCACAAAUGUAUUAUGUUUUUGGUUAAUACAAUUCUAGCAUGAAUAACAAACAUUUAUCAUGAUAUGAGGAAAUAAAUAUUAACUUUAUUAUUGCCUCUAGGGCAUAUUUCCUUCAGUCUCCCACUUGCACUAGAGCCAAUAAUCUAGAUUACACAGUAAUGUUUCUAACACCCAUGGAGUUUUGGUGCUGAUCAUGUUUUGCUCGUGGAAGAGGCUUAGUCAACGGGUCUGCAACAUUCAGAUCCGUAUGUAUCUUGUAAAUCUCUAAGUCUCCCACCUGGACUUGGUCCCGGAUGGAAUUAAAGCGUCUCUUGAUGUGCUUGGUCCUCUUGUGAAAUCUGGAUUCCUUUGCCAAGGCAAUUGCACCAGUAUUGUCACAAAAGAUUUUCAUUGGACCUGAUGCACUAGGUAUGACACUUAGAUCGGAUAUGAAGUCCUUCAUCCAGACUCCUUCAUUUGCUGCUUCGGAAGCAGCUAUGUACUCCGUUUCACAUAUAGAUCCCGCCACGACGCUUUGUUUAGAACUGCACCAACUGACAGCGCCACCAUUCAAUGUAAACACGUAUCCGGUUUGCGAUUUAGAAUCGUCCGGAUCAGUGUCAAAGCUUGCAUCGACGUAACCAUUUAUGACCAGCUCUUUGUCACCUCCAUAAACGAGAAACAUAUCCUUAGUCCUUUUCAGGUAUUUCAGGAUGUUCUUGACCGUUGUCCAGUGAUCCACUCCUGGAUUACUUGGGUAUCUCCCUGCUAGGUUAAUAGCAAGACACACAUCAGGUCUGGUACACAGCAUUGAAUACAUGAUAGAGCCUAUGGCUGAAGCAUAGGGAACAUCUUUCAUUUUCUCUCUAUCUUCUGCAGUGGUCGGGCAUUUAGUCUGACUCAACUUCACACCUUGUAACACAGGAAAGAACCCUUUCUUUGCUUGAUCCAUUUUGAACUUCUUCAAAACUUUCUCCACGUUUGUGCUUUGUGAAAGUCCUAUCAAGCGUCUUGAUCUAUCUCUAUAGAUCUUGAUGCCUAAUAUGUAAGCAGCUUCACCGAGGUCUUUCAUUGAAAAACUCUUAUUCAAGUAUCCUUUUAUGCUAUCCGGAAAUUCUAUAUCAUUUCCAAUCAGCAAUAUGUCAUCCACAUAUAAUAUCAGAAAUGCUACAGAGCUCCCACUCACUUUCUUGUAAAUACAGGCUUCUCCAAAAGUCUGUAUAAAACCAUAUGCUUUGAUCACACUAUCAAAACAUUUAUUCCAACUUUGAGAGGCUUGCACCAGUCCAUAAAUGGGUCGUUGGAGCUUGCACACUUUGUUAGCUCCCUUUGGAUCGACAAAACCUUUUGGUUGCAUCAUAUACAACUCUUCUUCCUGAAAUCCAUUCAGGAAUGCAGUUUUGACAUCCAUUUGCCAAAUUUCAUAAUCAUAAAAUGCGGCAAUAGCUAACAUGAUUCGGACAGACUUAAGCAUCGGUACGGGUGAGAAAGUCUCAUCGUAGUCAAUCCCUUGAACUUGUCAAAAACCUUUCGUAACAAGUUGGCUUUAUAGAUAGUAACAUUACCGUCAGCGUCAGUCUUCUUCUUGAAGAUCCAUUUAUUCUCAAUGGCUUGCCGAUCAUCGGGCAAGUCAACCAAAGUCCACACUUUGUUCUCAUACAUGGAUCCCAUCUCAGAUUUCAUGGCCUCAAGCCAUUUUGCGGAAUCUGGGCUCACCAUCGCUUCUUCAUAAUUCGUAGGUUCGCCUUGGUCAAGUAACAUGACCUCUAGAAUUGGAUUACCAUACCACUCUGGUGCUGAUCUUACUCUACUUGACCUACGAGGUUCAGUAGUAACUUGAUCUGAAGUUUCAUGAUCAAUACCAUUAGCUUCCUCACUAAUUGGUGUAGGUGUCACAGGAACCGGUUUCUGUGAUGAACUACUUUCCAAUAAGGGAGCAGGUACAGCUACCUCAUCAAGUUCUACUUUCCCCCCACUCACUUCUUUCGAGAGAAACUCCUUCUCUAGAAAGGAUCCAUUCUUAGCAACGAAUGUCUUGCCUUCGGAUCUAUGAUAGAAGGUGUACCCAGCAAUUUCCUUUGGGUAUCCUAUGAAGACACAUUUCUCCGAUUUGGGUUCGAGCUUAUCAGGUUGAAGCUUUUUCACAUAAGCAUCGCAGCCCCAAACUUUAAAAAACGACAACUUUGAUUUCUUGCCAAACCACAGUUCAUAAGGCGUCGUCUCAACGGAUUUCGAUGGUGCCCUAUUUAACGUGAAUGCAGCAGUCUCUAAAGCAUAACCCCAAAACGAUAGUGGUAAAUCAGUAAGGGACAUCAUAGAUCGCAGCAUAUCUAGUAAAGUACGAUUAUGACGUUCAGACACACCAUUACGCUGUGGUGUUCUGGGUGGCGUGAGUUGCGAAACUAUUCCGCAUUGUUUCAAAUGUAGACCAAACUCGUAACUCAAAUAUUCUCCUCCACGAUCAGAUCGUAGAAACUUUAUUUUCUUGUUACGAUGAUUUUCCACUUCACUCUGAAAUUCUUUGAACUUUUCAAAUGUUUCAGACUUAUGUUUCAUUAAGUAGAUAUACCCAUAUCUGCUCAAAUCAUCUGUGAAGGUGAGAAAAUAACGAUACCCGCCGCGAGCCUCAACAUUCGUUGGACCACAUACAUCAGUAUGUAUGAUCUCCAACAAAUCUGUUGCUCGCUCCAUUGUUCCAGAGAACGGCAUUUUAGUCAUCUUUCCCAUAAGGCAUGGUUCGCAAGUACCAAGUGAUUCAUAAUCAAGUGAUUCCAAAAGUCCAUCAGCAUGGAGUUUCUUCAUGCGCUUUACACCAAUAUGACCCAAACGGCAGUGCCACAAAUAAGUUGCACUAUCAUUAUCAACUCUGCAUCUUUUGGCUUCAACAUUAUGAAUAUGUGUAUCACUACUAUCGAGAUUCAACAAAAAUAGACCACUCUUCAAGGGUGCAUGACCAUAAAAGAUAUUACUCAUAUAAAUAGAACAACCAUUAUUCUCAGAUUUAAAUGAAUAACCGUCUCGCAUAAAACAAGAUCCAGAUAUAAUGUUCAUGCUUAACGCGGGCACCAAAUAACAAUUAUUUAGGUCUAAAACUAAUCCCGAAGGUAGAUGUAUAGGUAGUGUGCCGACGACGACCACAUCGACUUUGGAACCAUUUCCCACGCGCAUCGUCACCUCAUCCUUAGCCAGUCUUCACUUAAUCCGUAGUCCCUGUUUCAAGUUGCAAAUAUUAGCAACAGAACCAGUAUCAAAUACCCAGGUGCUACUGCAAGCUCUAGUAAGGUACACAUCAAUAACAUGUAUAUCACAUAUACCUUUGUUCACCUUGCCAUCCUUCUUAUUCACCAAAUACUUGGGGCAGUUCCGCUUCCAGUGACCAGUCUGCUUGCAGUAGAAGCACUUAGUCUCAGGCUUAGGUCUAGACUUGGGUUUCUUCUCUUGAGCAACAACUUGUUUGCUGUUCUUCUUAAAGUUCCCCUUCUUCUUCCCUUUGCCCUUUUUCUUCAAACUGGUGGUCUUGUUGACCAUCAACACUUGAUGCUCCUUCUUGAUUUCUACCUCCGCAACUUUUAGCAUUGCGAAGAGCUCGGGAAUUGUCUUAUCCAUCCCUUGCGUAUUAUAGUUCAUCACGUAGCUCUUGUAGCUCGGUGGCAGUGAUUGAAGAAUUCUGUCAAUGACACUAUCAUCCGGAAGAUUAACUCCCAGUUGAAUCAAGUGAUUGUUAUACCUAGACAUAUUGAGUAUAUGUUCACUGACAGAACUAUUCUCCUCCAUCUUGCAGCUGUAGAACUUAUUGGAGACUUCAUAUCUCUCAAUCCGGGCAUUAGCUUGAAAUAUUAACUUCAACUCCUGGAACAUGUCAUAUGCUCCAUGACGUUCAAAACAUCGUUGAAGUCCCGGUUCUAAGCCGUAAAGCAUGGCACACUGAACUAUCGAGUAGUCAUCAGCUUUGCUCUGCUAGACAUUCUUAACAUCGUCAGUUGCAUCUGCAGCAGGCCUGGAACCCAGCGGUUCCUCAAGUUACGGACCCAGUCCGUGUAAUUGCUACCAUCAUCUUUCAACUUUGCUUUCUCAAGGAACGCAUUAAAAUUCAACGGAACAACAACACGGGCCAUCUAUCUACAAUCAACAUAGACAAGAAAAAUACUAUCAGGUACUAAGUCCAUGAUAAAUUUAAGUUCAAUUAAUCAUAUUACUUAAGAACUCCCACUUAGAUAGACAUCCCUCUAAUCAUCUAAGUGAUCACGUGAUCCAAAUCAACUAAACCAUGUCCGAACAUCACGUGAGAUGGAGUAGUUUUCAAUGGUGAACAUCACUAUGUUGAUCAUAUCUACUAUAUGAUUCAUGCUCGACCUUUCGGUCUCAGUGUUCCGAGGCCAUAUCUGCAUAUGCUAGGCUCGUCAAGUUUAACCCGAGUAUUCUGCGUGUGCAAAACUGGCUUGCACCCGUUGUAGAUGAACGUAGAGCUUAUCAGACCCGAUCAAAACGUGGUGUCUCGGCACGAUGAACUUUGGCAACGGUGCAUACUCAGGGAGAACACUUUUAUCUUGAAAUUUAGUGAGAGAUCAUCUUAUAAUGCUACCGUCAAUCAAAGCAAAAUAAGAUGCAUAAAAGAUAAACGUCACAUGCAAUCAAUAUAAGUGAUAUGAUAUGGCCAUCAUCAUCUUGUGCUUGUGAUCUCCAUCUCCGAAGCACCGUCAUGAUCACCAUCAUCACCGGCACGACACCUUGAUCUCCAUCAAAGCAUCAUUGUCGUCUCGCCAACUAUUGCUUGUGCAACUAUCGCUACCGCUUAGUGAUAAAGUAAAGCAAUUACAGGACGAUUGCAUUGCAUACAAUAAAGCGACAACCAUAUGGCUCCUGCCAGUUGCCGAUAACUCGGUUACAAAACAUGAUCAUCUCAUAAAAUAAAAUAUAACAUCAUGCCUUGACCAUAUCACAUCACAACAUGCCCUACAAAAACAAGUUAGACAUCCUCUACUUUGUUGUUGCAAUUUUAUGUGGCUGUUAUGGGCUGAGCAAGAACCGUUCUUACCUACGCAUCAAAACCACAACGAUAGUUCGUCAAGUUAGUGUUGUUUUAACCUUCUCAAGGACCGGGCGUAGCCAUACUCGGUUCAACUAAAGUCGGAGAAAAUGACACCCACCAACCACCUGUGUGCAAAGCACGUCGGUAGAACCAGUCUUGCGUAAGCGUACGCGUAAUGUCGGUCCGGGCCGCUUCAUCCAACAAUACCGCCGAACCAAAGUAUGACAUGCUGGUAAGCAGUAUGACUUGUAUCGCCCACAACUCACUUGUGUUCUACUCGUGCAUAUAACAUCUACGCAUAAAACCUGGCUUUGAUACCACUAUUGGGGAACGUAGUAAUUUCAAAAAAUUUCCUACGCACACGCAUGAUCAUGGUGAUGCAUAGCAAUGAGAGGGGAGAGUGUUGUCCACGUACCCUCGUAGACCGAAAGCGGAAGCGUUAGCACAACACGGUUGAUGUAGUCGUACGUCUUCACGAUCCCACCGAUCCAAGUACCGAACGUACGGCACCUCCGAGUUCAGCACACGUUCAGCUCGAUGACAUCCCGCGAACUCCGAUCCAGCAGAGCUUCACCGGGGAGUUCCGUCAGCACGACGGCGUGAUGACGGUGAUGAUGUUACUACCGACACAGGGCUUCGCCUAAGCACCACUACGAUAUGACCGAGGUGGAAUAUGGUGGAGGGUGCAUCGCACACGGCUGAAAUAUAUCAAAAGAUCAACUUGUGUCAAGAGGUGCCCCUGCCCCCGUAUAUAAAGGAGCAAGGGGGGACGGCCAGCCAGGAGGAGGGCGCACCAAGGGGGGAGUUCUACUCCCACCGAGAGUAGGACUCCUCCUUUUCCUUGUUGGAGUAGGAGAGGGAAGGAAGGGAGAGAGGAGGAGAUGGAAAAAGGGGGGCACCGCCUCCCUCCUUGUCCAAUUCAGACUAGAGGGGGAGGGGGCGCGCGGCUGCCCCUCCUCUUCUCCCACUAAGGCCCAUGAAUCCCAAUUAACUCCCUGGGGGGUUCCGGUAACCCCCCGGUACUCUGGUUUUUCUCCGAAACCACUCGGAACACUUCCGGUGUCCGAAUAUAGUCGUCCAAUAUAUCGAUCUUUACAUCUCGGCCAUUUUGAGACUCUUCGUCAUGUCCGUGAUCAUAUUCGGGACUCGAAACUACCUUCGGUACAUCAAAACACAAAAACUCAUAAUACCGAUCGUCACCAAACUUUAAGCGUGCGGACCCUACGGGUUCGAGAACUAUGUAGACAUGACCGAGACAUGUCUCCGGUCAAUAACCAAUAGAGGAACCUAGAUGCUCAUAUUGGCUCCUACAUAUUCUAUGAAGAUCUUUAUCGGUCGAACCGCAUAACAACAUACGUUGUUCCCUUUGUCAUCGGUAUGUUACUUGCCCGAGAUUCGAUCGUCGGUAUCUCAAUACCUAGUUCAAUCUCGUUACCGGCAAGUCUCUUUACUCAUUCCGUAAUGCAUCAUCCCGAAACUAACUCAUUAGUCACAUUGCUUGCAAGGCUUAUAGUGAUGUGCAUUUCCGAGAGGGCCCAAAGAUACCUCUCCGACAAUCGGAGUGACAAAUCCUAAUCUCAAAAUACGCCAACUCAGCAAGUACCUUUAAAGACACCUGUAGAGCACCUUUAUAAUCACCCAGUUACGUUGUGACAUUUGGUAGCACACAAAGUGUUCCUCCAGUAAACGGGGUUGCAUAGUGUCAUAGUCAUAGGAACAUGUAUAAGUCAUGAAGAAAGCAAUAGCAACAUACUAAAUGAUCAAGUGCUAAGCUAACGGAAUGUGUCAAGUCAAUCACAUCUUUCUCCUAGCGAUGUGAUCCCAUUAAUCAAAUGACAAAUCAUGUCCAUGGCUAGGAAACUCAACCAUCUUCGAUUAACGAGCUAGUCAAGUAGAGGCAUACCAGUGACACUAUGUUUGUCUAUGUAUUCACACAUGUAUUAUGUUUCCGGUUAAUACAAUUCUAGCAUGAAUAAUAAACAUUUAUCAUGUUAUGAGGAAAUAAAUAGUAACUUUAUUAUUGCCUCUGGGGCAUAUUUCCUUCAAUUAGCCCCCAAGUGCCAAGUGUAUAACUUGUUAUGUGCUUGGUACUUCAAAUAUGUACUGUUAACUUAUAACAUGGAUGUCUCUUAUAGGCUGAGCUGAGAAAAAAAGAAUCCCAAACCGCUGACCUUCAAGGAAAUAUCAAGUCCCAACAAGCAGAAAUCUCCAAGGCCAAAGAGGAGCUGACCAGUGCCUUAGCAGCCAUGGAGAAACUCAAGGAGAUAUUUAAAAGCGAGCGGGCUGUCUGGGAUAUAGAGAAAGCGACUCUGCUGAAGAGGGCUGAGGACGCUGAAGCAUCUCUUAAUCCAGUAACAAAAGAGCUGACUGGCUUGAAGCACCAAAUAAAUGCCAUGACUUCAGCUGUUUUUGGUAAAGAACCUCUUCCUAAGCUUAAACAUGUAUUAUCCCAUAAACUGCCGGUUUACCCAUGUUUGAGACGAUGCAGGAUCUCACAUUACUCAUCUUGGCUCCGACAUGCAGAAGAAAUUAAAGGCUGCAUAUACUCUUAUAGAGCAAUUAUAUACCGGUGCACAACAGAUCAUCUGUAUCGCCUCUCAUAACAAACCACCCCAACCUUGAUCAAGGAAACAUUAGAGAGGCUGUCGAUGCUACCUGCCUGGUUUGAAGAGUUAAAAAGAUCAGCUGCAAGGGCAGGUGCUCUGAUCGCGCUAACCCGGGCUAAAGCAUGGAUACCAGAUCUUGACCCGGCUGACGUGGGAAAUGGCUAUCUAAGCAUAAAGGAGGACGGGUCAGAUUUUGACAAUGAUGAUCUUCGAGCUUUGACGAAGGAAAUGCGCCCAUUAGCUAGCAAAUUGGCUGAAGAGACUGAUCUUUCUCAUUACCAGUCAAUUUAUGGCACCGACAACAAACGGGUUAAUGCGGCAACUUAUGAUGUGCAAAAUAUUAUCCCGCCAAUCCGUAAGCAUUCCUACGCCCCUGAUGUUGAGCCCUCCACACUUAUAAGCGAUGAAGCUAUAUUCAAGGACCUAACUAGAAUCGAUUGGACAACCAUUGACUUCCAGCCGGUGGGUGGAGAGGAGGAGGAUGAACCGGUGUAGGAUGAUCCACAACCUUCAAGACAGCCCGACGAAGAUUCAUGAACCGGAGGCCAGUUUAGCUUCUGCAUACUGCAACACUUGUUGAAAACAAUUAUCCUUUUAGGCAUCAAAGCACCUUGUAAUAGGCUAGUUUAAACGCUUGGUCUGCUAUGCCAUCGUGCAUAUUCACUUUGCAUGACACUGUUAAUCCGCCAUGAUUAAAAUAUGCUAUGUCUGCUUAUGAUCCUUAGCAGCUUAUUCAAUCUGUUCCUGCAUACAACAGGUUUAAAGUGUCCUAGCGGUUUACCGCCGAACGGGUCAUAAUGCUCAACAUAUAGCCAUGGUUUAUAACCAAGGCUGUACUUAAGAAUAAUCAAAUAUGAAAUAUGUCAUACCUGUGAUAUUGAAUCACGUCGUUGGUUUACCAACUUAUUGUAGUAAGGGUGAUAACCCAAAUCCUGAGUAUUGAUAAUUCCUCCUUUUGCUAGUUUAUAGCAAAGUUGGACCGGUUUUAAUAAAUACCGGAUUAUUCUUAUAUCAUACUGGCGACUUGUAAUCGAAAACCAGGCCGGGUCAAUAAACACCGGGUUGUAGCUGAUCGUGCGCUGACGACUUAUAGUCGAAAGCCAAGCCGGGUCAAUAGACACCAGUUAUCUGUUAAAUUUGUACUGGCGAUUUAUAGUCAAAAUCCAGAUCAGGUCAAUAAACACCGGAUUAGUAUAAACCUCAUCAAAAUAAACUUUAGAAAGAAAGUUUUCAAAAGAAAACAUGUAAGAAGCGAUGCUUUUCAUGGGCUGUCAGGCCCAAAGCGAGGCUUUUCAUGGGCUGCCAGGCCACUCAGUUAAGCCGUUUUACAAACCUUAUAAGAUGGACCUCACAUUAACCAAUCGUGAUUUUAACUAUGACAAGUUCAGGGUCUGCAUAACCUUGACUUGUCAAAUGUUCGAUGGGUCUUACCAGGAUUACCUGGGCGGAGUGACUUACUUAACAAGGGAGGAUAACCUGGGGUUUUAGGUGAAUACACCUGGCUUCCAAGCCUGGUUUUAUAGCCUAUUACAAGGUUAUAGACUCGUUGUUCUUUAGAACAAAAGAGCCCCCAAGCAAUAUUUUGAGCUGUGCUCAAUGGGCGCCUAUGUUUGAGUUGUGCUUUUGCAACAAACUCUCUUUGGUCCCUUUUGACUUUUUUAUGUGUGGCCUAUAAGCCGGAUCAAUGGGCAAUCAGAACUAUGUUUUAUAAACAGAAGCCCUCAUGUAACCAAAAACUUUUAAGGAAAAAACGAUAGAGGCCCUGCUUUAGCAAGGAUGCCGGUUUAUUAUAUUGAUCAUAAUAUAUACAUUGUCAAGAAUAUGUACAUAAAAGGAGCCUAUGGCUCAGGUGUAGUAAGGUCGAAGAUGAGCAAUAUUCCACGGCCGGUGGGUCUCCUCCUCCGAUUUACGUGAGUCUUUGCGCUCUCGAACAUCGAUAAGGUAGUAUGACCCAUUGUUCAGAUUCUUGCUGACCACAAAGGGUCCUUCCCAAGGCGGGGAUAACUUGUGCAUAUCAGUCUGAUCCUGGAUGAGCCGGAGCACCAGAUCGCCUUCUUGAAAAGUUCUGGUUUUAACCCGGUGGCUGUGAUAAUGACGUAGAUCAUGCUGGUAAAUCGCUUAACGAGCCAUUGUAAUGUCACGCUCCUCAUCUAACAGGUCAAGUGCUUCCUGACGUGCUUUCUCAUUGUCGGCUUCAACAUAAGCCGCUACACGAGGUGAGUCAUGACAGAUGUCACUAGGGAGAACCACCUCUGCUCCGUAAACCAUGAAAAAGGUGUGUAACCCGUAGACCUAUUGGGGGUGGUAUUGAUGCUCCAUAACAUAGAAGGUAAGUCCUCCACCCAACAACCCGGCGUCCUCAGUAAUGUAACCAUAAGCCGGGGCUUGAUGCCUCUCAGGAUCUCUUGAUUGGUUCUCUCCGCUUGACCGUUAGAUUGGGGGUGAGCCACUGAUGAUACGUCAAGACGGACGUGCUCACGUUGACAAAAUUCUUUCAUAGCACCCUUGGACAGAUUAGUGCCAUUAUCAGUUAUGAUACUGUGGGGGAAACCAAAACGGAAAAUCUCUUUUUCAUGAACUGAACCACCAUCGCCGCGUCACAUUUACUGACCGGCUUUGGCUCAACCCACUUUGUAAACUUGUCAACCGCCACCAGAAGGUGUGUCUUUUUGUCCUUGGACCUCUUGAAAGGCCCAACCAUAUCAAGCCCCCAGAUUGCAAACAGCCAAAUAAUUGGAAUCAUCCUCAAUUCUUGAGACGGUACAUGGGCAUGUCGUGAGAAUUUCUGACAUCCAUCAAAUUUACUAACCAUCCUCAGCAUCAGCAUGAGCCGUCAGCCAAUAAAAUUUGUGACGAAAAGCCUUGGCCACAAGAGACUUUGAACCGGCAUGAUGACCACAAUCCCCUUCAUGAAUCUCACGCAGGAUCUCACGGCCCUCUUCUGGAGAAACACAAUGUUGAAAAGCUCUUGUAACACUGCAGUGAUGUAGCUCUCCAUUGACAAUUGUCAUUGACUUAGACCGUCGGGUUAUCUGUCUGGCUAAGAUUUCAUCCUCAGGUAAUUUAGCCCGGGUCAUAUAAGCCAAAUAAGGGACCGCCCAAUCAGGAAUGGCAUGAACCGCCACCACCAACUGGGCUUUCGGGUCAGGAAUAGCCAAAUCCUCCUUCGUAGGUAACUUAACUGACGGGUUAUGCAAGACAUCAAGAAAGACAUUAGGCGGCACUGGUUUACAUAGAGAACCCAACCGACUUAAGGCAUCGGCCGCUUCAUUUUUCCUCCGAUCAAUAUGCUCAACUUGAUAACCUUUGAAGUAACCAGCAAUAAUAUCCACUUCUCAUUGAUAAGCCGCCAUGAGUGGAUCCUUAGAUCCCACUUACCAGAGACUUGGUUAGCUACUAAACCGGAGUCACCAAAGCAUCUCACCAGGCUUAAGUUCAUCUCCUUAGCCAUCCGAAGACCAUGAAGUAAGGCCUCAUAUUCAGCUACAUUGUUAGUACAAGGAAACAUCAACCGGAGAACAUAACAAAAUUUAUCACCUCGAGAGGAAGCAAGCACAACUCCAGCCCCGAGCCUUCCAGUUGCCUAGACCCAUCAAAAUGAAUUGUCCAGUACGUGUUAUCUGGUUUAUCUUCAGGCGCCUGCAACUCUGUCCAGUCAUUGAUAAAAUCCACGAGCGCUUGUGACUUGAUGGCCGUGCGAGGCACAUACUUCAGACCAUGGGGUCCAAGCUCAGAGGCCCACUUGGCAACUCAUCCUAUGGCUUCUCUAUUUGAAUGAUAUCUCCCAAAGGAGCAGAGCUGACCACCGUAAUAGGAUGUCCCUGAAAGUACUGCUUGAGCUUUCUGCUGGCCAUGAACACCCCGUAUACCAGCUUCUGCCAGUGCAGAUACCUCUGCUUAGACUCGAUAAGCACCUCGCUAACGUAGUAAACCGGUCUCUGAACCGGGUAUUCUUUGCCUGCCUCCUUCCAUCCCAAAAGGCAUAAACACAUAACAGAAGGCUCCAAACGGAGUUAUGAAUGUCGUCUUAUCCUGGUCCUUAACUGCUCUUGAUCUGAUAAUAACCAGAGUAAGCAUCCAGAAAACUCAAAAGCUCACAACCCGCCGUAGCAUCAAUAAUCUGAUCAAUACGAGGGAGAGCAAAGGGAUCAGCCGGACAAGCCUUGUUCAAAUCUGUGUAGUCCACACACAUACGCCAAGUGCCGUUAGUACUAGCACCGGGUUAGCUAACCACUCAAGGUGAAAAACCUCCACAAUGAACCCUGCUACCAAGAGCCGGGCUACCUCCUCACCAAUAGCCUUGCGCCUUUCUUCAUUGAAGCGGCGGAGAAACCGCCUGACCGGUUUAAACUUGGGAUCGAUGUUAAGAGUGUGCUCAGCAAGUUCCCUCGGUACACCUGGCAUGUCAGAAGGUUUCCAUGCAAAGAUGUCCCGGUUCUCACGGAUGAACUCGAUGAGCGCGCUUUCCUAUUUCGGAUCCAGAUUAGCACUGAUGCUAAGCUGCUUGGAUGAAUCGCCAGGAACAAAAUCAACUAACUUAGUCUCAUCGUCCAAUUUAAACUUCAAGGCCGGAUCAUGCUCUGUAGUUGGCUUUUUCAAAGAAGUCAUAUCCGCCGGAUCAACAUUGUCCUUAUAAAACUUCAACUCCUCUGUUGCACAAACCGACUCAGCAUAAGCCGCAUCUCCUUCUUUAUAUUCCAAAGCUAUCUUACGGCUCCCAUGUACCGUGAUAGUCCCCUUAUGACCCGGCAUCUUGAGCUGCAGAUAAACAUAACAGGGCCUUGCCAUGAACUUAGCAUAAGCCGGCCGUCCAAACAGGGCAUGAUAAGGGCUCUUGAUUUUCACCACUUCAAAGGUCAAUGUCUCUGAUCUAGAGUCAUGAUCAUCUCCAAAAGCAACCUCCAGGGCUAUCUUACCGACUGGAUACACCGACUUACCAGGCACCACACCAUGGAAAACAGUGUUCGACGGUUUGAGAUUUUUAUCUGUCAACCCCAUGCGACGGAAGGUUUCAUAAUAGAGAAUAUUGAUUUGGUUAUCUGUCAACCCCAACAGUUAUCACUCCGUUUUAUAAUUGUUUGGUGCUAAUCAAUAUACUAUGUGAUUUAUUUUUUGCGAUGAAUAAAAUAUAAGUUUUUAGUACAACAUUUCAGAACUGGGUAUCUAAGGAAGUAAUUCAUUACCAACACCUUUAUUACAAGCAUACACGAAAGCGUGUAGGUUGGUCGCAAAAGGAUGACAGUUUGACCAAAAAAGAGAGGCUAUUUAGAUGAUCUGUCGGGUCAUAGACAAGUACAAAAUGGGGACUAUGUCGACAUUUGGUUAUCAAUUGCAGCAAUCCCACUUCACAUUUAAUAAAAUUAUAGCCACAAAAGUGCACCAGUGCAAAGAUGAAAAAAAUGUAUGAAUUGCAAUAGUACCUCGAGGAAUGGUCUUGUGGUUGGUGACUUACCCUGCAACCAGCACUCUUGAUAUGCCUGCUCAAAAUUCCUGCCCAUUUGCAGUCUUACACAGAAUGACCAUGUGACAAUAUUUACAUUCUACCUCCACAAGGAUUCCAUUACCAUCUCUUAUGAUUACGAAAAUGGUCACAUGCAUGCCUUGGAGCAUUGCUUCUUGCCACGACUGCUACUUGUUAGCGGUAUAUCAACAUGAACCAUCGAUGUCGAAAUGGUUGUACACAAUCAUAUAAGUAUUGACAUGGUCCUUGGGAUGGUGAAACUCCCUUGCUUCUUUACAUUUUGAAACCAGAACAUGCCAAAAGUUGCAUGUUCAGUAAGACUCCCAGGGCUCACAAGCCCAAGCAAGUUUUUUUUUGCACGGGAAACAAAUUAGGAUAUCGAGAGUUUCAGCACAACACUAACUGGUAUGAACUGACCAAAACAUUUCACAGUAUCACCUACAGAAAGAAACUCAGAUAAAUUCCAGUUUCACCGUGUUUUGCGAUAUAAAGCCAUGGGCACAGGGACGGGUUUGUGAAAGUGCUACUAUCGACUAGAGGGGGGGGUGAAUAGGCGAUUUUUAUGAAAGUCUUCAAAGCUUGGAAGUUUCGAAGACAAACAACAGAAAUGACCUAAUUGUUAUGCAGCGGAAGAUAAACUACCCUAAGCAAGCCAUAGUCAAGUAUGCAAUGAUGUGAAAGUACAGGACUAAUAGCAGUUAGAUAGUAAGGAUCAGGAAGGAAGAUGGUAUGAAGCCAAUCAACAGUAGUAGUCAAGCAAUGAAGUCAAACAGAUACACAGAUAGGCAAUGACUUCACGAAGACAAACUAAAGUAAGGUUGGGAAGGGAUAGAACCAGUUGCUUGUUGAAGACACAUGAUUUGUUAGACCAGUUCCAGUUGCUGUGACAACUGUACGUCUGGUUAGGGAGGCUGAGAUUUAACUCAGAAGACCGUGUCUUCACCUUAUUCCCCUUGAGCUAAGGACACCCAGUCCUCGCCCAAUCACUCUGGUAAGUCUUCAAGGGAGACUUCCAAACCUUCACAGACUUCGUUCACCGGCAAUCCACAAUGACUCUUGGAUGCUCAGAACGCGACGCCUAACCGGCUGGAGGAUUCACAGUCCUCAAGUGUAAUAAGUCUUCAGGUCACACAGACAGAAAGACUUCAGUGAUGCCUAACACUUUUUGGCUCUGGGUGUUUGGGCUUUGUCCUCGCAAGGAUUUUUCUCUCUCUCAAAAGCUUCGAGGUGGGUUGCUCUCAAACGACAAAAGCCGUGCACAAACUCUAAGCAGCCGCCAAUUUAUGGUGUAGGGGUGGGCUAUUUAUAGCCACUAGCCCGACCUGAUUUGUCCAAAAUGACCCUAGGUCACUAAGGAACUGACACGUGUUUCAACGGUCAGAUUUCAAACACACACGACAACUUUACUUGGGCUACAAGCAAAGCUGACUCAUCCAGCUCUGGAUAAGGUUUGCUCUCAUUGUCUUCACUCGAAGACAUAGGAUUUGAGUUGAUCAUCACUUCAGUCACUCUGACUUAGUUCACUUGGACCCCACUUAAUAGUACGGUGGUUCUUAUGACUCAACAAAGAAGAAAAGGAAGCAACGAAACCACACAGUCUUCGUGCUCCAUAGUCUUCACGCAAUGUCUUCUCAUGUCAUAGUCUUCAAUAUGAAUAUCUUCUCAUACCACCAUUGUCUUCAAUGUCUUCAUACAUUUUUAGGGGUCAUAUCCGGUAGGUAAACCGAAUCGAUGAGGGACACUACCUGCAUUAUCCUGCAAUUCUCACAAACGCAUUAGUCCCUCAACCAAUUUGUCGUCAAUACUCCAAAACCAACUAGGGGUGGCACUAGAUGCACUUACAAUCUCCCCCUUUUUGGUGAUUGAUGACAAACUGGUUGAAGUUUUCAACGGGGAUAAAUAUGUGAAAUUGUAAGCAUAGGAAAUUGUCUUCAUAAGUUGCAAGGGCUCCCCCUGAAGAUGUGCAUAUAAGUAAUUUGCUUUUGGAAUGCAAAUGCACAUGGCAGGUUGUACUUGUGGAGAUCCACUUCAACUUAUGAAGAUAGUUCAUCAUGCAUGAAAUGAUAUAGCAAGUAGAAUGACAUGCAUAAUGAAAAAUGGAUGUCUGCAGAAUGAUCUAAGUGCGGAAGUUAUCAUCGCACAUGCGGAAUUUAUCAUCGCAUCACAGUGAAGCAAAUAAGUAGCAGACGACCAUCAAGUUUAGGUGUUACAACUCAGAGAACCAAAUGUUUCAAAAGCAAGAGUUAAGCAAGAGUUGUAAGCACGAGGUAAAAUAUGAUGCAACCGUCCAUAUGAACCCGCUUGAAGACUAUCAACUCAUACGCUUCUCCCCCUUUUGUCAGUAAGGACCAAAAAGGUUUGAAGACAUAGAGCAUCUACUCGUCCUCAUGAGUAGGUGAAGCAGCAGGGUUGUCGUCGUUGGUUGGCGGUGCAGAUGAACUUGGUGUAGUGUCAAUGCGCGCAGUAGUAGGAGGUGGUGAAGUAGCAUCAUCUUCAUCCUCGAUCACUCUGGCAUUUACCGUUGCCGCGGAGGAAGAGUAUUCAGAGUCUUCAAGAGAUGGAGUGCGACGUAGGACAGCAGUCCGUGGAGGAGUGGAGUCAAACUGGAAUCUUUCAUUGAAGCCAUCGUCUUGAAGAUCAGCUUCAGCACUGAGCAGGGUCAAACUCUUCCAUGAUCGCCAGCAAGUUUCAUGAGCAACAAAGGCAUUCUUGGUGGCAAGGUUGCGAAUGCGAUUGACAUCCACCAAGAGGCUUUGCAUCUGUCUCUUGAGCCAGAAAUGAUGCUUAUCCUGUUUCUGAUGAAGGGCCACAAGAAGUUCUCGGUCAUUGAGAACGCAAGAACACUUCUGAGGCCUUUGUGCAAUGGUGCUUUCAGUGGCUUCAGUAGGUGCUCGAUGAGGCAGACGAGUAUUUCCAGCCAAUGGAUAGAUUCGUGUCGCUUCUUGAACACCUUCAAUGGGUUGAGUGAAGCUCUAGUGCUCGGCAUUCUGAAGACAAAGAGGCCUCUUGGCAGGGUCAGAGUAUAUAGCUUCAACUGACAUAUCAACCUCUGGUAAAAAGAUCAUAUGAUUGCGAGUAGAGGGCUGAUAGUUGACAGAUGAGUGUCUCUUGAUGAGGCGCAUGACCCAUGGAGCAUAAAACUUCAAACCAAAUAGGUCAUAGCCAGAAGCAGCAAGUUGCCUAAUGAAGAAUUCAUGAGUGUUGAAGCUGAUGCCAUUGAGAAUAUAGAAGACCAAAGUCUUCAUAGCUCCUUCAAGCUUGGCCGCUGAUGAAUGUCCUUUGACAGGCCAUGGAGUUCGCCUGAUGAUAUGAUAUAUGGUGUGAGGAAGAUACUCAAGGUCUUCAACAAAAAACUCUGUUGGAUAUUUAGCAUUAGAUGGCAAGGGCUUCAUCAUGCUCAACAUCUGGCUCAUAUUGGGUUCUGGCUUAUGGAAGAUACUCUCCACUGCAUUGCGAUGUAGCUGACAGUCAGGUUCAUAUAGUUCUCCAGGAGUGGCUAGCCCUGUAAGCUCGAUGAUAUCCAUAGCUUUGGCUUCAUGAUGAACAUUUCCAGUCAUCCACUCAAGAACCCAUGUCUUGAUGUCUCUAUAGUAGCCGCGAAUGUGUAGAGUAGCAAAGAAUUGAAGCAACAGCUCUUCAUUCCAAUGUUCUUUGUCUGUCACAAAGUGGAGCAGACCAGCAUCACGAAAGCAAUCAAGUGCUUCUUCUAAGCACGACAGUCCAACAAUGGCUUCAGUAUCAAGGCGCAUAUGAGGGAAAAUGCGCCCUUGAUCAUAUAGAACGCAAGAUUAAUAGCUUCUCUGCUGAUAGCUCCAAAACCGAUCUGAUGAUAUCCUUGGCUUGGAGUAGGGGUUCUUGGCGCUGUCAAAGAAGGUAUUGUGGCUUGUGAAGCCAUUUGCAUUGAAGGACCCUGGUGAGUUUGCAGUACCUGGAAACCUUGGCAACCUAGGCUUUGGCUUCUGGACUUGUGGUCUAUGCUCAACAUGAUAGUCAAAUUGAGGUCCUGAGGCAGUAGGCAGAGGCACCAGAAUGGGCCAUCGGACAGUGGUAAGCUGACCAUGACUGUAUGCUUUCUCAAUUGUGUGAGGCCUUGGUGGCAGAACAAGAGCAGGGGCAACAGCUAAGGCGUCAGGCUGCACAACAGGUGCUUCAGGCACACUAGUUGGUGCAGGCUCCACAUUAGCGUCAGCCAUGACUACGUCAUUGGCUUCAUUGGCGUUGGCGGUGGCAGCCUCAACAUUGUCAACCUCCUCUUGACGAACAGGAGGGUCGGGAACAGGCACGUUCACAUCAGGAACUGCUUCUUCUUCAAUUACUGGGGGAGUAGGUACACGUACUUCUUCUUGAUUUUCCACGGCUGAUGCAGCCGGAAUGUCUUCAGCAGCAUGUGCUUCAGACUCGGAGACAUUCACAGUUGGAGCAGGUUCAGAAAAUACUUGACGUGCAACAGGUGAACGUUGCACUUCUCCUUCUGGAGCGCUCGAUAGAGGGACUUGAGGCCUUUGUCCUUUGCGAAGCUUGCGAAAUGCUGGCAACGCCAUAGGAGAUGGAGUUGGCUGGGCCUCAAAGUCUUCAUCCUCUUCUUGCACGGGGGGUGUAGCUUGUUGUUGUUGUUGGGGAGUACUGGGGGAGUCUUGUAGUUGUGGGUGAUCAGCCCACGAUGCAGGGGCGAACCCACGUUAACCCACCAGGUAGCACAGGACACCGAAUAAAAAACUCAUUUACCUUAUAAGUAUAGAGCCCAUAUACAAUGGGACACCCCUAAUUUUCCUAGAAGGACACCCGUACAUCACGUAAGUGCAGCCCAGUUGUAGCAGCGCGUGACGCCGUAUCGACUCAGGAAGCCACGAAGGCCCAGUCCAGCUUGUCCAGGAUAGGAGCAGUACAUUGAUCGAUACUUGCCUUUGGCCCUUCGGCCCUUCGUCUCGCCUGUUCGCCUGCUCGACUUUGCGCUUCGUGCCCUUGUUCUUUCGCCUUCCUUUGUAUCCCCGUACGUCGGACACGCCGCCUAUUCUGCAGAUCGCGGCAAGUCGCCGAAUCAGUGUUGAAAAGAAGGCACAGGUAUGCUGCAUCAGACCCAAGCCUGAUCAGACCCCCAAUUCGAUGUGCCUCUGUGGCUUUGCCUCAGCCUUUUGUAAAUCUUAUUCUAAUCAUUGCUUUGUCUCUCUCACCCUAGGGAAUUAGGGGUACUGCCGUACUGGAUAUUACUAGAUUUUGACUGUAUUGGGUAAUUGAACUAUUUGAGAUAAUUGUGCACCAAGUGGAGACCAAUAUUGCAAAAUUCUAGGACGGCUGGAAGCAUGGGCACCAUGUCAACUAUAUUGAUAAUCACAAACACAUUAUCAUUGGCUCUACAACGAAAGAAUCAGGACAUUGUGAAUGCUAUUAAUUGUGUGAAUUCAACCAAAGCCUCCUUGAAUGAUCUAAGGAGAAAUGGAUGGGAAUCUGUCCUACAUGAAGCAUAUGUCUUUUGUGACAAGCAUGACAUUUCCAAGUUGCAAAUGGAAGACCAAUAUGUGAACCCAAAGAAGCCACGGCAAAAAACAGGUAUCACUAAUAGGCAUCAUUAUGAAGUGGAUUGUUUUAAUGAUGUUAUUGAUUGGCUGCUUCAAGAACUUGAUAAUCGCUUCAAUGAGAAAAAUUCUGAACUACUUGUUUGCUCAGCGGCUUUGAGCCCAAAUGAAUCAUUUCAUGAUUUCAACUUAGAACAUUUGAUGAGUCUAGCUAAACUUUAUCCAAAAGAUUUUGAUGAUGGAGAACUCAGGGACCUUAGGCAUCACCUUCAUCUUUACAUUGCUGAUGUCCGAGCAGAUGAUCGCUUCUCUGGAUUAAGUAAUAUUUGUGAGCUCUCUCAAAAAAUGGUGGAGACAAGAAAACAUAUUGUCUAUCCCUUGGUUUGUCGACUUUUGAAGCUAGCACUAGUAUUGCCUGUUGCCACUGCUACAGUUGAGAGAUCUUUUUCAGCUAUGAGAAUUGUAAAGACAUAUUUGCGCAAUCGUCUUGGUGACGACGCCUUGAAGUGCGACCUUAUUUUUUAUGUGGAGAAAACCGAAAUGAGGAAGGUUACUAAUGAUGCGGUAAUUGAUCGCUUUGAAGCCAUGAAAAAACGUCGGAAACCAUUUUAGGUAGGUAAUGGUUUUAACUUACUUAUUAUUACACAACUGUUAUUAAUAUGUUACUAAGUGGUUUUGUUUCUUUUUUAUUUGUACGCAAUCAAGAUCUAGUGUUGCAUUUUCUUGUUGGCGGUUAUACUUUAUUCGGAUUUUGGACACUUUGAUUUUCUUUUAAUAUUCAAUUUCCUACCAUCAAUUAAUAUUUCAAGUGAAACUCUUUAUUCUGGAUUCUCGGUAAGCACAUUCACGGUUAUAUCGUAUUCUAUGUAUAUUGUAUUGUUAACUGUUACUUUUAGAUAUAUUUGUACUUCAUAUCCAAAUAUACGUGAUAGACAUGGGACCCCGGGUCAUUUUUAUCCUGGGUCCGCCCCUCCCACGAUGCAUCCUGAGCAAUUGGCGUCAGAGGACGACCAAUGCUGAUGAGUUCGCUGUUCGUAUGAACAAGCGAUGAUACCACUUCAUGUUCGAUCUGAGGAAGAACUUCAUCAUCAGCUACAUUGUCAUCAUGACCAAUGUCUUCAGCAGCGGUGGGUUCAACUGCUGGAAUAUCUUCAGCUUCAUGAGCCUCUGUGGGAGCAGGCUCAUGCACUAUCAUCCUUCAUUCUUGAUGUUCUGACGCUGGGCGAACCACUGAAAUGGGUUCAACAACUAAGGGCUCUGUGGAAGCAACCCUAGUCUUCUUGGUCUUGCGCUUCUUCUUGGAGGGAGCGGCAUCAGAGGCUUCAGUGUUCUUUCUCUUUCUGGCUUCAGCCUUGGCAGCCCUCGUCUUCUUCUGUUCUGAAGCGGUUGUGGUGACCUUUGGCUUCGAGCCAGUCAUGCUGCUUGGGAAGAUAAUGCGAGGGGCUUCUUGGCUUGAAGGUUCAGGCUGUUCAGCAGGAAGCUUCUUCUUCUUCUUUGCAGCCAUCCUGGGGUCAAUGCCAGGACGGCCAAGUGACUUGCGCUUCUCAGCCUCAUUGUAGGCGAGCACACACUUAUCAGCCAAACUCUUCAUGCGCUCACGAGAGCCCUGAGCUUCUUCACGCUUCUUCAGAAAAGCUUCUUUAAGCUCAUGUAGCAUGACUUUGAAGUUUCUGACGUCUUGAACACUUAGCUUGGCCACAUGCUUCUUGAAUUGAGCCUUCUCAUAAUCAAUCUUGUUCGUGAGCUCAACGAUGCCCUGAACGAGAGCUAGCUCAGAAGCAAUGGCGCCAUUGAAGGCGACACUGAGGCCAAUGGGAAGCUGUAAAUCUUCAAAGCUGAGAUUGGGGGUGUCGAACCACUCAUCAAUGAAAUUGUGGAUGAUGGCCACAUCAAAGAGAGGCAAGUUGUUGAAUAUUUCUGCUUCUUCCUUGCUCUUUAUCAGCUGCUCAAGGGCAUCAUCAGCAAGAUCUUCAUCACUUGACAGAUCAAUGGGUUCUUCGCGCAGAAUGGCGGCAGGAGUCAAGGCUCUUUGAUUAGAUGGUCUGACAAGUUGCCUUUUCUUCUCCGUUCUCUUGGAGACACGGGAUUGAUCUUCAGACUGCACACUGGCUUCAGGAGGUGCAGUGGCCAGUGGCUUCACACGAGAAGUCUUCGAAGGUGCAGCUGAUCUUGAAGCGUUUGGCUUCUUUUGCUUCUGCGACUUUGGAGGAGGAGCGGGGGCUUCAUCGGAGUCAGCAUCAUUUUCAGAAUGAUCUACUCUUGCACGUUGGACCAUGAUGUAGGUGAUGAGGCCGUCAAGGUUGGAGAAGGGGCCGAUCACAUUGGGAUCAGCAUCACGGGAGCCGUCAGCACGGGGAGCAGAGGGACCUGGGUUGAAGUCCAAACCCAAGGACUUCUUGUUCUUCUUGGCCGAAGCCACAGCAAACUGGUCGUUGCGCUUGAAGAGAGAGUCGACACGACACCAGAGUAGUGAGGUGGGAUCGGCGUUCUCAGGCUGUGGUCCACGGACCAUGCAAGGAUAGAAGCCUUGAGCAAUGGCUUCAGCUCUGUUCUUGGGUUGAAGGCCUCGAUAGAGGAUAUCACCCCAAGGUCUCUUGAUGACAUUCUUCUCUGCAUUUUCCUUCGUCACAAACUUGUACUUGAACCAUUCCUCAGCCCAAUAGCGUCGAAUCCAUUGGAUUCAUGUCUUUCUCUGAUGAUAAUUCUCUUCGGGAUCUGUCUUGUAGAGUUCUGCUAAGUCAUCAGGCAGAUCUUGGGAUGUUCCUUCUUUGCACUGUUUGCCACCCUUCCUUGCUGAUCUUUCUGCAGCCAUGAACUUCAAGCUGAACGGCUUCAAUAUGUUCAAAGGCUUCAGAGACUUAUGCUUGUUGGUCAAGCAGGAACUGGCUUCAGGAGAAUUGAUAUGAUGCUGUAAGUAUUCUGCAAACGAAUGCAGACUAUGAGAACCAAGGGAUUCUCCCACGGACAUGUACCUGUGACAGCAUUAGAGAUGCGAGGGAAGGGGAAGAGGUCAUAUGCAUUCUCAGAAGAUUUUGAAGAUAAAUCAGUUCGAAGACAUUGACCUCAUGAUGCGAAUACAUUCACUUAUAUAGGUGAGUUGGUUCCAGAUUUGUACCAAUCCGUGAAUAAGUACAAGUGAGGAAUCAAACUAGACAGGAAAUCUAAGUGAAUUGACUAGGUAGUAUGAGAUGCAGACAGAAUAGAUCUAACUUGAAUAGGCACUUUCGGUAAACAGGAUGAAUCUUGAAGAUCAAAAAGGUGGUAAAAAUAGAGUUAUAAUUACCGCACGAAGAACUGCUAGAUGGGAAGAAUAGGAGACCGAGCAGUUCAGCCCACCGUGCCCUAACUUGGCAACGGAGGACACCUACGACGACGGCGGAGAGGACGAUGUCCGCGAUCGGCGUGAGGACGGCGUCGGAGAAGUCGCGGCAGCUAAGCGCUUCGUCGCCGACGUCGUCGCGAGCUAGCGGUGGCGCUAGGGUUUUGACGGAGGUGGAGAGGUGGAAGAAGGAUUUCUUUACCGCAGGGGACAAGUAUUUAUAAGUAGGUGAGAGACACAGCGCAAUUACGCUGGUGCCGCUGGCGGUUCACAUCUGUGGGGCACAUGGCAAGCAUGCAACAUACUCAGAGUUGUCCCAUGUUCGCACGCCCGCCAGGCAUGUCGGAGAGUUGUUCCGGCUUCUCCGGAUUUCAACAAUAAAGAUAAGUCAUUUAAAACAGAUUUAAUGUUUGUCCCUUUGCCUUCUGCUGACUAGGACGCAGAGAAGACAUUCGACAGUUUCAAUAGAAUGCAUAUGAUUUGGACAGAUAGAGUUUGAGAUAGGAAGCAUAGAGAGGUUAGGGUCCGAUCACAUUCACUUAGUUCAAAAGAUCCAAUCUUGAAGACACAGCUAUAAGUGAAUGUUGUAGAGGACAGAACACUAGUAUAUAUAUAUAUAUCAGAAAGCAAUCAAAUCAUCAUAGUGUAGAAAUUCAUGAAGAUAAAUUGAAACUGAAGACAAACCAAAUGCGAAGUCAUUGCAAUAUAACGCCAUGAGUGAAACACUUCAAACAGAGAAAUUUUGUGGUGGCGUUACCCACCGCAUAGGAAGUAUUAGACCCAGACACGGCGCACAAUUAUCGUGGCGCUCCGAAGUCAAAUUCCAUGUUAAUGUAUUCACACUCAGAGUGUAAAUCUUCAUUGAUUGAAGAUAUACAUUACUUUGUGUGUUGCACAUCUAAGUCAUCAACAUGCAUAAGUGUUAGGAUGUGUGCCUGAUCACAGGAUAUUAGAGGAUUCCAAGAUAUUUAGCUCACACCGUAACUUGCAAAACCUUUUCUCAUCCAAGGGCUUCGUGAAGAUAUCUGCCAGUUGCUCUUCAGUGUUGACGUGAGUGAUAUCGAUAUCUUUCUUCAUAACAUGAUCUCUGAGAAAGUGAUGACGAAUUUCAAUGUGCUUUGUCUUCGAGUGUUGGACUGGAUUGUUGGCUAUUUUGAUGGCACUUUCAUUGUCGCAGAAGAGAGGUACUUGUUUCAGGUUGAUGCCAUAAUCCUUGAGAGUUUGCUUCAUCCAUAGAAGCUGAGCACAACAGGAUCCAGCAGCAAUGUAUUCAGAUUCAGCAGUUGAGAGUGAUACACAGUUCUGCUUCUUUGAAGACCAAUAGACAAGUGAUCGACCAAGGAAAUGACAUGUGCCUAAUGUAGACUUGCGAUCCACCUUGUCACCAGCAUAAACAGCAUUCGAGAAUCCAACCAAAUUGAAUUUUGAGCCCUUGGGAUACCAUAAUCCGAGUGUUGGGGUGUAAGCCAAAUAUCGAAGAAUUCGCUUCACAGCUAAGUGAUGCGAUUCCUUUGGUGCCGCUUGGAAUCGAGCAGACAUGCAAACACUAAGCAUAAUAUCUGGCCUAGAUGCACAUAAAUAAAGCAGAGAACCAAUCAUGGAGCGGUAUACCUUUUGAUCGAACUCUUUACCAUUGUCGUCGGGACCAAGAUGGUGUUUGGCUGGCAUUGGCGUCGUGUGGCCUUUGCAGUCUUCCAUUCCAAACUUCUUCAGACAAUCUUUGAGGUAUUUUUCUUGAGAUAUGAAGAUGCCAUUUCUUUGCUGACGAAUUUGAAGACCAAGGAAGAACUUCAGCUCACCCAUCAUGGACAUCUGAUAUUGCUCUUGCAUCAUGUACCCAAACUCAUCACUAUACUUCUGGUUGGUGCAGCCGAAGAUUAUGUCAUCCACAUAUAUUUGGCACACAAACAGUUCACCAUCAUAUGUCUUCGUGAAGAGUGUGGGAUCGAGGGAUCUAGGUUUGAAGCCUUUUCUCUUCGGAAAGUCUUUGAUUGUAUCAUACCAGGAACGAGGAGCUUGUUUGAGGCCAUACAAUGCUUUGUUUAGCUUGUACACCAUAUCAGGAUGUUUUGGAUCUUCAAAGCCAGGUGGUUGUGCAACAUAUACUUCUUCUUCAAUCUUGCCAUUAAGAAAUGCACUCUUUACAUCCAUUUGAUAUAGCAAGAUGUUGUGAUGAUUAGCGAAGGCUAGCAGUAUGCGAAUAGCUUCAAGUCUAGCAACAGGAGCAAAUGUUUCAUCGAAGUCAAUUCCUUCAACUUGAGUAUAUCCUUGAGCCACAAGACGUGCUUUGUUUCUGACGACUUGACCAUGCUCAUCUUGCUUGUUUCGAUAUAUCCACUUUGUUCCAAUAAUGUUAUGCUUGUGAGGGUCAGGUCGCUUGACGAGUUCCCAGACAUUAUUUAGUUUGAACUGUUGAAGUUCUUCUUGCAUGGCUUGAAUCCAUUCAGGUUCCAUAAAAGCUUCAACAACUUUCUUGGGUUCUGAUAUUGACACAAAUGAAAAAUGCCCACAGAAGUUUGCUAGCUGUGUUGCUCUUGAUCGAGUGAGCAGACGUGCAUUGAUGCUGUCAAUUAUCUUCUCUAUUUGAACUUCAUUUCCAACACGAGGAUGAACAUGACGAAGAUUUUGCUCUGGCUGAUCAUUGUCAUCAUUGGGAGGAUUGUCUUCGGUAUGAGCAUUGUCUUCAGGUUGAUUUGGUGCAGAGAUGAUAAGUUCCUCUUCAGGCUGUGCUUCAGAGGGCAUGAUUUCACCAGUUCCCAUCAGCUUGAUAGACUCGUUUGAAGGAGCUUCAUCUAGUGUACUUGGUAGAAUCUCUCUCUGUGAACCAUUGGUUUCAUCAAAUUUCACAUUAACAGUUUCAACGAUUUUGUAGAGAUAAAGGUUGAAGACUCUGUAGGGUGUGAAUCCUUUCCAUAGCCAAGCAUGAAGCCUUCGUGAGCCUUAGGUGCAAAUUUUGACUUGUGAUGGGGAUCCUUGAUCCAGCAUCUAGCUCCAAAUACUCUGAAGUAACUGACGUUUGGCUUCUUGCCAGUAAGGAGCUCAUAAGAUGUUUUGUUCAAAAGCUUAUGGAUGUACACACGGUUGAUGAUGUGACAUGCUAUAUCAAUAGCUUCAGGCCAGAACUUUCUUGGUGUCUUGUACUCAUCUAGCAUUGUUCGAGCCAUCUCAAUGAGGGUUCUGUUUUUGCGCUCAACGAUGCCAUUUUGCUGAGGUGUGUAUGGAGCAGAGAACUCAUGAGUGAUUCCCAUUGUAUCCAGAUACAGAUCAAGUCCAGUGUUCUUGAAUUCAGUGCCAUUGUCACUUCUGAUGUGCUUGAUCUUCACGCCAUAAUUGUUCAUUGCUCGAUUUGCGAAGCGCCUGAAGACAUCUUGCACUUCAGUCUUGUAAAGAAUUAUAUGAACCCAUGUGUAUCUUGAGUAGUCAUCAACAAUGAUGAAGCCAUAGAGACAGGCAGUUGUUGUGAGGGUGGAGUAGUGAGUAGGUCCAAAUAAGUCCAUGUGUAACAGCUCGAAGGGUUGAGAUGUUGUCAUGAUUGUCUUUGAGGGAUGCUUUGCCCUUGUCAUCUUUCCAGCUUCACAGGCACCACACAGAUGAUCCUUUUUGAACUUGACAUCCUCGAUGCCAAUGACAUGCUUCUUCUUGACGAGUGAGUGUAAGUUUCUCAUGCCAGCAUGUCCUAACCUUCGAUGCCAGAGCCAACAUUCUGAAGCUUUUGUGAGAAGACAUACGGCAAGCUGUGGACCUGCUGAGAAAUCUACCAUGUAUAUAUCAUCUUUUUGAUACCCUUCAAAGACUAGAGAUUUGUCAGAUUCCAUUAGCACAAGGCAACGAUAUUUUCCAAAUAUCACAAUCAUGUUCAAGUCACAAAGCAUUGAGACAGACAUUAAGUUGAAACCAAGGGAUUCAACAAGCAUCACUUUAUCCAUGUGUUGAUCCUUUGAGAUUGCAACUCUACCUAGACCCAAUACCUUGCUUUUACCAGUGUCAGCAAAUGUAAUGUGACUCUUGUCGGAUGGACGUAAGGUUGAGUCCAUGAGAAGACUUCGAUCACCAGUCAUGUGAUUUGUGCAUCCACUGUCCAUAAUCCAUUCUGAAGCUUUUGGUGAUGUACCCUACAGUGCAGUUAGGAGGAUAGGCUUCACAAGAGUGCUGUGAAGCAUAAGCAUUUGACACAUAUAGGCACAGUCACAGCUUAUAUCAAAGUUAGGACAUAGUAUGACUGAUAAGAGAUUCAGAUGUGAAGUAUAUAGAAUUACAUUUUAGCGUGCGUCCUAAAUGAGUUUUAGGUCCCCACCAAUAGUAUCGGACGCCAUUGAUUGCUGGCUGGAGACCGUUUUCUGCAAAAGAGAGUUAGUUCUUCUUUGCCACCCACAUCUUCAGUGGUGGCUUAGAAGCAAUGAGUCUUAGUGCAGCAUCUGAGAAUUUUGGCUUUGAAGCCCUAGCAAAUAGCCUUGCAGGAGAUGAAUGAUACUCAUAUGAAUAAGCUGAAAAGUUCUUAGUCCUAUGAACAUAGCGGUUCGAAGAUACACGCUCAUAUUCAUAAGUCUGAGCAUAAUUUCCCUACAAAACAUUGGCGUUAGGGUGACUCAUGUGAGUCCUGUAUCUGUAUGAAGCCUUUGGGCCACAUGAAGCUAUAGGUCUGGGGUUUGUCUUCUUCCUUGGUGGUGUCAUGACGACAUUCACAGGAAGAUUCUCAGUGUACUACUUAGGUACCCAGAUCUUCUUCAUUGGUGGUCCAUUCUUGCAGUUAGUACCAAUGUACCUGGCAAACACUUCACCAUUCUGACUUUUGAACAGCUUAUAGUUUGCAUCAAAGGAUUCAUCAAUGAUAACAGGAUUAGCACAGGUAAAGCCAGAUAAGGUGGAUGGAUCUACUGAAGGUUCCAUUGCAGCAACCCAUGUGGUUUUGGGGUACUGCUCAGGCUUCCAGUACGAGCCAUCAACAUUCAUUUUCCUUUCGAACCCAACACCCUCUUUCCUAGGGUUUCGGUUCAGAAUCUGCUUUUUGAGGACAUCGCAGAGAGUCUGAUGUCCCUUCAAACUUUUGUACAUCCCUGUUUCAAGCAAUGUCUUCAACAUAGCAUUUUCAUCAGCAACAGCAGUGGUAUCCUCCGCAGAGGGGUUAGUAACCACAUCAGUAGGUGAAGACAAUGAAACAGUAGCAGUAGUGGAACAUUCAGCAACAGAUGUAGCGUUAUCACGCUCAAUGCAUUUUAGACAUGGUGGUUCAAAUCCAUCCUGAGCGGAACUGAUCUGUUGAGCACGAAGUGACUCAUUCACCUUUUGAAGAUCUUCAUGAGCCGCCCUCAAUUUCUCAAGCUCUUGUUUCCUUUGAAGAUAAUCAUAGGAGGGCCUUUCAUAAGUAGUUGAGAGCGAUUCAUGACGACCUUCAAGUUCUUGGUACUUAGCAUGAAGAUUUUUUAUGUCAUCAACUAAGGACUGUGAACGUGUCAUUUCAGCGUCCAACAGGUCAUCGCUUUUGUCUAACAGUUUUUGAGUAUGGUCCAUAGCCUUUUGUUGUUCAGUUGCAAUUUUAGCAAGUGUUUUGUAGCUAGGUUUGGAUUCGCAAUCAGAGUCAUCUUCACUUGAAUUUUGAAAGUAAGAAUCGCGUGAUUUUACCUUGGCACCAUGUGCCAUGAAGCAGUAGGUGGGAGUAGGAUCGUCUUCGUCAUUAGCUUCAGCGUUGGUGUGGAAGUCAUUGUCUUCAGUGUUGAAGAUGGACUUGGUGACAUAGGCUGUGGCUAGAGCCAGACUUGCAACGCCAGGGUCAGACUCCUCUCCAGACUCCACCUCCGCCUCCUCUGAAGCAGACUCCUCCUCUGAAUCCAUUUCCUUGCCAACAAAAGCAAGAGCCUUGCCCGAUGAGCUCUUCUUGUAUGAUGAAGACUUGGAAGACUUUGAGGAUUUCUUCUUCUUCUUGUCAUCGGAAUCAUAUUCCUUGCUUUUCUUCUUCUUCUUCUCAUUGUCCCACUGUGGACACUCAGAUAUGUAGUGACCAGGUUUCUUGCACUUGUGGCAGGUUCUCUUUUUCUGGUCAUGGGUGGAAGCUUCAUCAUUCCUUGAGCUGGAUCGUGAAGACUUUCUGAAGCCUUUCUUCUUAGUGAACUUCUGGAACUUCUUCACAAGCAUAGCAAGUUCCUUUCCAAUGUCUUCAGGAUCUUUAGAACUGCAGUCAGAUUCUUCUUCAGAUGAGGAAACAACUUUUGCCUUCAAAGCGCGAGUUCGGCCAUAGUUUGGGCCAUAGAUAUCUCUUUUCUUAGACAGCUGGAACUCAUGUGUGUUGAGCUUCUCAAGAAUAUCAGACGGAUCGAGUGACUUGAAGUCAGGACGUUCUUGUAUCAUGAGGGCAAGGGUGUUAAAGGAUCUAUCAAGUGAUCUCAGCAAUGUCUUGACGAUUUCAUGCUUGGUAAUCUCAGUUGCGCCAAGAGCUUGAAGUUCAUUUGUGAUAUCAGUGAGGUGAUCAAACAUGAGCUGGACAUUUUCAUUGUCGUUUCUCUUGAAGCGGUUGAAGAGGUUGCGAAGAACACUGAUUCUUUGAUCUCUCUGGAUUGAGACGCCUUCGUUGACCUUGGAUAGCCAGUCCCAGACUAGCUUCAACGUUUCCAGAGCACUCACACGGCCAUACUGUCCUUUGGUCAGAUGACCACAGAUAAUGUUCUUUGCAGUAGAGUCCAGUUGAAUGAACUUCUUGACAUCAGUGGGGGUGACACCUUCACCAGUUUUGGGAACGCCAUUCUUGACGACAUACCAGAGGUCGACAUCAAUGGCUUCAAGAUGCAUACACAUCUUAUUCUUCCAGUAGGGAUAUUCAGUUCCAUCGAACACGAGGCAAGCAGCGGAGACUUUGAUUAUCCCUGCAGUCAACAUAGCUGAAACUCCAGGUGGUUAAACCGAAUCACACAGAACAAGGGAGUACCUUGCUCCGAUACCAAUUGAAAGUGCUACUAUCGACUAGAGGGGGGGUGAAUAGGCGAUUUUUAUGAAAGUCUUCAAAGCUUGGAAGUUUCGAAGACAAACAACAGAAAUGACCUAAUUGUUAUGCAGCGGAAGAUAAACUACCCUACGCAAGCCAUAGUGAAGUAUGCAAUGAUGUGAAAGUACAGGACUAAUAGCAGCUAGAUAGUAAGGAUUAGGAUGGAAGAUGGUAUGAAGCCAAUCAACAGUAGUAGUCAAGCAAUGAAGUCAAACAGAUACACAGAUAGGCAAUGACUUCACGAAGACAAACUAAAGUAAGGUUGGGAAGGGAUAGAACCAGUUGCUUGUUGAAGACACAGGAUUUGUUAGACCAGUUCCAGUUGCUGUGACAACUGUACGCCUGGUUAGGGAGGCUGAGAUUUAACUCAGAAGACCGUGUCUUCACCUUAUUCCCUUGAGCUAAGGACACCCAAUCCUCGCCCAAUCACUCUGGUAAGUCUUCAAGGGAGACUUCCAAACCUUCACAGACUUCGUUCACCGGCAAUCCACAAUGACUCUUGGAUGCUCAGAACGCGAUGCCUAACCGGCUAGAGGAUUCACAUUCCUCAAGUGUAAUAAGUCUUCAGGUCACACAGACAAAAAGACUUCAGUGAUGCCUAACACUCUUUGGCUCUGGGUGUUUGGGCUUUGUCCUCGCAAGGAUUUUUCUCUCUCUCAAAAGCUUCGAGGUGGGUUGCUCUCAAACGACAAAAGCCGAGCACAAACUCUGAGCAGACACCAAUUUAUGGUGUAGGGGGUUGGCUAUUUAUAGCCACUAGGCAACUCGACCUGAUUUGUCCAAAAUGACCCUGGGUCACUAAGGAACUGACACGUGUUUCAACGGUUAGAUUUCAAACACACGCGGCAACUUUACUUGGGCUACAAGCAAAGCUGACUCAUCUAGCUCUCGAUAAGGUUUGCUCUCAUUGUCUUCGCUCGAAGACUUAGGAUUUGAGUUGACCAUCACUUCAGUCACUCUGACUUAGUUCACUUGGACCCCACUUAACAGUACGGUGGUUCUUAUGACUCAACAAAGAAGAAAAGGAUGCAACGAAACCACACAGUCUUCGUGCUCCAUAGUCUUCAUGCAAUGUCUUCUCAUGUCAUAGUCUUCAAUAUGAAUAUCUUCUCAUACCACCAUUGUCUUCAAUGUCUUCAUACAUUUUUAGGGGUCAUCUCCGGUAGGUAAACCGAAUCGAUGAGGGACACUACCUGCGUUAUCUUGCAAUUCUCACAAACGCAUUAGUCCCUCAACCAGCUUUGUCGUCAAUACUCCAAAACCAACUAGGAGUGGCACUAGAUGCACUUACAGUUUGGGUGAAAAAUAUUAAGAUGGGUAAGGGUUUGGGCGAUCGUUAACCGCACCUGAACCCGGGGGGUGCCAUAUUAGAUUGCUCGUUUGAGGUGAUUGGCUUUGACAUGCUUUUUUCGAAGAGGUGGAUAACCACCGGUAUUUGCAUUGAGCAAUGCACACAACCACAUAUAUAUAGAAUUGUGAGAAUUCCUGAAGAAAUAGGAAUUGGUUAAAGUUGUCUCCCGUGCCAUCCCAUCCGUGGCUAGUAUGCGUCCAUUUGAUCCGACAUCUCACAAGCAAAGAUUUCAGAUUUCAAAGACGUUAGUUUUCAUCGGAUACGUGCCUUCUUAAAAAUACAUGAAUAGUUUUUAAAAUAUAAUGAACAUUUUUUAAUCAAAAUAUGAGUAAUUUUUAAUUUAUAUAUAACCUUCAUUUUUAAUUAGAUGCACAAAACUAAAGUAAGUUUGUUAAAAACAGUCAUGAAAUAAAAGAAAAUAAGUAUCUUCCCUGCAAAAACAAUACAGUAAUAAAAAAUAUCUGAAAAGUGAAAAAUGGAACAAUAUUAAAUGGAAGAAAAAACAGAUGAAAGAAAAGAUAAAAUUUUUCUUCCUUUUUUUUGAGGGGUAACAAAAUGUUUCUUCCAUUUAACAAACAUCAGGGUUAGGUUUUUUUUUGAGCAACUCAUCGGGGCUAUGUACGUAUGGCCUAGUGCGUGGCGCGUCUGUCAGCCAAAGAGUCGAAUGUCUUUGUAAGCCCCCCACGAAAGAAAUACGUAUGCCUGGCCCGUUAUUACGGCCCGGCCUGUGCGCGCUACGAUUCAGGGAUUCGUUGCUUCCCUCAGAAAAAAUACUUAUUAAGGGCAUGUACAAUGGUUGAUAAGAUAGUCUUAUCUUAAGUCUUGCAUGUAAAUUAGAGAUGACAAAAAAAACAUGUCUACAAUGAGUCAUUUCUUAGCCUUAUCUUCAAUAAUUAAUUGUUCCUAAAAACAUGGUGAGACAAAUUGUGCUAAGAGACCAUCUCUUGUCUUUUCUUAAAUAAGAGAAGACAAGCCUUAUCUUACGAUUUCUCUCUCCUCCACCUCAUCAUUUAUCCUACAUGGCACUCUUAAGAUAGAACCAUUGUACUUCCGUCCAUGCAGCUGCAGCUAGGGCUUCAUAUCCCGUACGCAGCUGGAUAUGAAGCUUCUUUAUUUACGACUACAUACAAGAGGCGUCGUUCGAUGGAUGCUAACUAGGAAGAGAUGACAUCGUCGAGAAGCAACUACCGCGUGAUGACGGCGGAGGAAGAGGAGGAGGCCGGCUUGUGCGUGGGCUGGAUCUUCCUCUAUACGGCGGUGAUCUACCUCGGCUUCUUCGCCUUCUCCGCCGUGAUCUCCUACACACACGUGUUCGCUCGCGCCACCAGGUUUGACAAGAUCUUCUUCGAGGUCCUGGGAGCGCCCUGUCUGCUCAUCUCCGUCGGCAUCAUCUACUUGCUUCUACGGGAGGACUCGCCCUUCCGCAACGAGCGUGCCACCGCCCGAGUCACCGACCUGCCACCCGCCGAUGUGUGCUAGCCAUCUUUGGUUGGUUGUUUCUAGUGCAUGAAUUGAUUUGUGUGUGCUAGCUGAUCUCUUUUGCUCGUCAUACUGUUUUCAAGAUACCUGGUUACCGGCGGUAUCCUUGCAUGGCCUGUUACUAUCUUUUUUCUAUGUUUGAUUGAAAGCGAUUUUGCUAAAUCUCAAUUGCUAUCACUUGUCACGAUGUUGGAAUCCUUGCAAUGAUCGCUGGUUAAAGGACUUCAAACCUCUGUCACUGUAAAUAUGUCCAUCCAGCUGCUCAAUCCGUGGGAGUUAUUUUGCCUAGUACAACUCAUCCUGGAUCAAGCUCACAAUUGGAGAUGGACGCGCAGCUCCUUUGGACACUGCUCUUCUACAAAGCUUCUAUUCAGGAAUGGCCAUUAUGCACUUCGGUCAAUGCCAUUUGGAAGAGUUGGGCACCCCUCCAUCGUUCAAAGACACGAUGACUAGCCAGGAAUAUCGACCAAAAAUCUCGAGGGUUUACCUGGUGCGGAAAUCUCCAAUACCCUCUCCUUAGAUGAGAUUGACAAGGCCCCAAACGAGCAGGUGCCGCAGCUCAAAACAGUGGUGGAUCCAGGACCCAGGCUGGGGGGGGGGGGCUGGGCCUUGGGCAUGAGGACUGCACACUGUCUUCAGUAUAACAUGGUGGGCACUGUAGCGGCACUGUAGGGUGUAAUGUAGCUGGCCUAGGGCCCAGGGCUUAGCCCAAUCCUGGGUCCGCCCCUAGCUCAAAACCUAUAGGACAAAAUUCUCGGCAUGCAGGAACAUCCACGAGGACGGGUCUGGCUUGUGUAGCUCCGGUGCAAACCACCUUUUGGGAAGGCUCAAUCCUACAAUUCCAGGAGGGAAGAAAAAGUGGUCGCUAGGAAUAUGGUCACAGUGGUACCAGGCUCACCACGCCCGAGACCCUACUCCGGCAGGAUGACCAUCCAAUUCCAUGGGACGGACUACCCGGAGAACCUUCCUCAUCCAGGACAAUAUCGACAUGAUAUCAAGGGACAAGUGAUACGUCUCCAACAUAUCUAUAAUUUUUGAUUGUUCCAUGAUGUUAUAUUAUCAUUCUUGCAUGUUUUACAACCAUUUUAUAGCAACUUUAUAUCAUUUUUUGGGACUAACCUAUUGACAUAGUGCCCAGUGCCAGUUGCUAUUUUUUUGCUUAUUUUUUACUUCGCAGAAAAUCAAUACCAAACGGAGUCCAAACGCAGCUAAAAUUUUUGGAGAGUUUUUCAGAAGACACACAAUGGGCGAAGAAAGUACCAGAGGGGGGCUCCGAGGGGAGCACACGUGGGUUGUGCCCACCUCGACCUCCUCCCGCACCACCUCUUUGCUCUAUAAAUACCCCGAAAAUCCAAAAACCCUACAGGACUCGAUGAAACACAAUUCCACCCGCCUCAAGUUCCAGAAACACCAAAUCCAAUUUAGACACCAUCACGGUGGGGUUCAUCAUCCUCACUGGUGCUUGUCCGAUGAUGCGCGAGUAGUUCAAUGUAGACCUUCGGGUCCGUAGUUAGUAGCUAGAUGGCUUCCUCUCUCUCUUUUGAUUCUCAAUACAAUGGUCUCUUGGAGAUCUAUUUGAUGUAACUCUUUUUCCGGUGUGUUUGUUGGGAUCCCAUGAACUUUGAGUUUAUGAUCAGAUCUAUUUUAUCCAUGAAAUUUAUUUGAAUUUUGAUCUAUUAUAUGCAUGAUUGUUUAUAGCCUCGUAUUUCUACUUUGAAUCUUUGGUUUAGUUAGGCCAACUAGAUCGAUUUUUCUUGCCAUGGGAAGAGGUGCUUUGUGAUAGGUUCGAUCUUACGGUGCUCAAUUGUAACGCCCCGGAUUUGAUGCGCCAGGUGUCUUCCAGUUAUUCGUCGGUGUUGCCAUGUAAUUUGCUUGCGUGUUGCAUUUUUGCCAUGUCAUCAUGUGCAUCUCAUUUUGCAUACGUGUUCGUCUCAUGCAUCCGAGCAUUUCCCCGUUGUCCGUUUUGCAAUCCGACACUCCUAUGCCCUCCGGCGUUCCCCUUUUGUCUCCUGUUGUGAGCGGGUGUUAAACAUUCUCGGAAUGGUCCUUGAUUUGCCAAGCGGCCUUGGUACACCACCGGUAGACCGCCUGUCAAGUUUCGUGCCAUUUGGAGUCCGUUUGAUACUCCAACGGUUAACCGGGGUACCGUAAAAGCCUCUUUUGUUGCAGCCCAACACCCCUUCAUAACAGCCUAUGAGCCCAUCCAAACCCCCUCCAUGCUCUCGGUCGUUCGAUCACGAUUGUGUGGGCGAAAACCGCACCCCAUUUGGACUCUCCUAACUCCCUAUGCCUAUAUAAACACAUUCUCCCUCGAAAUUCGCGGAUUAUUUCCACCCUAACCCUAGCUCCCACCUCCUCCGCACUGCCAGACAUGUCCGCCCGGUGGCCGGACGCGUCCGCCGCCCCACAGCCGUCGCCCGGCCAAUCACGACGCGCCACGUCAUCGUCUGCCGCCCGCCGCCACUCCCGGAGUGCCNNNNNNNNNNNNNNNNNNNNNNNNNNNNNNNNNNNNNNNNNNNNNNNNNNNNNNNNNNNNNNNNNNNNNNNNNNNNNNNNNNNNNNNNNNNNNNNNNNNNNNNNNNNNNNNNNNNNNNNNNNNNNNNNNNNNNNNNNNNNNNNNNNNNNNNNNNNNNNNNNNNNNNNNNNNNNNNNNNNNNNNNNNNNNNNNNNNNNNNNNNNNNNNNNNNNNNNNNNNNNNNNNNNNNNNNNNNNNNNNNNNNNNNNNNNNNNNNNNNNNNNNNNNNNNNNNNNNNNNNNNNNNNNNNNNNNNNNNNNNNNNNNNNNNNNNNNNNNNNNNNNNNNNNNNNNGACCUGCGUCGUGCGCCGAUCUACCUGCCUCGCCGGGGCUCCGCCUCCCGUCGCCCGCGCCUCGCCUGGAGCUCGCCACCGGCCGCCCCGCCCCGUUCCUCAUCAGAUCCGGCGAGCCCGCGGCCGGAUCCGCCCCGCUCCGACCUUCACGGCCCCUCGCCGGAGCCGAAGCUCCGUCCGGCCGCCGCCGUGGCCUUGGGCCUCCUGUGCUCCGAUCUGGACGACGCCGUCCCGGAACCCCGUCGUCCCGCCAUCCAAACGUCGCCCCCGAGCCGUACCGCGCCGUCCUGAACCGAUCCAUCCAGUUUUCUGCGAGGUAAAGGAUAUGACUGUCCCGAAAUAUUUGCAUUCUGGUCCCCUGUUCAUCGCAUCAUAUCUCCUAGCAUACUGCUCCGUUUUCCGUGCAUGAUAUACCGAAAUGUUCACCGUGAUGUGAUCUCAUUUUGUUCCAUUGUGCCAUGUUUGUUUGAGUUCAUCUUGAUGCUCUAAUCAUUGUUGCAAGAGUGCUAUAUGAUGUUAACUGCUGGGUGUUAACAUAACUUGGUGAUUUGUCUUUUUCAUUGCAUUUUGUGUCUGCAUCCUAUGAGAUAGAUGUCUACAUGAGUUUUGAGAUACAUCAUUCCAUAUUUACUGUGGUGUAAUCCAUGUAUUUUUGUGAGUCUUGUACUGAGUGCAUCGAGCUCGUGAAGUAGGGUACUUGCUGUUACUGUUUUGCUAGUCUGAAACUGUUAUAUCAUGAUGCUAUGUAAACCUGCUGCUACAAGUCAUUCUAUGCAUAAUAUGGAGAUGUUCACUAAGGAUGUUUUGUUAUACAUGUCAUGAUAUAUCCAUCCAUGCCCCUGGUUGCAUUUAUAGCUUGCUGUAGAUUGUUCAUAUCAUGCCCCAAAUUUGCUAAAUAAUGUUGCUGUCAGCCUGUUAACAUUAAGUUCAGUUUUGCCAUGAGCUUUGCUAGUGAUCCAUGUACCUUAUGAACUUGUUCUUGCCAUUCUUAGUUUCAUAAACAUGUCUUCUUACUGUUGGUAACCUUGUCAUGCCAUGUGUUGCUCUGUGGUGAGUUGUACAAGCUCACCAACAUGCCUACUUAUUGUUGUUCCUGCCAUGUCUGAAUCUGUCAUAUCACUUGCUAUGUUUACAUGGGUGCCAUCAUAUUUUCUGUGCCCUUUUGGCUCAUGGUAAGUAAGGGAAUUUUGUUAUAUGCAAUUAGUAGAUUCAUGCCAUGCCUUUGCUUGCCAUGAUAAGUUUCUGUAACAUGUUGUUUGAUAGCCCUAAACAUUGCAACCUGAUGUUAUUUCUGCCAAGUCUGAAACUGUUAUUAUUUGCAAUCUUGCCAUGUCCUUUUCAGCAUGUUAUAUUAUUUUAUGGAGAUAGCUCAGUGUUCAUGUUUUGUCAUGCUUUACCUGUAAUUCAUGCCCAUGCCUUCUUUUCACGUUGAGAUGCCGUAGCAUAUGGUUUUGAUGCUUGCUAGAUGCCUAGUUGCUGUUUUGGACAGCUUGGUCUUUAAACUUGUAUAGAGUGUAUGUGUUGAACCGUUGCUCCGUUUUGAGUGUGCUCCAUAUGAAAUUUGCUUGGUUUUGCAUGAAGUUUCAUAUUAUCAUGUUGCAUCCUUGUUUUGAGGUGUUUGCUUGAUGUUUGUAUGCAUUUUGCAUCAAUGCCAUGUUUAACUUGUUUAGCUCAUAUCUUCUAGGCCGUAGCUCCGAAUUAAAUGAACUUUAUAUGUAACUUGACUAGAAUCUCGUGUAGAUCAUCUUGGUGCAUCUUAACUUGCUGUUUAACAAUUUGAACAUAAGGUUUAUUCAGUUCUGGACCAAUUUCUAAAUUUGCAUAUGAGGACUUACCAGAAUUGUUAUAUGUUGUUUCCGGCCUCAUUUAAACUUGCCGUGAUAUGUUGUUCUUGUUUGCAUCAUCUCUUGUCAUGAGUAGCCUCAUCUAGUCUUGUCAUGCAUCAUAUUUGGUUGAGCAUCAUGCCUUGUCUAUGUGUGGUGUGUUUACCAUGUUGUGUGCUUCUUCUCGAUAGUUCCUGUUUCGUUGCGAUCGUGAGGAUUCGUUCGUCUACGCUUGGUUCAUCUUCGUGGCUUCAUCUUCUUCAUGGGCUCGUUCUUCUUCCUUGCGGGAUUUCAGGUAAGAUGACCACUACCCUGGAUCUCAUUACUAUCAUUGCUAUGCUAGUUGCUUCGUUCUAUCGCUAUGCUGCGCUACCUAUCCCUUGUUUGUCAAGCCUCCCAAAUUGCCAUGUCAACCUCUAACCUUGUCACCCUUCCUAGCAAACCGUUGUUUGGCUAUGUUACCGCUUUUGCUCAGCCCCUCUUAUAGUGUUGCUAGUUGUAGGUGAAGAUGAAGAUUGCUCCAUGGUGGACAGGGUUAUGUUGGGAUAUCACAAUAUCUCUUAUAUUAUUAAUGCAUCUAUAUACUUGGUAAAGGGUGGAAGGCUCGGCCUUAAGCCUGGUGUUUUUUUCCACUCUUGCCGCCCUAGUUUCCGUCAUAUCGGCAUUAUGUUCCCGGAUUUUGCGUCCCUAACGCGGUUGGGUGAUUUAUGGGACCCCCUUGACAGUUCGCCUUGAAUAAAACUCCUCCAGCAAGGCCCAGCAUUGGUUUUACCAUUUUCCUACCACCUAUACUUUUCCCUUGGGAGUAAUUAACCCGAGGGUCAUCUUUAUUUUAGGCCCCCCGGGCCAAUGCUUGUCUAAGUGUUGGUCCAAAUUAGAGCACCGUGCGGGACCAUCCCUUGGCAACUUGGGUUACGUUGGUACCUGUACGCUCAGCUUAUCCGGUGUGUCCUGAGAACGAGAUACGUGCGACUCCUAUCGGGAUUGUCGACACAUUGGGCGGUCUUGCUGGUCUUGUUUUACCAUUGUCGAAAUGUCUUGUAAGCCGGGAUUCCGAGACUGAUCGGGUCUUCCUGGGAGAAGGAAUAUUCUUAGUUGACCGUGAGAGCUUGUGAUGGGCUAAGUUGGGACACCCCUGCAGGGUAUAAACUUUCGAAACCGUGCCCGCGGUUAUGUGGCAGAUGGGAAUUUGUUAAUGUCCGGUUGUAGAUAACUUGACACUUGACUUAAUUAAAAUGCAUCAACCGCGUGUGUAGCCGUGAUGGUUUCUUUUCGGCGGAGUCUGGAAAGUGAACACGGUUUUGGGUUAUGUAUGAACAUAAGUAGUUUCAGGAUCACUUCUUGAUCACUUCUAGCUUCUCGACCGUUCCGUUGCUUCUCUUCUCAUUUGCAUAUGUUAGCCACCAUAUAUGCUUAGUCGUUGUUGCAACCUCACCACUUUACCCCUUCCUUUCCCAUUAAGCUUUGCUAGUCUUGAUACCCAUGGUAAUGGGACUGCUGAGUCCUCGUGGCUCACGGAUUACUACAACAACAGUUGCAGGUACAGGUUAUGUGAUGAUCAUGACGCGAGAGCGAUGUUUGCUUGUUUUGGAGUUCUUCUUCUGCUUCUUCUUCGAUCAGGGGAUAGGUUCCAGGUCGGCAGCCUGGGCUAGCAGGGUGGAUGUCGUUUGAGUUUCUGUUUGUGAUUCAUCCGUAGUCGGAUGUUGCUCUUAUGUAUUGUGAUGUUGUAAUCAUGUGGCUUUGUAUGCCUUUUGCAUGUAUCCCCAUCUAUUAUGUAAUGUUGAUGUAAUGAUAUCCACCUUGCAAAAGCGUAUCAAUAUGCGGUUCUAUCCUUGGUGGGGCCUUCGAGUCUCUUUAGGAUAGUAUCGCAUAUUAGGCGUGAUAUCAAUCCCAGUGACAGAAGGGGACAUGACACGUAUGUAUCCUUGCUAUUAAGGAUAACAAGAUGGGGUCUAUUCCUACAUGAUAGAUUUUGUCUACAUCAUGUCAUCGUUCUUAUUGCAUUACUCCGUUUCUCCGUGAACUUAAUCACUAGAUGCAUGCUGAAUAGCGGUCGAUGUGUGGACUAAUAGUAGUAGAUGCAGGCAGGAGUCGGUCUACUAAUCUUGGACGUGAUGCCUAUAUAAUGAUCAUUGCCUGGAUAUCGUCAUAAUUAUUUGAAGUUGUAUCAAUUGCCCAAUAGUAAUUUGUUUCCCCGCCGUAUGCUAUGUUUCUCGAGAGAAGCCACUAGUGAAAUGUAGGGGCCCCGGGUCUGUUCCUUGUCAUAUUUGCUUUGAGAUAUAUUUUUAUUCGCUUUUAUUUUCAGAUCUAUUAUUCCAAAAACCCAAAAAAUACCUUGCUGCAAUUUUUUUGUUAUUUGUUUUAUUUUGCGUUUCCGCAAGAUCUAUUUAUCCAAUCUACUAUAAACCAAUCUAUCUUUUACCUGGGAGGGAUUGACAACCCCUCUUACGCGUCGGUUGCAAGUAUUUGUUCUUUGUGUGCAGGUACCGUUUACAAAGUGUUGCAUGGUUCUCCUACUGGUUCGAUAAACUUGGUCUCAUCACUGAGGGAAAUACCUACCGUAGAUAUGCUGCAUCAUCCCUUCCUCUUUGGGGAAAUAUCGACGUAGUUCAAGCCGAAGAAAUUUUCUGGCGCUGUUGCCGCGGAGACAUCAUCAACAUCUAUCAGGUUCCUAAUCACAAAUCUCAUCUCAUUGCAAUUUACAUUAUUUGCCAUUUGCCUCUCGUUUUCAUCCCCCCCCCCACUUCAAAAAAUUGCCGGUUUAUUCACCCUCUUUUUUGUUUGCCUUUUUCUCGUUCGAUCUUUUGUUUGUGUGACAUCUUGUUUGCUAUUUUUGCUUGUGUUGCCAUGUGCCUUCUAUUUGCUUGCAUCUUCGCUUGCUAAAAAUCUAUUGAUAUGGAUCCUCAUCCACUUGCUAAUAUUUUUAAAAGAUCCAAUUAUGAUGAACCAAUUGCUAGUGAUAUGAGUGCACUAGAUUAUCUCUAUGAAGUUUUGCUUGAAAUUCGUGAAUCUAAAAAUUGUGAUGAAGUACUAAAAGAAUAAAUUUAUGAAGAGAUUCAUGAUAGCUCCUUGAAUGAAAAGCAUGAUUGCAAUGGUGUUACUAUAAUUCUAUUAUUGUCAUUGUGCUAAUAAUAUGCAAAACCCCAAGCUUGGGAAUGCUAAUUUUGCUAUGUCCACUACUUGUUACAACGAUCAUGAUUGGGGUGAUAAUGAUUCAUAUGAUCUUGAAAAUUUAUUUAAGCCUCAUGAUGAAUAUGUUUGCGAUAAUAUUGAAAGUGGGUUUGGAAGAGCGUCAACUUUCAGUAUAAAUAAUCCCUCAACUUUCUUUAUACUUGUGUAGUAAUUUCUCUAGAUUAUCUCUAUCAUUACAAGCAAGAAUAUCCCUAGUUGUUUCUUCACUCAUAACAUAACCUUCUGGUACCUUAGGCAAUUCAUAUCUAGGAGGGCUAGUUCUAGCAGGUGUUUCAGGAGAUUCAGUUUCAAGCUCAUCAUCAGAUUCAACAACAUGUUGUAUUACUCUAGAAAUUUGUUCAUCAAGAAAUUCACCAAGUGGCACAUCAUCAUUAUCAAGCAAGGUACUAGCAUCAUCAUAAGCAUCAUUCAUAGUAGAAGUAGCAUCAUCGAUAACUUGCGACAUAUCAGAAUUGAUAGCAUGUGGUGUUGUUGCAAAUUUACUCAUAACAGAAGGUGAAUCUAAAGCAGAACUGGAUGGCAGUUUCUUACCUCCCCUCGUACUUGAGGGAAAUAUCUUAGUCUUAGGAUCCUUCAGAUUCUUCAUAGUGAUAAUAUGAUAAUAAUCCCAAGUGACUCAACAAAUAUAGCUAUGCUCCCCGGCAACGGUGCCAAAAAAAGGUCUUGAUAACCCACAAGUAUAGGGGAUCGCAACAGUUUUCGAGGGUAGAGUAUUCAACCCAAAUUUAUAGAUUCGACACAAGGGGAGCCAAAGAAUAUUUGAAGGUAUUAGUAGCUGAGUUGUCAAUUCAACCACACCUGGAGAUUAAUUAUCUACAGCAAGGUGAUCAGUAGGAAAGUAGUUUGAUAGUUUUGAUAGUAGUGAUAGUAGCAACGGUAACAGUAACAGUGAUAGCAGUAAUUUUGUAGCAAGUAUAACAAUGAUGAUAGCAGUAGUAACUUAGCAGAACAAUAUAGGAUAAAUUCGUAGGCAUUGGAUCGGUGACUUGUUGGAUGAUAUUCAUCAUGUGACAGUUAUAAACUAGGGCGAUACGGCACUAGCUCCAGUUCAUCGAUAUAAUGUAGGCAUGUAUUCCGUAAAUAGUCAUACGUGCUUUAUUAAAAGAACUUGCAUGACAUCUUUUGUCGUACCCUCCCGUGGCAGCGGGGUCCAUAUUGGAAACUAAGGGAUAUUAAGGCCUCCUUUUAAUAGAGAACCGGAACAAAGCAUUAACACAUAGUGAAUACAUGAACUCCUCAAACAACGGUCAUAACACGUAGUAGGUGACUAUAACUUGCAAGAUCGGAUCUAGAACAUGGAUAUAAUGAUGCUAACAUAAAUGGUUCAGAUCUGAAAUCAUGGUACCUGGGCCCAAAUUGACAAGCAUUAAGCAUAGCAAAGUCAUAGCAAUAUCAAUCUAAGAACAUAGUGGAUACUAGGGAUCAAGCCCUAACAAAACAAACUCGAUUACAUGAUGAAUCUCAUCCAACUCCUCACCGACCAGCGAGCCUACGAAGGAAUUACUCAGUCCCGGUGGAGAGCAUCAUGGAAUUGGCGAUGGAGAAGGGUUGGUGAUGACGAAGAACGAAGACCCCCCUCUCCGGAGCCCCAAACGGACUCCAGAUCUGCCCUCCCGAGGAAGAACAGGGCUUGGCGGCGGCUCCGUCUCGUGGAUCGUGAUAAUUCUUUCUCCCUGAUUAUUUUCUCCAAAAAUAGGAUUUUAUAGCGUUGGUUUUAGGGUCAGCGGGGCCACUAGGUGGGGACAACCCACCUAGGCGCGCCAGGAGAGGGGGGCGCGCCCUGGUGGGUUGUGCCCACCCAGGUGCCCUCUCUGGCAGGUCUUGGCUCCAGAGAUUCUAUUUUAUUGUAUAAAAAUUCCUUGCAAAGUUUCGUUCCAUUCCGAGAACUUUUAUUUCUGCACAAAAACAACACCAUGGUAGUUCUGCUGAAAACAACGUCGUCCGGGGUUAGUUUCAUUCAAAUCAUCCAAAUUAGAGUCCAAAACAAGAGGGAAAGCAUUAGGAAAAGUAGAUACAUUGGAGACGUAUCAGUGUUCAAUCUUAUGAAUUUUUUUUUAUGAAAGUGGGUCUUGAGAGGUCAUGACUUUAGUUGAUGUUAAUCCCACUAUCUUGGAAGAUUAUAAGAAUUUUAUGCAUGUGGAUCAUGGAGAGAAAAUUUUGUGUCAUAGCUAUAUUGUCGAAUUUGAUUAUGAUCAUACAUGUAAUUAUUUUGAGAGAGGAAAAUAUGGUUGUAGAAAUUUUCAUGUUACUAAAUUCCCUCUCGUUAUGUUGAGAUUGUCAAUGUUUCAUUCUUCUCCCUUGCAUAUGCUAAUUUUUGCUUGCCUUGAUAAUCUGUUUGCUUAUGAAAUGCCUAUGCAUUGGAAGCAUGUUAGACUUAAAUUUAUUUGUCACAUGUUUUAUUAUGCUUUCUUCAUGUUUCAAUUAUUAUCUUUCAUGAGAGCAUCAUUGAAAUCUCAAGCCUAUCUUAAUGGCUAUAAAGAAAGAGCUUGUUGGGAGGCAACCCAAUGAAUAUUUUUUUUUGUCUUUUUCAUUCUGUUCUUGAGUGUUUGCACAAUUAUGCUACUGUUAUGAUUAUGUUUUUCAUGUUUUAAUUAGUGUUUGUGUCAAGCAAAGCCUUUGGGAUCAUGUUGGGUGAUAGCUGAUUUGAUCUUGUUGAAAAACAGAAACUUUUGCGCAUGGUAAAACAAUUUUAGUUAAUCACAGAAGCACGAUAAAAAUCCUGAUUUUGUACACAAGAUUGAUAUACAAAUUGCCCAUGUUAUCCUAAUUUUCAUAAUCUUUGGAGUUACAGAAGUACAAAGUUUUUAGAUUGCUAUAGACUGUUCUGUUUUUGACAGAUUCUGUUUUCUUUGCGUUGUGUGCUUUUUUUAUGAAUCUAUGGUUCGUAUUGGAGGGUAUAAGCCAUGGUAAAGUUGGAAUACAGUAGGUAUAAUGCAAAAAUAAAGUAUGAAUGGGUUUGCAACAGUACUUAGAGUAGUGAUUUGCUUUGUUAUACUAACGAAUCUCACGAAGGUUUUGUUGAGUUUUGUGUGAUUGAAGUUUUCAAGUUUUGGGAGAGAUCACGAUGGAUGAAGGAAUAUGGAGUAAGAACAGCCUAAGCUUGGGGACUCCCCAUGGCACCCCAAGUUAUUAUCCAAAGAGGAACAAGCAACUAAGCUUGGGUAUGCCCCGAGUGGCAUCCCCUCUUUCUUCUAACGACCAUCGGUAUUUUACUUGGAGCUAUAUCUUUAUUCGUCACAUAUCAUGAGUUUUUCUUGGAGCGUCUUGUAUUAUAUGAGUCUUUUCUUGUUUUUCUUUUUGUUUGUGUCAUCUAACCUUGCUGGACACACCUAUUUGAGAGAGCCAAAAUUAUGCUAUGAUUUGCUAGAAUUGCUCUAUGUGCUUCACUUAAUUUUUUUUGAGCUAUGGAAUUGCUUUAGUGCUUCACUUAUAUCUUUUUGAGCAUGGUGUGCUUUACUAUUUUUGAAGAAAUUCUCUCAUGCUUCACUUAGAUUUAUUUGAGAGUUAGUAAAAUUUUGAAGAAAUUUUCUCAUGCUUCACCAAAAUGUUUUUGAGAGAAGAAAAUGUUUAUGCUCAUGUUCUUCACUUAGAUUUGUUUGAGCUAUCAAAAGCAACAUAUGAAACUAGUCCCAAAGUGAUAGAUAUUCAAGAGGGAUAUAAUAAAAACUUUCAUGAAGAUCAUUGGACAAAAUAAACUUAAUUCUUUGUAAUAGUUUUGCGAUAUGAUGAUAGUGAUAUGUGAGUCAUGUUGAUAAGUAAUUAUGCUUUAGUAAGAAUAUUGAUGUUAAAGUUUGUGAUUCCCUAUGCAAGCACGAAAGUCAGUAGUUAUGCAAUGAAAUUACAUCCUACUUGUGGUGCAUUAUUCGGUGUUAGUUAUGCUUAACCCUCGCUUAUGAGGUUUUUUGUUUCUUGGUUGGAUGCUUCUCAAUCUUUUGCUAGCCUUCACUUGUACUAAGUGGGAUUACUACUUGUGCAUCCAAAAUCCUUAAACCCAGUUUUGCCAUAUGAGUCCACUAUAACUACCUAUAUGCGGUAUUUCCAUGCCAUUCUAAGCAAAUUUGUAUGUGCCAUCUCUAAUUUUCAAAAUAAAUUUCCUUUUUGCGUGCUCGUACCGCUCAUGAAACGGUAGGGGGUGGCUGAUAAUUUUCCAUGCUAGACGUGUUAUUCUCAAGAUGAGUGUUUAUUCACUUGUCAUUGCACGAGAGUACGACAAAGGUAUUAGGGAUGCCCAGUACCAAAAUGAAAAAUGAAUUUACUUUAUGUUGUCAAAUAAUAAAUUCCUUGAAAUUUUUUGGUAUGGAUGGUACCUGUGGAUUCGGUUAGCCGUGGAAUGUGAAAGUAUGGUGGAAAAAGGAAUAAACUUUAUUUUUUGUUUGGGAACCGCCUAUGCUAUAUCUAGCAUGUAAAGUAUUGGGAACUACUCCAUUGUUUUCAUUGACAGGAAAAGCAUGCCACCCAAAAUGUUUUAUCUCUAUCUUUUUCCGCUUUGAGCUCUGGCACCUCUACAAAUCCCUCCUUCCCUUUGCGAAGGGCCUUUUUUUUACUUUAUGCAACUUUUAUUUUUAUUUGAGUCUCCAUCUUCUCUUAUAAAGCACCAACUAAGGGGCACCAUCAUCGUACUUGAGCAUUGGGUGUAGCUAAUAUGCAAGUGUGUUUCAUGAAUGCAUCAAUGAUUGAGCAUAAUGGGCUAGGGAUAACUUGCUUUAGUGUGGAUAUUUUGAAAGACAUGUUUGUUUGUUGAUAUGCUUCAGUAUUGAAAUCUUCAUGUCAAAACUAGACUAUUGUUUUGAAUCAUAUAGAAGUCCAAAUGUCCAUGCUACAAAAUAAAAGAAUAUGUGAUGAACAUGAUAGGCAGCAUUCCACAUAAAAAAUUCUGUUUUUAUCAUUUACCUAAUCGAGGACGAGCAGGAAUUAAGCCUUGGGAUGCUGAUACGUCUCCAACGUAUCUAUAGUUUUUGAUUGUUCCAUACUAUUUUAUUAUCAUUCUUGGAUGUUUUACAAUCAUUUUAUAGCAACUUUAUAUCAUGUUUGGGACUAACCUAUUGACAUAGUGCCCAGUGCCAGUUGCUGUUUAUUGCUUAUUUUUUACUUCGCAGAAAAUCAAUACCAAAAGAAGUCCAAACGCAGCAAAAAAAUUUGGGGAUUUUUUCAGAAGACACAUGAUGGGCCAAGAAAGUACCAGAUGGGGGAUCCCAGGGAAGCACAACUCACCUGGGUGCGCCUAGGGGCCCAGGCGCGCCCUGGUGGGUUCUGCCCACCUUGGCCGGCUCCCGCACCGCCUCUUUGCUCUAUAAAUACCCCAAAAAUCCAAAAACCCUAGGGGAGUCGACGAAACACAGUUCCAGCCGCCUCAAGUUCCAGAAACACCAGAUCCAAUCUAGACACCAUCACAGAGGGGUUCCUCAUCCUCAUUGGUGCCUCUCCGAUGAUGCAUGAGUAGUUCAUUGUAGACCUUUGGGUCCGUAGUUAGUAACUAGACGGCUUCCUCUCUCUCUUUUGAUUCUCAAUACAAUGGUCUCUUGGAGAUCUAUUUGAUGUAAAUCUUUUUGCGGUGUGUUUGUUGGGAUCUGAUGAACUUUGAGUUUAUGAUCAGAUCUAUUUUAUCCAUGAAAGUUAUUUGAGUUUUGAUCUCUUAUAUGCAUGAUUGCUUAUAGCCCCGUGUUUCUUCUCCGAAUCUUUGGUUUAGUUAGGCCAACUAGAUCGAUUUUUCUUGCCAUGAGAAGAGGUUCUUUGUGAUAGGUUCGAUCUUACAGUGCUCAAUCCCAGUGACAGAAGGGGACAUGACACGUAUGCAUCGUUGCUAUUAAGGAUAACAAGAUGGGUCAAUACCUACAUGAUAGAUCUUGUCUACAUCGUGUCAUCGUUCUUAUUGCAUUACUUUGUUUCUCCAUGAACGUAAUACACUAGAUGCAUGCUGGAUAGCGGUCGAUGUGUGGAGUAAUAGUAGUAGAUGCAGGCAGGAGUCGGUCUACUAAUUUUGGACGUUAUGCCUAUAUAAUGAUCAUUGCGUGGAUAUCGUCAUAAUUAUUUGAAGUUGUAUCAAUUGCCUAACAAUAAUUUGUUUCCCCGCCGUAUGCUAUUUUUCUCGAGAGAAGCCACUAGUGAAAUCUACGACCCCCGGGUCUGUUCUUUAUCAUAUUUGCUUUGAGAUCUAUUUUUAUUCGCUUUUAUUUCAGAUCUAUCAUUCCAAAACCCCCAAAAAUACCUUGCUGCAUUUUUUGUUAUUUAUUUUAUUCUGCGUUUCUGCGAGAUCUAUUUAUCCAAUCUACUACAAACCAAUCUAUCUUUUACCCACGAGGGAUUGACAACCCCUCCUACGCGUCGGGUUGCAAGUAUUUGUUCUUUGUGAGGUACUGUUUACAUAGUGUUGUGUGGUUCUCCUACUGGUUCGAUAACCUUGACGGAAAUAUACCCUAGAAGCAAUAAUAAAGUUUUUAUUAUUACAUUUCCUUAUUCAUGAUAAAGGUUUAUUAUUCAUGCUAGAAUUGUAUUGACCAAAAACUUAAAUACAUGUGUGAAUAGAUAAGAAAAUACCGUGUCCCAAGUGAGCCUCUACUAGACUAGCUCGUUACAAGAGAUGGUUAAUGUUUCCUAACCAUAGACAUGUGUUCUCACUUGGUAACGAGAUCACAUCAUUAGGAGAAUGAUAUGGUGGACAAGACCCAUUUGUUAGCAUAGCAUAUGAUCGUCCAGUUUAUUGCUACCGCUUUCUUAAUGUCAAAUACAUAUUCCUUCGACCAUGAGAUCAUGCAACUCCCGGAUACCGGAGGAAUACCUUGUGUACUAUCAAACAUCACAACGUAACUGGGUGAUCAUAAAGAUGCUCUACAGGUAUCUCCGAAGGUGUCUGUUGAGUUGGCAUGAAUCAAGAUUGGGAUUUGUCACUUCGUAUAUCGGAGAGGUAUCUCUGGGUCCUCUCGGUAAUACAACAUCACAAGAAGCUUGCAAACAAAGUGACUAAGAAGUUAGUUACGAGAUGAUGUAUUACGAAACGAGUAAAGAGACUUGUCAGUAACGAGAUUGAACUAGGUAUGAAUAUACCGACGAUCGAAUCUCGGACAAGUAACAUACUGACAGACAAAGGGAAUUACGUAUGUUGUCAUAAGGUUCGACCGAUAAAGAUCUUUGUGGAAUAUGUAGGAAUCAAUAUGGGCUUCCAUGUCCCGCUAUUGGUUAUUGACCGGAGAGGUGUCUCGGUCAUGACUACAUAAUUCCCGAUUCCGCAGGGUCGCACGCUUAACGUCCGUUGACGCUAGAGUAGUAUUGGGAUAUCUGAUGAGUGGUAACCAAAUGUUGUUAGGAGUCUCAGAUGAGAUCUCGGACGUCACGAGGAGUCUCGGAAUGGUCGGGAGGUAAAGAUUUAUAUAUGGGAAGUCAUAUUUUGGGUUCCGAAAAAAGUGUAGUUUUUUCGGUUUUGUACUGGGAAGCUUCCAGAAGGUUUCGGAGGAUUCCGGAGGGGUCCGGAAGUCCNNNNNNNNNNNNNNNNNNNNNNNNNNNNNNNNNNNNNNNNNNNNNNNNNNNNNNNNNNNNNNNNNNNNNNNNNNNNNNNNNNNNNNNNNNNNNNNNNNNNNNNNNNNNNNNNNNNNNNNNNNNNNNNNNNNNNNNNNNNNNNNNNNNNNNNNNNNNNNNNNNNNNNNNNNNNNNNNNNNNNNNNNNNNNNNNNNNNNNNNNNNNNNNNNNNNNNNNNNNNNNNNNNNNNNNNNNNNNNNNNNNNNNNNNNNNNNNNNNNNNNNNNNNNNNNNNNNNNNNNNNNNNNNNNNNNNNNNNNNNNNNNNNNNNNNNNNNNNNNNNNNNNNNNNNNNNNNNNNNNNNNNNNNNNNNNNNNNNNNNNNNNNNNAGAGAACACACGAAAUCCUAGGCGCCCCUCUCUCUCCCAUUACUCCGUAGUUCCACCGCCUCGUCCCGGUGACGCUUAGCAAGCGCUAUCGGUACUCCACCACCACCAUCAGCACCACGCCGUCGUGUUGGUUGUGAUCCCAUCUACUUCUCCUCUCCCGCUUGCUUGAUCAAGAAGGAGACAUCAUCUACUUCUCCUCCUCUCAUUGCUAUGCAUCUCCAUGGAUAGAUCUUGUGUGUGCCUAGAUUUUUUUUUUUUGUUAUCCAUGCAUCGUUUCCCAUCAAACCUUGGUCCCAUCACUAAGGGAAAUACCUACCGUAGCUGUGCUGCAUCAUCCCUUCCUCUUUGGGAAAAUACCGACGUAGUUCAACCGCAUCAACAAGGUACAUCGAAUUUUUGUAGACAGAGGGAGCUCCUCAGUUUAAUCCUAAUGCAGACUUUGUAGCAAAGGCAAAUACCACGAAGGAUCCACCUCGACGGAGUUGUUUUACGGGCUCCUCCCACAAACAACCCACAAUCCUUUGAGAAGGAUCACCCUCCCGGUGACCUUUGGAGAGAAAGGAACUACAAGAAGCAGGAUUCCUCAUUUGAGGUGAUAGGCUUUGACAUGUUUUUUCUUUCCCGAAAAGGAGGAUAACCCCUGACCUCUGCAUUGAGCUAUGCACACAACCACAUAUAUAUAGAAUUGUGAGAAUUAUGAAGAAAUAGGAGUCGGUUAAAGUUAUCUCCUACGCCAUCCCAUCCGCAACUAGUAUGCGCCCAUUCUCAAUCUAACAUCUCACAAGAAGAUUUUAGAUUUCAAAGAAGUUAGUUUCCGUCGGAUACAUACCGUCUUAAAAAUACAUGGAUACUUUUUGAAUUUAGUGAACAUUUUUUUUAUCAAAAUAUGAGCACUUUCUUUAUACUGUAAUUUCACUUUUUAGUUAGAUACAUGAAAAUAAAGUAAAUAUGUUACAUGCAGUACGAAAUAAAAUAAAAUAAAAAUCUGAAAACAAAAAAUUGAAACAAUAUUAAAUGGAAGAAAAAACAAAAGAAAGAAAAGAAAUUAAGAAAAAAUGCGCUCCACCCCGCGCUUGGGUGGAUGCAACUGCAUGAGUUUAGUGCAAGUUUGCUCGCUACCCCGCGCAUUACGUGCCGAUUUGGAAUACCUUGUCUUUUUGAGAAAGAGAGAUCCAUCUCUGAUUUUCAUUGAUAGAAAUCACAGUGUCUUACAAACUACCAUCGACCACUACAUAUAUACUGCCAACACACAACCAUUGACAGAUCGAACGACACGAUCCCCUGACGAUGCAGAACUGGGCAUCUCCACCCCCCAUCAGGAUCGCAGACCAGGAGGAAAGCUACAGCUGCAAAACACAAGAUCUAACACAUAAUCUGAAUCACACAACCCCUCGUGAGAAAUCCCAUAUGUCGGGCCUCUAGGCAAGAGGAUAUCAUUUAGCAUCGAACAAAACACAAACCAAGUUUCACCAAGUGCAUAUUCAUCAAGGAAAGCAAAAAAAAAAUAUUUUUUGUAAUAAGCUUAUAGUUGGCACCUAUAAGAUUUGCUCCAUAGUAUUAGUUGUUCAAUUUUUUUAGAAUCAUUUGCUGUAAAAAAGAUGAUAUUGUUAACAAACAUUUUGGGCCCAGGAGGUACGUUAUUUUUUGAGAAUCUGGGCCCAGAUACGUAUGGCUUGGUACCUGCCGUCUUUAUCCCAAGAGUCAAAAUGUCUUUGUAAGCACUGGUGCCUGGCCCGGUAAUACGGCCCGGCCUGUGCGUAUUACGUCCUCCGUCCGGCUGCCGCUAGGGCUUCAUCUCCCGUAGGCAGCUUGAUUUACUGCCGAAGCUUCUUUAUUUAUACGACUACAUACAAGAGGCGCCGUUCGAUCAAUCCUAACUAGGAAGAGAUGACAUCGUCUAGAAGCAACUACCGCGUGAUGACGGCGGAGGAAGAGGAGGCGGCCGACCGGUGCGUGGGCUGGAUCUUGGUCUAUAUCGCGGUACUCUACCUCGGCUUCUUCGCCGUCUCCGCCGUGAUCUCCUACACGCACGUGUUUACCCGCGCCGCCAGGUCCGACAAGAUCUUCUUUGGGAUCCUGGGAGCGCCUUUUCUGCCCAUCGGCCUUGGCUUCAUCUGCCUGCUUCUACGGGAGGACGGGCCCUUCCGCAACAAGCAUGCCUCCGCUCGAGUCGCCGACCUGCCGCCUGCCGAUGUGUGCUAGCCAUCUUUGGUUGUUUCUAGUGCGUGAAUUAAUGUUCGGAGUAUUACUUUGUUUUAUUUGAUCCAGUGUAGUUCUCUUUCUGCUUGCUAGUUGUAACAUCUUUUGUCCUUAGCAGGUGGGAAACUUGUACGUACUAGAUUUUCAAAGGCACGCGUUGCUGCGCCCCUCGAUUUUAACACUAAUAGUAGUGAUUGAUGCAGUUACACGUCAAUCUAGAAUUUUAAUCACGUGGCGUAAUCAUCACAUUAUAUUUGAAGGCAAUAUUCAAUCAUGAGACAUAAUUAGAAAACAUGCCCUUGCGUCGCAACGGGAGCAAACAUGUUAUGAAGGCCCUAUCAAGAUGCAACGAUGUCAGAAAGACUUUUUUUAACUUGAAAUGCUGCCACGACUGAUCCCCCCCCCCCCCCCCCCGGCCCCUGCGUCGCUCCCGCAGGGGCAACUCGGGCGGCCCUAACCCUAGCCGCCGCCGGCGGCCCCUCCCCCUUCUCCUCUCCCUCGCCACCACCGGAGGGGGUCGCCGGAAAGCCGCGCGUCCGCCGGGGAGGGUGGUGGCGAGGAUCUGUCCGCCUGUUUCGCGCAGGGGAUGUGGAGCCGGGGCGGCGGCCUCGGGUGGUGGUGCGUCGCCGUCUUCAGCCCGCGGUGUCGCUGGUGCUGGCCGCCCACUUGGCCACGCGGGUGGCAAGGCGGCGGCGGGUGGUGGCUGUGGGGCGCGGCGGCCGCGGGGGCGCCUGCCCCGGAUCUGACGCCUUCGCCCCCAACCAGUUCGGCCUUUGUCAGAUCUGGCUUCCGGCUGGCCCUGGUCGCCGGCGCCGCGUCUGUGGUAGGGGUGGGGGAGACGGGGGACCUGGAGAAAUCCACGGCUGGCUAGGCCGGCCACGACGACGGCGACGCCUGAGGGCGCCGUCUCCUACCUGUAGGGGCCGUCAAGGUGCCCCCUUUCCCCCUUCUGCCUCUCUCCCCUUCUCGUGCACCGGGGUGAAAACCCAAAUCCCCCUGGAUUGGGCGGCAGCGACGCUUGCGGCGUCGCCACCUUCAUGGAGGUGCCGUCUUCGGUUGAGCAUGGGGAGGUGGCUAGUUUGAUCUGGUUGGUGGGCGUCCGGUGGCGACAUGGUUGGCGUUGAUGGGGUCUUGGUGGUGCUUCUCCAAGUCAGUGGCUUCCCAACAUUGUCUGCUCUGUCACCAGCAGCCUCACCAUGCUUUUUGCUUCUCCUUGAGUUUGGUUCCCCCCUGCUCCAUGUUUGCCUUUGUGGAGCUCGGCGACGCGAGUUAGUGGUGCCCGGGUCAGGCUUUCCGGGCGGCAAUGGCGUCGGUUGUACAUCUUUGCUCUAGGGACACUAGUAGAAAAAGGGUCAAACGUGAAGCACAUUAGUGCCGGUUUGUAUUAGAGUCGGCACUAAUGCAUACAUUAGUGUCGGUUCCAACGGCUAGCCGGGCCGCUCUCAUUAGUACCAGUUCGUGGCUAACCUUUAACAAUGGUUCGUGCCACGAACCGGUACUAAUGAGGGUGGUGGCAGGAUGUUGUCAGUCUGGGCCCCCUCCAGCACCUUUAGUACCGGUUCAUGGUACGAACCGGUACUAAAGGUCCUCCUACAUAUAAACCCUUCGUCCAGCUCGCUCUGUUCUUCCCCCUUUCCCCUCUCCUCUCCUCUCUGUUCUUCCUCUUCUCCCCUCGAGCUCAUCACACAUUUUGCCCAAAAUUUGUCAAGAUUUGAAGGCCCCCAUCCAUUCAAGUGAUCACAAAGGUUAGCAACUUUGUCCUUUCAUCUCUCAUUGCUAGAUUAGCUCUUGCAAUGCUUUAUAUAGUUACUAAUUUGUGAGUUUAGUAAUUUGGGAGGAAAUAUAUAUAUAUGUGCUAGUAUUUGAUUUUUAUGCAAUUUGAGGUCAAAAAUAACACUUAGUUUGCAUAUGUAGGUGUGGUUUACUUAGUGCCUUCUAAAUCUCCGUCGUAACCACCGUCGAUCGCCCGCACCGUCCCGUCGCCGGCACCACCUUGUGGUGAGCCUCUUGUUCAUGAAAUUUUAUAUAAAAAAUUGAUGUUUGUGUGAUUUGGAUAUAUAGUUAAUCAUGUAAUAAUUAUCUUACCCGUACGUUGUUUGUUAUACAUAGUGCCAUGGUUUUGAUAUCCGUCCCCGUCGGCUCUCGUCCUUGUUAUGAUUCGGAUGUGGUAUAUUCUCUUUUAAAACUAUUUGUUGCAUUUCGUGUUUAUGACAAAUUAUGCCCAUCAAGUUGACAUAGAUAUUUUUAUCUAGGAGGUAUGUGAACCGGAAAUUCCAAUCGACCCUAUUAUCGAGAGGUUAAAUUUAGUUGAAAGAGAAAACGAGUACUUGAAAGAAAAAUUGAAAAGAAUUGAGGGGGAGAAGAUGGAAUUGGAGUUGCAUGUUGCCGAUGUCGUCGAUGAUCACAAGAUCAAGAUGGAGAAAAUGCGCUUGAAGAAUAGAAAGAUUAGAAAAUAUGCCAUCAUAGUGAGGCUUGGUAUCAUUAUGCUGUUGGAUCAAUUGUUAUCUUAGUUGCGAUCUUGAUCGCAUUUGUUGUUGCAUUUAAAUGCUUUAGCUAGAGAGUUAUUUGUUUGUUGCAUUUAAGUGUUGUAUGAACUUGUAUUAAUUUGGUCUAUUCGGUGUUGUGUAAUGAAGAUGAGCCGGCAAUGGAUGUACGAUGACCGAUGCUCUCCCCAGUUCGUUGAGGGUGUGCAUACUUUUCUGCUUGCGGCUGAGGCAAACAAGCGGGCGGAUGGUUUUAUGCCUUGUCCAUGUGCUGGUUGUAAGAAUGGUCACAAUUACUCCACGUCAAGAACCAUUCACGUCCACCUGUUUGAGUCCGGUUUCAUGUCCCACUAUAAUGUUUGGACCAAGCACGGAGAAAGAGGGGUUAUGAUGGAAGACAAUGAAGAAGAAGAGGACGACGACAGCUAUCCUGGCCAUGGGUUCCCUGAAUACGAUGAUACAACAAUGGGGGAAGAAGCUGAGCCGGUAAUGCGGGAAGAAGUUGAGCCGGCAAUGCGGGAAGAAGCUAAAGAAGAGGCAUCAGAUGAGCCCGUUGAUGAUCUAGGUCCGGCCAUUGCCGAUGCAAAGAGAAACUGCGCAAGUGAUUUGGAGAAGAAGAAGUUGCAGCGCAUGUUAGAGGAUCACAAAAAAUUGUUGUACCCGAAUUGCGUAGGUGACAAGAAAAAGCUGGGCACCACGCUAGAAUUGCUGCAAUGGAAGGCAGAGAAUGAUGUAUCUAACAAGGGAUUUGGAAAGUUGCUGGUAAUGAUAAAGGAUAUGCUUCCAAAGGACAACGAAUUGCCCGAGAGUACGUACGAAGCAAAGAAGGAUGUCUGCCCUCUAGGGUUAGAGGUGCAGAAGAUACAUGCAUGCCCUAAUGAUUGCAUCCUCUACCACGGUGAGUACAAGGAUUUGAACGCUUGCCCGGUAUGUGGUGCAUUGCGCUAUAAGAUCAGUCGCGAUGAGCCUGGUGAUGUCGAGGGCGAGCGCCCCAGGAAGAAGAUUCCUGCCAAGGUGAUGUGGUAUUCUCCUAUAAUACCAUGGUUGAAACGUUUGUUCCAAAACAAAGAGCAUGCCAAGGCGAUGCGAUGGCACAGAGAAGACCGUAAGAAAGACGGAAAGUUGAGAGUACCCGCUGAUGGGUCGCAGUGGAGAAAAAUCGAAAGAAAGUACGGGAAGGAUUUUGCAGAUGACGCAAGGAGCGUAUGGUUUGGUCUAAGCGCAGAUGGCAUUAAUCCUUUUGGGGAGCAGAGCAGCAACCAUAGCACCUGGCCUGCGACUCUAUGUUUGUAUAACCUUCCUCCUUGGUUGUGCAUGAAGCGGAAGUUCAUUAUGAUGCCAGUGCUCAUCCAAGGCCCUAAGCAACCCGUCAACGACAUUGAUGUGUACCUAAGGCCAUUAGUUGAAGAACUCUUACAACUGUGGAAUGGAACAGGUGUACGUGCGUGGGAUGAGCACAUGGGGGAAGAAUUUGACCUAAAGGCGUUGCUGUUCGUGACCAUCAAUGAUUGGCCUGCUCUCAGUAACCUUUCAGGACAAACAAACAAGGGAUACCGCGGAUGCAUGCACUGUUUGGAUGAUACCGACAGUAUAUAUUUGAAUAGUUGUAAGAAGAAUGUGUACCUGGGACAUCGUCGAUUUCUUUCGAGCAGGCAUCCCAUAAGAAAGAAAGGCAAGCAUUUGAAAGGUGAGGCGGAUCACCGGACGAAGCCUCGCCACCGUACUGGUGCUGAUGUACAUGAUAUGGUCAAGGAUUUGAAGGUGAUAUUUGGAAAGGGUCCUGGCGGACAACCUGUUCCAAAUGACGCGGACGAACGCGCACCCAUGUGGAAGAAGAAAUCUAUAUUUUGGGACCUGCCAUAUUGGAAAGACCUAGAGGUCCGCUCCGCAAUUGACGUGAUGCACGUGACGAAGAAUCUUUGCGUGACCCUGCUUGGCUUCUUGGGCGUGUAUGGGAAGACAAAAGAUACACCUGAGGCACGGGAGGACCAGCAACGUAUGCACGGAGAAGACGGCAUACAUCAGGGUCAUGCAAGCUACGCUCUUACCAAAGAAGAGAAGGAAAUCUUCUUUGAAUGCCUGCUCAGUAUUAAGGUACCGUCUGGCUUCUCGUCGAAUAUAAAGAGAAUAAUAAACAUGGCAGAGAAAAAGUUCCAGAACCUAAAGUCUCAUGACUGCCACGUGAUUAUGAUGCAACUGCUUCCGGUUGCAUUGAGGGGGCUUCUACCGGAAAACGUUCGAUUAGCCAUUGUGAAGCUAUGUACAUUUCUCAAUGCAAUCUCUCAGAAGGUAAUCGAUCCAGAAAUCAUACCAAGGUUACAGAAUGAUUUGGUGCAAUGUCUUGUCAGUUUCGAGUUGGUGUUCCCACCAUCCUUCUUCAACAUCAUGACGCACGUCCUAGUUCACCUAUGCGAAGAGAUUAACGUUUUGGGUCCUGUAUUUCUACACAAUAUGUUCCCCUUUGAGAGGUUCAUGGGAGUCUUAAAGAAAUAUGUUCAUAACCAUGCUAGGCCAGAAGGAAGCAUCUCAAAGGGCCAUCAAAAUGAGGAGGUCAUUGAGUUUUGUAUUGACUUUAUUCCUGACCUUAAGACGAUUGGUGUUCCUGAAUCGCGGCAUAAGGGCAGACUAGAUAGAAAAGGCACGCUAGGAGGGGAACAAAUAAUAUGUAUGGACGGACAUUCUCUCACUGAAGCACACUACACAGUUCUACAGAAUUCCACCUUGGUGGCUCCGUAUAUGGAUGAACACAAGAAUUUGCUAUGCUCCAAACACCCGGAGCGGUCUGAUGACUGGAUUACACGUGAACAAACCAGGAGUUUCGCCAACUGGUUGCAGACACGUACCAUGCAUGACACCUCUAUUGAAGAUGACCUGUCCUUGCUGUCCCAGUUACCAUCUUCGAAUAUAAUGACUUUCAAAGGGUACGAGAUAAAUGGUAAUACAUUUUACACGAUCGCCCAAGAUAAGAAGAGCACCAACCAAAACAGUGGUGUCCGCUUUGAUGCAGAAACCAAGACGGGAAAGGAAACAUAUUAUGGUUAUAUACAGGACAUAUGGGAACUUGACUAUCGACGUGGUUUAAAGGUCCCUUUGUUUUGGUGCAAAUGGGUCAAUAUGACACGAGGCGGGGUAACGGAAGACCCGCAAUACGGAAUGACAACAGUGGAUCUCAACAAUCUUGCGUAUGCAGACGAACCAUUCGUCCUAGCCAAUGAUGUGGCACAGGUUUUCUAUGUGAAGGACAUGUCUACCAAGCCAAGAAAAAGAAAAGAUAAGGAAGCGAAUGCAUCGUACGAUGAGCCAAAGCGGCACAUAGUUCUUCCUGGGAAGAGAAACAUCGUGGGAGUGGAUGACAAGACAGACAAGUCAGAAGAUUAUGAAAAGUUUGAUGAAAUUGCUCCAUUCACAGUGAAUAUUGACCCGAGCAUCCCGUUAAAUGAUGAAGAUUUUCCAUGGUUACGGUGCAAAGGGACACACGCGAAGAAAAAGUUUCACACCCAAAGAUCUGGGAUGUGAUCGGCUUCACUAUCAUCACUUUCUUCUGUGUCUCACACCCAGGAGGGAAUGUCUGUAAUAGUUAGGGUAGUUAUGUAUUUUGGCAUUUGAAACGCGAAGAAAUUUUAUGUGAAAACAAAUUCUUUUCAUGCAUUUACUGAUUUUUUUUCCAGCUAAAUGACCCUGAAAUUGAAAAGCAAUUCAAAUGAACUCAGAAAAGGUUGAAAGUUCGCAUGGUAUCAUAAUUUCAUACAAAUAGCAUGUGCAAGAAAGUAGAGAGGGUUACGGCAAAAACUAGAUGCACUUCGUGUAUAAAAUGGACAAUCUCUUUCGAAGUAUCAGGGUUUCCAACGAAAACUGAACUGUUACAAAGGCAUUUCAUUUUUUAAAUAACCUAAGCAUUACUAAAUUGAAUAUAAUGAUAAAACACACUAAUAUUAAACAUAAGAAAAAAGAAUCACUGAAAAAACUUUUUUCAAAGUUAAGUUGUUCACAAACUAGUGAUUCACACAAAUUUCAAAUAAUUCAAAAUUUAAACUAUUUAAAUUUGAAAUCUACCGGCACUAACAGAAAGUUUGUAAUUUUUUGUACCUAAAGCAAAAAUAUUCACAAAGAAACUCUAAAUACAGCAAAAAAAACAACUCAAAAAUAAAUAAAACAAAAAAAUAAAGCAAAAAAAAAAUUUAAGAAAAAAAAGCCCGCCUACUGGGCCAAAGCGGCCUGCAUACGACUAGCGACACAACCUUUCGUUGGGCCAGGAUGCAGGCCCGUGAAGGCCCAGUAGGCCCACAAGGCGAGGAGGACAGGUAGGCCCAGUAGGCCUGAUUAGGAGAGGAGCUCGAGAGAGCUACCGCACUGGGGCUUAUAAACCAGUGCGGUAGACCCUCGACUAGCGAGGUGGGACUAAACUUCCGCACCGCACCUGCGCCAGUGCACCACCUUUAGUACCGGGUCGUGGCACAAACCGGUACUAAAGGGGGGGUCUUUAGUACCGGUUUGUGCCACCACCCGGUACUAAAGGGGGUCGCUUCCCUCCGCUUGGCCUGGCCAAAACAGACCUUUAGUACCGGUUGGUGGCUCCAACCGGUACUAAAGGUGCCUUCUAUAUAUACAACUGCUACGAAAAUUUCAGUUUCCCUCUGUUUUCGCUCCUCUGUUCCGUCGUCUUCGUCGCCGUCGCCGCCGCCCUCGAUCGUCUCCGACGUCGCCNNNNNNNNNNNNNNNNNNNNNNNNNNNNNNNNNNNNNNNNNNNNNNNNNNNNNNNNNNNNNNNNNNNNNNNNNNNNNNNNNNNNNNNNNNNNNNNNNNNNNNNNNNNNNNNNNNNNNNNNNNNNNNNNNNNNNNNNNNNNNNNNNNNNNNNNNNNNNNNNNNNNNNNNNNNNNNNNNNNNNNNNNNNNNNNNNNNNNNNNNNNNNNNNNNNNNNNNNNNNNNNNNNNNNNNNNNNNNNNNNNNNNNNNNNNNNNNNNNNNNNNNNNNNNNNNNNNNNNNNNNNNNNNNNNNNNNNNNNNNNNNNNNNNNNNNNNNNNNNNNNNNNNNNNNNNNNNNNNNNNNNNNNNNNNNNNNNNNNNNNNNNNNNNNNNNNNNNNNNNNNNNNNNNNNNNNNNNNNNNNNNNNNNNNNNNNNNNNNNNNNNNNNNNNNNNNNNNNNNNNNNNNNNNNNNNNNNNNNNNNNNNNNNNNNNNNNNNNNNNNNNNNNNNNNNNNNNNNNNNNNNNNNNNNNNNNNNNNNNNNNNNNNNCCGGCCGUCACCUCGCCGUCGCCUCUCCUCGCCGUCGCCUCGCCUCGCCGUCGCCGUCACCCGCUGUGAGUCCUCCAGCCCCGAGCCCGCACACACACACACACACACAAGGAUGUUGAAUUAGUUUAGAUAAUUAGUCUUUAAUUAGUUUAGAUUAUUUAGAUUAUUAUUUUGUAUGUUUAAUUAGUUUAGAUAAUUAGUGUUUAAUUAGUUUAGAUUAUUUAGAUUAUUAUUUUUUCACUAUUAUAUAUGUAUGAAUGCAUGUUAGAUGGAUAUAAUUAGUGCUUAAUCAGUUAGAAAAUAGUGUUAUAUAGAAAUGUUAGAAAUUAAUGUUAUAUAGAAAUGUUAGAAAUGUUAGAAAUUUUAGUGUUAUUUAGAUUAUUUAGAUUAGCAUAAUUAGUGUUAUAUAGAAAUGUUAGAAAUCCAAUCAUUAAAAAAAUGUUACUUUUUGCGGGCAUAUAGCUAGUAUUUGUUCUCGACGAUGCCCGACCCGCAUCCUCGCCGUCGACCCGUCCGCGACGACGUCCAGCCGACCCAUGUUCGGGACUGGGCUCCGCCGGGCUGGCACUGGGAGGUGCUGCUUGGAGGGGCGCGCCGCUUGAUGAGGAACCCGGCCGCGGGUCCCGUCGUCGACCCUGAUCUCGUUUGGUGGCGUUCGCGUGGGCCAAUUUCGGUGCGGAGGGACCCGGCCCCGCCGGAGGUGGUACGUCGCCGUGUCAGGGAGGAGGACGAGCACGUCCAUCGCUACAUGGUUGCGUUAGAGGGCGGCAGGUUCUCCAAUACGUGGCAGUAUCUUCGGGGAUCUCACUUCAGCUAUGAUCCUGUGAGGGUUCCUUCUCUUUGGGUGUCCACCGCCCGCGCCGGAGGAACCGCGAGUGUCCUAGAUUCUUCUGUAGUAUUCGAUCUUUAUUAGCUAAUAGCCAGUGAUGUACUAUUCAAUAUUAUAUAUUAUUCGAGACGAUGUAUUCGAGAUUAUAUCUAUUAUUCUAGACGAUGUAUUCGAGAUUAUAUCUAUUAUUCGAGACGAUGUAAUUUGAAUACUAAAUUGUUUUAUAUUUCUUUUGGAUUAGUUAAAAAAAAGCUAUGGCAGACAAUACCGACAGAGAGGGAGAACAGACCAUGUUCGAUAUGAUACGCGGGCCAGAUGAUAAUCAGAAUGAAGAAGAUUAUGACGGCUCCAAAUUUCUAAACAACACCGAAGAGGGUGAUAUGAUAUUCGAUCGCGACGGCGAAAUUGAUGAAGUCAUGAACUAUGAUUAUGACGAUGACGAAGAACAUGUUGAUCCUGAAACAACAAACACCGGCGAGGUAUAUAUAUUUAUAUAAGCAGGCAUCUAGUGAUCAUCACAUGUUUUAAAUGACUUGAAGAUAUAUUAACGAAUCGAUCUUUGUUCUUUCAGCCAUCCGGAUCGAGCAAAUCUUCAAGCAAAAUGACGAAACGAGGCCCGAACAAAAAGUUGAAGCCGGGCGUAAAGUACAAUAUCGAGGCAUGCGGCCCUACUGGCAAACGAUUAGCGCCUAAGAAGAUUGCGGACAAGUUCGUUCGUCAGUGCGGAGUUCUUGUGAAGGACCAACUCCCGAUCAAACUUCAAGAAUGGAGAGCGCCAGCAAAGCCACGUCCAGAUGUUACUUUUGUCGACAAGAAUCAAAAAGAUCUGCUUUGGGAUACUCUCAUGGAACAUUUCACCCUACCAGAUCAUUUCACAGAAGCAGAUGUGCAGAAAGUCAAAGAGGCUGCUCUUAGGAUGAUGGCGAUUGCAUUCAAGAACUACAAGAAUCGUGAAUGGAACAAGUACGUCAAGGGAGGAAGGAAGACUCCAGUAUUCAAGGGAACACUGGAGAACCAAUGUGAUCAUUGGGACGAUUUCGUGAAAUUCAAGGAUUCGGAAUUAGCUAAGGAACGGUCGAGAAUAAACAAGAAGAAUGCCGAAAAAAAGGAUAAGUUCCAUAAGCUGGGGCCAGGUGGCUAUGCUGUGGCAAUGCCUAAGUGGGAUAAGUCUGAGAAAGAGAUGGAGGAUGCAGGUGUCACUCCGGCUACUAAGAGCUGGCCCCCCAGGGUCAGGACUUGGUUCUAUGCGCAUGGGGGGGGAGUUGGACCUGGAGACAGGCAAUGUUUCGACGAGGGCAAGUCUGAAGGGAGCCGACGAUGCGAUACUUGUUGCAAUAGAAGAGGCACGAACGGGGGUGUUCAAGCCCAACAGAGAGAACGACGAGCUUACGCGUGCCCUGGGAAAUCCUGAACACCCGGGAAGGACACGAGGCAAGGGCGCUAUGCCGUGGUAUGAGGGGUUUUCAGACUGGAACAACGACUACAGAACCCGUGCGAGAAAGAAGAUUGCGGAGGAGAAGAAGAGGAAGAUGGAGGAGGAGCAGAGGAAGCGGGACUAUGAACGCCUUCAAGGCCUAGAAGCAAUUCAAGCGGAAUUGGCAGUCAAAUUCCAGCGGCAGCAGGAGCAGAUCGACUCACUUACCCAUCAAAGGGGGUCUCAGCAGCUGCAACAGCUAGCGGAUGAUCCAGCAUUGGAUAGCACCGGCCCAUCCAUGCCGAGAAGCAGCGUGGGUUCCGUCCCGGACGAUGCAAUGCUGGGUAGAUACCCCGUGGAUGACAUCAUGGAGAACACUAACUGCGAGCUACACGUCAAAAUGAAGAACAUAUCCAUGAAGGUGGCGGACGGCUGUGCUUUCACAAAUCCCCCCGAUGCAACCUUCCAUUGCAACCCGAUUCCAGCGGGCUAUGCUCGUGUCUUGGUUGAUGAGGUGGUGGACCCACCAUAUUCGGGGCUACAGCUUGACAUUGCUGGAGUUGACGGCGAGCGCUUUCUCGGAGAGGCCAAACAUCGUAUCAUCCUAUGGAAAAAGGAUUGCAUCAUCUUUCGAAGGCCACCGACACCGCGUCAGCCGAGUCCUCAUCGAAGUCCGCCACCGAGUCAGCAGACUCCCGCUCCUGCAAGUCCACCAAGUCCGGCAAAGUGUCAGGCCACUCCUCCUCCAUGUCCGGCAAAGUGUCAGGACAAUCCUCCUCCUCCAAGUCCGCCACAACGUCAGACGUCCACUCCUCCUCCAAGUCCGGCACAACCUCAGGCCACUCCUCCUCGUCCAACUCAGUCCCGUCAACCGUCUCCGCCGCCUCAGCAAUCGCAGAAGAGACACCCCGCAGCUAUGGUUCGUAGCGGUACGAGUCAAGGUAGUACAGGAAGUACAGGCGGAGGCAAGCGAUAUAAAUAUGGUCCAAGCCUCAAGCCUCUUCCGCAGAGGUCUUAUGACAGGUCCGAGGAGGAAAUCACAGCCAUAUCGAAGGCCGAGGUGGAAGCCCAUUUUGCACCGAAACCGCCACCGCCGCCAAGGGAGAAAGUGCCUGAGGAAACGAUUGACCACUUCAUUCGUAUGGCUCAACCACCAGCUCCCAAGCCUGUUGACAUAGACUAUGAGCGCCACAUCAGGAAGUUAAAUCAAGCACGUCUACAAAGGGAGGCAAGCACGUCUACAUCGGGAUCGAGCAAACAAGAAGCAGCUGCCAAAAAAUGCGGGAAAACCAUUCCCCAGCUGGGAGAACAGGCGGCGCAAUUGAUCCCCUCGCUUGUUGUGCCAACAACAGGUGACAGUACACGCGCCCAAUAUUAUUGUGGGCAAACAGUGCAUGUUCCCGAGGUGGGCAAUGUGGUAAUAACGGAGGAGCAUAUAAUGCAGGCUGAAGUUCUCAACAUCACUGUUGGACAACUCCUCGAGAUCGAGCCCAUGCCUUUGCUUAGAGAGGAUGAAGUAAAACGGAAAUAUGUCCGGGGCCAACCUUUGGUCGCGCCAGACAAGGUCAAGAACCUCCCAACGAGAAUGUAUGAAUUGCAUCAAUGGUACAUGAACAUUACCAAGAUUUCAGAUCGAUUGUCCCUCAUGGUGAAUGUCAAGCAGGACCAUUACUACCAUGAGAAAGUUGUGUCCGUUGAGUAUUUAGAACUUUUUAGUUAUACAAUCAAGACGCACUCGACAAAUCUAUCAUCAGUUGCUAUUGUCUGUAAGUGAUUUCUUUCUAUAAUUUAAGUCUCAAGCUAGCUGUAGUGAUCCUUUUGAUCAAUCAUUACCUGUAAUUAUCCUCACUAUAUCUUUUUUGUGGUAUUAUGCAGGAUGAAGAUAUAUUAAAUGAGAAAAGGUGGACGCUUUGGCAUUGGGUUCAUUGACCCAAACACCGUUAAUGAAUACACAUGGAAGAUAAAUCAAUGUUAUGCAAAGGAAGUAGAGGACAACAUGCUAGAGUUCUUGAAGCGCCUCAAAUACAAUGAAUAUAUACUACUUCCUUACAACUUCCAGUGAGUCACACUGUCUUGUACUACAAAUUCUCUAUUUUUGCCUACUAGCUAGCUACAUGUUUUUGCUUACAUAUGCCCGCUUAAUUAAGACAUGAAAACGUGUGUGCAUGCAGAUAUCACUGGGUCUUGUGUAUCAUUAAGUUGACGCCGGAACAAUUGAAGUACUGGACUCACUAAUCUCAGAAAAAACUGACUAUAACAUCUUGUAUGGGAUAGUCAACGGGUAAUUUCAAUCAUUAUUAACUAUAUAUCUCGGCCUAUUUAGUUCGUCGUUUCAUGAUAUGAACUAUUUAAUAACCCCUUUAUUCAUUUUCUUUGUCGGCGGGCAGGGCUUGGACAAGGUUCAUCGCCGUCACGCCCGGCGAAUGGAAAAAAAGCUUAAAUGGUUUCGACCCAAGAUAAGCAAUUAAGUAGUACUAUAGCUCUAGCUAGCUAGCUGCCAUCUCUUUAAUUAUCAUGCUUGAUUAAUUUUUAUCUAAUUAAAUUCCAUUCUCGUAAAGGCCCUGAAGCAGGCGCAGGGGACUGAUCUGUGUGCAUUCUGCGUUUGCGAGAACAUUCGCAUGAUGGCGUCCGAAAGGAGUAGAUCUCAAAGACAGGAAUGGGUACGCUUGUCAGAACACUAUUCAUAAUUUUUACACCAUUAUCGAUAUCUAGUCACACAACUAAUACACAUGCAUAUUGAUCUCCUUCUUAACAGUUCAAAGAGGUGCAGGAGAAGCUCAUAGAAACGGAGUGCGUAGAAGCACUUCAAGAGGAAAUAGCGGGAUUUUUGCUCGACCAGGUCAUAAAUCCGAAGGGAGAAUUCUAUUACCCGCUACCGCCCCCAUGAAAACCACUUCCAAUUGUCAUCGUGCUCCGAAGGCACCAAUUAGGCUAAUGCCACUGGCUCCAAAGGCAACAUUCAUAUGUAGGAGAAAUUGUAUAUAGCUAUACAUGUGUGUAUGUGUGAAUUAAUUAAUAUGGCGGUUUGUGAGACAUUGAUGAUAUAUAUAUAUAUAUAUAUAUAUAUAUAUAUAUAUAUAUAUAUAUAGGACAAAUGUUUCCUACAAGCAGUGGUAGUUACCACCACUUGCGUUUUGUAUGUUGUAUGUAGUAUCUGUCGAAACGGAAAGUAUGUACGUGUAGUAUGUAGUAUAUAACAAUGUUUAGGUAGUAUAUAUACUAAUUUUUAGGUAGUAUGUAUCAUAUUUUGAGUAUGCUCUUUUUUACGUACAAAUAUGUACGUAUUUCACAAAUAUAACCAAAACUAUGGACUCAUAUGCAAUUUUUUCAUGUAACUUGUUUUGAAAUAUCUUAGAUAUAGUGUACGAACAUAUUUAAAAUAAUAAAAUAGUAUAUAUAAUACCGCAUGGUAGUAUAUGAGAUAUGUGGGGUAACUACCACCGGGUGGUAGGAUGGAUUUUCNNNNNNNNNNNNNNNNNNNNNNNNNNNNNNNNNNNNNNNNNNNNNNNNNNNNNNNNNNNNNNNNNNNNNNNNNNNNNNNNNNNNNNNNNNNNNNNNNNNNNNNNNNNNNNNNNNNNNNNNNNNNNNNNNNNNNNNNNNNNNNNNNNNNNNNNNNNNNNNNNNNNNNNNNNNNNNNNNNNNNNNNNNNNNNNNNNNNNNNNNNNNNNNNNNNNNNNNNNNNNNNNNNNNNNNNNNNNNNNNNNNNNNNNNNNNNNNNNNNNNNNNNNNNNNNNNNNNNNNNNNNNNNNNNNNNNNNNNNNNNNNNNNNNNNNNNNNNNNNNNNNNNNNNNNNNNNNNNNNNNNNNNNNNNNNNUAUAUAGACCUGCUAAAGUAAGCCUGAGCGCAUUAUUAUUUAGCCUACGCUCCGGCCGUGCGACCCAACCAGGUUCAUGCGCCUAAUUAACUGAACCGCCUUCUCCCCUCGUGUGCACGUACCUCGGUUUUUGGUGGGAACUCCAUCGUAAUUAUUUAAUGAAAUUACGACAGGUCCAUGCUUGUUCCUCCUCCCAUCACAUGGGCAUAAAGUAAUGAAUAAAUGAAACAUAGUAAUGGCUUACUAUAGUUAGCAAAGGGAACAUAGUAAUCAAUUACGUGGACAGUUUUUUAUAAAAUAGCAAACCUAAUCGUAAUGCUAUUACUACAUACCAAGUGACUAGCAAAAUUAGCAUGUGCGGAGCGGUAACACCGUUACCAUUAGUUCAUUUCUCAUGCAAAUUCGUUACCACUAUUGUAUUAUUUCAGUAGGUUACACUAUAAAUGAUAAUUUUAUUCCCAAUAUGUGGUAAACCAGUUACUAGAUGGACUACUAACAUAUGCUUACAAUUUUGGAACUAUAGCUUGAAAGUAGUUUCAAGUAUUUACUUGAAGCAAUUAUUUUUAUUUUUUAUUUGCAAAAUAAAUGAUUUUUUAUUCUAACAUUACCAUGUGAUUAUUUUAUGAUUAGAGAAUCAAGGAGUAGUGCAGAAGAGUCUAUAAUCAUUUUAGUUUUUUACCAUAUAUAUCAAGAGCACUUCAUUUUUUUCAUUCUUGCGAUCAUUCAAGUGUUUUUUCCAAGCACAUGUAGUAAUCCAUUACUACAUAUCGGACUGGUUUACUAGGUUUACCAUGCCCCAGGAUCAAGUCGUUCGUAAUUAUUUUUUCAUUACCAUCCACUCCAUCGUUUUUACUACUGCCAAUUAGUGAGCAGUAAUUUGUUACUACAUGUUAGCAAGAUUUUACUAUGUUUAGGGCUCAAACCAGCGAUCACUCAUUGCUUGGUAAGUAUUCUCUGUCCAUUACCAUCUCUAGUAUCCCCGUUACUGCCAAUGAAUAGUGAUCGCAGAAUCGGGAUACAGCGGACCAGGCAGGGUAAUAAAAUUAAAUGCGUUACUUUUUUUUGCAAGGACGGUUACCCUCAACCAAAUUAGUGAUGGAGAGCAGGCUUCUCCACGCGACCUGCCCGCCUAAUUAGCAUCGGCCGGAGCGCAUGCUAAGAUUUUUACCAUGCAACGAGUAAUGCAAUGUUUGAGCCCUAAUUGUAGUAAAACCUUCCUAACAUGUAGUAACGAAUUAGUACGUGCACUGGUAAUAGUAAACCGAGUAAAAUUAGGCCUAUAUGUAGUAAUGGAUUACUACAUGUCCAGGGUUUGAGCCCUAAUCAUAGUAAAACCUCACUAACAUGUAGUAACUAUUUACUACGCACACUAAUGCACAAAAAUGAUGAAGUCGACGAUAAUGAGUAAACCUAGUAAAAUAAGGCCUAUAUGUAGUAAUCCAUUACUACGUGUGCUGAUGAUAAUACAUUACUACUUCCAGCAGGGCCAAUUACUAGAUGGUAAUGGUUGGUCCGGGUUGUAGGCGUGGGAGGGAUGGGCUAAUCGUAAGUCAUUACUAAAGGAGGAACCUGGGCCUGGUUAAUCGUGUGGACGACGUGUAAGCCGUUACGGUAGAUUUCAUGGCGGAGCGCGCGCUUCGGCUAAUUAGCGCCUAUCGCCCGGUUGGGUCGAUGGGUGGGCGGAGCGUAGACUAAGUAAUAAAGAGCGCACGCUUAGUUUAGCAGGUCUAUAUAUAUAUAUAGGCAUGCUAAUCUAAGCCUGAGCGUAUACUACCUUAUUCUGCGCGCUACCAUUGUACGGGAACUAAAUUGGACCUUCCCACUCGCAUCGGCUGGAAUGGGUCCACUUAAUGUGGUGUGAGUGCAUUACUAGUUAACUUCAUCGUAAUCACAUGAUUAAAUGAUGGUAAGCAUGCUACGCUGGGUUACCAGUUUGGUUAGCCAAGUAUGGGUCGUAAAGUAUGUGCAUUCUAUAGUAAUACAUGUUUUUUCUUUUAAAAUGCUAUAGUAAUACAUGUUGUUUUGCCUUGUGGUGUGAUAGUAGUAACGAAGUCAGUUACUAUAUUUUCUAGUGUUAGUUACUACCAGGGGAAAUGUGGUUGAGCGUAGUAGUAACUAUGUGCCCUAAUUAUGGUACGUGCCAUGGAAGUUGUGGGUGCAACAGUAAUUCCAUUACUAUUGUUUGAACGUUCAUUUACUAUGUGCUUAAAUUGUGAUGCAUGAAGGAGAUGUAGUCUGUGCAGGUGUAACCUAAUUAGUAUGUUUACUAUUUUUUUCACCUAAUGUUACUAUGCAACAUAUGGCGCAAGGCCGGAGGUGGUGGGUGCAAUGGUAACCAAAUUAAUUCUUUUACUAUAUUUUACAAUGAUUGUUACUAUGAUUAGAAGAACGCCGGGGAUUACUAUUCUAGUAGCUAUUUUAGCUGGAAUAGAAUAAAGUCUAGUUUGCCGAGCGGAGUGUUGUGCGUGACUAGCAGUAUCCAUUUUAAUUCCAUUACUUUUUCCUGCAUCCGGUUUUACCAUUAUGAUUAGCGGGUGGCACGGAGCCACGGGGCGGUGGUGGGGCGCGUGAAGUGGUAACAUAAAUUAAAUGCAUUACCAUAUUUUCUAUUUCUGUUUACUCUCAAACAAUUAGCGGGGACGAGGAUUGCGCUGAUUUAGCGACCGGCGCGUAGAAUAAGAGCUUUGCGCUCUCGCUUAGUUUAGCGCNNNNNNNNNNNNNNNNNNNNNNNNNNNNNNNNNNNNNNNNNNNNNNNNNNNNNNNNNNNNNNNNNNNNNNNNNNNNNNNNNNNNNNNNNNNNNNNNNNNNNNNNNNNNNNNNNNNNNNNNNNNNNNNNNNNNNNNNNNNNNNNNNNNNNNNNNNNNNNNNNNNNNNNNNNNNNNNNNNNNNNNNNNNNNNNNNNNNNNNNNNNNNNNNNNNNNNNNNNNNNNNNNNNNNNNNNNNNNNNNNNNNNNNNNNNNNNNNNNNNNNNNNNNNAUUGGUUAAAGUUAUCUCCCGUCCCAUCCGUGGCUAGUAUGCGUCCAUUUGAUCCGACAUCUCACAAGCAAAGAUUUUAGACUUAAAAGACGUUGGUUUUCAUCGGAUACAUGCCUUCUUAAAAAUACAUGAAUACUUUUUAAAAUAUAAUGAACAUUAAAAAUAUAAUGAACAUCGGAUACAUGCCUUCUUAAAAAAAUUUCUUCCUUUUUUUUGAGGGGUAACAAAAUGUAUCUUCCAUUUAACAAACAUCAGGGCUAGUUUUUUUUUUUUUUGAGCAACUCAUCGGGGCUAUGUACGUAUGGCCUGGUGCCUGGCGUGUCUGUCAACCCAAGAGUCGUAUGCUUUUGUAAGCACUGGUCCCUGGCCCGUUAAUACGGCCCGGCCUGUGCGCGCUACGAUUCAGGGAUUCGUUGCUUCCCCCAGAAAAAAAAUACGUAUUACUUCCGUCCGUCCGGCUGCAGCUAGGGCUUCAUCUCCUGUACGCAGCUGGAUAUGAUUUAAUCACCUGGCAGGCACGAAGCUUCUUUAUUUACGACUACAUACAAGAGGCGCCGUUCGAUGGAUGCUAACUAGGUAGAGAUGACAUCGUCGAGAAGCAACUACCGCGUGAUGACGGCGGAGGAAGAGGAGGAGGCCGGCUUGUGCGUGGGCUGGAUCUUCCUCUAUAUGGCGGUGCUCUACCUCGGCUUCUUCGCCUUCUCCGCCGUGAUCUCCUACACACACGUGUUCGCCCGCGCCACCAGGUUCGACAAGAUCUUCUGGGGGGUCUUGGGAGUGCCCUGUCUGCUCAUCGCCGCCGGCAUCAUCUACCUGCUUCUACGGGAGGACUCGCCCUUCCGCAACAAGCGUGCCACCGCCCGUGUCGCUGACCUGCCGCCCGCCGAUGUGUGCUAGCCAUCCUUGGUUAUUUCUAGUGCAUGAAGUGAUUGAUGAUGUUUCACGUUUCAUCGAGUUUAUUUCACUUUCCGCUUGCUAGCUGUGACUAUCUUUUUCUUCCGUUAGAAUAUGCUUUUGCUAUAUCUUAGUUGGUAUUAUUAAUUUUGGGUUCCGAUAACGUCCAUACGUGUGGGCGUUAAGGAGUCUGGCCACACGUUUCGUGUGGUAUAUAAAGAAUCAGUUCACACGUCUACGUGUGGGCAAAACAAAUAAUGCCCACACGUUCAGUCUUUUGCCUCCCAGUCCCUCUCACACGCCUACGUGUGAGCAAAAUAGAUAAUGCCCACACGCUCGUACUCACAGCCCCGCACGCUCCGCGUGACAGUCAUCAUGCGUUCCCGCAGUUGCCAUGGUCUGGACUCUCUUUCAUUUCCGUUUAACUAUAGUUGCCAUGUUGCUGAACUACAGUUGCCACGUCUGACAACUACAGUUGCCAUAAUUGCUCAACUGCAGUUGCCAUCUCAGGUCAAGUGUUGGAUGCCAUUUUUGGACAACUGCAGCUGUUGCCAUGUAUGGUCUGGCCUACUACAGUUGCCAUGAUUUGAAAACUUUAGAAGUUGCCACCUAUAACACUAGGCAGUUGCCAUGUAGCACUACAAAAAAGGCAUGAAAAAAAAACAUGUUCUGGUAACGAGAGAGUUGUCAUCUGCUUACAAGCACGCUAGGGCAGUUGCCAUGUACCCUGCAAAAAUACAUGGCAACUCGGGUAAAAGAGACUUGCCAUCUGCUUACAAGCACGCUAGGGCAGUUACCAUGUACCCUGCAAAACACAUGGCAACUGACAGUUUUGGGUGUGGGAGAGGAGACAGGCGUGUGGGCGAACUGAUAAACGCUCACACACCAGCCCCUCUGCGUGCGUGAAAACUGGUUGUGGGCGAACUGCUAAAUGCCCACACACCAGCCCCUCCGCGUGGUGAAACAGACGUGUGGGCGACUAGAUGAAUGCCCACACACCAGCCCAGUCGUACGUGGCAUAAAUUUUUUGGCAAAACAUGCAAGAUUCGUGCAAACAGAAACGGACGUUGAUCCAUACGUGUGGGCAAGAUGCAAACAUCCACGCGUAUAAGCGUUAGUAUUUUCCUUAAUUUUCUUCGUGAGGAGGGGAACUAGGAACGUCCUCGGCUUACCCGCUAUUACUUGCCGCUUAGACGACACCGCAUACCAUAGAUCUCAUGUUGGUAUCUUUGUAGUUGUUUUCCAGAAAGUAGGUGUUUGUCCGGCUUGGGUGAACUAAAGCUCUUAAAUCAGAUAAUGUAAAAGUUAGUGCCAAAAACAAGUUGAGAUUUUGCUACAAAUCCAUUUGCCGUGAUUAAAAAUCUAACGCCAGAUUUUGAUCACUACCAAAAAAGUUUGAGGGCAGGAGAGAGAAAGUUUUAGGACACAAGAGAAUUUUCUUCUCUAAAAAACGAUGUAAGAUUGGUAUGGGCGUGGUACACGUCCGCCAGCCGAUCUUUUUCAAAGAUCGACCGGGCCGCAAGCCAUUAGGUUUAACCCAUUGAGUGGCGCGUGUUACUGUCCACCAUUGCAACACAUGCUUUGUUGCAAAAAUUUCUUACAACAGACUUUUUGUUGCAGAAUAUUUUACAGUAGACUUGUUGCAGAUUUUUCUGGCAACAAUUUUGUUGCUGAAUUUUUUGCAACAACCGUGUUGUUGCGGAUUUUUUUUGCAACAUAGUACUUGUUGCAAAAUUAUAUCUACAAAAUGAAGUUGCGUCGCAUCACAUUAGUGGUUCUUAAGAUUUGCAACAACAACGUUGUUGUUGAAAAUAGGUGCCCGCACUUGACUUCGUGCCGAGGACAUGUGGCGGACAACGGAGGCGGCAGACGCAUUGUGAUUAUCAACCGGACGAAGUCAAUCAUUUCCCAAAUUGGUGCCAAAUUUGGUUGGCCUACUUAAACUAUUAAAACAUGUUCAACAAAUAUAAAAUUAAACUAAUGCCAAAUGAAACCAAAACAAAUAUAACAUAAAUAAUACUCACUACCAAACAUGCCCGUGCAUUGCACCUUAGAAAAAUAAUAUCAUACGGACAUUGUGCAAUAAGCAUAGCUUAAUAUAUCCUCCCAAUAUAGAUGCAUGUCCUUUAUUUCAACAUAGUGUUCACAUGCGUGCUUUGCAAGAGGAGAAAUAAAAUCACAUGUCCCUCAUCCAAUAAGCAUGGCUCAAUACCUACACAGGACUACAUUAUCUAUUUCAGCGUAGCGCCUCACUUCUGUGUCACAUGCCCCUAAUCUAAUAAGCAUGCCUCAAGACCUAUACAUGUGUACAUUAUCUAUUUCAGCAUAGCGCCCCACUUGUGCUGCCGCUUGGCUGGGCAUAUUUUACAUAAUUUUGAGUUACUCUGUUUGAGCUUACAUUUCUAUAUUGUAAAGAUAAAUUAGUUUUUGUAUGUUUCAAGUCAGAAUGUCAUAAUUGCUUAAGCAACAAAUAGCAACACAAUCAAGUAUGCCAUCCCACAUAGAAAACAUGCGUUGAUUUUUUUUUUUGAAACAUACAAAGAGUCGAAAACUUAUAAAUGUUGUGUAGAACAAUUUUUUGGACCUUAUAUAAUUAAUUCAUUUGGAUCAAGUUCUCAUGCGUGGCCAUGAUUUGCCAACUCGCAUCGCUUCACCGUGCCUCCCUUCUAAAUAAAAUAUCACUUGAAUUAGACGAAAUAGAUGAAUGCAAACAUGUAUAGAAGUUCCUGCCCUUACAUUGCUUUAACCUUUCUAUUACAAAGAAUAGAUUGAUGAUGUUGGAAAUAUUAGCACCUUAUCAAUUAAUUUAAUUCACGAGUAAACAGUAAGCAUGGCAAUCACAAUAUGCAUAUCAUACUGAUACCAAAGCAUGUGAGCACGUACACUACAUCGAACCGAAACAUCUAUGAACACAACAUAUAUGGCUAGCACAUGAACGAGCAAAUAGGGGAUGAACGAAUAAUACACUCCAGUUGGCCAGGCCAACGCGGGCCUCGGCGUCAUCCAUGGGCUUCUUCUUGGCAGCAGCGCCGUCGACCAUGGUGUCGAUCCAGGGGAAGUAGUGGAAGUAGAGGAGGACAGAGACCGUGACAGAUUGGGAGCACUCACUGUUGGUGUCAAAACCGGCGGAUCUCGGGUAGGGGGUCCCAAACUGUGCGUCUAAGGCUAAUGGUAACAGGAGGCGGGGGACACCAUGUUACCUAGGUUCGAGCCCUCUCUAUGGAGGUAAUACCCUACUUCCUGCUUCAUUGAUCUUGAUGAUAUGAGUAUUACAAGAGUUGAUCUACCACGAGAUCGUAGAGGCUAAACCCUAGAAGCUAGCCUAUGAUUCUGAUUGUCCUUGUCCUACGGACUAAACUCUCCGGUUUAUAUAGACACCGGAGGGGGCUAGGGUUACACAUGGUCGGUUACAGAGAAGGGAAUCUACAUAUCCGAAUUGCCAAGCUUGCCUUCCACGCAAAGGAGAGUCCCACCCGGACACGAGACAAAAUCUUCAAUCUUGUAUCUUCAUAGUCCAACAGUCCGACAUAAGCAUAUAGUGCGGUCGUCCGAGGAUCCUCUAAUCUAGGACUCCCUCAGUAGCCCCUGAACCAGGCUUCAAUGACGAUGAGUCCGGCGCGCAGAUUGUCUUCGGCAUUGCAAGGUGGGUUUCUUCUCUGAAUACUCCAAAGUAGACCUUGAACACAAAAAUCGUGUCCGGCUCUGCAAAACAAACCCCACAUACCACCGUAGAGAGCAUAAUAUUCCACAAGUCUAAUCUGCUGACAAGUUUCCCAUAGCGUGACAUCACGCCGUAGCCCGGUCAUUAUUCGAACCGUUUUCUCAACCUGCUACUGCACAUCUUGCGAGGCGGUUUUAUUGGCACAUCUUGUCGAAGUAGAGAUCGUGUCCCCUUAUCACGGGAUUCUCAUCAAUACGGGUGUGGGUAACCCAACCGCGCCAUUAACACAGCGCUUGGGGAAUAAGCGAGUUUCCAGGGCAAGUGGGGAGGCGCAUGAUUUCUGCUUCCUUUACAAAGAGACAAGAAUUCCCCUUUUUCACCCACGCCUUCCACUUCUUCCGCCUAUUCUCCAUCGCCCGAGCUCCAGCGCCCAAGCCUUCACCUUCUCCACCCAUAAAUGUUCUCCGAGAAUGUCCAGAUCUGGAGCAGGAGGCAAAUGGAUGGCUGAGGGAGUCCUGGAUUAGGGGGUAUCCGGACAGUCGGACUGUGUACAACGUCUGGACUAUUGAAGCGUGAACAUACAAGACUCAAGACUUUGGCCCGUGUCCAGAUGGGACUUUCCUUGGCGUGGAAGGCAAGCUUGGCGAUCCAGAUAUUAUAUUUCCUUCCUUGUAACCAACUUCAUGUAAACCCUAGCCCUCUCCGGUGUCUAUAUAAACCGGAGAGGUUGGUCCUUAGAAGGCCGAUCACAAUUACAAUCAUACCAUCAUAGGCUAGCUCCUAGGGUUUAGCCUCUACGAUCUCAUGGUAGAUCUACUCUUGUACUACCCAUAUCAUCAAUAUUAAUCAAGCAGGAAGUAGGGUUUUACCUCCAUCGAGAGGGCCCGAACCUGGGUAAACAUCUGUGUCCCUUACUUCUUGUUCCCAUCAGCCUUGACGCACAGAUCAGGACCCCCUACCCGAGAUCCGCCGGUUUUGACACCGACAUUGGUGCUUUCAUUGAGAGUUCCUCUGUGCCGUCGCUGUCAGGCUCGAUGGCUCCUUCAAUCGUCAUCAACGAUGCUGUCCAGGGUGAGACUUUCCUCCCCGGACAGACCUUCGUGUUCGGCGGCUUCGCGCCGCGGGCCAAUUCACUUGGCCGCCUGGAGCAGAUCGACGGCUAUGCCCCCGGCCAUCAAAUCAGGUUCGGAAACCUGAACUACACGACGGAUAUCCGUGGAGACUUGAUCUUCGACAGAUUCGGGCCAGCGCAAGAAGCGCCGGAUAGUCAUGAUGAGCACGGCUUAGACUUGCUGUCGCACGUUGCUCGGGAUAUCACCCUGGCAAAAGCCUCGGAUCUAAAUCCAGGGCACGUUGCUUUGCGUAAGGACGGGGGGUUGGACCCCGCCCCGCAGGCCGUACCCUCAUCGGCGAUGGAGCCGAACACAGGUCUCACCUCUGAGGGAGCCUGUGACUCCAGACCCCCGGAUUCAUAUCCGGACGUAGGUCCCAGUCCGUGCGCCCCCGAGCCGGCCGAUCCUGGUUGGGCUCCGGUGAUGGAGUUCACCGCGGCGGACGUCUUUCAGCACUCGCCCUUCGGCGACAUGCUGGACUUAUUGAAGUCUCUCUCCUUGUUAGGAGACUCCGGGCCGAACUAUGUCCGGCUCGAGUGGGAAGCAGACAACAACGGAAUUCGUUGCCCGCCCACCACCCACUUCAUUGCCACGAUCGACGAUUUAACCGACGUGCUUGACUUCGACUCCGAAGACAUCGACGGUGUGGACGACGAUGCAGGAGGACUACAGGGACCACCGCGUACAGGGCGGUGGGCGGCCACCUCCUCAUACAAUAUAUAUAUGGUGGACACCCCAACGCAAACCGGUGGCGGUGAGGCAAAGGAGGAUAACCCCUCAGGGAGAAAAGCAAAAAGUGUGCGUUAUCAGCACCACUCCAAGCCCCGCCACAUCAGAAACGGCCCCGGAAACGAGAGCAGUCCGGACGGUGCCAAAGAGGAAUACAACCCUAGUCAGCCUACACUUAAGCAGGUCGGACUAAUGACGAUGGGACGCUUGGAGAGGGACAAUCACACACCCCCCUCCAACGAUGAGGCAAGCAAGUUUGCUUCAAGUGGCUCCAUAAGACCGGAAGACCCAGUGGAACAAGUUCGCUUCAAGCGACGGCUCAGGGCUACCGCAAGGAGCCUGCAAAGGAAGCAAGCGCAGCUUACAGCUGACCAAGAUGUGCUAGAGGAUAGAUGGACCAAGAUACUGGCUGCCGAAAAAUACGAACUCGACAGCCGCAAUAAAGGGCACACACGACACAACUGGCUGCCUCAACUCGAGCAGGAAAACCACGGGCACGCACACAGACGCCCACACAUCACUAUGGUCCAAGGCGGCAAGAAGCAGACACGAAGAGGCACCCUCAGACCUCGACACAAAGGUCAUAAACAUCAAGACAAGGAAGCUGGUGCCAAGUCCGGCAACGCUCAGUCCGCUAAACAGACAAAGAACAGCACAAGCCUACUCGACCGAAGACACACGCUGGAUCAGCCGUGUGAAAUUCACGGUACCCCCAGAAGGACGGCAAAGCAUACCUAUAGAGAAUGCAUGAUCCUCAAAACAAAGCGGCUGGUCGCACGCCGGAAGCAAUAAGGGAGAUGCAUCAUCAAGCCCCCCACCCCCCAGAGCGUAACAGUACGGCCGACCGCCCAGGACCACAUAAACCACGGCAAGUCAAUUGCAGUGCCCCUAGACCUAGUAGUCCAGGGGCUCCAUAACACACAAAGCCCACAAGGGUAUGACGCCAUGGAAAACAUCUCCUAAAAGAUGUAAGGCGCUAAGGCCAAGUUUUAUUGGCCCACCACUCUAAACGGUUGACUUUGGAUCACCCAAAAAUGCUACGCCAAAGAAUAAAUCCUCGGCACCUUCCCACCAUACGAUAAUUUACCGUAUGCUAACGGGAAAAACCACGUCGACUAGAUUCCACGCGGUAAAUUACCCAGGCCAACCAUCUGGACAUCCAUUGCGGAGUCCGCACUACCUCACGGUCUAAUGGCUGGGCACACCAGGGCCCGAUUAGGGACCCUGGGAGCAACAACAAGAGGACACCUAGCUGCCUUCAAGCAUUUCGCAUUUGCAAACUAACGAUUGAUGCAGAAUAGAACUGGAGACAUGGAAUUAUCCCGGACACACAAAGGAAGGAACAUGCAGGUAGAAGGCAGUUCGGAUUCAUUCUCGAUCCACUCACAACCCCCUCCAGUCCGGCCACAACAGGUUCCGCCAAAUAACACCUCUCUCCAUACAUCAUACUCAUAUGCAUAGACAUAUCAUCCUACUACAAUGCCUAGACUUAAAUAGCAAUUACCGUCUGUCAUUUAUCGCCGACGCCUCUUUGCCGAAAAUGACAGCCAUGCUUCGCGUUCGCCUGGUUAUACCAGGGGCUCCACAGUACGGCAAUAAAGUCCGACCACCUUUUCGAUCGUUCGGCACCCCGAACUUAUAGCACUAUAUGCAUCUGCUCUGAAUCAUGUCUUGGGUCAUUGGUUGGGUUUGCCUGGCUCCCAUGUUUUGGUACCUUAUGUUCCGUUCUAGCGGCUAAGGUGCGCUGUGAGAACUACUGCGAUUGUGUCCCGGUUCAGCCGGACGAGCACCACAGUAGAGAAAGCCGAAAACCGACUGUCAUGAUAAAGCGAGAGCCGGUCCGCUAUUCGAGAGGUUGUAAAAUCCUUAAAGAUUUAUUCCGCACAACACCAUUGUAAAUGCUAAGUGCGACGGAUCGGUCUUCUGAUCAGGCGCCAAUAGAGCCCCUAGUUCGGUCUUCCGAACACUAGGGGCUGCGCCGACCAUACUCGAAUUCCUAUGGCUAAGUGAGAGUAAUAAAGCCUUAUAGUCCGAUUGCCUGGUUCGCGGAAAGAUACACCUCCUUAAAAGGACCCAACUAUGGGAUAAAGAGCGUUCAGAUAUGUCCCGAACACCCCCGUAUCCUUUUUACGAGGGGGCAGAAGCCGACGCCUGGCCAACUCCCAUAAUUUGCAUACAAUAAACAGCCAUACAGGAAGAACAUAUGUUCAAAUAAAACAUGCAAUAUAUAAUAAACAUGCUAUUAUCCCAUAUCACAACAAGUGGCACAGAUGCCCUUAGGGAAAUAUGAUGUCUUAGCACACUUGUCCGCCACAAGGCGGCCCCCUUUCAUCACACCUUCAUAAUACAGCUCGGGCUUGCGGUGCUCCUUACCCUCCGGCGGCCCCUCAGUGAUCAACUUUUCUGCGUCAAGCCUCCCCCAAUGCAAUUUCGCAUGGGCAAACGCCAUACGCGCGCCUUCUAUGCAGACUGAUCGCUUGAUAGCAUCAAGCCAAGGACAGACGCCCACAAUCCGCUUGACGAGUGCGAAGUAGCUACUUGGAAUCGGCUCUGCAAGCCACAGCCGGACAACUAAGUCCUUCAUGGCUAGUUCGGCCACCUAGUGCAGUUCGACCAGCUGUUUCAUCUGAUCGAUAAAUGGCACCGGAUAGUUCGGCGCCAGAUACUGCGACCAGAAAUCCCUCUCCGCAGUCUUCUUCUCCUCGGUGCGGUAGAAUUGAGCGCCUUCUGAUAUGCUGCGAGGAAGAUAUGCAAAAGCCCCUGGAAAAAUAAGAAUUCAGCUUGCUGCUUGGAUUCUUCACAUUCUAACAUAUACAAAGCUAAGAAUACAGAAGGCCUUACCAGCCGCCACUUUCCGGGCCUCUUGAAUGUCCUGCGCAGAACCUCGGGCUUCUUCCCGAGCACCUUCUGCAUCCUCGAGAGCUUGGGCAAGCUCGGAUUCUUUCCCUUCUAGACUCUGGUCCAAGCCCUCGCUUUUCUUCACAGCUUCCUGGAGCUCUCGCUCAGCUGUGAUAACCCUGGCCUCGUGUUUUUCGCGAAGCGCCUGUUCGGCCUCAGCCUUCUUGUUGGCAUCAGUCAAAGCUUUCUUUAGUGCCUCGUAUUCGGCACCCGCUCCUAGAGCACACAAUACUAAAACUUUUUAUUCUGCAGAACCAUUCGUUCGUGCCAUCUCCAAGACAAAUGUUUUCAACAUACCUUGCUUGUCUUCCAGUUGCUUUCUCACACAGCCGAGUUCUUCCUCGGCCCGUGCAAGGCUCUGCUUCAGUUCGGACACUUCCGCAUUGAAAGCGAACAUCCUCUCUGCGGAUGCCUGUUUUCACACCAAAGGGUAUACGUUAUAGGCUCCUGCGAAGGCAGGGGGUUUGAUCCCCUGCCCGGCUCUGUCUCCUUCGCCGGACAGUGCAUCAGGGGCUACUACUCAUAUUAUGACAAAUUCCUCAAGGGUUUCCUAGGAAACAUACCUCAAAAGCCUUUAUAAGGCUAAGGCAGGACGCGUUCAGCCCGCUCUCGGUGGACCGAAUCCUUUCAACCACCUCGCCCAUAAGGGCCCAAUGCUCAUCGACAAUAGACGCGUUCUUCAACGCUGUCGAUAGACCGCCAGGAAGCUCUGCUUGAACAGAAGACGCCGGCAGCAUAGCUAGGCCCCCCGCCAUCAGGGGUGGCUGCUCGCUUGAUCCUGGAACCCUAGAGGUCCCGAGGGCCGUAUCCAUCCCCGCGUGUUCGGUACCAGGGAUAUGUCCUCCCCGGUCCGGGUCUUGUCGAGAUGACACCUUAGUGUCAUGCCCAGACUCGGGGGAAGGGGCCCGCGGAGGCGUCUCGCUCGCCAAAGCGUCCGAGUCUAGUGAAUCCUCCGACGAGGACUAGCCGACGCAGGACCUUGCCGGAGUGUGCAAUAUAUAGGCAACAGUCAAAACUACUACACCCAAAAAACAAUCCCGGACACAUGUGCAUGUUCGGAUACUUACGACUUCUCCAGGGGCUGGGCCAUGGGAUCCCUCUCUGGGCUGCUACCGGCAGCCGUAGGGGAUGCCCUUGGGAGGGAAUUUUUCCCCCUCUUGGGCGAUCCGGCCUCCAGAGAGGUGGAAGCCGUCCUCUUCCUCCCACCGUCAGGGUGAGGCUCAUCCUCCUCUGCUUCCUCCUCCUCGCCCUCGGACGAAGGAUCGUCGCUAGAGUCUUCGGAUUUGGCGUCCGAAGCCUCGCGACGCUGAAGGCCACCCCGGGUCUUCUUGACCUUCUUGGAGGCCUCUUUCUUUGGCGCCUUGUAAGGCGCGGGGACCAGCAUCUUCGUCAGAAGAGGUCCGGACGGUUCCUUCGGCAGGGGGGCUGGACAAUGUAUCCGCUCCACCUUCUUUAUCCAUCCCUGAGGUUGCAAUGAAACACGAUUAAGGUGUCUCCCGCAUAACAUGCCAGCUGAGGCAUGAAUAGACGAAGUGCGUCUGUGACUUACCGAGCUUGGAGAAUGGGAUGAUCGAUACCCACGGUCCUCGGCGGGGCCCGACCACGAUUUUCCGGACUUAAAGAGCACCUUCCAGAUAUCCUUGUGGGAGGAAUCAUAAAGCUCCCGAAGGGUUUGGUGCUCAGCCGGGUCGAAUUCCCAUAGGGUACAAGCUCGACGCUGACAAGGGAAAACCAGGCGAACUAGCAUCACCUGGACUACGUCGACGAGUUUGACGUCCCUAUCGACCACACCCUAGAUGCGCGUCUGUUGCAGUAACGGCUCAUCGGACGAGCACCAGUUCGGGCCCUUCUCGGGCCAGGACUCUGGAGCUGCCGCCCACUUCUUGCCGCGUGGUUCGGUGAUAUAGAACCACUGCUGCUGCCACUCCUUGACGGAGUCAAUGAAAGCACCUUUCGGCCAAACGGCCUUGGGCAUCUUGCUUACCAUGGCGCAGCCACACUCGACGUGUUCGCCACUCACCACCUUGGGCUUCACAUUGAAGAUCUUCAGCCAUAGGCCGAAGUGAGGUGGGAUCUGGAGAAAAGCCUCGCACACGACGAUGAACGUCGAGAUGUUGAUGAAGGAGCUGGGGGAAAUAUCGUGAAAAUCGAUCCCGUAGUAAUACAUGACUCCCCAAAUGAACGGGUGAAGGGGAAACCCGAGCCCACGGACAAAAUGGGGAAGGAACACGACUCUCUCAUGAGAUUCCGGAGUAAGGAUGACCUGUCCCACAGGUGGAAGACGGUGACCGAUCUUCUGGGCCAGAUACCCGGCUCCCCGGAGCUUUUUGAUGUCCCUCUCUUGGACAGUUGAGGCCAUCCAUCUACCUCCUGCUCCGGAUCCGGACAUCUUCGGGAAACUUCCCUUCAACGGGGAAGAAGAGUGCUUGGGUGUUAGGGCUCGCACAGAGGGCAAUGAGCUAGCGGAAGGAGAAGGCGUGGGUAAAAGAGAAAGGAACCUAACCUCCUUAUAAAGGCGAUAGUCGCCACUUGCCUGGUGGAACCCGUCUACCUCCCACUCGCCGCGGUUAGCGGCACGGUUAGAUUAGCCAUACCCGUAUUGAUGAGAAUCCCGUAAUAAGGGGACAUGAUCUCUGCUUUGACAAGACGUGUCACGGAAACCGCCUCGUAAUAAGCAUUGUGGCUAGUUGUGGGGAAACGGUUCGAAUGAUGGAUCCGACCGUAAUAACAUAUCACGUCAUUAGGGAAAAACUGUCAGCAGAUGGCCUUUGUGAAAUAUCAUUCCCUCUACGGUGGCAUAUGAAGACUGAGGGAGUCCUGGACUAGGGGGUGUCCGGACAGCCGGACUAUCAUCGUCUGCCGGACUCCAAGACUACGAAGAUACAAGAUUGAAGACUCCGUCCCGUGUCCAGAUGGGGCUUUCCUUGGCGUGGAAGGCAAGCUUGGCGAUACGGAUAUGUAGAUCUCCUACCAUUGUAACCAACUCUGUGUAACCCUAGCCUCCUCCGGUGUCUAUAUAAACCGGAGGGCUUUAGUCUGUAGGACAACAUACAUUACAACAAUCAUACCAUAGGCUAGCUUCUAGGGUUUAGCCUCCUUGAUCUCGUGGUAGAUCCACUCUUGUACUACCCAUAUCAUCAAUAUUAAUCAAGCAGGACGUAGGGUUUUACCUCCAUCAAGAGGGCCCGAACCUGGGUAAAAACAUCGUGUCCCUCGUCUCCUGUUACCAUCCGCCUAGACGCACAGUUCGGGACCCCCUACCAGAGAUCCGCCGGUUUUGACACCGACAUUGGUGCUUUCAUUGAGAGUUCCUCUGUGCCGUCACCGAUAGGCCCGAUGGCAUCUUCAACCAACAGCGCUGUCCAGGGUGAGAUUUUUCUCCCCGGGCAGAUCUUCGUAUUCGGCGGCUUCGCACUGCGGGCUAAUUCACUUGGCCAUCUGGAGCAGAUCGAAAGCUACGCCCCUGGCCGUCAGGUCAGAUUCGGAAGCCUAAACUUCACGGCAGAUGUCCGCGGAGACUUGAUCUUCGACGGACUCGAGCCACAGCCAAGCGCGCCGCACUGUGACGACGGGCAUGAUCUAGCUCUGCCGCCGAAUAGUGCCUUGGUGGCCGCACACGAAUCCGCUUCGGCCAUUAGUCCGGAGCUGAUCGCCCAGAUCGAGGGCCGGUGGAUAGACGCCGCCCUGGGGGCUUCAACAUCCACGGCAACGGAGCCGAACACUAAUUUUGUCCCUUGCGAAACUCGUGAUUCCAAGGCGCCGGACUCCUUGCCCGACUCCGAACCUCCCGCGCCCCUACCAAUCGAUUCGGAUUGGGCGCCGGUUAUGGAAUUCACCGCCGCGGAAAUCUUCCAACACUCGCCCUUUGGCGACAUCCUAAACUCGCUAAAGCAUCUCUCGCUAUCGGGAGAGCCCUGGCCGGAUUAUGGCCAGGAUGGUUGGGAUAUGGACGACGAAGAAAUUCAGAGCCCACCCACCACCCACUUUGUAGCCACUGUCGACGAUCUAACCGACAUGCUAGACUAUGACUCCGACGACAUCGAUGCUAUGGACGACGAUGCCAGAGACGAACAGGAACCAGCGCCUACAGGGCACUGGAACACCACCUCGUCAUACGACAUAUAUAUGGUGGACACCCCAAAAGACGGGGACGGCGAAGAAGCAGCGGAGGCAGACUCUUUAAAGAAGCAGCCCAAACGCCGGCGUCAGCGGCGCCUCUCUAAAUCCCGCCACAACAAGAAUGGAGAUUCCGGCACAGGAGAUAAUAAUACUCCAGAGAGUGCCGAAGACAAUCCCCUCCCGCAAGACUCGGCGCAGGAGGAUGCAGAAGCAAGCCCUCACGAGAGGGCGGCAGACGAAGAGGUUGAGGAUCAUAACUAUACGCCCCCCUCCGAAGACGAGGCAAGCCUCAACGAUGAUGAAUUCGUCGUACCUGAGGAUCCCGUCGAACAAGAGCGCUUCAAGCGCAGGCUUAUCGCCACAGCAAACAGCCUAAAGAAAAAACAGCAGCAGCUUCAAGCUGAUCAGGACCUGCUGGCUGAUCGAUGGACCGAGGUCCUCGCGGCCGAAGAGUAUAAACUCGAACGCCCCUCCAAAAGUUACCCAAAACGCAAGCUGCUCCCCCGAUUAGAGGAGGAAGCAUACAUACCUCCAUCACCAGCGCACGAUAUGGCUGACCGACCACCCCGUGGUCGUGACAGAGAGGCAUCCAGGCCCCCAGCCAAGACCGUACCCCGGCAUCGCUCCAAAAGUACGAAGCCAAGAGGGAACGCGCCAGACUUGCGAGACAUAUUGGAGGAUAAAGCAAGGCAAUCCAGAUCCAUCUACGGAUCACGUGGGCGCCCCACGACCCAUGACGAAUACCGUCGCGCUGGAUACAAUAACCCCGGCUGGGCCGAACACAGCAGACAAUGCUCUCUCGAGCUGCGUCGUGAUAUUGCUCAAUACAGAGGCGCCGCAGACCCGCUAUGCUUCACUGACGAAGUAAUGGAUCAUCAAAUCCCCGAAGGGUUUAAACCCGUAAACAUCGAAUCUUACGAUGGCACAACAGACCCCGCGGUUUGGAUCGAAGAUUAUCUUCUCCACAUCCAUAUGGCCCGCGGCGACGAUCUCCAUGCCAUCAAGUAUCUCCCACUCAAGCUUAAAGGACCAGCUCGGCAUUGGCUAAACAGCUUGCCCGCAGAGUCAAUUGGGUGCUGGGAAGACCUGGAAGCCGCAUUCCUCGACAACUUCUAGGGCACGUAUGUGCGACCACCAGACGCCGAUGACCUAAGCCACAUUAUUCAGCAGCCAGACGAAUCGGUCAGACAAUUCUGGACACGGUUCUUGACAAAGAAAAACCAAAUCGUCGACUGUCCGGACGCAGAAGCCCUUGCAGCCUUCAAACAUAACAUCCGGGACGAAUGGCUAGCCCGGCACCUGGGGCAGGAAAAGCCGAAAUCUAUGGCAGCCCUCACAUCAUUAAUGACCCGCUUCUGCGCGGGAGAGGACAGCUGGAUAGCUCGCAGCAACAAUCUCCGUAAAAAUUCUGGCAGUCCGGAUACCAAGGACAACAACGGCAGGUCACGUCGAAACAAAAACAAAUGCCGCAUUAACGUCGACGAUAAGGAGGAUACGGCAGUCAACGCUGGAUUCCGAGGCUCUAAACCCGGUCAGCGGAAGAAGCCGUUCAAAAGAACCACUCCGGGUCCGUCCAAUUUGGACCGAAUACUCGACCGCUUAUGCCAGAUACAUGGCACCCCUGAAAAACCAGCUAAUCACACUAAUAGAGAUUGCUGGGUGUUCAAGCAGGCAGGCAAGUUAAUUGCCGAAAACAACGACAAAGGGCUGAACAGCGACGACGAGGAAGAGAACCGACCGCCGAACAAUAGAGGACAGAAGGGUUUUCCCCCACAAGUGCGGACGGUGAAUAUGAUCUACGUGACCCAUAUACCCAAGAGGGAGAGGAAACGCGCACUAAGGGACGUCUAUGCGAUGGAGCCAGUCGCCCCGAAGUUCAAUCCAUGGUCCUCUUGUCCGAUCACUUUCGAUCGAAGAGACCAUCCGACCAGCAUACGCCAUGGCGGAUUUGCCGCAUUGGUUUUAGACCCAAUCGUCGAUGGAUUUCACCUCACGAGAGUCCUGAUGGACGGCGGCAGUAGCCUGAACCUGCUUAUCAGGAUACAAUGCGCAAAAUGGGCAUAGACCCCUCAAGGAUUAAACCUACAAAGACAACCUUUAAAGGUGUCAUACCAGGAGUGGAAGCCAACUGUACAGGCUCAGUCACACUGGAAGUGGUCUUCGAAUCCCCGGAUAAUUUCCGGAGCGAAGAGUUAAUCUUCGACAUAGUCCCGUUUCGCAGCGGCUAUCACGCUCUGCUCGGACGAACCGCGUUUGCAAAAUUCAACGCGGUGCCGCAUUAUGCAUACCUAAAGCUCAAGAUGCCAGGCCCUCGCGGAGUCAUCACGGUCAAUGGGAAUACGGAAUGCUCCCUCCGAACGGAGGAACAUACAGCGGCUCUCGCGGCAGAAGUACAGAGCAGCCUUUUAAGGAAAUUCUCGAAUCCGGUCAUUAAAAGGCCGGAUACAGCAAAACGCGCCCGGAGCAAUGCCAACCAAGACCACCUGGCGCGAUCAGAGCACGCAUAGCAAUGCAGCCCCAACCCCCGCCCGCGCAUGAUCGCAAGAAUAACACUCCGCGUACAUCAUUACGCUUUGGAGAUACCAUGGGCACAGGGGAAGGGGCACGAUCGCAACGGACCAAGAGUGCGGUUCGACCACACCGGGGGCUCGCAAGUGUGCCCCCCUCUCUUUUUUUAUUUUUCCCUUCUUUGUGUACACAGGACCCCGUUAACCAGAGGCCCUGUCCGGCGAUGAACCUGCCAAACUCAUGAUGCAACAGUCAGGGACGAAAGAAGGCUGCGACGAACACUCAGGUGGUCUCAAUUACGAGCAUUAAAUUUGAUUAUAUACACCAAGUCCGCAGCUCACCCCUGAAGGGGGACAUGUUUACUUAGUCCAAUCCCUUGCUUACCGCACUAUUUGUAUCAGUCCACACUCAUAGCAGAUUUCCUUUAAUAAAUAAUGCAGCACUUUUCGACUGCAAUUACAUCACCUUUUUAUAUAUAUGUUCAUUACAUGACAUCUUGCACCCGUAUAUUUUGGUACGGCCGAAUAUGCCAGGGGCUUCUGUUCCCCAAAUUAUGGUGUGAUAAAGUCCGAACACUUUCAUAAGUGCGGCACCCCGAACUUAUAGCAUUAUAUGAAUUGGCUCCGAAUCAUGUCUUGGGUCAAUAGUUGGGUUUGCCCGGCUCCCACGUUUUGGUGCCUUACGUUCCGUUCUGUCGGCUAAGGUGGCACUGGGAGAACCACUGCGAUUGCGCCCCGGUUGAGCCGGGCGAGCGCCUCAGUGGAGAAAGCUAAAACUAACUGGCAUGAUAAGGCGAGAGACUGGUCGCUGUUCAAGAGGUUUUUUCGGGUCCUUAAAGACUCACGCCGCUUCGAGCGAAGUUCCGGACAAUGUCCGACGAAGGCAUGGAUAGCGCCCCGGAUUCGGUCUUCCGAAUACCAGGGGCUUCGCCGAAAUUUAAAAUUAUAGAAUUCUAUGGCUAAGUGAGAGUGUUCAAGCAUUAUAAGUUCGGUUGCCUUGUUCAUUGUGUUGAGCGCCUCCCUAGAUGGACCCAAAAAUGGGAACAAGAGUGCUCAAGUUUAUCCCGAACACCCCAGCACUCGUGGCUUGGGGGCUGAAGCCAACGACUUGCCAUCUCUCAGAUUUUAUAAACGGCCGCACAGAAGGUAAUAUUUUAAAUUAAACAAGCGUUGCUUAACGCGCACAUGAACAAAGUUUCAGCGCGCAGGAUAAUACAUAACGAGUUUACUCAAAGAUUACAUUUCGGGGGCACUCAUCCGCAAUAUCGCGGGCUCCCUUCAGGACAGUUCUAUAAUACAUCUCCGGCGUGCGAUACUCCUUGCCCGGUGGCGGUGGGUCCGUGAGAAGCUUCUCCGCAUCCAACCUGCCCAGUGCACCUUUGUGCGGGCAAGGGCCCGACGAGCACCUUCAAUAUAGGCGGAGCGCUUGAUGACCUCCACCCAAGGGCACGCAUCCACCAGCCGCCGCACGAGGCCGAAGUAGCUUCCAGGCAUGGCCUAUCCAGGCCACAGCCGGACUAUGAGGGCCUUCAUGGCCCCCUCAGCUACCUUGUGGAGUUCGACCAGCUGGUUCAGCUGGUCGCUUGGGGGCACCGGAUGUCCGGCCUCAGCAUACUGAGACCAGAACACCUUCUCCGUCGAGCUCCCCUCCAUGCCACGAUAGAAUGCGGCGGCAUCGGACGCACUACGCGGCAGAUCUGCAAAUGCCCCUGGAGAGCUCCGAACGCGGGUAAGUGUAAGGUAGUUUACAUUAACAUGCUUGCUUUGCAUGAAAAAUGCCUUACCCGCCGCUUUUUUCUUCACAUCUUCAACCUCCUGAAGGGCCUUACGGGCCUCGGCCUUGGCGGACUUGGCACUUUCGAGAGCCGAGGCAAGCUCGGACUCUUGAGUCUUGGAGUCACGCUCCAAACUCUCAUGCUUUUCCAUGAGAGCUUGGAGCUCUUGCCGUACUUCCGCCAUCCGUGCCUCCUGCUUCUUUCGCUCUUCCCGCUCCGCGGCCACACUGCGUUCGGCCGCGGACACAGCCUCCUUCAGGGCUGCCACCUCGUUCGUGGCCCCUGCAAUACCCAUAUUGUCCUUGUUAAUUUUCUUGCAACCAAAAUCCUUUUCUGUAAGGUAACUAUUCAAAGGGGUGUUAAUCACCUUCUUUGUCCUCGAGCUGCUUCUUAGCAUGGCCGAGCUCUUGCUCGGACCGCUCGAGAUCCUUCUUCAACACUUCGACCUCCGCCGAUAGUGCGGCAGAGGUCAGCAGCGCAGCCUGCAAACCCAUAUUGACAUAUUUUAAGUACCCUACGUAUAUCUUGUUAGAUCCUCAGUCCGGCUUUUCUUUCCGAACGCCGAACUGAGCAUCAGGAGCUACUGUCUAUGCAGUAUUACAUUACAUAGUUUUAACUUCUUACCUCAAAGCCUGUUAGAAGGCUGCUGCAGGCUUCGGUCAGCCCGCUUUUGGCAAGCUGAACCUUUUGAAUCACCACACUCAUGAUAGUGCGGUGUUCUUCCUCGAUGGAAGCGCCUUUAAGCGGCUCCAGCAAGUUAUCCGGCGCCUCCGGUUGGACGGAGGCCGCCGGUGUCACGGUCUUGCCCUUCUUUCGAAGGGGCCGCUUGCCGGACUCUGGAACCACUGCGGGUUCUGAUGUAGAGUCCGGCGCACAGUCCGAGAGGCUGCCUGACGGCGCCUCCGGAGCCUCCUCCUGAUGGGUCCCUCUCUGGGAUCCCACCUCGGCGUCCUCACCGGCGCGUGGGGUAGAGGCAGUCGGAAGUGAAUCCACAUCCGACGGGGCCAACGACCCGCUCGAUGAGUCGGGGAGAUCGUCAUCGGCCGGACUACGGACAGAAUGCGGCAUGAAGGACACUACGCGACACGAAAGAAAUUACAUAUCAAGGAUCCGGAUACUUACGAUCUUGCCGAACGCCUGGCCCUUGGAGACCAUUCAUCCUCGCCAACGACGGUGUUGGCGAAACUGUCCGGGGGGAUAGUCCUCCCCCUCUUGGACCCUUCGGCCUCCCCUAUUGGGGAAGGCUUCCUCUUCUUCUCUCCCUCCUCUGGGAGAGAGCCCUCCUCCUCCUCGUCUUCGGGGGAGGAGUCUGCGGCGUCGUCAGACGCCUGAUUGCAGGAACUCUUUCGAGUCCCCGCGGCCACCUUCUUGGCCUUCUUCUCCGGCACCACGUGCGGUGCCGGAACCAGCAGCCCUGCUAAACGGGCGUUCUCUGGGUCUUCUGGCAUGGGAGCCGGGCUGAUAAGCAGCUUGGCCUUCCCCAUCCAUUCCUGUCAAAGGAAAAGGGAAAUUGAAACCCUCUUAGAAUCAGUUUAAUUACCACAAGUGUCCUGUAAUGGGGUUGGAUCACUUACCUCGUCAGCCGGAUGCUGCGAGCAGAAUCCGCGAUCUUCCGUCGCGGAUGCGGGGGCUUCGGCGCCCUUGAACAGCACCCUCCAGGCACCUUCGUAUGUCGUAUCGAAGAGCCCGCUCAGCGCCUGGUGCUGUUCCGGAUUGAACUCCCACAGAUUGAAUGCCCGCUCUUGGCAUGGGAGAAUCCGGCGGAUGAGCAUGACUUGGACCACGUCGACGAGCCUGAGCUUAUUGCUCACCAGCUUCUGGAUGCAGGCUCGGAGUCCCGUCACCUCCAUCGGAUUGCCCCACUGCAAGCCCUUCUCUUUCCAGGAGGUGAGCUGCGUGGGGACGCCAGAUCUAAACUCGCGGGUCGCAACCCAUGUGGGCUUGCACGGCUCGGUGAUAUAGAACCACCCCGAUUGCCACCCCUUGACGGAGUCCACGAAGGCCCCUUCGAGCCAGAGUAUGGUGGGCAACUUGCCCAACAUGGCGCCUCCGCAUUCCGCUUGCGUGCCCUUCACAACCUUCGGCUUGACGUUGAAGGUCUUGAGCCACAGGCCGAAGUGGGGCCGGAUGCAGAGGAAGGCCUCGCACACGACGAUAAACGCCGAGAUGUUGAGGAUGAAGUUCGGCGCCAGAUCGUGGAAAUCCAGGCCAUAGUAAAACAUGAUCCCCCGGACGAACGGGUGCAAUGGAAAGCCCAGUCCGCGGAGGAAGUGGGGGAGGAAGACGACCCUCUCAUGGGGCCCAGGGGUAGGGAUGAGCUGCCCCUCAUCGGGCAGCCGAUGCGCGAUAUCGCCGGAAAGAUAUCCGGCGCUGCGCAGUUUGGUGAUGUGCUCCUCCUUGACAGUGGAAGCCAACCAUUUGCCUCCCGCUCCGGACAUAUUCGGAGAAGGUCGAGGCGAGAUGCGCGAACUUGGGUGUUGGAGCUUGAGAGCGCGGAGAUGGAUAAGCAAAGGAGGAAGAAGGCGUAGGUGAGAAGGUGAAUCCUUAUCCCUUAUAUAUAGGCGGACGAAAACUAUGCGUCCCCCACCGGCCUGGUAAAACUCGCUUAUCUCCCAAGCACCACCAUCAAUGGCGCGGUUGGGUUACCCACGUCCGUAUUGAUGAGAAUCCCGGAAUAAGGGGAACACGAUCUCUGCUUCGACAAGACGUGCCAAGGAAACCGCUUCGCUAAACGUGCUGAGGUGGUAUAGUAAAAAACGAUUCAAGUAAAAGCCUGGUACCGGUAUGAUGUCACGCCGCAUAAUACGUCAGCAGAUUGAACUGGUGUACAUUUUAUUCUCUCUACGGUGGAAUGUGGAAUUUAUUUUGCAGAGCCGGACACUAUCCUGGUGUUCAUGAUCUUCUCUGGAUUAUUCAAGGGAGGAACCCGCCUUGCAAUGCCGAACAUUAUGCACGCCGGACUAAUCGUCAUUGAAGCCUGGUUCAGGGGCUACUGAGGGAGUCCUGCACUAGGGGGUGUCCGGACAGCCGGACUAUCAUCAUCCGCCGGACUCCAAGACUACGAAGAUACAAGAUUGAAGACUCCGUCCCGUGUCCGGAUGGGGCUUUCCUUGGCGUGGAAGGCAAGCUUGGCGAUACGGAUAUGUAGAUCUCCUACCAUUGUAACCAACUCUGUGUAACCCUAGCCUCCUCCGGUGUCUAUAUAAACCGGAGGGCUUUAGUCCGUAGGACAACAUACAUUACAACAAUCAUACCAUAGGCUAGCUUCUAGGGUUUAGCCUCCUUGAUCUCGUGGUAGAUCCACUCUUGUACUACCCAUAUCAUCAAUAUUAAUCAAGCAGGACUUAGGGUUUUACCUCCAUCAAGAGGGCCCGAACCUGGGUAAAAACAUCGUGUCCCUCGUCUCCUGUUACCAUCCGCCUAGACGCACAGUUCGGGACCCCCUACCCGAGAUCCGCCGGUUUUGACACCGACAAAGACCAUCUUGCAGAUCCAGACACGGUCUACGUGUUCGAUAAUCACUUUGGAGUAUUCGGAGGAGGAACCCGCCUUGCAAUGCCGAAGACAAUACUACGCGCCGGACUCAUCGUCAUUAAAGCCUGGUUCAGGGGCUACUGAGGGAGUCCUGGAUUAGGGGGUAUCCGGACAGCCGGACUGUGUACAACGUCCGGACUAGUGAAGCAUGAAGAUACAAGACACAAGACUUCGGCCCAUGUCCGAAUGGGACUUUCCUUGGCGUGGAAGGCAAGCUUGGCGAUCCGGAUAUUAUAUUUCCUUCCUUGUAACCGACUCCAUGUAAACCCUAGCCCUCUCCGGUGUCUAUAUAAACCGGAGAGGUUGGUCCUUAGAAGGCCGAUCGCAAUUACAAUCAUACCAUCAUAGGCUAGCUCCUAGCGUUUAGCCUCUACGAUCUCGUGGUAGAUCUACUCUUGUACUACCCAUAUCAUCAAUAUUAAUCAAGCAGGAAGUAGGGUUUUACCUCCAUCGAGAGGGCCCGAACCUGGGUAAACAUCUGUGUCCCUUACUUCUUGUUACCAUCAGCCUUGACGCACAAAUCGGGACCCCCUACCCGAGAUGCGCCGGUUUUGACACCGACAAUGGCCUCUACCGUCCAGGAGAAGGAUAUCAAGAAACUUUGGGAGGCCGGGUAUCUGGGCAAGAAGAUCGGCCACCGCCUUCCGACGGCGGAACAGAUUGUCCCUACUCCGGAACCCCACGAGAGGGUUGUAUUCCUCCCUCACUUUGUCCGCGGGCUAGGGUUUCCCCUCCACCCAUUCAUUCACGGCAUUAUUGUAGGAUCGAAAGUAUGUCUAGAGGGGGGGUGAUUAGACUACUUGACAAUAUAAAAAUUUAGCCUUUUGAUUAAGACAAGUUUUUGGCAAGUUCACAAUGAUGAUCAAGUCAAGUAUCACCCUACACAUGCAAUUCUAGAGUAAUGGCAGCGGAAAGUAAAUUGCACAUGUAGUAAAUAGAGGUGGAGAAGGGCAAACGCAAUUUGGAGACACGGAGAUUUUUCUCGUGGUUCCGAUAGGUGGUGCUAUCGUCAAUCCACGUUGAUGGAGACUUCAACCCACGGAGGGUAACGGCUGCGAGAGUCCACGGAGGGCUCCACCCACGAAGGGUCCACGAAGAAGCAACCUUGUCUAUGCCAUCAUGGCAUACGCCCACGGAGGACUAGCCUUACUCGGGGUAGAUCUUCACGAAGUAGGCGAUCUCCUUGCCCUUACAAACUUCUUGGUUCAACUCCACAUCUUGACAGAGGCUCCCAAGCGACACCUAACCAAUCUAGGAGGCACCACCCUCCAAAAGGUAAUAGAUGGUGUUGGUGAUGAUGAACUCCUUGCUCUUGUGCUUCAAAUGAUAAUCUCCCCAACACUCAACUCUCCUCACUGAUUUGGCUGUGGUGGAAGAAAGGAUUGAGUGGAAAGCAACUUGGGAAGGCUAGAAAUCAAGUAUCAUAUGGUGGGAGUGGAGCAACUUGAUCUCAACACAAGGGUAGGUAGUUUUCUUCUCAGAAAUGUAAGGUAGGAGUGGUAGUUCUUUUUGAUGGCUCUCUCCACGAAUGAAGAGGAGGUGGAGGGGUAUUUAUAGCCUCCACACAAAAUCCAACCGUUACACACAUUUGACCAAUCUCGGUCAGACCGAAGUUGACAACUCGGUGAGACCGAAAGUUCAAAUCUUGUGAACGUUGGGAUUUUCGGUGGGACCGAAAAUACAAUCUCGGUGAGUCCGAUUCUUCCAAAGACUAGGGUUUGCCAUUCUCGGUGGGACCGACUUUAUCAUCUCGGUGACACCGAUUUGAUUACAGAAGGUUACAGAAGGUUGGCAACACUAGUUUCGGUGAGACCGAGUUUGGAAUCGGAAAAACCGAAAUUACUAGGGUUUGGCUUUGUUGCUGAGGUGGUUCAUCUCGGUGUGACUGAGUUUAUGGAAUCGGUGGGACCGAGAUUACUUAUGAGUAUAUGUUGGAAUGAAAGAUUGCUGAUAGUUUGGGAGAUAGAUCACUAAGCACUUUGAGCAACCAGAUCAUUAUCAUAACCUCAUCCCCUUUUAAUAGUAUUGGCUUUCCUAUAGACUCAAUGUGAUCUUGGAUCACUAAACCAAAAAUGGAGUCUUGAGCUUUUGCCAAUGUUUUCCUUAGCAUUUUGAGGGGUCCACAUCUUCAGUCAUUGCCAUACCCAUAUCACUGAACUUUCUGAAAUGAUACUCAAGAAACUAUUAGUUCAAUGAUAUAUAUGUUGUUAUUAAUUACCAAAACCACCUGGGGAUUAGUUGCACUUUCAAU
rnacentral:lncRNA from 1 species